NNNNNNNNNNNNNNNNNNNNNNNNNNNNNNNNNNNNNNNNNNNNNNNNNNNNNNNNNNNNNNNNNNNNNNNNNNNNNNNNNNNNNNNNNNNNNNNNNNNNNNNNNNNNNNNNNNNNNNNNNNNNNNNNNNNNNNNNNNNNNNNNNNNNNNNNNNNNNNNNNNNNNNNNNNNNNNNNNNNNNNNNNNNNNNNNNNNNNNNNNNNNNNNNNNNNNNNNNNNNNNNNNNNNNNNNNNNNNNNNNNNNNNNNNNNNNNNNNNNNNNNNNNNNNNNNNNNNNNNNNNNNNNNNNNNNNNNNNNNNNNNNNNNNNNNNNNNNNNNNNNNNNNNNNNNNNNNNNNNNNNNNNNNNNNNNNNNNNNNNNNNNNNNNNNNNNNNNNNNNNNNNNNNNNNNNNNNNNNNNNNNNNNNNNNNNNNNNNNNNNNNNNNNNNNNNNNNNNNNNNNNNNNNNNNNNNNNNNNNNNNNNNNNNNNNNNNNNNNNNNNNNNNNNNNNNNNNNNNNNNNNNNNNNNNNNNNNNNNNNNNNNNNNNNNNNNNNNNNNNNNNNNNNNNNNNNNNNNNNNNNNNNNNNNNNNNNNNNNNNNNNNNNNNNNNNNNNNNNNNNNNNNNNNNNNNNNNNNNNNNNNNNNNNNNNNNNNNNNNNNNNNNNNNNNNNNNNNNNNNNNNNNNNNNNNNNNNNNNNNNNNNNNNNNNNNNNNNNNNNNNNNNNNNNNNNNNNNNNNNNNNNNNNNNNNNNNNNNNNNNNNNNNNNNNNNNNNNNNNNNNNNNNNNNNNNNNNNNNNNNNNNNNNNNNNNNNNNNNNNNNNNNNNNNNNNNNNNNNNNNNNNNNNNNNNNNNNNNNNNNNNNNNNNNNNNNNNNNNNNNNNNNNNNNNNNNNNNNNNNNNNNNNNNNNNNNNNNNNNNNNNNNNNNNNNNNNNNNNNNNNNNNNNNNNNNNNNNNNNNNNNNNNNNNNNNNNNNNNNNNNNNNNNNNNNNNNNNNNNNNNNNNNNNNNNNNNNNNNNNNNNNNNNNNNNNNNNNNNNNNNNNNNNNNNNNNNNNNNNNNNNNNNNNNNNNNNNNNNNNNNNNNNNNNNNNNNNNNNNNNNNNNNNNNNNNNNNNNNNNNNNNNNNNNNNNNNNNNNNNNNNNNNNNNNNNNNNNNNNNNNNNNNNNNNNNNNNNNNNNNNNNNNNNNNNNNNNNNNNNNNNNNNNNNNNNNNNNNNNNNNNNNNNNNNNNNNNNNNNNNNNNNNNNNNNNNNNNNNNNNNNNNNNNNNNNNNNNNNNNNNNNNNNNNNNNNNNNNNNNNNNNNNNNNNNNNNNNNNNNNNNNNNNNNNNNNNNNNNNNNNNNNNNNNNNNNNNNNNNNNNNNNNNNNNNNNNNNNNNNNNNNNNNNNNNNNNNNNNNNNNNNNNNNNNNNNNNNNNNNNNNNNNNNNNNNNNNNNNNNNNNNNNNNNNNNNNNNNNNNNNNNNNNNNNNNNNNNNNNNNNNNNNNNNNNNNNNNNNNNNNNNNNNNNNNNNNNNNNNNNNNNNNNNNNNNNNNNNNNNNNNNNNNNNNNNNNNNNNNNNNNNNNNNNNNNNNNNNNNNNNNNNNNNNNNNNNNNNNNNNNNNNNNNNNNNNNNNNNNNNNNNNNNNNNNNNNNNNNNNNNNNNNNNNNNNNNNNNNNNNNNNNNNNNNNNNNNNNNNNNNNNNNNNNNNNNNNNNNNNNNNNNNNNNNNNNNNNNNNNNNNNNNNNNNNNNNNNNNNNNNNNNNNNNNNNNNNNNNNNNNNNAUUCCCUUUUCCUAAUACAGACAUGCUCGUGUUAUUCCCAAGUUUCACUGAAUCUCGAAAGGUUCCAUCAAAAUCUAAAAAAUAAUCCUUUUUUCCACACAUAUGAUUGCUGCAUCCAGAGUCAAGAAACCACGUAUCUUCUCGACUAGUUUUGUUUAGAUCCACAUAUGCCAUCAACAACAUCUCCUCUUGAUUCUCUGCGUAGUAAGCCCCUGUCUCUCGGUGUGGACAUUCCCAUGCAAAAUGUCCUAGCUUGUGACAAUUAUAGCACUCCACAGUAGCCUUAUCAAAAGAUCUUCUAUUCCGUCCUCUUCCUCUUCCUCUAUAAUUUCCAUGACCACGACCUCUACUUCCGGAGUGAUCUCCAUGAGUAACUUUCAAAGCCUGUUCUUCUUCUAACACAUGAGAGGUCAUGCGUUGUUCAUGGACAAGAAGACUACUCUGCAACUCAUCUAUGGUUAAAGUGUCUAAAUCUUUAGACUCUUCAAUGGAACAAACAACAUAAUCAAAUUUGGAAGUCAUAGAUCGUAAAAUCUUUUCAACAACAGCAGUAUUUCCUUUAUCCUCACCAUUGACCUUCAUUUUGUUGGCAAUGGCAAGAGUGCGAGAGAAAUAUUCAUUCACAGUUUCUCCCGACUUCAUGUGAAGAAUUUCGAAUUCCUUCAUCAAAGCUUGCAAAUUUCCACGCUUCACUCGUGUGGUGCCCUGAAAUUUCUGCUUCAUAGAAUCCCAAAUAUCCUUCGUAGUCUUUUUGUUUAGAAUUGUCUCUAGGAUAGAACGAUCUAAUGCCUGAAAUAGAUAGUUCUUUGCCUUCAAAUCCUUUAACUGCUGAUCUUCAAUGUGCUUUCUCUGUGCAUCUGUGAGAACAGCAUCUUCAGCCACUGCAGGAACUCCAUUCACCACAAGUCCCCAAUACUCCUUGGAACGCAAGAAGUUUUCCAUGAGCAUUGCCCAGUGAUCAUAGUAGCCAUCAAAUUUCGGAAUAGCUGGCUGGACAAAUGAACUCUCUGUCGUCAUUGUUCAAACAGAACACACGUAGAAGACUGCUGCUUCUAAAUAAUCAGGCCCCUAUGAUGGGGCUCUGAUACCAAAUGUUGGAAAUUGAAUAGGAGUAUAGAUGAAGCUGGAGAAAAACAACUUUACUAAAUUGAAUAACAAACUUGGCUAAUAUAUAGCCUUACAGAAAAUAGCCCAUAUCUAGAUAACUCCUAAAAGUGCUGAGAAGAUAACCCUCAGCAAAUAUCAGAACCCAAAAUAAUAGAUAACUCCUAAACGUGGUGGUAACUAACUACUAAAGAUAAACAUAAAAAACUAACAUUAACCAAUAAGAUAAACAUCACAAAACUAACAUAUGGAAUAGGCAAAUGUCAGGAACAGGGAAAGACCAGAAAAAUAGAGCACAAGGGAUAGGAACAAAAUAAUCCCAUACAAGCCGUGUUUCAUAUCCGGAUCAAUGGGCUUAGGUGAGGGUGAGCGCAAUCAAAUGGAAGACAAAACAUGAUUGCAUGUAUUUUCAUGAGGAAGCUUUAAACAGGGCCAAGUUAACAUUCAACAAAAACCAAAUAAAUGAGGAACAUGAACGUGCUAUAAUUCCACAAAACCGACCUGAAGGUCAGCCAAAAUAUACCUGUAGCACUUAAUGUCUAUUCCCCAAUCAACAAAUAGCACUCAACAAUCAGCAGAGAAAAGAAAAGAAAAGCAUGCCAGUUGGAAUGAGUUAGAAACCCAUAAUAAUCAUACCUGAAAAACAAUCCUCCCCAAGAAGCCGUGUCGGAUUUCUAGCUGUUCCACUGGUUCCCUCUUCUUCCCUUUAGCUGCCUUUUCCUCAAGUCACCUCAAAAUCACAACCCUCAAGCAACCCGCAACCCUUUCCUUUUUCAGAUUCUUCUUUUCUUUUCACUCUCAGCACCUACUAUAUCCUUCUUCCAUCGGCUUCCUCUGUUUCUCUCGAACAGCUCCAAGGAAAAAAAAAACUUCUCCCCUCUUCCCUAGCUUCCCCUCCAAGCUAUACUCUAAAUAUUUCUUCUCUGUUUCCAUCUUCUCCCGCAAGCCACCACCUGCUCCACUGUGCACCAUUCCGCCAAUGCGUCACCCUCCAAACCACCACCAUGGGCGAGCCAUGCAGCCGGUUCUCAGCAUAAGGAGGUCCCCCUCCAAAAAUGCAAGGAAAAGAAAAGAAAACAACUCUGCUCGGGCCCUCACCACACGUCCUAUGCUUCUCGUGUGUCUCCAGAAAGAGCUCCCUCCCCCCUACUUCAAAAAAAUGAAAGAAUUCCACUCUCCCGGGUGGUCCUAAAAUAAAAGAAAAGCUAUCCGUUUUUUUGAGGGGGUUUACAACUUUAUUAUUACAUUUUAUUUUUUGUUUGAUGCUUUAAAUAAUUUUUAUUAAAUAAAAUUAUAAUUAUAUUGGUGGAGGGCUAAUUAACUUUGUUUUUAAGUGAGAAAGACAGUGAUAAGGUUGAAGUGGGUUUAAAAAAAUGAAAUAAAAGAAUGAAAAAAAGAAAAAGAAAAAGAAGAUAGAGAUAAGAUUGAGGUGGGUCCGUAAUUAAAAAAAAAAUGAAGAGUAGGAGAAAAAGUGACAAAAGCUUUUGCUUUCUUCCAAAAAAGUAAAAACAAAGGCUAAUGACAUCAUGUGAUCAAACUCUAUACAAGACCCUACUUGAAUAUUUCUAUGAUUUGUUUAUUAAACUAGUCUUAUACAAGGACAAAGUUAAAAAUAACUUUAAAAAAAAUAUUAUUUAAGAAAUUAUUUUCUAAUCUACAUAAUUGCUACAUCUUUUCGACUCGAUUUUAUUCAAUUUCAUUAAAAUGAAAUCAUUUAUUUGAGCCCAAAAAUCCAAAUCCAACUCAUUUAUCUAUAUACUUUAUUGGCAUGGAAUGAGAAAAGUUAUAAAGUGAAAGAAAAUUUGAUCAUAUGAGAGAUUUUCCAAAGUUGGAGCCAAUUCAAUGCUUAGUGGGUAUAACAAAAAAAAAAGUGGAAAUUAGAGUGAAACAACCAAAUUUUUAAGGUUUGAGGGGAUGUCACUGCACCUUCCAUAUAACUGUCUAAGAAUGUGAGAUGUCAUUGCAUUGAAAAUUGAUAUUAAAUCUCAUAAAGUAACUAUAAGAAUUGCUUUACUUAAGUAAUAAAUAUAUCUUGCUUUUUCAUAAAGUUUAUGACCCUAAGUGAAUAAAAUUUUUAGAGUGGGAUGAAUGCAUUUCACGUGAGUCAUGUCCUAGAUAUAUUUUUAGAAUUUUUUAGCAAGAUAUUAAGAGAAACUUUAUGGUGAGUGUUUUUUUUCUAGUUAAGGUGGGUACAGUUUGAUGUCAUUUGUAAACAUAAUUCAAACCCAAUAUAUUUUUUAGGUGUUUGAAUUGAAUAGAUUUGUAUUUAAUUUAAAUUCAUGUGAAUAUAUAUAAUUCAUUUAAUAAAUAAAUUAUUUUUAAAUUAACUCAGAUAACCUACAUUUGACUCGAAUUAACUUAUUUAAAAAUGGUAUUGAUUAACCUAAUAAUAACUUUAAUUUAUUGAACUCAUAUUUAACUCAUUUAAGAUUUGUUUUUCAAGUAGUAUGCCAUAAUUGGGUCAUUAUAUAAUAUUAGAACAUUAAGCAUAUUAUUUCAUUCAACAUUUAACUUGAUUUGAUUAUUAAACAUUAUCUUAUUAUUAAAUUGGUUAAACAGGUUAUGAUGUAUCACCUGGUUAAUAAUUAUAUAGUGUUUGAGUUUAUAUUUUUAAUUUUGAUUAUUAUUCAUGUCAUGUUUGGGUUGAGUUGUUUCGUGGAGUAUCUAACAUUUGAUACAAGACAAACACAAUCCACCAACAUAUUAAUAAAAAAUUACGAGAUAUUAGGAGAGUAAUUUUGGUAAAAGUUAAUAUUUAAUGAUUUAAGAUGAUUUUAAAUAAAAUUAUAUUUAAAUGGUCAAGUCAUAUCAAAUCAUUAACUUAAUUUAUCAAAAUCAUUUUUGAUUUUAUAUUAUAGUAUUAAGUUAUUUUAACGAUCAUACUUAAUAUACUUAAGAACUUAAAUUUAGUCUUAUCAACAUUCUCUAAGGUCUUCUCAAUUUUUAAUAUUUAUUUGAUACAUAUUUUAAAGUAAACAAGUCAAAAUAUAUUAUCUCAAAAUUUCUAAUUCAUACUCCUACAAGAUUUUAAAAUUCAUUAAUUAAUUUGAAAGAAAUUUGUUUUGGAACAUGCAAGUGAUGGACAUAUCACAUAUCUUAAAUUUUUAACUAAAAAACCUCAUAACAAAAUAAUUUGAUGAAUGUUUUUAAGUUUAAAAAACUUAGAACCAUUUCACAAUGAUUUUGGGAAGUUAGAAAUGUUUCCAAAUGCUUGAAAAUGUUUUAAUAACGAAAAUUAAACAUUUGAUAAAAAUUAAAGUUCACAUUCUAAGUAAUUGAUAGUGCUUCUUAUAAUUUUUUCUUUCUUUUCAUUAUAUAUAUAUAUAUAUUAGACAUUGAAAAGGUUUCACCAAUUAAAUGGUGUCACAUUUACAUUUUUUUUUAUAACAUGAAUUGAAAAAGUUUCAUCAAUUAGGUGGUGUCACACAUAUAUUUUUAAGUCUCAUAGUUAAUACCAUUGUACCUUGGCCACAUUUGUUUAUACCUUUGUUUAACGAUUUAGAUCUCACUACAUAUAUUUAAUAGUUUAGAUCUAGACUUCGUCAGGUACCACUACAAAACCUUAGUAUUAUAUAUAUAUAUAUAUAUAUAUAUAUAUACAUCAUACUAACUAGUUUUUUUUUUUUUUUUUAAUCAAAACACUUACAAUAGAAAUGCUACAAAUUAGAAGUGUUUUUAUCAAAAUAGUUUCCAAACCAACCAUAAUAUUUGCAUUAGCUUUAACAUAUAAUAUCUUUUACUUUAGUUGUUGAUAUAGCUACAUAUAAGACCAACCAUUCAUAUGAUAAUUAUUAUGGAUCUUAUUUUAAUUUGAUAAAAAUAUCUACCCAAGCAUUACGCAAAUAGGGAUGACAAUGGGGUGAAAUAUAGACAAGUCAUUCCUAUCCCAAUCUCACCCCAUUUAUUCAAAAUAAUUCUCAUUCUCGUCUCAUUGAAGAAAUUAAAUGGAAUGGGGUAGGUAUGAGAAUUUCCUGUACAUUAUUUUUAAAUUUGUUUAAAUACAUUAAAAUAAAUAUAUUUUAUAAAUAAUUUAAAAUUUAAAAUUUUUUUUAUAACUUAUUUAUUAUUAUUAUUAUUAUUAUUAUCAUUAUUAAAAAUAGGAAAAUAACAAUUUAUAUCUAAUUGAGGCAGGACAAGGUAAUAUCUAAACAUACCCCAAACUUGUCUCGAGUUUUAAAAAAAUUCUAAAAAAUGCUUUUAACUCGUUUAUUUAAAUUUCAAAUUCAUCCCAUUAGGAAUGGGGUGAAAACCCGUCUCAUUGUCAUCUCUAUAUGCAAGUCAUAAAUAUAUAAUAAGAAAAAUAAUAAUAAAAUUAGUAUCUAUUUAGAUGAACUUCUUGUUUUUUGUUUUUAAAAUCAGAAAAUAAUAAUAACUUUUAUAUAAGUGUAGACCCCCUUUGGUAGUGAGGACCCGGGAGGUUUUUUUUUUUUGGGGAUUUUCAUUAUAUUGUUAGAAGGGGUAGGGGACCCCCAGCUGGAGAGGAGCAGAGACGCCAUGCUGAUGAUGAAGGUAGCCACCAAAUGGGACGUGUAGCAGCGGGCAGAGUGGCUUGCGGUGGAAGAUAGAAACAUGAGAGAAAAAGGAUAUACGAGGGGGGAGUCUGACGGGAGAGAGGCAGCCAUUAGGGGAGUCACAGAGAAGGGAGCUUGCUGGUUCCAUUGAUCUUAGAGGAGAACUUACUAGAGAAAGAGAUAACAGAGAAAGAAGACAGCUGCAGGUGAGUUUGGGGUGAGUCUCUUGCUCCCUUUUGAUUCAUAUUCUCCUCAUCCCUUUCUCAUUUUGGUUUGCUUUGCAUUGCUCAUCAGUCCGGGUUGGAUUUCAUGUUGAAUUUCAUUGAUUUUUCUGGAUCACUUGUUUGUUGUCGUUGAUCUUGCCGUUAUCCUUAUGGUUUAGUUUGGAGUUGAUGAGAUCUGUUUCUCACGUAUUUUGUGGCUCUGGCUUGAGAUCUUCCCACCUGUAUCUGCCCAUGGAUACCACCCGACAUGAGGCUUGAUACACUCAUGUUUUUCUACUUUAUUCCUUGAUUAUCUUUCCCUCGUUUUUUGUUGUUUUGGCUCCUAUAUUUGUGAUCCUUUCUAUGAAUGAAGGCCUAUACACAAAGGUUGUUUCUUGUAUUUGAUAAAACCGAUUGAGCCACCCAUGGUUUCAGAUGAAGCAGAGACGUUAACGAGAUGUAUGCUCUGUUUUUAGGAUCUUUUUUCUUCUUUUAAUAUCUGUAAACAGAGAAGCUUGCAUGCAAAGAGUUCAUCAUCCAAAACUGGCAGCGUGUUGGGCCUGAGGUUAAACAAGAGUGACAAAUGUAAGAACAGUGAGGGAAGAGAGCCAUUUUUUUCAAUCACUGGGCUGCCAUAUUUUUAUCACCGGGCUGUUGAUUUCUUUUCAUCACCGGACUGCUAUUCUUUUUCAUCACCGGGCUACUGACUUUUCUUUAUCACCGGGCUGCUCAUCCACCAUAGCAUCAACUCCAUGUCACAGCUGGUUCUUUUCCAUUCGCCGCCGCACCAACUGCACACCCCAUUUUUUUGGUACCUUCACGGCCAUUAGGUAUGUCAGUUGUUUUUUUACAUAUAUAUGCAUAGAGUUUCAGCAACAGUGAAGGCUCGGAGCAUUUUUCCAAGUAGAAUUAUUAUUAUAAUAGGGUAAGUGGUUUGACUUUAUUUACUAGCUCCAACACUUUUUUGGUCUAUAUGGUCAUAUGGAUAUGGUUGCAAAGUAUGGGAUCACCUUAUUAUCCAAUGGGCAAAAUUAUAAGUGGACUUUCUAGGAAGAGACUUAAAAAAAUAGGUUUGUGGGGCCUUUUCUUUCCAUUUAUUGAUUCCUCAUGUUGUGUACACGUUUUGAUGGUAAGCCUCUUUUUAUUUUAUUUCAUUCUAUUAUUUUAUUAGUUUUCUUCAACUUUUGAUGCCCAAAAAUUUCAUUUUCAAAAUUUUAAUCUUAAAAUAAUAUACCAAAAAAAAAAAAAACUCUAGUUUUAAUUUAAUUUCUCAAAGCUCCAAUUCUAAUUUAAUUUUUCAAAAGCUCCGAUUUUUUAAAAUUUAGUUUUCAAUACUUUAACUUCCCAAACUUUAAUUAUUUUCAAAUUUUAAUUUUUAAAAUUCCAUCAUUAGACAAUUCCAAUUUUUCGACUCCCGAAUUUAAUUUUCAACCUCAAAAUUUUCACUAUUCACAUUCAGCUGUUUAAUGACGAUUUUCGUUACUAUUAUUAUCCCGUUCAUUUAUUUAUUCACUUAUUCAUAUAUUUAAAAUCCCAUCUCCAAAUAAUUUCUCAAAAUUUCAAUCUCUAAAUUCAAUCUUCAAUCUUUAAAAUUCUAUUUUUCGCAAUUAUUUACUUAAUAUUUAUUAUUUCAUCAUUAUUAUUAUUCCAUUCCUUUAUUUAUCCACUUAUUUGUUUAUUAAAAUUCCGUCUUUAAAUAAUUUUUUCAAAAUUCCGAUUCCCAAAUUUAGCUCUCUAAAAUUCCAAUUCCUUUCAAGUUUAAUUUCUAAAAUUCUCAUUUUUAUAUUUAAUUUCUAAAAAUCUAGUUUUUCAAGUAAUUUCUAAAACUCCAAUUUUCAAAUAAUCCCUAAGACUCCAAUUUUCAAAUAAAUUUCAAAAAUCCAAUUUUCUCUCAAAUAGUUUUGAUUCCACUCUGGUUUUCAAACAAUCUUAUGCUCCUCUUGAUUUUAAUAAGCGUGAAUGCAAUCUUCAUAAUUCCUAAAUAAUGGAAUUUGUGAUAUUAAUUCGUGCAAGAUUAAUCGGGCUUUGGUGGGGGCCCCACAUACAUGAUUUUAUGAUUGAUUGAUCGAUUGAUCGAUUGGUUGAUUUAUUUGCCAUGCGUGAUUGAUUUGCUAUGUUCCAUGAUAUGUACAUAAUCAACCUGCGUUUGUCCACUAACCCUAUUUUGUGAUAGCGUGUUGUCGUUUGCUGAAUAGGUACGUAUCCACUUCCACUUUGGUUAUUCUCUAUGCAUAUUCUGAUUCUCAUAUGUGCAUGAUAGUUCCGGGUAUCCAUUGAUUUCUUAAUUAAUUGCUAUGAUUGCUCCAUUUUAUUAGUAGAGACCCAUUUUAGGGACUUAGAGGGGUGCUACGGUCUUUCCCGUACCUUCCUGAUAAGUAACCUGACCCUCGUACCCGAUCCGGUUUUUCGCAGACCGUCUUUUUCAAAUUAAGGAGUCAUAUUUAGGGUUUUUCUUUCUUAUUUUGUUUACCCUUUUAAAAAUAAAACAAAAAUAAGUGGCGACUCCAAGUCAUUUCCUUAAUCAAUAAAAAAUCAAUUUUUCAAAUAAAAUCGAGCUCGCCAUCGAGUGGAAAACGCAUGAGCACGAAAUGCGGGGUCCACAAAAAGAUAUAAGGAUACUUAUAUUAAAAAAAUAAUAAUAGUUUUAAAAAUCAUUUAAAAAUUUAAGGUAUUAAAAGAAUUUUACUAAACCAAAUUUUAAAAAAUUUUAAUGUGAUUUUUAAACAUAUGACAUAAAUUUAUAUUUUUUUGUAUAACAUGUUCUACUUUCAUAUAGAAAUUCUAAUUUAAAAAAAAAAAAUAACAGAUGUAUUAAAUGGACACUUUAGCUUCUUAUUUUUUUAGUGGUUCACCUUGCCCCUUAGAUAAGAAGAUUAUGAAAAUUUUCAAUAAUUAUGAAAAAGAUAAAAGUGAAAGACUUUUGACAAAAUUAUGUGUGAGAUGGUGUGCAUCAACUUUAAUUUGGACAAUUAUGUUAAUGGGAAGAUGUUAUCCUCAUCACCUUUAAAUUGUAGUACUUAUUGUAUUUUGGAUAAUUAUGUUAACGGUCAUGUCAUCCUUGUCUCAACUCAUGUUGAUUAUUUAAGUUAUAAGUUAUAGUCACCAUGUCUUAUUUAAACUUUUAUACUAUUUUUUAUUAUUUUUAAAUAUAAAUCUUAUUAAAAUUAAUAUAAUUUAAGAGUUAAUAAAUUAAUUUUUAUGAAUUUUAUAUUAGCAUUGAUAAAAAUUAUAUUUUCAAUUUUAUUUUAAACAUGUUCAAAAGGGGGAAAACAAAAAAAGAAACUAAAUUAUUUUUAUUGAAUUUUAUAAAUAAAAAUGAUUUAAUUUUAAUUUUUAUUUAAUUUUAUAAAAAAAUUCUCAAAUAUAUCCCUAAUUUGUUUAAACUGGUCCUAAAUCCUUCUAUAGUUGUCAUCUCUAAUUUUGACCAUAUAAAAAUUAAACCAAAAUAUAAGAAGGUUGAGGAAUAUCAAAUAUAAAGAGAGGUUGAAAAAAUUUAUAAUGCUUAGAGGUUUUUUUCUUACAAAUAGAACUUGUUUGGUCAUGUGAUUUAAAAAUAGUGCAUUUUUUUUUUUUGUUUUUAAAAAUAAAAAACUGUUUUUAAAAUUUUCUAACAAUGUUUGACCAUUGUUAUCUGGAAGCAAUUUUUAAAAAUAAGGUGAAAUAAAGAACAAUUUUUAGAGAACAAAUAUAAAUUGUUUUCAUUGAUUUUUAAAAACAAAGGGAAAAUAUGAGCCCAUUUGACCAUAUUUUCUUAAACUUGUUUUUACACACUUUUUUUUUUUAAAAAAAAAAAAAGACUUUUUAGAUUAAAAACAUUUUUUAGAAUCACUACCAAAAUGAUUUUAAGUAUUAUCUCACUUCACCUCAUUUAUAUAUAAAAUUAAGUAAAAAUAAUUUAAUUUCCUUUUCCAUUUCCCCUUUUUAAUCAUAUUUAAAAUAAAGUUACAAAUUUACUUUUUAUUAAGAUAGAAUAUAAAAUUUAUGAAAAAUAAUUUAUUUACUCAUAAAUUACAUUUAUUUUAAUAAAAAUUAUUAUUAUUUUUUAAAAAAAAAGCAAAAACAAAAGGUGAAUUGAAGUAGUAAAGCUCGUUCGAAAAAGAAAAUAAAGAGGAAAAUUAGAAAAUAAUAAUAAUAAUAAUAUAAAAUAAAUUUAAAAUUCAUAAUUUAUUUUUAUAUUUUAUUUAAAUCUUAUUUUAUUUAUAAAGAUUAAAUGAAUCUAAAAAUACAUAAACUUUUAAUUAAUUUUAAUUAUAUAUAACUUAAAGUAAAACUAAAUAUUUCAUUAACAUUUUUUCGUAAUACUUGAACAAUCAAACAUAACUUAAAGCACUAAAAAAGUAUUUAUAAAAAAUUUCAGUUUGAUUGUGAUAAAUGUUAAAUUAUUAAUUUUCUUAAAAGUUUAAACUUAUAAGAUUUGAGUUAGCCCCCUCCCUAACAUACGAUCUCAUUUCAUAUAAUUGCAAAUGACAAGACGGGAGAUAUACCAAAGAAUUGUUAAAAAAGAGAAUAGAUAUCAGAUGAAGAAACAAAUAUGAAAAUUAUGGAGUAGUUCAAACUACAACUCCUCUCCAAACCAAACUAUAUUGAUAUAUCAAUUUUUCUAAAUAUUUAAACUUAUAGGAUUUGAGUUCAAUAUACAUAUCAUGUUUUACGAUGAUAUAAAUAAUAAAAAUAAAGUAUAAAAAAUAAAUUUAAAUAAUAAGAUUAAGAUAUAAAAGAAUAAAACUAAGCUCGAACCUAACAUAAAUUAAUGAAACCUUAAUAUAAAUGUGGUAGGAUUUGAUCCAUGGUGUUUGUCUUUUAGGUACUGACCCAUCAACACUAAAACCAGAUUUAUAUUAAUUUAAUGAGAUCGUGGAUUCAGGGUAGAAUGGGACAGGGAAAGAGUCAUGUGAAGAUGAACCUUCGGCAUAUAAUCUUUUAUUAAUUUAAUAGAAAGUUUUGAGUGUACAAGUCCGAACUACCAACUGUUGUUUGAAAAUGGUGUCUUUGGACACAGGUGGAUCCGAUCAAAUUGCGGGACGGAUGGAGCAUCCGGUGAGGGUUUUUAGAUAUGAAAGUCCCAUCAAAUGUCUCUGAUGCAGCCAGUAAAUUAACUUUGGAAGUAACUUCCCUCUUAAAGAAAAGAAUAUGAUAAUAUUAAUGGUUGAAAAGAUCUGGCCAAUGGGUGUCUUCCACGUUGCUGCAAUGAAUUUCACGUAAAUUGAUUGCCAUCUUUUCUAUUCGCGAAAGGUAAACAUGGACACGUGGUCACCGCCCUCUUGUUUUAUCUAGGAUUUGACAUUCAUACAAAUCAUGCGUACAAUCAUAAAAUUAUGCAAGUCAUGCAUAACUGUUUAAUUUAUUCAUUUUUAAAAUGAUUGUUGUUGUGCUGUCAAAACAUCUUCAUCCAUGGAUCACAGAUUGAUGCUUCUUCAUCAUAAUGUUAAAAGAUUACGAUUUUGAAUAUGUUUUUGAAGAUUUUCUGUAUUCAGAUUUAUAUAUAUAUAUUUAGAGUGUUAUUAGAAAGAUUAUUUAUCAAGUAUUUUUUUUAUAUUAUUAGUUAUUUUUUUCUUUUAAAAAAAAUAUUUUUUAUAUUAGAAAUAGUUUAUUAAAACAUUUCAUGGACUUUUAUUUUAACGUGGUUUUUCAUUUACGUGAUUGGUUUCUUGGACGUUUUUCUUUUAAAAGAUAAAUUUUAAGUUGUGUUCGUAAGUACGUCAAAAUUCCACUUGUUUUUCUUCUCUCGAAUGUUCAUAGAUAUUUAUAUUUUGUCAAGCCUUUAUAUGUCAUCCUCUAAUUGGCCUGAUUAAUAAUUAUUUAUAAUUGAAAAUAAGUGUUUGAACUUAGACGAUCGUACUAGUGUUAAUACGACAAUUAUAAGUGUUUGUUCAAAUGGGUGCUUUAAGAAAACGUUAGCUCGGUCAUCAUGAGUGUAGAUAUAUCUAGAUGAGUGGUUGUUAGAUUAGGGAGCAAGUGUGAAUUUGCUACCAUACUCUAUCUACAAGAAAUUGGGACUUGGUGAAUUGAAGCCAACAUCAAUCACUCUAUCUCUAGCAGAUAGAUCAGUGAAAAUUCCAAGGGGGAUAAUUGAAGAUGUCUUAGUUCAAGUUGAUAAUUCCUAUUAUCGAGUAGACUUUGUUGUUCUUGACACAUACCUAAUUGUCAAGGAAACGAAUUAUGUUCCUAUCAUCCUUGGAAGGCCAUUCCUUGCUACGUCAAAUGCAAUCAUAAAUUGUAGGAAUGGACUUAUGCAACUCACGUUUGGCAACAUGAAACUGGAGCUCAAUAUCUUCUAUAUGUCCAAAAAGCUAAUCACUCUGAAAGAAGAAGAAGGUCCAGAAGAAGUGUGCAUUAUUGACACUCUAGUGGAGGAGCAUUGUAAUAAGAAAAUGCAAGACAAGUUGAAUGAAAGUCUUGGGGAUCUUGAAGAAGGGUUGCCUGAACCCUUUGAUAUGCUUGCUACUUUACAAGGUUGGAGAAGGAUAAAAGAGAUUCUACCUUUGUUCAAUAAAGAGGAGGCACAAGAAGCUGCUAAAGAGGAGACCCCAAAGCUCAAUCUGAAACCUCUACCCACGGAGUUGAAAUAUACAUACCUGGAAGAAAAUUAAAAGUGCCCUGUUGUUAUGUCUUCAUCUCUUACUACUCCUCAGGAGAUGUCUCUACUUGAAGUUCUCAAGAGGUGUAAGAAAGCAAUAGGAUGACAAAUAUCUGACUUGAAAGGCAUCAGUCCUUUGGUCUGUACACAUCAUUUAUACAUGGAAGAAGAAGCUAAACUAAUUCGUCAACCUCAAAGAAGAUUGAAUCCUCAUUUGCAAGAGGUGGUGCGAGCUGAGGUUCUGAAGCUAUUUCAAGCAAGUAUUAUUUACCCCAUAUUUGAUAGCCCUUGGGUAAGUCCUACUCAAGUAGUCCCAAAGAAGUCAGGGAUCACGGUGGUUCAAAAUGAAAAGGGAGAAGAAGUUGCUACACGCCUCACUUCAGGUUGGAGGGUGUGUAUUGAUUAUAGAAAAUUGAAUGCUGUGACAAGGAAUGAUCAUUUUCCGUUGCCAUUUAUUGAUCAAGUGUUGGAGAGAGUCUCUGGCCACCCUUUCUAUUGUUUCUUGGACGGCUACUCCGGGUAUUUUCAAAUUGAAAUUGAUGUUGAAGAUCAGGAGAAUACCACUUUCACAUGUCCAUUUGGAACAUAUGCCUACAGAAGAAUGCCUUUUAGUUUAUGUAAUGCACCUGCAACAUUCCAACGAUGUAUGCUAAGUAUCUUCAGUGAUAUGGUGGAGCGAAUUAUGGAGUUUUUCAUGGAUGACAUCACCAUAUAUGGAGGUACAUUUGAAGAAUGCUUAGUCAACUUGGAAGCGGUUAUGAACAGAUGCAUUGAAAAGGACUUGGUGCUCAAUUGGGAGAAAUGUCAUUUUAUGGUACAACAAGAAAUUGUCUUUGACCAUAUCAUCUCCGAGAAAGGCAUUGAAGUUGAUAAAGCAAAGGUGGAACUUAUUGUCAAAUUGCCAUCCCCAACAACUGUAAAAGGAGUAAGGCAAUUCCUUGGCCAUGCAGGGUUCUAUAGGAGGUUUGUAAAAUAUUUCUCUAAGUUUUCAAAGCCUCUUUGUGAACUUUUGGCUAAGGAUGCUAAGUUUGUAUGGGAUGAGAGAUGUCAAAAGAGUUUUGAUCAACUGAAGUAAUUCUUGACAACGGAUCCAAUAGUGAGGGCUCCCAACUGGCAACUACCCUUUAAAGUGAUGUGUGAUGCUAGUGACUUUGCUAUAGGAGCUGUGCUUGGCCAAAGAGAAGAUGGAAAGCCCUAUGUGAUCUACUAUGCAAGCAAGACAUUAAACGAAGCAAAAAGGAACUACACAACCACAAAGAAAGAAUUGUUAGCUGUAGUGUUUGCCUUAGACAAGUUUCGUGCUUAUCUAGUAGGGUCUUUCAUCAUUGUUUUCACUGACCAUUCAGCCUUGAAGUAUUUAUUGACAAAGCAAGAUGCAAAAGCAAGGUUGGUUAGAUGGAUUCUCUUACUACAAGAGUUCAAUCUCCAAAUCAGAGAUAAGAAAGGAGUGGAGAAUGUGGUAGCUGACCACCUUUCAAGGUUGGCUAUAGCACACAAUUCCCAUGUCUUACCUAUUAAUGAUGACUUUCCAGAGGAAUCACUUAUGUUGCUAGAAAAAACUCCUUGGUAUGCUCAUAUUGCUAACUAUAUAGUUACUGGUGAAGUUCCAAGAGAGUGGAAAGCACAAGACAGGAAGCAUUUUUUUGCAAAGAUUCAUGCCUAUUAUUGGGAAGAGCCUUUUCUUUUCAAGUAUUGUGCAGAUCAAAUAAUAAGAAAGUGUGUCCCUGAAGAAGAGCAAUAAGGAAUCCUCAGCCAUUGCCAUGAGAGUGCAUGUAGAGGCCACUUUUCCUCCUAGAAAACAACCAUGAAGGUGUUGUAAUCAGAGUUUAGUUGGACAUCACUCUUCAAAGAUGCCCACACCAUGUGUAGGAGCUGUGAUAGAUGCCAAAGGCUUAGGAAGCUAACAAGAAGAAAUCAAAUGCCUAUGAACCCCAUUCUAAUAGUUGAUCUCUUUGAUGUUUGGGGCAUAGACUUCAUGAGACCUUUCCCAAUGUCUUUUAGUAACUCUUAUAUCUUGGUGAGGGUGGACUAUGUUUCUAAAUGGGUUGAGACAAUCCCUUGUAAACACAAUGAUCACAGGGUGGUUCUCAAGUUUCUUAAAGAGAACAUUUUCUCAAGAUUUGGGGUGCCCAAGGCUAUAACCAGUGAUGGAGGUACUCAUUUUUGCAACAAACCUUUUGAAACCCUAUUAGCCAAGUAUGGGGUGAAGCAUAAGGUAGCUACACCUUAUCACCCUCAGACUUCCGGGCAAAUUGAGCUAGCAAACAGGGAAAUCAAGAACAUAUUGAUGAAGGUGAUGAACAUGAGCAGAAGAGAUUGAUCUAUUAAGCUCCAUGAUUCACUAUGGGCAUAUAGAACAACUUACAAGACUAUUCUUGACAUGUCUCCUUAUCGCCUAGUUUAUGGCAAAGCAUGCCAUCUUCCUGUGGAAGUUGAAUAUAAGGCUUGAUGGGCAAUCAAGAAGGUAAACAUGGACUUGAUCAAAACUGGGGCAAAGAGGUGUUUAGACCUUAAUGAGAUGGAGGAAUUAAGAAAUGAUGCCUACAUCAAUUCCAAAGUUUCAAAAUAGAGGAUGAAGAGGUGGCAUGAUCAGUUAAUCUCCAACAAGGAAUUCCAGGAAGGACAAAGAGUCUUACUCUAUGACUCAAGGCUCCAUAUCUUUCCUGGGAAGUUGAAGUCAAGGUGGAUAGGCCCUUUCAUUAUUCACCAAGUGCAUCUCAAUGGAGUGGUGGAAUUACUGAAUUCCAACAGCACUGACACCUUUAAAGUCAAUGGCCAUCGUCUCAAACCAUUCAUCGAGCCAUUCAAGAGAGAUAAGGAGGAAAUCAACCUCCUUGAGCCACAGAAAUCCUAAUCAAAUAGGGGUUAGAUGGACUUGGUCUCACCAAAGUCCAUAUUUUUUGUUUAAUUUUGUUAAUUUAAUAGCUUUAUUAAUUGUUUUGAUUUUGAUCUUAGUCUUAAUUUAUGUUAUUUGUAUAUAACUUAGACUUUUUGAAUGAUCUAAUUGAGGAGGACUUGCAAAAGAGGUGAAGGAAGGUCUCAAAGAGCUAAAAGGAGCUUAGAAGUAAGAAAUUUCAGUUGUUUGCGAAAUUUCGCAGCCCAAAAUAGAUUCCUGCGAAAACGGCCAUCCUUUGCAAAAUAAUUUCGCAGCCACAAGGUGCCCGCUUCGAAAUUAAGGGUUUGCUGCGAAAUAGGCCCUCCUCUGUGAAACCAUUUCGCAGCCCCAUAGCCACACCUUGCGAAAAUUUUCGCAACUGCGAAACCCACCUUUGGCACACAAGUUCCAUUUCGCAGCUACGAAAACCUCUUCGAAACCACCAAGGCCCUCAAAAGCUCAUUUUCGCAGCCCAAGCCUCAUUUCGCAGUUGCGAAAACCCCUGCGAAACCCCUUUGGCACAUGAGUGCCAUUUCGCAGCCCCUCUCUUUUCGCAGCUACGAAAUGGGCUGCGAAAAUGGCCAUUGGCUGCGAAAAGGGGACUUCGCUGCGAAAUAACCCCUCAUCUGCGAAAAAUUCCAACCAUCACUUGGCUUCUAAUUUAACUUUUUAAAUUCCAAAUUUUCACUUUACACCGGUCAUUUGCCUUGUGAAAACCUCCAUUUGGUGCAAAAUAGAGGCCAAGCCAGAGUACCAUUUCUAGAGGACCUCCGUCUGAGCCCAAGCCGCGCGCAUCUCUGGCCACCCUCUCUCAAACCUCUCUAAAUCAGCCAUGGAAAAAACCCGAUGAGCCAAGACCUCAUCUCCUUCAGGCCGCCCCAGAGCACUGAGAGUGGCCCCUGUGUAAGGCUCCAUGACUAAGCCUUCACAGCCACUUGUCGUCCCACCUUCAGUAGAGGACGCACCAUUGAGUUCUCCUUCGAGGCGAUAUGAGACGAGAAAACCACCCACCACACCAGGGGCAAGCUCCUCUCUUGCCAAAAAGUCAAGUAGCCGUCCUCCUAAGAAGAAAGCAAGGAUAUCAGCUCUACUUGAGCCAUCAGAGCCUUCAUCCGAGCCUCAGCCACCUUAGCCACCUGCCAUAAAGUCUCAGAUUCCCUCUAGGAUGACUCCUGAGGUGGUUAUCAGGUGGCCCAUGGUCACUCAGUCACCCAUUGAGGGUAAUUUGGAUUGUCGGGCUAGGCCAUUCCACUCCGAGCUUUGCUUUGACAAAACUACCUUCAGGCUUCAGCCAGAGCUCAGAGAUUCCUUCCAUCUACUACAGAGAUACCAUAUGGAGUACCUGAUGACUCCUAGGGAUUUCUUCUAUCCCCGUGUAGCAUUAGACUUUUAUCAGUCUAUGACUACAUAUCGCGUUCGGGAUCCUACUGUCAUCCACUUCACCAUUUACGGACGCCAUGGUAUCCUGGGAACCAGACAUAUAGCAGAGGCCCUACGCAUUCCCUACGAGCCAGCACGUCCAGAGUGACAUGGUCCAUAUACUGUCCAGAGGAGCAUCCACACGUCCAUAUCUGUUGAGAAAGGAGCUCCCUCCCAGCAUGUUCUUUAUAGAUGCACUUCUGCGCUAUAACAUCUAUCCACUUCAGCAUAUGGUGCAGAGGAGAGGAACUUUGCUAAAGGUCUUAUUCAGGAUAUCAAAGGGAUUUUUCUUUGGCCCUCAUCAUCUCAUUAUGACCGCUUUUAUGUACUUUGAAAAGAAGGUCCAUAGGAAGAAGCUACUGAGAGAGGAUGUCAUUCCACUUCUAUUCCUGAGAUUGCUCUAUCAGAUUUUGGAGCACUUGGGAUAUCCAUCUGAGCCUCAGCUUGAGCGCAGACACAUUUGUUGAGAGAUAUUCACUCUCGACAAAUGGACUAGUAUGACAACUUAUGAUGUAGAGCCAGGAGCCCCAGCUGGACCAGAGCAUCCAGAGAUUCCACAUCCAUAGCAUUUAGAGGAGCCACAACUAGUUGAAAUACUUGCUGACAUGAGAGCACCUGCCUUUGAAGUGCCCUCUACAAGACUUAUGCUUGAGGUUGCACCCUCUGCUCCUCCUGCCACACCAGGGACUCUACCAGUUGUACCAACUACAUCAGAGCCUCCUUCUCCAUCUGAGUCUAGGAUAGCCAUAUCCAUUUCCGAGUUCAGAGGCCUAUGUCACACUUUGCAGACAUUGAUCACUUCUCAAAGCAUCCUGACUCAACAAAUGACAGCCAUACGUGCCCAUCAGGAUCAGCUUAUCGCCACCUAUACCCAGCAUACUGCCAUCCUUAGGCAGAUACAGCAGCAUCUGGGAGGUACCACUUUCUCUCUGUAAUUUCAAUCGCUCUUGCCACAUUGAGGACAAUGUUUAGCUUGGUUGGGGGGAAGAGAGUUGAGGAAGGAAGUUUUUAUUUUAAAUGCUAAGUUAUUUUGGUAAUUUAGUUGUUAAUGCUUAAUUUAAAAAAAAAAAUUAUAGUUUUUAUUCUACUCUCCAUGGUUAUUAAGGAAAAAUUCUCAAAAUAAAAUGAGAGAAAUUGAAUUUUUGUUUUUCACUUGACUUAGAGUUUGUAUUAUGCUUACUAAAGUUGAUAAAUUGUUGAAACUUCUAUUGAAUUCAACCUUAGUUCUUCCACUUUAAGCUAUUCACACAUUGUGCACAAUAGGUUCCGAGUAUAAGAUGAAAAACUAUUUCCCUCUUGACUUAGGAAAAUUUUAGACUUGGUACCUUUGACCUCAAUUAAUAGUGUUGGGACACCUUAUAAAAGGCCAAUGAGCCUUUGGAAAAAAAAGAAAAAAGAAAAAUGUUUGCUUACCUUGAAACUUGAGCAAGGUCUGAAGGAUAUAUGGUGAAAAUCUUUAAAACCUGGUGCCCUAAGCCUUAAUUGGUUGGAAGUCACCGACCUCAAUGCUCGUUACAAGGGUGAAUAGGUGGAGUUUAACAUACUGUAGGUGCUUGGGUAUUAAAAAUUCAUUCUCAAAAGUCUGGGAUAAAAUCCGAGGAGUUAGUGGUUGAAAGAUCCUUAAAGCUUGAUGCCCUAAGCCUUAAUUGGUUGGGAGUCAUCGAUGGACCCCCAUUACAUGGAAAAUUUAGAAAAGGAUACCUUUAAGCCUUGUACUCCUACAAUGAAAAAAAUUGUGAAACAAAAGGGUGCGUUCUUAGCCUAUUGAAUUUUGUCAGUUUGCUAAGUGUUGAAAAAAAACUAGGUUGGGGGGAGAGAUUAGUUUAGCAUACUAUAUUCAGAAACUAUCAAGUAACACUUAGAUUUUUGUGGAAGAGUAAGGAUUGGACCUUUGAAAGUGGAAACAAUUUUAAAGCUUCAAUUUGCAUAAUGUCUUCUCUUUAUGAAUUGUGAUUAGGCAAGGUAUUUGAUAACUCUUGUUGAAAUUUGAGUUUUAUAUCUUUAAUGUUCCAUGUGAGAGUUAGAUCAUCAUGCCACUUAAAAUUUUUUUGAAGUGAUCAGUAUGAUUUUGUAAAUUAUAUUACUGUUUAUUUUACUUUUUCUCCCCUUCAUUGCUAAGGGACUAGCAAUAUGUCGGUUGUGGGGAGUGAUUACUACUCAAAAAGUGUUAUUUUGUAGCUUGUAAUUAACUCUUUUAAACAUUUUUGAGUAGUAGUUAUUACCUUUUAACUCAAUUGGCAUGUUAAGGACCCUUGUAAUCGUUUUUAAUCAAAUUGUGUUAAGUUUUGGUGUUUUUGAUAGUAUUUUGAUCACCAAAGCAAUCCAAGAUUGAGGAGAUUUAUAUAGAAUCCAUGUCAAAUCAAUUGGAAGCUCAUUUACAUGAAGAAUCCAAGCUUUGAAGCUUCAUAGUCAUUUGCCAAAAGCAAAUCAUGAAUACAAGGAGGGAAAGAAAAGAGAAAAAUCUAACAUGAAGAAUUCAAGAGGAUAGCAAUUGUUGGACAUAUUUAGAGCACUUUCUGGAGUCCAUUUCAUGCAUACUAUAUGUCGUUUGGAAGCUCAGGAAGUCAGGAAUCCAGGCUUUAAACAAUACACAAAUCGGAGUUGAAAUGAAAAAGUUAUAGCCAUUGGAAGCCAAUCAUACCAAGUUGAAGGCCAAUUUCGCAGCUGCGAAAUCACAAGGUGCUCGCUGCGAAAUCAACAUUUGGCUGCAAAAUGAAGACCUUCAGCUUGCGAAAUUUCACAGCCCAUCUUGCAUGCCUACGAAAUCCACCUGAGUGCUUCCAGAUAUUUGCGACCGACUCUUUUAGAUUUUUUCUUCAGAUAUUUGUUGUUUAAAUCCCCAUUUUCUCCUUGUAAUCUACCAAUCAUAGGAUUCCUUAGUUAAUAAGUAAGAACAAAGGGUGAAUAACCUCAUAUAUAUAGUUUGUAAUUUUCUUUACAAAAUCAUCUUGGGAGCUUGUUCUCAGAGACAACCGUUUGUAUAGUUUUGAAGGAAGUAAUAAACAGAGCUUUGCUCUGCCUUACAUACUCACUUUGAUUGUAUUUUUCUUAUUAGUCAAACAAGCUAUAAGGAUGUUUUCUCAGAGAAUGAGUGGCUAGACUUUUUGUCUCUUGGAGUUAAGGGAGCUGGGUAAGGUGCCGAAUGCAAGAAUUGGAAGUUUUGUUGUUUCAGCUUUUAAUGAAGAGAAAGUGUGACCCGUUAAUGGUUUUUAUCUUUUUAGUUAACUUAAAACGCCGUUAAAUCACCUGGGCCAACACUUGGUAAGGCAAGUGAUCUCCGUCCAUUGAGAUGCACUAGUUUAUCUCUUGCGAGCCUUUGAGAGGUGGUUUAAAGGUAGGAUUUUCUAGAAUAGCCAACACUUGGUAAACUUUUGGACUCUAAGGAGACAUUCAUUAGUUAUUUCUUGCGAGCUUAAGAAGGGAAAUCCAAGGUUAAGGAUCACCUUGAAUGGCUAAUACUAGGUGAGAGGUAUGAACCAUUGCAAGAUGAAUCAGUGAGAGGGAUUUAGUGUUGGAAUCCAUAAAAGGAAAGCAUCUGUACCACACCGGUUAGAGAAAUAACUAUAUGUUAAUUCUCCAAUGCGAGAAAAAGAUUCAAGUGACCGAAACUCUGUUUUUGUAUUAGGAACCUGACCCUAGUGAUCCUAAAACUCCAAGAAACGCUUUUCUUUAUUAGUAAUUUCAGUUACUAUUAUUUUUGGUUAGCUUAAAACCAAUCCUUUUUCAACCAAAGAUUAUGUUUUCUUUUAAAGCUAACCUUGAAAUGAAAAAACAUCAAUUCAACUUUGAAUUUAUGUCAAUAGUAAGUUGAAAACCCUUCCCAGUGAACGAUCUUAGAGCCACUAUGCUAUACUAGCUGAGGCUAUCCUAGUACAUGGUGAUAUAGGUUAUAAAUUUUGUUGAUUACUCCUGUCUGAGGACCAAAAUCAAGGUACACCAGCUAGGCACGAAAAUCAUAUGGUAUAUUGAUGCACACAGUUUGUGGCACGACAGUUUGAUGAAAUUAUAGAAGUGUAGCACUCAUGGGCAUAUCAUGUGAACCUUAUUCAAUGUGGCAUUGACAGUUGGUUUAUAUUUACAUGGGUGUAAUGUCGCACCAGUAUCCUCUAAUGAACCUUGGAUUCUUUUUUCUUUGUUUCUUCCUCUCUUGGUCAAGCCAAACAAUUUAUCUUCAUGACUUUCUCCUAUUACCAAAAAGCAGCAUCUUGUGUUCUCCAUCUCUUCAUCCCUUUGUCAAGACACAACAAUUUGAUGCAUCUUUGCAUUAGGUUGCUUUCUCUCCUUCCCCUCUUCUUUCUCCUCGUCUCAUUGCUUAGUUUUGGCUACUUUGUUUCUUUUGAUCAUUAUGGUAGAGCAUCCUUGCAAGAUGUACAAGAAAUAUGUUGUGGUGCAUUAUCCCCUUCUCUACCACUUGAAAUCUGUUUUCCAUGAUCAUUAAUACCAAGAUGUUUAAGCAUCAAGUAAGGCAUCUCUUGACAAUUAUGCGAGAAAUAAGAGACAAGCAACAUACCGGUAUUCAAGAGAAGUGAUGUUCUACAUUUGCAUUUGACAACAUGCAUUUAGUUUGAACUCCAAAUUUGGGCAACUCAGAAUCUCCACCUUCAUUAGGAUUGUAGAAAGUUAGCUUCUUGGAAAAAUGUGGAAAUGAGGCAUUUAGAAAUCUGAAAGAAUCACAAUGGCUUGUUGCUACUUUUGAAUAAUUCCAAUCAGUAACAACUCCAAAGAUAUAUAUAUAUAAAUCUGUCCCUGGGAAAGAGAUCGAUGUUUCUUAGGCAUGCAACCAUCUCUCUUAACAAACUCAGGGUUCUACUAUUGUGUCACGUUUGAAAGCAAUUUAAUCUAUGUUAGAAGUUUUUUUUUAAUUUAUUCCAUUUUUCUUUUAGUUUUGAAACUUACAAUUAUACAUUGUAAGGUUUCAAGUUUAUCUAGAGAUAUAAAAAGUUGGAGUCGAUGUCUUAGUGGUAGGUUUCAUAAGAAAUGUAGUUAUUCUAUGAAUAUAACUUUGGAUUCUAAUUUUUUAACUUUCUAAUAUUGUAGCUCUUUAGUAGGUCUCAUAGAAAAUGAAAGUUGUGGAAAAGUAUAAUAUGGACUCAAUUUUUUAUUUAUGAGGUGUUGUUACAACACCAUUAAGUAAUUACCUUGAAAAUGAUAUGUUGUUGCAUUGAAAGUAAUAUUAAAUUUAAUGGAGAGAUAUCUAAAUAAAAAUAUCACCUAAUUUUUAAAACAAUAUUAUGAUCUUACUAUUAUGUCAUGCUAGAAAACAAUUUAGUUAUUUUGUGUUAGCAUUUUUUUUAUACAUUAUAUUUUUCUUUUUGUUUUGAAGCUUGCAAUUGCAAAUUGUAAGGUUUCAAGUUCAUUCGAAAAUAUGAAUAGUCGAAGUCAAUGUCUCAGUGAUAGCCAGUAGGUUUCAUAAGAAAAGGAAUUAUUCUAUGAAUAUACCUUUGUGUGGACCCCGCAUUUCGGCUCAAUGCGUUUCCCACUUGAAUGACGAACUCGAUUUUUAUUUGAAAAAUGAUUUUUAUUGAUUAUUUAAAAAUGACUUGGAGUCACCACUUAUUUUUGUUUUAUUUUUAACAGGGUAAACAAAAUAAGAAAGAAAACCCUAAGUGCGACUCCUUAUUUUGGAAAAGGUGAUCUACGAAAAACUGGAUCAGGUUCGGGGGUCAGGUUACUUAUCGGGAAGGUACGGUAAAGACCGUAGUACCCCUCUAAGUCCCUAAGUCAGGUCUCUACUAAUGAGAUGAAGUUGACAUGACAAUCAAUGGGAAAAUCAAUAAAUACUCGAAUCAAUCAGGCACAUAUGAGAGUCAGAGAAUGCAUAUAAACUAACCAGAGUGGGAAUGAGUGUGUACCUGAGCAGCGAGCCACUAUGCGCUAUCAAGAGAGAGGGUUAGUGCAAAACAAAGAGCAUAAACAUAGCUCACAUGUCACUAAAUCGAGUACAAAAUCAUCAAAGGCAUGCAUGGCACUUCACUCAAAAUUCAUUUUUAUUUUAAAGAAAAUUUAUUUGAUGUUGGGCCCCCACCAAAGCCCAUUUAUUUUGCAUGAACCAAAUAUGUAAAUUCCAUAACUAGGAAUUACAAAAUUUGAUUUUUGCGUAUUUUAAAAUAUUUUUAAAAACAAAGAAAAUUCAAAAGUGGCUUGCAGGAAAGAAAAUGACAACCAAUUUUAUAUAAAUAAAAAAAAACGGAAUUUUUCGGAACCUAAAAAAAAUGCUAAGGGUAAAAAUGAGAGAAUUGAAAUCCGGAAAUUUAUUUGAAGAAUAUUAUUUGGGAAGAGAAACACUUUAAAAAUUAAAGAUGGUGAACCUGAGGGUGACACACGGCCUAGAGUGACCAUUCAGACCAUGCAAGGGUGGAUAUAGGCUGUCAUUAAGGAGAAAGAUCCUCAGCUGGGUGCAAUUGUGUUGAGAUUCCUCUAUUGACGCUGGGAAUGCCCUCAUUUAAUGAGGAGAAAUCUCAAUGUGAAGUCAGCUCAUCUUCAGUGGAAACACAUCAUGAAGACCUCUGGUAGCUUAGGGUCCUUUUAACUGUGCGCUUUCUGAAGUUCCAAUCAUCAUCGAAUGACCAAUAAAGCUCUCCUCCAUGGAUGCAUAAAGUGGUCAUUCAACAUCCACCUUCACCUUAGCCCCACAGCAACCCUUCAUCUCCUAUGCCUCCAUCUUUACUUUUCUUGAACAGCAUGUACCUCCCUACUGCAACCCAGCACUACCAAGCUUUGAUCCUCUCUCCAAAAACUCAGAGUUCUCCUUCCAAACCUCUCCAUUUGCAUACACCUCCUUCUCCCAUAUCGGAACUGGUGCCUUAAUUUCAUCAAUCACAAACUUACAAGCGUCCAAUGCAUCUGCGCGGUGGACAGAAGAGAUUGCAAUGAAGACGCUGGUUUCCCCCACUGGAACUGGGCCCAAGCGGUGCGCAACUGCAAUGGAGAGGAGGCUCCAGGAUGCGCGGGCGGAUGAACAAAUGUCGUUGAUGCAGAGGAUGGCCAUCGGAACAUAAGCUUCACAUCUCAACUCCAGAACUGUUUUACCAUCAAACGUGUCCCGAGUCGUGCCUGGAAAGUUGCUACAGCGCCUGCCUUGCUCCUCAAAGAAGCAGAUCCAGCAAGUAUUGCUCCUUUCCUUGGAUACAUGUUGAAGACUCUAGCACAUUCAGUGCUUGUUAUCCGGACAUAAUCAAUGACUGAGACUUGGCCAAACCCCACCAUUGUGUCUCAAACUAGAUGCAUCCUCUCCUCAAUACCAUUAACACCAUUAGGAAUUGUUCGGAAAUCAUUAAUUCCAAAAGCUUUCUGUGUGGAAUUGAAGGCACAAUGAUCAGUCCCUACAAGCUGUAGAUUUCCAGUUGAAAGAGCAGCUUGAAGGGCCUUGUCAUGUCCCGAUGCUCUAAUAGGGGGACUCAUUACAUACUUUGCUGCGUUGAUGAAGUCAAGAUCCUAGAGCCCAGAAUCAUCAGGGACUAACCCAGGAACUACUGGCUCUCCCAUAACCCUCUGUCCUGAUUUUCGAGCUUCAGCUAUUUCUUUCAUCGCAUCAAUGCCCAUCACAUGAACUACAUAGAGAGGCGUGUUAGCAAAACUGGCCCACCGAAUAGCUCUAGCAGUUGCCUAGCAGUGGUUGCUUUGGAUGCAUCCCGGAGGGAUUAUCACGACAAAAAAGAGAACACGUGGCAGUUAUAUUGGGUGAGUCAGAAGUUCCAUGGCUUGAAGCUGCAACUGGGUGGAAGAUUUGAUCUGACACAAGUGCAUUUCAUACAGAAGCAGGAGGUGGCGUGGCUUGUAUGCUAGAAGACACCAUGUGCCCCUACAUAUUCUGACGCAACCUGGAGAUCCUCACUGGACAAAACUGCUUCAAUCCCAGUGAGAGGCAAGUCCGUCGCCCCUUCUUGAAAUUUAGUCAUGUCCUUGUAUCGACUAGCAAGGUGCUGCCUAACUGUAUCUGUUGAAAGCUAAACUGCCUCAGCCAUCAAAUAACUAGAAGGAAGCUCUAGAUAUAGAGCAAUGCAGAUUCAAGUGCUGUGGAUGAGUUCCUCGAGAGUCUACCACAACGCCACAUACAUGAAGCAACCUCAAGUUUAUCAACAGUCAUCAGCAUAUUUCAGCAAACCAAGAGCUGUACUUGUAGAUAGGGUAUUGACACACACGAAAUUCAAGAAUUCCACGAGAGCAGCUUCCUUAGAGGCGUCAAUUCAUAAAGUCACAUGCUUCUGCUCUGACUCCCAUAAAUUCUCGCUUUUUUUAUUCAUCAGAUAUAUGUGAAUAACGUACCUAGGGCCACCCGAUGAGCUGCUAUAGUUGCUGUUAUAGAUGAUAUGACAUUUGACGUUUAUGGGCCUCGGAGACUUGAGUACUUAGCUUUCACCAUACUUCGCGAAUCCUCAUCACUUGAGAACCUCUCAUCAUCAACCUUGCCUUUGGGAAGAUGACCUCCAGUGCAUGCAAGGCGGGGGGAUAAAUAAGAGAGGUGGUACGAUAGGAUGAGUUUAGUGGGAUGAAGAGAGAGAGAAGGUGGCGGGAUGAAAUGGGCAGUGAGUAUGGAUGUCGCAGCUGAGUUUGGUACCCAGAUGGACUAAGUUGGCAGUGAGGUGGUGACGGCGGAGGCGUUUCGCCGCCGGCGGCUUCGUUCGAGGACAACUUCUCAAUUCCUCAAUCAACCCACUUUAAAGCAUCAAGAGUAAUGGAGCACUUGUCUUCUUGAUCCCAACACACAAUAUCCCAGUGACAAUGAAAACCAGAAUUGUUGUGCAUGGAUUAACCACAAUACCAAGCCAAGAACAGGUAGCUUAUCCUCGCCUCCAAAAAUAAAGCCAGAUUCAGAAAUAUGUCACGAGCAACAACUGAGCUAUCAAUUAUGUAUUCCAAUAUUAAUGCCCAACCAAUCAACCAAGCGAUGCCUUCUCCCACACCUAUGUACAAAUAAUGAUAGGCUCUACCAACAGAUGAACAAUGUCAUGCAAGCCCUGCACAACAAAAAUGUGGAGAGCACAGCAGCCGAGAAUACUUCCUUUGUACCCUUCAGCUCAUUUUCUGCUUGAACAAUUCCUCCUCCUCUCAUCCUCAGAUGAUCUCUCUUCUUUCAAAGGUAUCUCUUCUCUCAAAAUCCAUAUAAUUAACAAGAUCCAGGAACAGGGGUGGCCUCAACCAUUAAAAAAAUGCAUGAAAACAGGGCACAAAGGGAAACAAAUAAAAAGGUCCUCAAAGAAGGCUUCACAUCAUGAGUUUUCCGGGAACCUUCUCGGGUUAGGGUGAGGAAUACAGUAUCGAAUGCAAAUAAAUGACAGGACUCUUGGAUAUUUCACAAUCAGAGACAAAGCAUACCAAGGCUAACAAUAUGAAUCCAAGACUAUAUCUCAACAAGGAAUAGGUGGCCUUCAUUAUCCACCUCAAGCAAGACAACUAACACUCAAAUAUCAAUAAAAAAACGGGUAGGAAUAAUAAGAAUGUGAAUCAAACCAUAUAUCAGUUGCAUCCAUACCUGAAAAUGCCCUUCUGCAGUAGGGUCUUGUUAGCCUCCCCAGCUCCAGGAAAGGCUCCUCCUCCCUCCCAAGCUCUCUGUUCUCUCUGGAAAACUCUCACUCUCUGGUUCUUUCUCUCUCAAGUUCCCCUUUUCUCAAGUUCACCGUCCCCCCAGAAACUCUCCUCUCUCUAAAAAAAAAACUCCCUCUCUCAUAAUCUCCUCCUGCUGAAAAGGCACCCCCCCUGUUCCUCUAGCUGGCCUGCUGCUCCUCAACAGAAACGUACCUCCUCUCUAACGGCCAGAAUAUCUCCAUGCCACGUGUCAAACUCUCACUCGCUCCUCAAUUCCACCAUCUGUUUCUAUGACCACCAACCACGAGGCGACACGUGGCUCCUUGAGAGCCCUCCACCUGCAAAGAAUUAUAACCUGUAGAGAUGCAAAGGAAUGAGCCCCAAAUGGGGUCUACACUUUGAAUUCCAAUUUUUGAACUUUCUAAUAUCUUAGUUCAUUAGUGGGUCCCAUAGAAAAUAAAAGUUGUGGAAAAGUAUAAUGUGGACUCAAUUUUGACUUAUGAAGUGAUGCUACAACACCUUCAAGUAAUUACAUUGAAAAUAAUAUUAAAUUUAAUGGAGAUAUAUCAAACAAAAUUAUCACCCAUUUUUAAAACAAUAUUAUGAUCUUGCUAUUGUUUUACGUUCAAAAGCAAUUUAAUUAUGUUGUGUCAGAAUUUUUUUUAUUUAUUAUUUUUUAUUCCAUUUUUCUUUUAGUUUUGAAGCCUGCAAUUGUAUAAUUUUUUAACUUUCUAAUACUAUAGCUCAUUGGUAGGUCUCAUAGAAAAUGAAAGUUAUGAAUAAGUAUAAUGUUGACUCAAGUUUUGAUUUAUGAGGUGAUGUUACAACAUUGUCAAGUAAUUACCUUGAAAAUAAUAGGUCAUUGCAUUGAAAGUAAUAUUAAAUUUAAUGGAGAGAUAUCUAAUAAAAAUAUCACCUAAUUUUUAAAAUAAUGUUAUGAUCUUAUUAUUGUGUCACGUCGGAAAGCAAUUUAAUUUAGCAUUUUUUAAUAUAUCCCAUUUUUCUUUUAGUGUUGAAGCUGGCAAUAUCUCAGUGGUAGCUAGUAGGUUUCAUAAGAAAAGAAAUUAUACUAUUAAUAUACCUUUGGAUUUCAAUUUUUGAACAUUUCUAAUGUCUUACUUCAUUAGUGCAUCUCAUAGAAAAUGAAAGUUACAAAGUAUAAUGUGGACUGAAUUUUUUACUUCCUUCAAGUAGUUACUUGAAAGUGAUAUAUUAUUGUAUUUUAAAAUAACAUUAAAUUUGAUGGAGAGAUAAUUAACAAAAUAUCACUCAUCUUUUAAAACAAUAUCAUUAUCAAGUUGGAAAGAAAUUUAUGUUGGUGUUAGAAUGUUUUUAUAAUUUAUUUAUUUAUUGUUUGCAGACGGUAAGGUUUCAAGUUCCUUUAAAAAUGUGAACAAUAAUUAAGAAUUAGAAAUUUUGAAACAUUAAAUGUAUGGUUAAAGCUAUGCUUAGAUGGUUGAAAUUGCUUUAAAAAAAAAAGUUCAAAUUUUAUUUGAUUAUCUUAAAAAAAUAUGAAAAAUAAAUAAAUAUAAUGAAAAUUGUUUAGAGUUUUAUAUUCUUUUUAAUAUUCGUCCUUUACAGAAAAGAUUAAAAUUAAACAAAUAAAUUUUUAUGAGUUUGUGAAAUAUAUUAAAACUAGAGUUUAUUUUUUGUUUUUUCUUUCCUUUCGUAAUUUUUCUUCCCAAUCUUUCCCACUUCGUCCAAACUUUCCAAGAUCUAAACUUUGUACAUGUUCUCUUCUUUUCAAUUAAAAAUUUUUAAAUUUUCAAAUUCAAAUUCCAAGACAAGCUAAUAAAACCCUAAAAUUAAUAUUAAAUACUAAGUGAAUUAAGUCAAGUUGGUAGCUAAAUUGAAUCUAAUCCGAAUUACUUAACCUAAACUCAAGUCAAACUCAUUUUUAUAAGCUGAAGUUAGGUUUAAAUUAACUAGGUUAUACUUUUGGUUCAAUUGAAUUGAUUAGACUCUAUGGAUCAGAAUUAGGGUUUGCAAGGUUGAGUUAGAUUGAACCUAUUCAUAAUUUUUUUUGUUUAACUUCUUUUAUAUCAUAAUUUAAAUAAUAAAUAUGAUAAAAUUAAUUAAAAAUAAUAACAAAAGAAAAGAAUCACCUUAGAAUCACUCUAAUUUCAAAUUGAGGUUUCCUAGCUACCUCAAAAUUUUAAAUUUAAAAAAAAAAAUAUUUUUAAGUGCAUAAACUAAAUCUAUAGUUUUUUUUGUAGGAGUUUUUAUAUUCCAUAUAAAAGUUUUUACAUAGAGACAAGUAAUAAAUAUAUCUUGUUUUUUCAAUAAGUUUAUGACCCUGAUCGGAUACAAACAUUAUAGUGGGAUGAAUGCAUCUUCACUAGAGUUAUGUCUUGACUCCUAACAUAAUUUUAGAAUUUUUAAGGAAAACGACAAGGAAACCUUAUGAUAAGUGCCUUUUAUUUAGGUAUGGUGGAUAAAGUGAUACCAUUUGUUAGUUGUUUUAUUUAUGUAUUUAUUUAUGGAUUUAAUUGAAUAUAAUUUGUGUUUGAUUCAAAUUUGUGAUGAUCUAUAUAAUUCAUUUAAUAAAUGAAUUGUUUUUUUGGUUAAUUUGCAUAAUACGACUCAAAUUGACUUAUUUAAUAAUUAUAUUAAUUGAUCAAAUUAUAUUUUUAACUUAUUUAACUCAUCUAAAAUUUGAUGUUUGAUAAGUCAUAAUUGAGUUAUAAACAUGUUAGGUUAAGACGUUAAUCAUAUAAUAUCAUACAAUAUUUAAUUUGAUUUUAUUAUUAAAUAUAAUGAAAAUUAUGAAAAUUUUCAUGGAUGAACUUCUCGUAGGAGAAAACUAUGAAAAAGAUAAAAAGUACUAGAGGUGGAAAAUAAGACUUUAGAAAAAAUUAUUAGUGUGAGAUAACAUACACCAACUUUAAAGUGUAGCAAUUAUUGUAUUUUGGACAACCAUGCUAAUGGGGUCAUGUUAUCUUCAUGCCGACUACAACUUUAAAAUUUAGCAAUUAUUGUACUUUCGAUAGCUAUGUUAAUGGGACCAUGUCAACCCCAUCCAACCCAUCUUGAUUACUUAAGUUAUACCCAUCCUAUACUAUUUAAAAUUUUCUAUAUCCUUUUUAUUAUUCUAAACCUUAAUUUUAUUAAAAUAAAUAUAAUUUAUGACUAAAUAAAUUGGUUUUCAUAAAUUUUACAUUUUUAUGUGAUAAAAAGUAAAUUUGUAAUUUUAUUUUAAACAUGUUCAAAAAGUGGAAAUGAAAAAAAAGAAAGAAAAAGAAAACUAAAGACUCGUUUUACUAUGAUUUUUGAAAAUUAUUUUUAAAAAUUGUUUUUUAUUCUUUAAUUGAAAAAUAAAUUUUAAAAACAAGUUUCAGAAAAUAUGAUCAAAGAGCUCAUAUUUUCCUUUUGUUUUUAAAAAUUGAUGAAAACAACACCUACUUGUUUUUCUAAAAAUUGUUAUUUAUUUAAUUUAAUUUUUAAAAAUUGUUUCAAGAGAACAACCAAAUGAGGUGUUAGAAAAUUUUUUAAACAGAUAUUUGUUUUUAAGAAACAGCUUUAUAUAAUUAUGUAUCAUCAUUAUACAUAAAUGAGGUGGAGCAGGACAAUACUCAACCUCCUACCAAAACCAAGCCGAGUUUAAAAAAGAAUACUCCAAUCCUUCCCUCAUAUUUUUUAAACCUCUCAUAAGCCCAUCCCUAGUUGUCAACUCUAACUUUUACUAUAAAAAUAAUAAAUAAAUAAAAAAUCUAUCGUAUACCAUAAAAAAAAAAAGGAAACUGUAGUAUUAAAUAAACAUUUUUCUUUCAAGAAUCAUCUUCUUUUUUUAAUUAUAUAUCUUAUAACUACAAAUAUUUUCAAAUUACAUUUUUGGUUUGUAUCUAAACAUUAACCACUAUCAAUGGAAGCAUUACACGCUAAAAAUACAUUUAUGAGAAUUAAUUCCAUAAGUUCUAUUUAUCAAGUUUUUAUUUGCUUUUUUAUACUAUAAUCUUCAUAAUUGUGUGAUUCAUAUUUCUAAAGCAAACUAACAAACCUAUUACGUGUAAUCUAAUAAGUUACAUUUCUACAUUUUUUCAUCAUUACACACUUAUGUUCUCGUGAUAUAAUCUCUCAUUGCUAGGUUUCAUAAGAAAAUGAAUUAUUCUAUGAAAAUGACUUUGGAUUCCAAAAUUUGAACUUUGUAAUGCCUUAUCUCAGUGGUGGGUCUCAUAGAAAAUGAAAGUUGUGGAAAAAUAAAAUGUGCACAUAAUUUCUAAUAAACUUGGACUUUUGGCUUCAAGCACCCUUUAUAAUCUUCAAGAGAUACCCCACUCUUGAACAACCUCUCAAGUGAUACCCCACACUUGAGAAUCUUCCUCUCAAAGAUAUACAAAUAAUUGAUCUCGCAAAAUCCUAGUACAAAAACUUUAAGCUCAAAUGAUACAAGAAAACUAAGAUUGAAAGGUGCACUAAUGAUAUGCAAGUUUUAGAACAAUGGUGCACUCAAAACACUCUUCCAAGACUCAAAUAUAUUCAAGAAAGGUUUGGGAAGGUUUAGUUCCUGAACAAUGAAGAUUUGAAGCCUUUUUAUAGAGGAGAAAAGCCAAACUAGUCGUUGGGGGUUCGACCGGUUGAACUGGGGGUCGACCGGUUGACUAGCCGUUAGCAUUUAAUGUUUGGCACGUGACCGUUAGACCUCGACCAAACCUCGACUGGUUGAGGUGUGGGUCGAAUGGUUCCUCAUUCGGUUGAAUAACCAUUCUAGAAGAGAGAGAAGGUUUUUUACACCCGUCAAUUGGUUGAGCUAGCGAUCGACCAAUUAUUGUUCACACCCUUGACCAGUUGAACUGGGGGUCAACCUGCUCCUAGACCAGUUGAGCUGGCGGUCGACCGGUUCCUCAUUUGGUUCAACCGAUUGAGCCGUUUUUGGCUCAACAACUAACUUUUUCAACUUAAAACAUUUUAAACAAGUUUGAAAAACAUUUGACACAAGGUUUUAGUUGAAAACAUGAAAUCAUCCAAUUUUAAAAUAUUUAAAGCAAAAUAACUCUUAGAUGAUUUUGGUGCAUAAGUAAAUAAUGUAAUACAUGAAAAUCCUAGUGCACCAAUAACCUUUCAAAGAGAUAUUAUGAAGCUUGGGUCUUGAAAAACACUUCUCUUUGAGGUGGUCUUCUUCUUCAUGAUUUCUUUUUGGCUUGAUUUGUCUUUGUGAUUGUCACUUUGGAAAUCGUUUUACCUAAUCACACUUGAAAUAUAAUCAUUAGUUCUAAACUUUCUUUUGUUAUCAUCAAAAUCGAGAUUAACCAGAUAUUGGUUUCACAAAUAUGACAAACUAUAUAUAUAUAUAUAUAUAUAUCAAUUUUAAAAAAUAAAAAUAAAAAAAAAAUCUAUUUUUUACUUCUUAUAUAAUUUUUUAGAAUUUGUCUUAAUAUUUUAUUAUUUUUUACUUAAUCGAUAUUUUGUGUCAAAAUAUCCAUCAAUAUAUCUCCUAUAUAUUUGAUAUAUCCGUAAAAUCAAAGUACCAAUAUAUUUGUAAUUAUCGAUAUUUUCAUCAUUGAGUUCAUUGCAUGGUCUCUGUGUUCUAUUAUCUAUUGGAAAUGCUUCUCAUUAUAUGUUUUCAAAUGUAUUGGUUUCUACUAACUAUGAUAUAUGCAAAGACGUUAGCUGAGGAGGCUUCUUGGAAGUUUGCAAAAGUGAAUGGGAUUGACAUGGUUACAAUACAUCCAGAGUGGGUGAUUGGUCCUCUCAUAGAGCCUACUCUUAAUCUAAGUGUGGAGGAAGUCUGAAGCUACUAAAAGGUACCCUUCAGCAAUGGAUGAGAAUCUCUAUUUUAUGCUGAUCUUUCUACUUCAAUAUCAAUUUAUACUCAUAAUAAGUAGAUAAAAUGUAAUUAAAAAAUCAACAUUAUUUUCUAUUUUUAAAUUAUAAAUAAAAAAAUUAUAUUAAUAAUUCAAAAACUAUUUUGGAAAAUACUUUCUAAAAAAAUGUUCAUAAAUAAAAAUUAUCUUUUACAUUUUAGAAGUAAAUAAUUUAAUGAUUAAAACACUAUUUAAAAUAAAUAUAUUCACUAUUUUCUUUUCUUUUAUACAAAAAAGUAUUUUAAUAUUUUUUUACUAUUAUAAAAUAAAAGGUUUAAUUUUUUUUUGUUAAAUUUUUUUCCGUCCUUAUUUUAAUAACUUUUUGAACAUGACUUUUAGUAAUAAGUUAUAUAAAAUGUUGCUAAGGAUUUUCUUUUAAUGAUUUGAAUUAAUUGAAAAUUUAUCAAAAUAAGAAAAAUAAAAAGAAAGAAAGAUGAUGGAUGGAGAGUUUUAUUUUAAAUAUCCAAUUAAAUUUUUUUCCUAUGACCAAAUUUUAGAAAUGAAUUAUAUCAAUAUAGAGUAGAAAUUGAAAUUUUCUUAUAUAAAAUGGUUGAAAGAUAUAUUUACUCAUUUUAUAUGAAAAUAAGUAGUUAAAAAUUAUAUAGUUAUGUUUGACUUUGGUUUAAAAAUAUUUUUCUAGUUUUUAUUUUUUAAACUAAUUUUUGUUUUCUAUAUUGUCUCUUUUUGAAAAUACGUUUGAUUACAAAAUGAAAGCUAUUUUUAAAAAUAAAAAUUAAAAGCCUUAUUUAGUACUAUUGUUUUAUAUGAAAAUAAUAAAAAGAAUUAAAUUUCAUUUAUUGAUUCUUUUUUUUCUUUCUAUUAGUUGUUUUAAUAAUAAAAUAAAAUAUAUAUAAUAUGUUCAAAAUUAAACAAAGGAAUUGGUCAAUUGUGUAAUUUUUUCUCAAAAAUAUAAUAUAUUCACAAAAAAAAAAAUUAGAUUUAAGUUUUUCACAAUUUUCUCAACCAAACUACUGGAAUCAUGUUUAAUACACCUAUAGGCACACAUUCACUACAUGAUAUGGAAUUUGUGUAAUUAUACAAGGGUAUUCACUAACUGUACAAGGGGUAUACAAGACUACCUUUUGUGAAAGAUUUCAAUCAAUUUUGAACCACCUUUUUAUUUUCCUUGUCACCCAGAGAUUGCAUACUCAUGUCAUGCACUUUAUUUAAUUUCUACAUGAAAAUUUCAAUACUUUCCCCAAUAAUGAUGUUUGGGGAAAAAAAAUUUGAUCCUGAAUCAUAUGCCAUUUUCUCAAGUAAAUUAUUAGAAAAAUGGUUGAUACACUUAUGUGGACACAUGACUUAGGAAGGAUAUGGAAUUUGUACCACUGUAUAAUGGUAUUACACUAACUGUACAAAGAAAAUGUACUAAGUGUACAAGGGUGCACAAGGCUACUUUUUGUGAAAGAUUUCAAUUGAUUAUGAACUAUUCCUUUAUUUUCCUUAUCAUCAAUGAAUUGUACACCUAUGUCAUGCAUUUUAUUUAAUUCCCACAUGGAAAUUCCACUUACUUUCCCUAGUAACGAUGUUUGGGGAAAAAAAUUUGACUUAUGUCAUCUACUAUUUUCUUAACCAAACCAUUGGAAACAUGGUUAACAUACCUAUGUAGACACAUAAUUUAGGAGGGAUAUGAAAUUUGUGCCACUAUACAAGGGUAUUACAUUAAUUGCACAAGUGAAAUGCACUAAGUGUACAAGAGUGUACAAAGCUACCAUUUGUGAAAGAUUUCAAUCGAUUCUAAACCACUCCUUUAUUUUCCUUGUCACCCACGGAUUGUACACCUUAUGUCAUGCACUUUAUUUAAUUCCCACAUGAAAAUUCCAAUACUUUCCCCAGUAAUGAUGUUUGGGGAAUUUUUUUUGACCCUAAGUCAUCCAUUAUUUUCUCAACUAAACCAUUGGAAACAUGGUUAAACACAUCUACGUGGACAUAUAACUUAGUAGAGAUAUGAAAUUUGUGUCAUUGUAUAAGGGUAUUAUACUAACUGUACAAAAGAAAUAUACUAAGUGAACAAGGGUGUACAAGAUUACCCUUUGUGAAAUAUUUCAAUUAAUUCUGAACAACUUUUUUAUUUUCCUUGUUACAUAAGGAUUGAACACAUAUGUCAAACACUUUAUUUAACUCCCAUAUGAAAAUUCAAAUACUUUCGCAAUAAUGAUGUUUAGGAAAAAAAAUUUGACCCUAAGUUAUCCACCAUUUUCUCAAUCAAACCAUUGAAAACAUGAUUAACAUACCUACAUAGACACAUAACUUAAGAGAGAUAUGUACUUUAUUUGCGUCAUUGUACAAGGAUAUUAUACUAAUUGUACAAGGGAAAUGUGUCAAAUGUACAAGACUCUUAAUAGGUUUGUACGAUUUUUAAACAAUUUGGGCUAGACAUUAAGACGAUUAUCAAUAGUUUUUUUUUUUAUUUUACCAAACUAUGUCAUUAAUACUUUCCCUACAAAAAUUAACACAUAGGAAAUAAAAUUAAAAUCAAUCAUGUUUGAAUUGUUCAUUAUAAGUAAACUAAAUGAAAUAUAUAUUUUUACUAUUUUGCCCUAAUAAACAUAAUUUUAUUGUUAUUAGUACAGAUUAAAAAAUCCUAUUUAAAUGGAAUUAAAAAUAAACAAAAAUGAUUUUUGUAACAUUUUUAUUUUUUUAAACCAUUAAUUUAAAUUAUGAAAUUAGUUUUAAAAUUAAAUAAAGUUUAAGUGGUUAAGUCAUAUCAAAUCAUUAACUUGAUUUAUCAAAAUAAUUUUAUAUUUUAUAUUAUAACAUUAAGUUAUUUUAUCAAAUAUACUUAAUAUACUUAACAACUUAAAUUUAUGUGGCGUUUGGUUUUUGGUUGAAUAAAAAAAACCAAAAUAUGUGAUUUCUUUUAUUUAAUUAAAAAUAAUCUAUUGAUGUCAACUGAUAUAACUAAAUUGAACAUAUUAAUUACAAGUUUACUUUAGUUAUGUUGAUUGACAUCAAUGUUACUUUUAGCUUAAUAAAACAAAGUCAAUUUGAUUUUUUCUAUUCAACUAAAAAACAAAUACUGCCUUAAUCUUAUCAACAUCCUCUAAGUUCUUCUCAAUUUUUAAUAUUUAUUUGAUACAUAUUUAAUAAGAAACAAGUCAAAAUGUGUUAUCUCAAAAUUUCUAAUUCAAACUCCUACUAGAUUUAAAAUUCAUUAAUUAAUUUGAAACAAAUUUGUUUUGGAUAAUACAAUUGAUGGAGAUAGUACAUAUCUUAAAUUUCUAACUAAAAAAAGCCUCAUAACAAAAUAAUUUGAUGAAUAUUUUAAGUUUAAAAUAUUAGAACCAUUUCACAAUGAUUUUGGAAAGUUAGAAAUGUUUCCAAAUGCUUGAAAAUGUUUUUAUAACACAAACUAGACAUUUUAUAAAAACUAAAGUUCACAUUCUAUGUAAUUGAUAGUGCCUCACAUAAUUUUUUUUUUCUUUUGGUUAUACAUAUAUAUAGGGUGAACGAUACUUUUUAAGUAGGUAUAAAAAAGGUUCUACCAAUUAGGUGGUGUCAUGUAUAUAUUUUUAAGUUUCAUAAUUUGUGCCUUUGUACCUUCACUCUAUUUGUUUAUACCUUUGUUCAACAAUGUAAAUCUCACCAUAUAUAUUCAAUGGUCAAAAUCUUAACUUCGGUUAGUAUCACUACACUAUCUUAGUAUUUUUUUUUCUCUCUCUAUAUAUAUAUAACACUAACUACUUUUCUAUGAAAAUAUUUACAAUAGAAAUGCUACAUAUUAGAAGUGUUUUUAUCAAAAUAAUUUCUAAACCAACCUUAAUAUUUGUAUUAGCUUUAGUUGAUAUAGCUACUUGAUAAAACCAACCAUUCAUAUGAUAAUUAUUCUAGAUCUUACUUUAAUUUGAUAAAAAUAUCCACCCAAGCAUCACACAAAUCAUAAAUAUACUCCAUGUCUAUUUGGAUAAACUUGUUGUUUUUUGUUGUUAUGUUUUUAAAAUAAGGAGGGAUAUAAGAAUUCUUAAAGAAUUAUAUUAAAAAUAAAAUAAUAGUUUUAAAAAUCAUUUAAAAAUUUAAGGUAUUAUACUAUUUUUUUUAUUAUUUUUAAACUUAAAUUUUAUUCAAAUAAAUAUCAUUUAUGAGUCAAUAAAUUAGAUUUCGUAAAUUUAAUAUUUAGCAUUUAUAAAUAUAAAAUUUUCAAUUUUAUUUUAAACAUGUUCCAAAAGGGGGAAAACCAAAAAGGAAACUAAAUUAUUUUUAUUUAAUUUUAUAAAAAAAAUUCUCAAAUAUAUCCUUAAUUUGUUUAAACUUGUCCUAAAUCCAUCCAUAAUUGUCAUUUUUAAUUUUGACCAUAUAAAAAUUAAACCCAAAUAUAAAAAGGUUGAGGAACAUCAAAUAUAAGGAGAGGUUGAAAACUUUUAUAAUGCUUGGAGGUAUUUUUCUUACAAACAGAGUCUGUUUGGUCGUAUGAUUUAAAAACAGUUUUCUGCUUUUAAAAAUAGAAAACUAUUUUUAAAAAUUUACAACACUGUUUGGCCAUUGUUAUCUGGAAGCAAUUUAUAAAAACAAAGUGAAAUAGAGAACAAUUUUUAGAGAACAAGUAUAAGUUGUUUUCAUAUGUUUUUUUUUUAAAAAAAAAAGGAAAAUAUGGAUCAAUUUGACCAUAUUUUCUUGAACUUGCUGUUUUUUUAAAAUAUUUUUUAGAUUAAAAAUGUUUUUUAAAAUCACUACCAAAAGAAUUUUAAGUAUUAUCUCACUCCACCUCAUUUAUAUAUAAAAUUAAGUAAAAAUAAUUUACUUUCCUUUUCCAUUUCCCCUCUUUAAUCAUAUUUAAAAUAAAGUUACAAAUUUACUUUUUAUCAAGAUAGAAUAUAAAAUCUAUAAAAAUAAUUUAUUUAAUCAUAAAUUAUAUUUAUUUAAUAAAAAUUAAAUUUAAAAAUGAUAAAAAUAACAUAAAAUAUAUUUAAAUAAGAUAGGAUGACUAUAACUUCUAAAAAAAUUCCUUGACCCCAUCCUAUUCUGGUACAUGUUUGGGUUGGAAUAAAAAUUUGUUGAAGUAAUCAAGAUGGGUUGGGAACUUGGGAUGAGGAUAUGACCCCUUUCACAUAAUUCGUCAAAAUUCAAUAAUUGCUAAACUUUAAAGUUGUUGCAUGCCAUCUCACAGCAAUAAUUUUGUAGGAGGUCUUUCCACCUCCACUUCUAUCUGCUUCAUUAAUUUGUUUACACACUGCUUUGCUUUCUACCUCUCUCUCUCUCUCUCUCUCUCUCUCUCUCUCUCUCUCAUUCACUCUCAACAAACCCCUCCUUACUUGUUUAAUCUCUUCCAAAAACAAAUAAAAACAAUUAAUUCUAACUAUUCAAAAGUUAAAAGUUAAUAUUAUAAAUGUAAACUUAAAUGCAAGCAUAUAAAAUAUAUAUCAUAUCAAACUCUAAAUAUAAAUCAUUAAUAUAUUUAAUCAAGUCCAAAUUAUUAAAUAAAAAUAAAAAUAUAUAAAAUGGGGUAUAAAAAAAUAAAACUAAAGCAUACAACAAAAAAAUGAUAUUUAGGUACAAAUAAAUAAAAAUUGGAUAUAAAUAAAUAAAAUCUAAAUCAAAGUGUUAGAAAAUCAUGUACAUAGGAUUUCAUAAUUCUAGUUUAAUGAACCAAAAAUAGAUGUACAAAACUCAUCUUGUGAUAUUAUGAUAGAAAUCACCUUACAUAUAUUGUUUGCAACGCUGCAUCACUUUAGUAGCACCUUGUCACCUUGUAUCGGUAUUAACACCUUGUAUCUUCCCUCUCUUUACUCUCUCAUUCUUAAUCUUUGUAUAAAUGAUAGGAAAGGAGAGCGGGACCAAGAGCUAAGGCCAUUUUCUUUAUUUGUACCUCUAUUUCCUCAGUUUCUUCCUCUUUUGGUCAAGCCAAACUGUUCGGUUUCUCCAUUUCUUCUUCACCCCACUGCAUUUUGGGUUCUCCCUAUAACGGAAGCAUUCUCAAAUCAAGAAAAUCCCUCAAAUCAAGCAACAAAAAUGACUGCAGAUUUUUAGCCUUCAUUCAAGGAUGUAACAGUCCUUAUUUUUCUUGUAAUCGAUAGCCUUAAUUCUAGGAAACUUACUUAGAAUAGCUCUUGUUAACGUGUAUUUAUUUUUUCUCAUACAAUCUCUUGUUACGGUGUAAUAUUUUUCAAACAGAGCAGUAAUACAUUAUUGAGAAAUUCUCAAACUCCAUCAUGGUAUCAGAGCAGCCUUCCUCUCACGAGAACUCAAUCCAUAAUUCUGAAAACACCCACCACCCGAUUUCCACUCCACCAUCCUGAUUCAUCCCCGGCAACGGCGCCAUUUGAUGCGACUCAUGGUAGCUUAGCUUUAAAGGCGUAUCAACAAAAUUUAUACCUUAAAUACUAUUACUAAAGUAGCCAAGCUACUAUAGCAUAGUGGUUCUAGGAUCGUUCACUAGGAAGGGUUUUCGCAAACACAAGUGAUAUUCAAAUUAGGAAAAUAGGUGAUUUUCUUAUGGAUGUUAGCUUUAAAAGAAGAUGUAAAUGUUUUAGAAAGAUUUAAACUAAUCUAAGCUAACAUUAAAGACUAAAAUGAAAGGGUGUAAAAACAAGUUUCUCAAAGAUAGGAUAGCUAUGCUCUGGCUCUUAUGCAAAUUGGAAAUCUCAGGAUAGGCUCCUCGCGUUGGGGUUGCAACUAUGGUGAUGCUUGCUUCCCGAACCGGUAUGGAUUUAGCAAAUCAAGUUUUAAUCCUUUAAAAUGACAAAACAGAUGGUAGUGAAUUUCAUCAAUGGUUAUUCACCUUAGACUUCCUUUGAAUGACUCGUAAGAGAUAACUAAUGGUCUAAAGCCAAAAGCUUACCAAAUAUUGGCAACUCAAAGUCAUUCCAGGUGAUAAACUCACCUUUCAAUGGCCAUUGAAAUUGGUUCUAACGGAUUAAUGCAAAACUUGGAAUUGAAAACCUCACCUUCCAAUAGCUCGUAGGAGAUAACUAAUGGAUAGAAAUCCAAAAGCUUAUCAAGUAUUGGCCGUUGGAAGUUGUCCAAAGGAAAUAAAAACCAAACUUUGCAUUAAUGAACCUUUAAUGAAAAACGACUACCUUACCUUCCGGGUACGAGAAAUUUCCAUGGGAGCAAUCCAAGCCAUCACAUAACAUCCAUACUUUGAGAAACUAAAAGUUUUAGCCAAUCAUCCUCUGAGGAAAAGCCCUCAGAGGCUGUUUGGCUUCCAAGAAAAUAAAAUAGUAAAGAGAAAAGAGAAACGAGAGAGCUCUGUAUAUUUUCUCUAAGUGUAAAAAGUAAUAUCUAUAUUAUAUUCUAUAUUCCAAGAGGUGAUUUCCACCCCUUAUAUAGUCUUUACAAAAGCAAAAGCUUGUGAUUGGUUAGUUACAAGGAUAAGAAAGGAAAUUACAUCACAAAAUACAAAGGAAAAUAUCUAAAGUGGAGUCGGCAAAAACAGAGGAAAAUUCGCACCACGCAUGGGUUAUGCGAAUUUUGAAGGUGUUAUGCGAAUUUCGCAUAACACCUUGUGUCGUGCGAAAUUUUCGCACAACCUGGAGCAGUUGGCUUCCGAAGGCCAUAUCUUCCUCAUUUCAGCUCUAAAUCGUACACGGUUUGAAGCGUUGGAUUCUUGACUUCCAGAGCUUUGAAAUGGUAUAUAGCAUGUAAAAAAUGGACUUCGGAAAGUGCUCCAAAAGUGUGAAAGAAGACUGCAGCUGCUGUCCUAUGAUUUUUUCACUUUGCUUUCCUCUUCUCCAUUGUUCUUUCCUUGCAUACUUUGAACGACUUUGGCAAAGGGCUAUGGAGCUCCAAAGCUUGGUUCUUCAUGAAUUUGAGCUUCCAAAAGCUUUGCCAUAACUUGUCCAAGUAGCUCCUCCAUCAUUUGGCAUGCUUGAAUUGAUUCAUAAGCUGAUAAAAACAUGUAAACUUGCCACAAAAUGGUUAAAACCAAUUACUAAGGACCUUAAUGAAUUAAUUGGGUUAAAUGAAUAUGAUUACUACUCAAAGGUGCUUAAAACCAUUAUAAUUAGGUCUACAAAAUAACACUUUUUGGUAGUAAUCACAUCCCCAACCAAUAUUCCUCUCAUUGCUUUCAACAUCUCUGCUCAAAUAAAUGAAAAACUCACACCAUCAACCUUCCCUCCAAGGAGGAAAAUAUCGGUAAUCACGGAUAUAUCGGUAUUUCGAUUUUACGGAUAUAUCGGAUAUAUCGGAGAUAUAUCGGCGGAUAUUUUGGAAAAAAAUAUCGGUAGACUCAAAAUUGUUAAAAACUCAUUGAAAUGUAAGGAAAACCUCAUAAUAAUAUAAUUAGAAGUAUAAUAGACAUUUUAAAGUUGUUUUAUUGAAAAAAUUGAUAUACAUAUGAUAUAAUUUACGAUAUUAGAUGUAAUUAUAUUAUGUCGAUCUAUAAGAAAUGUUAAUUUUGUAAUUGUUCUUAUUAUAAAGUUACAUAAAAUACUUCAUUUUAUUAAAUAUCAAUAAUUUGUACACAUUACAUUGCAAUGUCCCUUUAGUACCAAAAUGAGGAUCGAUGUGGUUCAAUGGGAUUGAUAGAUGAAGGAACCCCGUUUUGCUGUUAGAGACAAUAUUGGUCCCAACUCAAUAAGCCUCGAUUAUAUUGGUUAAAAAUUCUAACAUGUCAUGCAUAUAUAUAUAUAUAUACAUUGAUUAUUAAAUUACAUCAAAUAUUAUUCAAUAAUAAUAUUGUGAUAUUUGAUUAUAAUAUGUCUAAUUUUAAAAUAUAUUUAAUAUUAAAAUUAUGAUAUAUUUAAUUUAAUUGUAUUAAAUGAUAAUAAAUGUAUAAUUUUUUAAUAUUUAAUUAAUAAUAUAUUAAUGAUAUUAAAAACUUAUUUCUACUUAAUUAAAUGAAAAUUUUUUAUUUACUUAUAAAAUAAUUAUAAUUAAUUCGUAAUUUAAAGGAUUGUUUUAAUAUUUUGUGUAUAUGAACACUUUUAAUAUAUAUAUGUAUGGUGUUGUAUUAUAAACAAGCAGUAAUGUUGCCUGGAUGGUUGCUAGGUGUCCUUUCCAACUUUUGGUCGGGGGUUCAAGUCCUGUGAGAAGCGAAAUGGAGGGCUUUUGGGCAUCAACAGAACAUUUUUAGCUGGUUUGACUCGGUCAACGCUCCGCGUUGACCCGCGUUGACCUUCGAUAUUUCUGUGGCAAAUGUCGUGUCGACAUGUACCGAUACACCGAAAUAUCGGCGAUAUUUCGGCGAAAUAUCCCGAUAUUUUAUUCCCUGCUUCCCUCAAUGGCGUGCCCAGUUUGAAGCUCUCUUAAUUGGCUACAAUCUACUUGAUUAUGUCAUAAGUGACAAUCCUCCUCCUCCUCCGAGUGAUUCCUCUGCUACCAAUCCACAGAAAACCCACUGGAUAAGAUAAGAUAAACUUAUCCCCAGUGCCAUUUUGGCAUCCACCACCUCCACAAUCACCCCAUUCAUUUCCGCUACACAAACAUCACAACAGGCAUGGCAAAAAUUGCAUACCAUGUAUGUGAGCAAAUCUCGUACUCGGGCCAUGCAAUUGAAGGAGGAACUCACAAUGAUUAAGAAAGGGAAUUAGACAGACAGUUCAAGAAUACCUGCACAUUGUCAAGGCUCUUGUUGACAAAAUCUCCCUCAUCGAUCAUCUCAUUGCAGAUGAUGAUCUCACAUUGUACAUUCUCAAUGGAUUGGGCAGUGAUUUUCGAGAAAUCGCGACACCUAUACGAGAAAGGGAAAAACCACUCGCGUUUGAAGAAUUGCAUGAUCUACUCGUAGGCCAUGAUGCCUACCUCCGACGCCUUGAAACCACCACACGGAAACUAGUUGCAUCGACCAACUACUCCAAUCGGCAUCUUGCUUCUUCAUCCGGCGGCCAACAUUCUAAAGGUAACUUCAAUGGGCAACACAAAUACACUCCAAAGUGCCAAAUCUAUGAUGAACUGGGCCACAUUGCAAAACAUUGUCCACGUCUGCGCUUUGUUGAGCCCACUGCCAAUUAUGUUGCCACUUCACCUGCAACAAACCCAAAAUGGCUUAUUGAUUCUGGAGCUUCACACAACAUUACUGGUGAUUUAGCCAAUUUAUCUAUUCACUCUGAGUAUGACGGCACUGAUGAAGUUGUCAUAGGUGACGGUUCAGGUUGCAUGUCUCACACGUUGGCUCAUUGGUUCUCAAAUCACCCACACACACUUUUCAUUUAAAUAAUACUCUUUGUGUUCCUAAUAUUCGCAAAAAUCUCAUUUCUAUCCAUCACUUCACCUCACAAAACAAUGUUUUUGUUGAAUUUCAUCCCUUGUUUUUCCUUGUUAAGGACAAGAUCAUGGGGGCGGUUCUAAUCAAAGGUGCAUGUGAAAAUGGUGUUUACACUCUCUUGGAUUUACUAGUGCAAGAUUCUCUAAAAAUGGUUACCAAUGUGCAUGAACGGACCUCAAUCAAUGGGUGGCACAAGCGUCUUGGACAUCCCUCUCAAAAAAUAGUUCAUCACCUUGUUAAGAAUUUUUAUCUUCCAAUAAUACAAAAAGAACAUAGUUCUCAUUUUUUUACCUCUUGUUCUAUUACUAAAGCGCACAAACAACCAUUUCGGACCAAUAGCCUUCAAAGCCAUGCACCUCUUGAUUUAAUUUAUACUGAUGUUUGGGGUCCCUCAAAUACAAUUAGUCUUGAUGGAUCACGAUAUUAUUUGAUUUUGGUUGAUCAUUUUACAAAGUAUAUUUGGUUUUAUCCAAUAGAAACCAAAUCUCAACUAAGCAUGAUAUUUCCUCAAUUUAAAUAUCUCAUUGAAAAUCAAUUUCAAUCAAAAAUCAAAAGUAUCUACUCAGAUAAUGGUGGUGAAUUUAUUGCCUUAAAAAAAUAUUUUUCUAUACAUGGCAUAAGUCAUUACACCACAGCUCCUCACACACCACAACAAAAUGGUGUAUCUGAGCGUCAUCAUCGUCAUUUGGUAGAAACGGGUCUUACCCUUUUACAUGAUGCUUAUUUAUCUCUCUCAUAUUGGCCUUAUGCCUUUUCAACGUUUACUUACCUCAUCAACAAACAGCCAACCCCUUUCCUACAUAACAAACCCCCUUUUGAAGCAUUAUUUCAUCAGCCCCCCAACUAUCUUAAACUAAAAAAAUUUGGGCAUCUAUGUUUUCCUCUCACCAAGCCCUAUAACACACAUAAGUUGCAGCCCAAGGCAACACCAUGUUUGUUUGUGGGCUAUUCCCCAACCUAGAAUGCGUAUAAAUGUCUUGAUCCACAAGCCCAUAAACUAUAUUUAUCUUGGCACAUUUUGUUUGACUAAAGUGAAACCCAUCAUCUCCUCCGUUCAGUUGAAACACAGUCCUCCAUUCAGUUGAAACACAGGUACCAGCCAUGUCCAUUUCGCCUGCCUCACCUGUGCUGCUCACACUUUUGCCGCAACCACCGCCAGUGCCAACGAGAGGUAACGCCAUUUUCGCCUCAUCUCCAAGUAACUGCCUCGACUCAUCUUCUUCUCCUUUUCAAGAUAUGCAAUCCCUAAACUCAUGCCCUAAUUCCUCUCAAUCACAUGAACACUUGGAUUCUAACUCAAAUUCACACACCAAUCCACUCUCAGAACCCAUGGUUGUCCAUAAUGACCAUCACAGUGACCCUCCACUGCCUCAUUCUCACCGCAUCCACACCAUGACCACUCGGUCAAUGAAUAACAUUCAUAAGCUCAAACAGUUCAACUCCAUGACCAAACACCCACUCCCACCAACCAUUGAACCAACAUGUGUGGGCCAAGCACUUCGUGAACCUCACUAGAGACAUGCUAUGUCAGAUGAACUUACUGCUCUCAUGCGUCAUGGCACUUGGGAUCUUGUUUCCUAGCCCAAAAAUUGUAAUCCUAUUGGGUGCAAAUGGGUAUUCCGUGUGAAAUGAAACUCAGAUGGUUCAGUUGACCGCUUCAAAGCAAGGCUUGUCGCUAAAGGAUUUAAUCAACGAGAAGGGUUAGAUUACAAAGAAACCUUUAGCCUAGUUGUAAAACAUGCAACAUUAGGACUGUCUUGACAGCGACUGUAAUGCAGGGGUGGUCAUUAAGACAAUUAGAUGUUAACAACGUUUUUUUGCAUGGUGACUUGAUUGAGACUGUGUAUAUGACACAACCACCAGGAUUCAAAGAUGUCAAUAAGCCAAAUCAUGUGUGCAGGUAAUGUAAGGCUAUCUAUGGCCUUAAACAUGCCCCAAGAGCUUGGUAUUCAACUCUUAAACUGGCAAUUAUGGGUCUUGGUUUUCAAAAUUCCAAAGCUGACUCAUAUCUUUUUAUCUAUAGUUAGAACUCUGUCAUAUGCUAUAUUAUUAGUAUAUGUGGAUGAUUUGGUUAUCACUGGCAAUAAUUUGUGCUUUGUGUCUGAGAUUGUUGCACAACUUGGUAAUUGGUUUUCCUUAAAGGACAUGGGACAACUUAACUUUUUCUUGGGAAAGGAGGCUAUUUCUACAAAAUCUGGGCUUUUUUUUUCUCAACAUAAAUAUAUUCGAAACCUAUUGUCCAAAACCAAUAUGAUUGGUGCUAAAGAUGUCUCAACCCCAUUGUCCACCACCACGUCCCUCAAAUUGGUUGAUGGUACUUCAUCUACCAACAGUACAGAGUUUCGAAGUGUCAUUGGUGCUCUUCAAUACCUGUCCCUCACUAGACCGGAUAUCUCAUUCUCUAUAAAUAAACUUUCUUAGUUUAUGCAUAAGCCUAUAGUGACACAUUGGACAACUGCAAAGCAACUUCUUCGCUAUUUAAAGCACAUUAUAUUUCAUGGACUUCAAAUAAAAAAUAAAAAUAAAAAUCCAGCUUUGAACUCAUUACAUAUUCUGAUGCGGAUUGGGCGGGCAACUAUGAUGAUUUGAUUCAUGCCCAGUUGGUGUCUCAGCUGAUUUGUGUUCAGCUGGUGCUCCUUGAUUGAGGGAGUAAUCAACAAAAUUUAUAACCUAUUACACCAUAUACUAGGGUAGCAAAGACAAAGCUACUAUAGCAUAGCGACUCUAGAAUCGUUCACUGGGAAGGUUUAACAAAUUAUCAAUGAUACCAAUUCAAAGUGAAUUGGUAUUGUUUCAUUUCAAGGUUAGCUUAAGAAAUAAAACACAAACUUUGAUUGGUAAAGAUUUAGAUUUAAACUAACUACAAAGCAAGUGAUGGAAAUUACUUAGGAAGAAAAACAUUCCUUGGAGGGUCAGGUUCACUGGGGAGGUUCCUCAUGCAAAAGACAUAGCUCCGGUCAGUUGGUUCAUUUCCUCGCAUUAGAGAAGCAACAUAUAGUCAAUUCUCUAACCGAUGUUGUACAGAUACAUCCUUUAAUUAGAUUUCAGCUUUAAUUCUCUCACUGAUGCAACUUGCAACGGUUCGAGCCUCUCACUAAGCCUUAACCAUUCAAGGUGAUCUUUAACCUUGGACUUCCCUUCACAAGCUCGCAAGAGAUAACUAAUGGAUGUCUCCUUAGAGUCCAAAAGCUUACUAAGUGUUGGCAAUUCCAAAAAAUCCUACCUUCAAGUCACCUCCCAGAGGCUCGCAAGGGGUAAACUAGUGCAUCUCCAUGGUUGGAGAUCACUUGCCUUACCAAGUGUUGGCCCAGGUGACUCUAAGGUGUUUUAAGUUAACUAAAAACAUAGAAAUCACUAAAGGAUUUCACUUCCUCUUCAUUCAUGGCUGAAACCACAAAGCUUUGCAUUCUUGCACUUGGAACCUUUGCCGACAACCUUAGCUCCAAGGAACUAAAGGUUUAGUUACUCAUUCUCUGGGGAAACUUCCUCAGAGAGUGCAUAACUUAGAAAAAAUGAAAAAUACAAAGUGAGAAGUAAGACAAAACAAAGUCCUGAAUUUUACUUACUUUCAAACUUUUCAAAAGGUCCUCCCUGAGACAGCUCUUGAAAGCUAUUUAUACACAAACAAUACUAUAUNNNNNNNNNNNNNNNNNNNNNNNNNNNNNNNNNNNNNNNNNNNNNNNNNNNNNNNNNNNNNNNNNNNNNNNNNNNNNNNNNNNNNNNNNNNNNNNNNNNNUUUACUUACUUUCAACUUUUUCAAAAGGGUUCCUCCCUGAGAACAGGCUCUUGAGAGCUAUUUAUAACAACAAAAACAAAUACUAAUUAUUACACGGAUAUUUUCUCUUUUUACUAACUUAAAAGCUAAGGAAUCUUAUAAUUGGUGGCUUUCAAGGAGAAUUUUGGGAUUUAGACAACAAAAAUUUGAUGAAAAAUAUCUCCCAAUGUCGGUAGCAAAUAUCGGGACACACUAAGGAUCAUUUCGCAAGUGUAAACGAGGUCUGCGAGAUUUCGCAGAUGCACAAAAAGGACUGCGAAAUCACUUCGCAGCAAACGGCUGAUUUCGCAAUGCUGCGAAAUGGUCUUUCAACUUGUGGUAUUUGGCUUCCAUCAUGACGGGAAACUUCAGGGGGGAAACACAGCACUGUACAUAAAGGCUGCGAAAUCAUCUCGCAACAAAAGGGUGAUUUCGCAGCGCUGUGCAAAAUUCUUCCUUCAGCUUGGAGUGAUCGGCUUGAAAUGGCUGUAACUCCUUCAUUUCAACUCCAAAUUGCGUACCAUUUGAAGCAUUUGAUUGUUGGCUUCCUGAGCUUUGAAACGACAUAUAGCAUGCAUAAAUUGGACUUCAGAAAGUGCUCCAAAAGUGGCUGACAUGACUGUCAUCAAGAAUAUGCUUCAUGACAGAUUUCUCUUUGCUUCUUCUCCUUACAUUCCGGAUUUACUCAUGGCAGCAAAGGACUUCAAAGCUUUAGUUCUUCACGUUUCUGAGCUUCAAAUUGCUUUGCCAAAGAUUCCACAUAACUCUCCUCAAUCUCGGAUUGCUUUGGUGAUCAAAAAGCUAUCAAAACACCAAAACUUAACACAUUGAUUAGAAGUGCUUGCAAAGGUCUUUAAUAUGUUAAUUGGGUUAAAAGACAAUAACUACUACUCAAAAGUGUUUAAAAGAGUUAAUUACAAGCUAUGAAAUAGCACAUUUUGAGUAGUAAUCACUCCCCCCAACCGACAUAUUGCUAGUCCCUUAGCAAUGAAGGAGAGAAAAAAAAAAAAACUAUAAUUUACAACAUCAUGCUGAUUACUUCAAAAAAUUUUAAGUGGCAUGAUGAUCUAAUUCUCACAUGAGGCAUUAAAGAAAUAUAAACCCAAAUUUCAACAAGAGUUAUCACAUACUAUGCUAAACACUAUUAAUCAAGGGAAUGCAUUAUGCAAAUUGAAGUUUUAAAAUCAUUUUCACUUCCAAAGAACCAAACUUUAUUCUUCCACAAAAAUCUAAGUGUAUGAUUCCUUAGCUUCCGAAUAUAGUAUGCUAAACUAAUCUCUCCCCCCAACCUAUCUCUUUUCAACACUUAGCAAACUGACCAAAAUCAAUAAGAAAAGAACACUCUUUUUUUUUUUUUUUUUUUUUUUUAAAGAGGCUUAAAGGGGUAUUCUUUCUGAAUUGUCCAUGUAACGGGGGUCCAUCGAUGACUCCCAACCAAUUAAGGUUUAGGGCAUCAAGCUUUAAGGAUCUUUCAACCACUAACUCCUUGGAUUUUACCCCGGACUUUUGAGAAUGAUUGAUUUUUUAAUACCCAAGCACCUACCAUAUGCUAACUCCACCUAUCCACCCUUGUAACGAGCAUUGAGGUCGGUGACUCCCAACCAAUUAAGGCUUAGGGCACCAGGUUUUAAAGAUUUUCACCAUAUACCCCUCAGACCUUGCUUGGGUUUCAAGGCAAGCAAACAUUUUUCUUUCUUUAUUUCAAAGGCUCAUUGGCCUUUCAUAAGGUGUCUCAACUUUAUCAAAUGAGGUCAAAGGUACCAAGUCCCAAAAUUUUCCUAAGUCAAGAGGGAAAUAGUUUUUCAUCUUAUACUCGGAACCUAUUGUGCACAGUGUGUGAAUAGCUUAAAGUGGAAGAACUAAACUCGAUUUCAAUAGAAGCUUCAACAAUUGAACCACUUUAGUAAGCAUAAUCCAUACUCUAAGUCAAGUGAAAAACAACAGUUCAGUUUCUCCUGUUUUAAUUUGAAAAUUUUUCCUCAAAAUCCAUGGAGAUUAGAGUGGACAAUAAAAGAUUACAACUAAUUUAUCAACAUAAUUGCAUUGUCAAAAUAACUUAGCAUACUUCCUUUAACUUAGCAUACUUCCUUCCUCAUUUCUCCCCCCCCCCCAACCGAACUGAGCAUUGUCCUCAAUGUGAUAUGGGUGAUUGCAAUUAAAGGGAGGAAGUGGUACCUCCUGAGUGAUAUCAAUUUCGAAUACUGAUUGGAGAAACCACAUGUUUCAAAAAGAAUAAAAGAUGUGAGAAAAGGAAAUAAGAAUAAAUUAAUGCUAAAGGUUAACAAAAAAAUAUGCUAAACUUGUAUUACUUUGAAUUCAUUUGAGUACAAUGAAAAAGAAGGCAAUACAAGCAAUCCCAUAUAUGAUACCAAAAUAAUGGGAUUUCAUAAAAAACUAAGAAAAAAAAUGAAAUACAUAAAGAAAAUAUGUAGUGGAUAUAUAUAAUGAUCAGAUGGGUGGAUGGUGCUGGAAUUAAUGGCUUAGGCAGAUGGCUCUGCCUCUUCAGUAGCUGCUUCAGAAGGGGCCUGAGACUCUGUGGCCUGCGAGUGUGGCACUACAGUGGUGGGGGUGGAGUGCUUAGUAGCUGAUGGAAGAUCAAAAUGAUGCUGGAGCUGCCUCAAGAUGGCAGUGUGCUGAGCCUGGGUGGUCAACAUCUGCUCCUGGCAUGCUCUAAUAGCUGCCAUCUCCUGAGCAAGGCUGCUCUGAGAUGCGGUGAGGGUCUACAGUGAGCCACAUAACUCCCUAUACUCAUAAAUGGGAAUGGCCAUCCUUGGCUCAGCUGAAUUCGAUGGCUGAGAUGAGGCUGGAGUGACUGGAGGGGCUCUGGAUAUGGUAGGAGAGGCAAUGGGUAUACCCUCAGGUAUAUGACGUGGAGAUGCUCUCCUGGCUGCUGGUAUCGCAGCUGGCUGUGGCUGUCCUGGCUGCUCAACUCUAUAUGCUGUCAUAUUGUUCCAUUUGUCGAGAGUAAAGACCUCUCGUCAAAUACGUUUGCGCUCCAACUGAGGAUCUGAUGGAUACCCCAGAUGCUCUAGAAUCUGACACAGCAGCCGUGGAAAAAGAAGUGGAAUGGCAUCAGCUCGCUGCAGCUUCUUCUUAUGCACCUUCUCUUCAAAAUAGAGAAGGGCAGCCAUAAUUAGGUGGUGAGGGCCAAAGAAAUAUCCCUCAGAAAUCUUGAACAGGGCCUCUAAAAGCACUCCUCUCCUCUGAGUCCAGUGUUGGAGUGGGUAGAUGUUAUGACGCAGAAAUGCAUCAAUAAGAAACAUGCUUGGAGGAAGUUCCCCCCUCAACAGAUGUGGACACGUGAAAGCUCCUCUGGACAAGAUAUGUACCAUCUCCAGCUCAGUGGGACUAGUCCACACUCUGAAAUCCUCAAAAUGAGUUGGCUCGUAUGGUAUAUGCAGGGCUUCUGCUAUAUGGCGAGCUCCCAAAAUGUCAUGCCGACCAUCUAUAGUAAAAUAGAUUAAAGUAGGAUCUCUGACCUGCUUGGUAGUCAUGGACUGAUAAAAAUCCAUGGCUACUCUGGGGUAGAAGAAGUCUCUUGGGCCAGCAACUGCUUCAUAUGAUAUCUACGCAAUAGGCAGAAUGAAUCUGCAAGCUCCGACCUCAAUUGGAAGGUGGUUGUGUCAAAGCACAGCUCAGAGUGGAAUGGCCGAGCUCUGCAGUCCAAAUUCCCUUCUAUUGGCGGCUGAGUAAGCAUCGGACGCCUAAUUAGCACUUCAGGAGUUACCCCAUAUGGAAUUUGGGAUUCAGAAAGUGGCGGCUGGAGCUCCUGAGGCUGUGCUGGCGGCGCCGGAGACGGCACCGGAGAUGGCAGUGGAGAGGGCUCUGGUGAGGGAACCAGGGACUGCUCUGUUAAGUCUAUGGGCUCUGAGCUUUCAACCCUGGCCCUCUUUUGCAGGGGACGACCCCCUGACCUAGUGAGAUAACGCCUCGCCGGAGGAUUUUUAGACACGGGCUUCGCCGGAGGGGGAACAGCUUUUGGCCGCGGAGGUUCAGAGAUGGGGCUUUGAACAGGUACCUCUCGCGGAACUCGUUUGCGGCUAGAAGGAGAUGAAGAUUUGGCUCCUCUAGUUCGCGCCAUAUCGGACUGUCGAGAUUUGGCCAGAAGUGAUGACCGGAGAAGAUGACCGGAGGUUCGCGCGUCGUCGGGCUCGGGCAAGGAGAUGAACAGACGGCUGUUAUGGCAUUCCCUCAUUUUGAAAUCCUUUUGAAACUCAAAUGACAGGUAUAUAUAAAAAUAACGGAAUAUUAAAGGUCAUUUUGAGGUUCGUAGAAGAACGUUGAUUUCACAGCAAAAAGCUGUUCUCGCAGCCCACUUCGCAGCCCACUUCGCAGCUUCGAAAUGGAUGUCACUGUGCUGCGAAAUGGCACUCGUGUGCCAAAGUUGGUUUCGCAGCUGCGAAAUACCCUGCGAAAGGAAGCUUUGACUGCGAAAACGGGUAUUUUCACGCUUUGUAGCUUCGCAGCCGAUUCGCAGCUUCGAAAUGGGGGCUCCUGUUCUGCAAAGUGGCACUCGUGUGCCAAAAGUUGGUUCGCAGUUGCGAAAAUUUUCGCAGAGGAGUCAAAUGAGUUGCGAAAUGAUUUCGCAAAGGAUGGCCGCUUCCGUAGAGACAUGUUGAUUUCGUAGCAACUUCGUUUAAGUUGCGAAACGGUUUCGCAGCGAAGUGCUAAUUUCGCAGAAACUGCGAAAUCUCGCAGACUCCUGUUUUUGCUUUGUUUUCACUCUGUUUUGCUCUAUUUUUGGUCCGAUUUCGCUCCGAUUUCUUCCUUUCAAUUUCUUUGCAUUUUAUCUCACCUGAGAUCAUCCAAAAAGAUUAAAUUACAUAUAAAAACAUACUUUAAGAUCAAAAAUUAAAAUGAAAAGUAUGGAAAAAACUUUGAAAUUUAAAAAAUUUACAAAAAUUUUGGACUGUGGUAAAACCAAGUCCAUCAAACCCUUAUUUGCUUAGGCUUUUUGUGGCUCAAGGAGGUUGAUUUCCUCCUUUUCUGGUUUGAAUGGCUCCAUGAACGGCUUGAGACGAUAUCCAUUGACUCUAAAGGUAUCUUUGCCAUUGGAAUUCAAUAAUUCCACCACUCCAUUGACGUAUACCCGAUGAAUAAUGAACGGGCCUAUCCACCUUGACUUGAGCUUUCCAGGAAAGAUAUGGAGUCUUGUGUCAUAGAGUAGAACUCUUUGUCCUUUCUGAAAUUCUUUGUUGGAAAUUAGUUAAUCAUGCCACUUCUUCAUCCUCUGUUUUGCAACUUUGGAAUUGAUAUAAGCAUCAUUUCUUAAUUCCUCCAUCUCAUUAAGGUCUAGGCACCUCUUUGCUCCGGCUCUGAUCAAGUUCAUGUUCAGCUUCUUUAUUGCCCACCAAGCUUUGUAUUCAACUUCCAUAGGGAGAUGACAUGUUUUGUCAUAGACAAGACGAUAGGGAGACAUGCCGAGAAUAGUCUUAUAAGCUGUUCUAUACGCCCAUAAUGAAUCAUGAAGCCUAAUAGACCAAUCUUUUCUUCUUGAAUUCACCACUUUCAUCAAUAUGUUCUUUAUUUCCCUGUUAGCUAGCUCAACUUGCCCGGAAGUCUGAGGAUGAUAAGGCGUAGCUACCUUAUGCUUCACUCCAUACUUGGAUAAUAGAGCUUCAAAAGGUUUGUUGCAAAAAUGAACACCUCUAUCACUGAUUAUGGCUUUGGGCACCCCAAAUCUCGAGAAAAUAUUCUCUUUAAGAAACUUGAGAACCAUUCUGUGAUCAUUUUGUCUACAAGGGAUUGCCUCAACCCAAUUAGAAACAUAAUCCACACCCACCAAGAUGUAAGAAUUACCAAAAGACAUUGGGAAAGGCCCCAUGAAGUCAAUGCCCCAUACAUCAAAUAGCUCAACUAUUAGAAUGGGGUUCAUAGGCAUUUGAUUUCUUUUUGUUAGCUUUCCAAGCCUUUGGCAUCUAUCACAACUCCUACACAUGAUGUGGGCAUCUUUGAAAAGAGAUGGCCAAGUAAACCCUGAUUGCAACACCUUCAUGGCUGUUUUCUGAGAGGCAAAGUGACCUCCACAUGCAUUCUCAUGACAAUGGUUUAGAAUCCCUUGCUGCUCUUCUUCAGGGACACACUUCCUUAUGAUCUGAUCUGCACAAUACUUAAAAAAGAAGGGUUCUUCCCAAUAAUAAGCAUGAAUUUUUUAAAAUAAGUGCUUCCUGUCCUGUGCAUUCCACUCACUUGGAAUUUCACCAGUAACUAGAUAAUUAGCAAUAUGAGCAUACCAAGGAGUUUUUACUAGGAACAUAAGUGAUUCCUCAGGAAAGUAAUCAUUAAUAGGCAAGGGAUGGGAAUUAUGUGCUAUAACUAACCUUGAAAGGUGGUCAGCUACCACAUUCUCCACUCAUUUCUUAUCUUUGAUUUGGAGAUCGAAUUCUUGUAGCAAAAGAAUCCAUCUAAUCAACCUUGCUUUUGCAUCUUGCUUUGUCAAUAAAUACUUCAAGGUUGAAUGGUCAGUGAAAACAAUGAUGAAAGACCCUACUAAAUAAGCACGAAAUUUGUCCAAGGCAAAUACCACAGCUAACAAUUCUUUCUCUAUAGUUGUGUAGUUCCUUUGAGCUUCAUUCAGUGUUUUGCUUGCAUAGUAGAUCACAUAGGGCUUCCCAUCUUCUCUUUGGCCAAGCACAACUCCUAUAGCAAAGUCACUAGCAUCACACAUCAGUUCAAAGGGUAGUUGCCAGUUAGGGGCUCUCACUAUUGGAGUUGUUGUUAAAAAUUUCUUCAGUUGAUCAAAGCUAUUUUGACAUCUUUCAUCCCAUAUAAACUUAGCAUCCUUAGCUAACAGCUCACAAAGAGGUUUUGAAAGACUUGAAAAACCUUUUAUAAACCUCCUAUAGGGUUUGCAUGGCCAAGGAACUGCCUUACUCCUUUUAUAGUUGUUGGGGAUGGUAAUUUGACAAUAAGCUCCACCUUUGUUUUAUCUACUUCAAUGCCUUUUUUGGAGAUAAUAUGGCCAAGGACAAUUCCUUGACGUACCAUAAAAUGGCAUUUCUCCCAGUUAAGCACCAGGUCUUUUUCAAUGCAUCUGUGAAGAACCGCUUCCAAAUUGAUUAAGCAUUCCUCAAAUGUACCUCCAUAUACGGUGAUUUCAUCCAUGAAAACCUCCAUAAUUCGCUCCACCAUAUCACUGAAAAUACUCAACAUACAUCUUUGAAAUGUUGCAGGUGCAUUGCAUAAACCAAAAGGCAUUCUUCUGUAGGCAUAUGUUCCAAAUGGACAUGUAAAAGUGGUUUUUUCCUGAUCUUCCACAUCAAUUUCAAUCUGAAAAUACCCUGAAUACUCGUCCAAGAAACAAUAGAACGGAUGGCCAGAGACUCUCUCCAGUACUUGGUCAAUAAAUGGCAAUGGAAAAUGAUCUUUCCUGGUUAUAGCAUUCAACUUUCUAUAAUCAAUACACACCCUCCAACCUGAAGUGAGGCGUGUAGUAAUUUCUUCCCCUUUUUCAUUCUGAACCACUGUAAUCCCUGACUUCUUUGGUACCACUUGAGUAGGACUCACCCAAGGGCUGUCAGAUAUAGGGUAAAUAAUGCCUGCUUGAAGUAGCUUCAGCACCUCAGCUCGCACCACCUCUUGUAAAUGAGGAUUCAAUCUUCUUUGAAGUUGACGAAUUGGCUUUGCUUCCUCCUCCAUAUAUAUAUGAUGUGUGCAAACUAAAGGACUAAUGCCUUUCAAGUCGGAUAUUUGCCAUCCUAUUGCCUUCUUACACCUCUUGAGAACUUCCAUUAGCAACUUCUCUUGAUGACUGGUCAAAGAUGAAGAUAUUACGACAAGACAUUGAUUAUUUUCUUCAAGGUAUGUAUAUUUCAGUUCCAUGGGUAGAGGCUUCAGAUUGAGUUUUGGAGUCUCUUUUUCAGCAACUGCCUCUUCUUCUUUAUUGAACAAAGGUAGAAUCUCUUCUAUCCUUCUCCAACUUUGUAGAGUAGCAAGCACAUUAGGGGGUUCAGACAAACCUUCCUCAAAAUCCACAAGACUUUCAUUCAACUUGUCUUGCAUAUUCUGAUUACAGUGCUCCUCCACUAGAGUGUCAAUAAUGCACAACUCUUCUGGACCCUCUUCUUCUUCCAGAGUGGUUUGCUUUUUAGACAUAUAGAAGAUAUUGAGAUCAAGUGUCAUGUUGCCAAAAGUAAGUUGCAUAAGCCCAUUCCUACAGUUGAUGAUUGCAUUUGAGGUAGCAAGGAAUGACCUUCCAAGGAUGAUAAGAACUAAAUUAGCUUCCUUUACAGUAGGGUCUGUAUCAAGAACAAUAAAAUCUACCGGAUAGUAGAAAUUAUCAACUUGAACCAAGACAUCCUCAAUUACCCCCUUUGGAAUUUUUACUGAUCUAUCUGCUAGAGAUAGAGUGAUUUUCGUUGGCUUCAACUCACCAAGUCCCAAUUGCUUGUAGACGGAAUAUGGAAGCAAAUUCACACUUGCUCCCAAGUCUAACAAAGCUUUCUCCACUACCUUUCCUCCAAUCAUGACUGAAAUGGUAGGACUUCCCGGAUCUUUGUACUUCAACGGAGACUUACAUUGUAAGAUUGCACUUACUUGCUCAGUCAAGAAGGCUUUCUUAUUUGCAGUCAACCCUCUUUUAAUAGUACAUAAGUCCUUUAGGAACUUUGCAUAUGUUGGAACUUGUUUAAUCAUAUCCAGCAGUGGGAUAUUGACUUUCACUUGUCUCAAUACUUCAAGAAUUUCAGAUGCAUUUCUAAUCCCCUUUUUCCCAUGUAAUGCUUGAGGAAAAGGAGGAGAAUUUGAUUUCUUCAGCAUUUCUUCUUUUUGAAGCUCCUUCUCUGGAAUUGCAUUCAUUGUUGAAUCAUAGUCCUUCUUCUUUUCACUGAUCUCACUCUCUUUGUCUUCCAUUUCCUCCCAUUUCUUUAUCUCUUCUUCUUCUUUCUCAACAUGUGGCUUGGGUGUUGGCUUCUCAAUUUUUUUACCACUCUUUAGAGUGAUCAAGGCUUUGACAUCUUUCAUCUAUGAUGAUUUCCCCCUCAAGGCUUUCCACUUCAUGGACACCCUUGGGGUUUUGGUGGGGUUGAGAAGGAAAUCUUCCCUUUUCUUGCACUGUGUUCAAAUUUGUGAGCCUUGAAAUUGAGUAUUGGAAAUUAUCAAACUUUUGGGAUAUAUCAUUUUGCAUUCCAUCCAUCCUUUUAUUCAAAGUACUCUCCACUCUGUCAAUUCUUUGAUUGAGUUGAGCAUUGAUGGCUUCUUGGUUUCCAACAAAAUCUCCCACUACCUUGCUGAGAUUUGCUAUUGCUUGUUCAAGACUUGAAGAUUGUUGAGAUGGUUGAUCCGGCUGUUGGUACUGAGUUGCUCUGGCCUUCCAUGAGAAAUUUGGAUGAUUCCUCCAACUUGAGUUGUAAGUAUUUCCAUAAGGCCCAUUGUUAUUGGACUUGAAUUGUCCAACAACAUUUGCUUGAUCUCUAAACAUUUCCCUUUCAGCUGAAAUUACAGGGCAUUCCUCCACCAAAUGUUCAUAUGAUUGACAAUUAGGACACAGCUUCACUUGCACUGGCGCUUCAGCAACAGCUUGCACUUCAUGUAUCCUUUUCAGCUCCAGCUCCUCCAAUCUUCUUGUCAUAGCUGCCAACUUUGCUUUCAUAUCAUCAUCUUCUUUCAAGGUAUACAUCCCAGCCUUAGCAUUAAAAGCACUCAGUUGAGACUUCAUCUUCCCCACUUCUCCUUUGGUUGGUUCAUCCCAUCCCCUUGAAACUUCGGCUACAUAGCUCAAGAAAUCCAUAGCUUCCUCCGGAUUUUUGCUCAUGAAAUCUCCUUCACACAUUGUCUCGAGGAGUUGCUUCAUUGAGGAAGACAUCCCAUCAUAAAAAUAGCUCACCAAUAGCCAAGUAUCAAAGCCAUGGUGAGGGCAAGCAUUUAUAGCUUCCAUGUAUCUUUCCCAACACUCAUAGAAUUUCUCAUUCUCUUUAGCUGAGAAGUUUGAAAUUUGCCUUUUCAAGCCAUUUGUUCUAUGAGUGGGAAAAAAUUUCUUGAGGAAUUCAGCUUGUAAGUCAAUCCAAGUGCGGAUACUCCUUGGCCUUAAAGAAUUAAGCCAAAUUUUGGCCUUAUCCUUUAAAGUAAAAGGAAAUAACUUAAGCCUCAUCAAAUCAAUUGAAGCUCCUCCCUCUUGGAAUGUAUUACAAACAUCUUCAAAUUCCUUGAUGUAUGCAUAGGGAUUCUCACUUUCCAUCCCGUGGAAAGUUGGUAGAAGUGGAACAAGAUACGGUCUGAUCACUAGCUGCUCUGUAGGGGGCACUAUACAUGAUGGUGCACUCAUACGAGGUGGAUGCAUGCGGUCCCUCAUUGAUCUAAAUUCAUUGAGAUUGUCUUGACGACCUUGGUGGCUAUGCUGAUCUUCAGGUGUAGCUUCCAUGAUAUUCAAGCUCAAUUCCAAUUCCUUGUUAUGAGGUGUAUCACGUUUAACAAGCCUUCCUCCACUGUCUCGUAUCCAAUUUGGCAUACACAACUAGUAUCUAUUUGUAACUAAAAUGAAAAUAAAGGACAACAAAAGGAAACAGGGCUACAACAACAAAAUUAAACUAAGCUGAAUUUAAAAGAUAAAUUUGGAUUAUGAAUUAGUAAAGAAAGAAUGAGAAUUAGUAAAAUGAAAGAAACGUUACCAAUCUUGUGAUGAAAAUCACCAGUGCUCUUUGACACCUUCCCCGGCAACGGUGCCAUUUGAUUCAUGCCCAGUUGGUGUCUCAGCUGAUUUGUGUUCAGCUGGUGCUCCUUGAUUGAGGGAGUAAUCAACAAAAUUUAUAACCUAUUACACCAUAUACUAGGGUAGCAAAGACAAAGCUACUAUAGCAUAGCGGCUCUAGGAUCGUUCACUGGGAAGGUUUAACAAAUUAUCAAUGAUACCAAUUCAAAGUGAAUUGGUAUUGUUUCAUUUCAAGGUUAGCUUAAGAAAUAAAACACAAACUUUGAUUGGUAAAGAUUUAGAUUUAAACUAACUACAAAGCAAGUGAUGGAAAUUACUUAGGAAGAAAAACAUUCCUUGGAGGGUCAGGUUCACUGGGGAGGUUCCUCAUGCAAAACACAUAGCUCCGGUCAGUUGGUUUAUUUCCUCGCAUUAGAGAAGCAACAUAUAGUCAAUUCUCUAAUUGGUGUUGUACAGAUACAUCCUUUAAUUAGAUUUUAGCUUUAAUUCUCUCACUGAUGCAACUUGCAACGGUUCGAGCCUCUCACUAAGCCUUAACCAUUCAAGGUGAUCUUUAACCUUGGACUUUCCUUCACAAGCUCGCAAGAGAUAACUAAUGGAUGUCUCCUUGGAGUCCAAAAGCUUACCAAGUGUUGGCAAUUCCAGAAAAUCCUACCUUCAAGUCACCUCCCAGAGGCUCGCAAGGGGUAAACUAGUGCAUCUCCAUGGUUGGAGAUCACUUGCCUUACCAAGUGUUGGCCCAGGUGACUCUAAGGUGUUUUAAGUUAACUAAAAACAUAGAAAUCACUAAAGGAUUUCACUUCCUCUUCAUUCAUGGCUGAAACCACAAAGCUUUGCAUUCUUGCACUUGGAACCUUUCCCGGCAACCUUAGCUCCAAGGAACUAAAGGUUUAGUUACUCAUUCUCUGGGGAAACUUCCUCAGAGAGUGCAUAACUUAGAAAAAAUGAAAAAUACAAAGUGAGAAGGUAAGGCAAAACAAAGGUCUUGAAUUUUACUUGCUUUCAAACUUUUUCAAAAGGGUUCCUCCCUGAGAACAGGCUCUCGAGAGCUAUUUAUAUAAACAAAAACAAAUACUAAUUAUUACACGAAUAUUUUCUCUUUUUACUAACUUAAAAGCUAAGGAAUCUUAUAAUUGGUGGCUUUCAAGGAGAAUUUUGGGAUUUAGACAACAAAAAUCUGAUGAAAAACAUCUCCCAAUGUCGGUAGCAAAUAUCGGGACGCACUAAGGAUCAUUUCGCAAGUGUAAAUGAGGUCUGCGAGAUUUCGCAGAUGCACAAAAAGGACUGCGAAAUCACUUCGCAGCAAACGGCCGAUUUCGCAACGCUGCGAAAUGGUCUUUCAACUUGUGGUAUUCGGCUUCCAUCAUGACAGGAAACUUCAGGGGGGAAACACGGCACUGUACAUAAAGGCUGCGAAAUCGUCUCGCAACAAAAAGGUGAUUUCGUAGCGCUGUGCAAAAUUCUUCCUUCAGCUUGGAGUGAUUGGCUUGCAAUGGCUGUAACUCCUUCAUUUCAACUCCAAAUUGCACACCGUUUAAAGCAUUUGAUUGUUGACUUCCUGAGCUUCGAAACGACAUAUAGCAUGCAUAAAUUGGACUUCAAGAAGUGCUCCAAAGGUGGCUGACAUGAAUGUCAUCAAGAAUAUGCUUCAUGACAGAUUUCUCUUUGCUUCUUCUCCUUACAUUCCGGAUUUACUCAUGGCAGCAAAGGACUUCAAAGCUUUAGUUCUUCACAUUUCUGAGCUUCAAAUUGCUUUUCCAAAGAUUCCACAUAACUCUCCUCAAUCUCGGAUUGCUUUGGUGAUCAAAAAGCUAUCAAAACACCAAAACUUAACACAUAUUGAUUAGAAGUGCUUGCAAAGGUCUUUAAUAUGUUAAUUGGGUUAAAAUGCAAUAACUACUACUCAAAAGUGUUUAAAAGAGUUAAUUACAAGCUAUGAAAUAGCACAUUUUGAGUAGUAAUCAAUCGAACCUCCACAUUUGCAUAUAUCUCAUUUCUUGGUGUCAAUCCUAUCUCCUGGAGUUUAAAGAAGCAAAAGGCAGUGGCACGUUUAUCCACUAAAUCAGAAUAUAGAGCCCUUGCCAAUGCAGCCUCCGAGACAUCAUGGCUUCUCUCAUUAUUCAAGGAACUAGGUCUACCUUUAUCUGGACAACCCAAAUUGCUCUAUGAUAAUUUGGGUGCAACUCACCUCAAUUUUAAUCCAGUCCAACACUCUCAAAUGAAACACAUUCAGAUUGACCUUCAUUUUGUCCGAGAUAUGGUUCAAAGUGGCGUUCUAAAUGUUCAUCAUGUUAACACCUAGGACCAGCUGGUUGAUCUUCUCACAAAAGGACUCUCACGCUAAAGGACAGAAAUUUCAAGGAACAAGAUUGGCUUAGCCGAUGACAGCUCCAUCUUGCGGAGGCAUAUAAAGGAAGCAUCCUCAAAUCAAGAAAAUCCCUCAAAUCAAGCAACAAAAAUGACUGCAAAUUUUUAGCCUUCAUUCAAGGAUGUAACAAUCCUUAUUUUCCUUGUAACCGAUAACCUUAAUUCUAAGAAACUUACUUAGAAUAGCCCUUGUUAACGUGUAUUUAUUUUUUCUCAUACAAUCUCUUGUUAUGGUGUAAUAUUUUUCAAACAGAGCAGUAAUACAUUAUUGAGAAAUUCUCAAACUCCAUCACUCCCAUCUCUUUAUCCUCAAACAAUCAAGACACAAACUUUGAUGCAUCUCUGUCUUGGAUUCUUCCUGUCAAAAGGAAUAGUUGAAGUAUCUCCAUUGCUUCUCUGUUUCUUUGAGUCAAAGGACAGAGUCUGCCUUUCUCUGUUUCUUCUAAUCAUUUUCAAAAUGCAACAUUGUGAGAUCUACUAAUCCUAAACCUAUUUCUCAAAGAAUCAAAAUCAUAAAUACCAAGAUGUAUACACAUGCAGGUAACACAUCCUCUUGACAAUGAUGUGACAGGUGUAGUAGACAAGGAACAUACAUACCUGUAUUCCAAGGAAGUACUAGUGCAUUUGAUGACAUUGUUCUAGCCUAAAUUCCAAAUUUUAGCAAUCCAAAAUCGGUAACUUCUGCAAAAUUUACCUAGUUGUUGAGGGAACAACACAUCUUCUCUUACCAUUUUUAUCUUAUGCACUACAUAUCCCAUGUCAACUGCCACUUCCACUACACCUGAAUGAAGUAGGAACACAAAUGAACAUUUCAAGGCAUCAGAUUGUUUGAAAAUUAAAUUAGGAGAGGUAGAACUACCGAUGCUUACAUGGAACUAAGGAAAAGACAAACAAGAUCAACAAAAAUGGAAGAGAAAAUGCAAAUCCAUAAGCCUGUAGUUGUUGUCCAAAGCAGCUUCCUUGUCAAUUGUCAACAAAAAGUCUACUAUGAAAUUCACUGGUAGAGCCACAUAUAGAAAAUUGCAAUAAAUGGAAAAGUAAGAAAUCUGCGCUAGGAAUGGGUGAAGCUUAUUGAAUGUAAGAUUCUAAACAGUCUCUGACUAAACAGAGUUGAAGAAUAGGGUUUCACAGGAAUAAUUUUCUUUCAUUGAGAUUAUUCUUUUAUAGAGUUUACAACAUAUACAAAUCCUUCAAAUUAUGAAACUAAAUCACUAAUUAAAAAGAAAGAAUAACUCCUAACAAUUACUUUCCUAAAAAUAAAAAGAUUAACAACUAAUAAAUAAUUUACAUCUUUACAAAGUUAUUUCUUUCCAUAUCAAUUUCGGUUUUCCAACAAACACAAUUGGAGUAUAGAUAGUAUCUCUUAAAGGGAAGUGAGGUCUUGGUGACCCUAGAAGGUUAAGGCUUCUAGAUACUGGAAUAUUUGUGUGUAGACAUACAUAAGAGAGAUGUAGGAAGGAACAGGCAAGCCUGUGUCAUCUGAGUAGAGGCAUCUGGAAUCUUUGUGUGCCAUUAUUCAAUCCAAAAAGAUGUUGGGAGAGAUUUGUUUAGGAUUUAUGUGAUGUACAGUCUUUUCACAAUCAUAAAUAUGAAGGUAUUUAAGUAUGGCAUUUUGGAAUAAGGUGAUAUACCAGUAACAUGGAAAAUAAUGUGAUCACAAAGGACUACAUAGUUAGCAUGUUUGGAAUAGUUGUGGUUGGUUAAUUUCAAGCCCAAGUUUUAGCACCUAAAAACAUGCCCAUUUUUUCCAGACCCUUUAGCAAGCCUGCACAGAAGCAUUCUCUGGUUGUUACAUACAUGGUGUCUGAUUACUACUCAAAAAGUGCUAUUUUGCAGCUUGUAAUUAACUCUUUUAAACACUCUUGAGUAGUAAUUAUUACUUUUUAACUCAAUUGACAUGUUAAGGACCCUUGCAAUCGUUUCUAAUCAAAUUGUGUUAAGUUUUGGUGUUUUUGAUAGCUUUUAGCUACACCAAAGCAAUCCAAGAAUGAGGGAGAGUUGUAUAUAGUUCAUGGCAAAGCUUUUGGAAGAUCAAAUUCAUGAAGAAACCAAGCUUUGGAGCCUCAUAGUCCUUUGCCUUAGUCAUUCAAAGUAUGCAAGGAAAGAGCAAAGGAGAGAGGAAACAGAGUGAAGAAAACAGAGGACAGCAGCUGCAGUCUUCCUUCACACUUUUGGAGCACUUCCCGAAGUCCAUUUUUUACAUGCUAUAUACCAUUUCAAAUCUUAGGAAGUCAAGAAUCCAACGCUUCAAACCGUGUAAGAUUUGGAGCUGAAAUGAGGAAGAUAUGGUCUUCGGAAGACAACUGCAUCAAGUUGAGGGACAAUUUUGCACCUUGCGAAAUUGGAACUUCAAUGUGCGAAAUUUAAAGUGUAUGGCAACUGUGCAGUCGCAGUGAAGCCCAACAUGCGAAAGUGGAUUCUAAGUUGCGAAAUCAACUUGUGAAAUUUUUGCAAGUCACCAUGCAACGUGCGAAACUGGGAUUUUUGUGCAUCGACUUUUUUUCUUCUGAUAUUUUGUGUCUAAAUCUCCAUUUUCUCCUUGUAUUCAGCCACUCAUGUAAUUCCUUAGCUAGGAAGUAUUCAAGGAAGGGUAAAUUACCUUCCUAUAUAAACUCUCUUGUAAACACUAAAAAAAACUCUCUCUCUCUCUCUGAGGAGCUUGUUCCAGGAGACGAACUAUUGUAUAUUUUACACUUAGUGAAAUAUAGAGAUCUUUUUGCUUUCCUUUUCUCUUUUCUAUUUUCUUUUUCUUGGAAGCCAAACAACCUCUGAGGAUGUUUUCCCAGAGGAUGAGAGGCUAAACCUUUGGUUUCUUAGAGUGAAGGAAGCUAGGUGAAAAGUCCAGAUGCAAAAAUGGAAAACUCUCGUGCAUUAAAUACAGGUAGUUGGAGUUCAUAAAUGGCUUUUAAAUCUAAAGUUUUGCUUUAAAUCCCUUAGAAUCACUUUGAAUGGCCAAUACAUGAUAAGCUUUUAGGUCUCUGUGGAUACUUAUUGCUAGAUCCACAUAAGACCAUUAGUUAUCAUGUACGAGCCAUUGGAAAGUGGCUCAAGGUGAAGACCCAUAGUGUCUAAAGCCAUUAAUGGAACUUGACUACCAUUUCUAUUGACUUUUUAUGGAUUAAAUCUUCAUUGUUAAACCUAUACCGGUUCGGGAAACAACCAUCCUUUAUGUUGUUGUCCCCAAUGCGAGGAGAAAGAUCCGAAAUUUCCCACUUUGCAUUCUGAACUUGAUCCUAGCAACCUUUAGCUCUGGGAGACUUUCUUUCUUCCAUUUUUACCUAGUUCUAUGUUAGUUUAGUUCCAAACACCACUUUCAAAACAAAUUUUCUUUUCUUUUAAACUUUAAGUUUUAGACAAAGGAAAUCAUCAGACUCAAUUUCUAAUCUUGAGUCUAUCACUGGUAGAGUGAAAACCCAUCCCAGAGUUCCACCCUAGAGCUGCUAUACUAUAGUAGCUUUGCUACGCCAGUAUAAGGUCAUAGGAUUUAUAAAUAUUUUUUUGAUUAAAUUACCCAACUGGGCACGAAUCAGUGUCUGCAUAUCAAUCAACACAUUUUGAUGUUUUUUUUUUCUCAAAUUCCAUAUUAAAGUUAUACUGGACACUUGAAUGUGAACAUGUCUGAUUAUAUCUUUUCUUUCCAGACAUGUUUCAUCUCUCCAGUGCACUAGGUUUGGAUGAACCUUAAAGCUCAGCUACAGAAUGAAACUGGAAUAUUAGUCAUGUUUUCUGUUCAUAGAUUGAUAAAAAUGUUGAGUAAGAUCAAGAAAGUUGUUAAAUGGGAAGAUGAUGAUUUUCUUACUGUCAGUUUGCAUUGAAAAAAUGGUAAUCAGAAAAGAUAUUUUAGAUAGGAUUCAGAAAGAAAAUAUGUUGAUUCAAAAGUUAAAGAUAUAGUACCCAAGGGGCUAUGAUCCUGUAUAUGGAUGUUUCAUGUUUUAAGAUUGUGCACGAAGUGCUGAUGUUAUAAGGGAUCAAGGGUGGUUUGUGGAGUAGUCCCCUCUUCAGAGUAUUGCAAGUAUCUAGAUAAUCCUGCAAUUCUGGAGUAGGCUUCUUCUAAUUUGCUCUGCUCCCAAUCGUCCAGAAUAGUGGAAAGCUUCAUUCAGUUGUAAUAAUUUUAUUAUUUAGAUUGAAUCAUAUUCAUUAGGUUUAUAGAUAAGGAGAAAGUGUCAUGGCUUUGAAUGUUUGUCUCUUUGAUAAUAUCACAGUGCAUUGGUUCACAGAGAUGGAAGCAUGACAGUUGAAUGAAAUGACUGAAAUGUAGCAGUCAAGGGUAUAUUAUAUGAAAAAUUUUAAAUAAAGCAACCUGUUUGACUUUACAUAGUGUGCUUGCAUCAGUUGUGGACGUCUAAUGGUUGGAAUAUCCUUGCACAUAUGUCAUCAUUUUCUUUUUUUUCAACUCUGUUUUCUUUGUUUCUCCCUUCCUCGAUCAAGCCAAACCACUUGGUGAUUCUUCAUUUCUUCUUCAUCCCAUCAAGAGAACAGCAUCUCAUGCAUCUUUGUAUUAGGUUCCUCCCUCUUCUUCAACCCUAAGGAAAAACCGUAUCUUGCUUAGUUUGGACUUCUCUAUUUCUUUUGAUCAUUGUGAAAAGAAUCAUGAGAAGAGGUACAAUAAAUGUGUUGUGCUGAAUUAUUCAAAACAUUAUUUUCAUAAUCAUAAAUACCAAGGUGUUUAAGUAGCAGGUAAGACAUCUCUUGACAAUGAGGUGAGAGGUAGAAAUAAGCAACAUACUUGUAUUCAAGAGAAGUUCUGUUCUUCUUUUGAAAUUUGACAACAUCCAUUUAGUCUGAACUCAAUAUCUGGGCAACUCAAUAUCUCCACCUUCAUUAGGAUUGCAGGAAGCUGGCUUAUUGGAAAGACAUGAAACGGGGGCAUUUCAAAAUCCAAAAAAAUUUCAGAGACCUGUUGCAACUUUUGAAUUGCUCAAAUCAGUAACAACUCCAAAGAUAUAUACAUAUCUGCCCCUGGGAAAUAGAGGUGUCCUAGGCAUGCAACCAUGGAAUGUUAGCUCCCUAAUAGGCUCAAGGUUGUGAUCAUAAAAAAUGCACUGAGUGAGUGACUUGCAAUCAGUUCUGUGAGUCCCUCUUGGUAGCUUCUCAUUUAUUUCACCAUAUGAAUUGCAGAUUCCAACUGCCAAUUUCACCACCCCUAAAUGAACUAGGAGACAUGUUGAAAGCAAAGUUAGACAACUCAUCAUAGAGUUAAUCCUGUAGGAAUACACCAAAAAGGAAAUCUUAUUAAUAUAAAUGAAUUCAUCCAAUUAAAGGAUAAGGUUGCCUGAAAAAUUAAAUUGAGAGAGAUGGAUAUAGUGAUGCUUACAUGGGACUGUGGGAAGGAUCAACAAGAGAAACAAAUAUUGAAUAGAAAAUGCAAAGCCAUAGAGUUUGCAACUGCUGUCAAAAGCUGCUCCCUAGUGAAGUCUUUUAACAAUAAAUUUUAGUGCAAAAUUCGCCUAAUUGCUCCACUUGUAGGACAUUUCAAUAGUAUGAAAACAGGAUAUGGUGAACUCUCCCUGCUUCUUCCAUUAGUGAACUAAUAUGGAUCAAAGAUGAAUCUCGUCAUCUACAUCUAUUUUUACAUAGGAGAUGUGGGCAAUCUUGGGCCAAUCUUUCAUCAUUGGAUUUAGGAGUUGUCUUUGAUUUAUGGUUCUAAAAGCAUGGCAGGAAACCCUUCACUUGUCAAAUACUACUGGAGCUUAGGUGAUGUCUCAAUGUGGGGAUGCCAAGGAUACCAGAUUCUGGAAUCUUUACAUGAAAAUAUACAUGAGAUCCAUAGGGAGAAAAUACAGGCCUUGGUCAUCUGAGAAAGAAGCCACAUAUUGAAAUAUACCACCAACGAUGAAUUGUUUGAGAGUGGUGAGUCUGUGAGGGCCCCACUAGGACCUGGGGUGUUUCUCACAUUCUUUCAAUCUUCAAUCUGAAAUAUCCACUUAAGCAAUUGUACCUCUAGGAAUGAGUCAUUUUGGGGCAGAUUGUUUUCAUUUUCCUUCACACCAUUGUUUCACCAUAGGGCACUAAAUGAUAUGUAGUUGCAAGACAAAUAAAGGUAGCCUUUAAUGAAAGCUUAUAGAAAUUCAAGACAAACAGAUCUUCAUGGAGAUAUGAGGUUUUGAAAUCCAAUAAAGAUUUGAAAAUCCAGACACGAGUUAUCCAAUGUACCCAUUGGUAAUAGAGUUGGGUAGUAUUGUUCCUUCUACCCUUGGAAAAUGACAUCACAUGAGAAAUUCCACUAGUAAUGGGGAGCUUAAGUGAUGUGUUGGGGCUUGGGCAAUGUUGUAUCUUAAGAUAUUCAAGAGAUGUGUGAUCAUGCAUCAACCCUAAUUCUGCUAGCAUAAUCUGGUUUUCAGUCUUAAAUAUGUAGUUAAAAUGUAUGGCAGGUCAUGCAUGCAUCUCUGAUAUUGUCAUGAGAAGUGGAGAUUGAGCAACAUACAUGAUUCAAGGGAUGUGCAAUUGUUCUUAUCCAUCGAACAAUCUUCAUUUGAUACAGAGCCCAGAUUUUUAGCAACUUGUGAUCUCCACAUUUUAACACAUUGGAGGAAGUUGGCCUAUUCAACAAACAAGACAGGACAUUUAGAAAAAUGCAAGAAUUCCAGACAUGUGUUGCUGUCAUGAAUUAUUCUAAUCAGUAAGGAAUCAAAGUGCUAUAAUUUUGAUUUGUGUAGCUAUUUAACAUGGAUAACAGACCUAUCUUGGGGAAGUAACUUAAGUCCCACACACCAUCUCAAUCCUGAGCUCUCUGGGAUACUUAAGACACCAACUUAAUCAAAGUUGCUACUUGUUUCUAUGGUAGCUCGUCUUUUUCCACUGAUACUGGGGAAAAAGCAAAACAAAGGGAAAUGAAGUCAUGUUAUGAUCCUGUCUCCAAUCUCCUUGACACAGAUAGAUGAUUUCCUUGCAACCGAUAAUGUCUAAUGCUUUCACUUCAGUUCUAGCAUGUGUUUUGGGAAGAGAAUUAAGCUUUCAAAUAUUGCCAAUAUGCAAGGAAUUGAGAAAGGCCAGGUGGGCAGCUGCCACAGUUAGUUCACAAACCAAUGGCAACAUUGGAGUGGAACAUGACACAAAAACUUCAAAAGACAAAACCUGUUUUUCACAAUCAUAAAUACCGAGGUGUUUAAGCAUAAAGUAAUGCAUCUAUUGACAAUGAUAUGUGACGUGGAGACAAGCAACAUACCUGUAUUCAAGAUAAAUGGUAUUCUUCUUUUGCAUUGACAACAUUCAUCUAGUCUAGGCCCCAAAUUUUUAGCAACUCUAGAUCUCCACCUUUAUUAGGAUUACAGGAAGCUAACCACUUGGAAAGACAUGAGAGUAACAUUUAGAAAUCUGAAAGGAUUCUAGAGAGCUGCUACAAAUGGUGAAUCAUUCCAAUCAGUAACAACAAGGAGCCCUAUAUACAAUUUUGAACUAUCAGCCUUCAUAGCAUGAAUGAUAAACUUGUCCCUAGGAAUGAGAUGUGCCUUGGGCAUGCAACCUUCAAUUAUUAGUCAGAGUUACCCCUACCUAAUCCAUUUCGAUGUGUCUGGGAAAACGAGGUCCACCAGAUGUUAUGGCCAUUAUCUCAUGGUAGUGGAUGUUUUGAAGCAGAGUAUCACUGGAGGUUAUGGCCAUUAUCCCAUUGCAGCAGAUGUUUUGCACCAGAGUUUAAAACCAAGUCAUUGACAAAGGCCAUAGUGAUGUCAUUGAUUUUAUUCUAAACCUAUCAAAAACAAUAUGAGAUUCACUUUGAUUUCAAGUUAUGCAAGAUCUAUAUGAGCUCAAUUGUUUUGAAACUUGAUUGAUGUUUCGUUGGUCAGGUUUUUUUUAGACAUGAACUUAUUUUUUGUGCUUAACUUGAAGAAGCUGCUAAUAAGACUGAAUAGUCACAUAUCACUUAGAGAGUUGAGAAUCACACAACUUUUUCGUUUUUUUUAGGACUGGUUUGUCAUCAAGUCUUUUGCUCAGUUGUUGUGAUGGUUUGAAAUUUCUAUCUGAUGACUAUAACCUAUAUAAACAACAACUUGUAUUCUCUUAUCUUGAGCAUUUUAGUAUUCAAUAAAAAAGACCUUUACUAAACCUGCAGAUUUUUUCAAGUGAUAUUUUUUUUUUCAACAAGGAAGGGAGGCAUUUUUAUUGGUAGCAUAUCCUGAUUCAUAGAGUCUAAACCCUUGCAAAUUGAAAGAAAGACAAUUUACAUAUCAUUAAAGGGUGAUCUGUAAGCACUCUUAUAAGCCAACAUCUUCCUCAUUUGGAUUUGGAAUUUAACCUUUGAUAAGCGUUUACUUGUUUUUAAUCUAUUUUUUAGGAAGACAAUUAAUGAGAUUUUGCCAACCAAAAACAGAGGUUUGUUAGCCCUCCUACCCUCAAGCUGGUUCUCUUGCAUAUGCUUGAAGAACUAAAACAAAGUAAUGCACUAUAUCCUAGUUCUAACGAUUUCCAAUCCCCGGCAACGGCUCCAAUUUCUUGACCAAACUUCUCUACUUAAUCAAAAUACUUAGCCUUUUUGCGUAGCAACUCCGGUCAAGAAAAAACUAGAGAAAUAGUCACUACGUCUUUUGUAGUAUUCCGGGUAUCGUCCUCAAGGACUGGCUUAUGGAAAUUGUCAAUACAAGAAUAAAUGAAUUGCUUUUAUUUAAAUUCUAAAGUGAAAACCAAUAUGUGAAUAAUGUGAAACUAAGUAAAAGAAAUGAAAUUAAUAAAAAAAUGAAUAUUCAUUUUAAAUUCAAUUGAUUCAAGUUUGGGGUUUUCCACAAUCCAACAUAGGGUAUAGAAAUUAGAGAAAACAAGGGUCUUUUAAGUAAUAUGAUCUUAGGAUUUUGGGAUCCUUAGCCGCUCGCUAUCAAGUUGAGUUCUAUAACUCAAAAUUGCAUCUGAAACUUAAUUUUUGCUUUUUAAAAUAGAUUCCUAAAACCAUCAAAUGAAUGAGAUUGAUUACCAAUUUAAGAUUUGGCUUUUUAACCCUUCCAACUCCUUAUAGCUUUGUUUAGGGGCAAAUAGCGAUAGGGAAGACGAGGAUAACUAAUGGUCAAGAAUUACCAAGAAUCACUAGUAUCAGGUAAUAACCUACGGUAUCAUUCCCUAAACGAACUCACAAAGAUAGGAUAAAAAAAUGAUAAAUUGUCACCCAACCAAUAAUUAAUCUCAUUGUUAUAAUAAUUUACCCAUUGUCCCUAUAGGUUUCCUAGACCUUAGGUUUUCAUGCUUCAAGCCCCAAGUUGGCUCUUAACCUCUCAUGGGGGUGAUGUCACAUUCACAAUCCAUAAUAGGGUAAAAAUCCAUAAUUUGAAUCAAAAGAAACCAAUUAAUUAGUCAUUGCAUUUUCAUAGUCUUACAAGAAAUCUUGUUAUGGUGGCAGGAGAACAAACUACAACAUAGUCUCAUUUCCCUUCAUGAUUUAGACAUUAUAAAGAUCAAAAACCUGUUCCUGGUAAUAUAAGAAAAAGAGUAGCCAAAGAACAGGAACAAAAUGUAUUGGAACCUUGUGGAAUUGAAUAGUUGGUAUCCAGGUGGAAAAAAUACACAAAAAUGCACUUAACAAACUGCUAAUCAACAGGCCAAGAUUCUACUUCCAAGAGACAGGUUUGUCAUCCAUGUCAAGAAGGCUUGCACUUCAUUUUUCUGGGACUUUGGCAUCAACAAAUUUCUGGAAUUCUUUCAGGUUUCUAAAUGGAAUGGUUCAAGUCAUCAACACAUUCCUAGAAUUCUUUUGUAAAUGUCAUCAUCCUGGCCAACUUUCUUCAGUGUUGAAAGAGGGGGUGAUACCAUGUUGCUAAAAAUUAUAGUCCAUAUGUACUAGAUGGACAAGAACUACAACACUUGUAUUAGAAACAUCUCUGUUGCCUGGAUUUGCAUUACCUGCCAUAAUUAAGCACCUUUUUAUUAUUGUAGCAGAGUGUUUCAGAGUCACCCAUACCUAAUCCAUCUUCAUGUCUCUCAAACAACUAGGUCUAUUGGUAGUAGAAGAAGAGCAGCUUGAAUAGCUGGUCAUUUCCUUUUAUAAUUUAGGGAUAGAGGUUAAAAACUACCGCACUUAAAUAACUGGUAUUCAGGUGGACAAGAACUACAACACUUCUCUAAGAAACAUGUAUAUUAUUUCUUCAACUCUUACUCUAUUCCCUGGAGUUGCAUUACCUGCCAUGAUUAAUCGCCUCCUAUUUAUUCUUGUGGAGAAACAGGUUUUGGUGUAUGUAGAGAGACUAUACAAUUAUUGCACCUCUUGAUUUUCAAGACCGCCCAACCUCUCCUUGAGAAUCUAGAAUUGUCAAACUGAUUUAUGGCUAACCUUCCAAGGACCUUAGGGGCUUCAUACAAGGUAGAUCUUGUGUAAGAGAUUCAAAAUUAUCUCUACAUAAUCCAUCUCCAUUUCUUUAUAAUAACUAGAUGUUGAUUCAUGCCCAAUUGGUGUCUUAGCUGAUUCGUGUCCAGCUGGUGCUCCUUGAUAGAGGGAGUAAUCAACAAAAUUUCUAACCUAUAACACCAUAUACUAGGGUAGCAAAGAAAAAGCUACUAUAGUAUAGCGGCUCUAGGAUCGUUCAUUGGGAAGGAUUAGCAAGCUAUCAAUGAUACCAAUUCCAAGUGAAUUGGUCUUGUUUCAUUUCAAGGUUAGCUUAAGAAAUAAAACACAAACUUUGAUUGGUAAAGAUUUAAACUAACUAACAUAACAAGUACUCAGAAUAACUUAGGAAGAAAAGCAUUCCUUGGAGAGUUAGGUUCACUGGGGUGGUUCCUCAUGCAAAAGACAUAGCUCUGGUCAGAUGGUUCAUUUCCACGCGUUAAAGAUUCAACAUAUAGUCAAUUCUCUAACCGGUGUUGCACAGAUACCCCCUUCAAUUAGAUUUUACUUUAAUUCUCUCACUGAUGCAACUUGCAAUGGUUUCAGCCUCUCACUAAGCCGUAACCAUUCAAGGUGAUCUUUAACCUUGGAUUACCCGUCAAAAGCUCACAAGAGAUAACUAAUGAAUGUCUCCUUGGAGUCCAAAAGCUUACCAAGUGUUGGCUAUUCUAGAAAAUCCUACCCUAAAGUCACCUCCCAGAGGCUCGCAAGGGGUAAACUAGUGCAUUUCCAUGGUUCGAAAUCACUUGCCUUACCAAGUAUUGGCCCAGGUGACUAUAAGGUGUUUUAAGUUAACUAAAAACAUAGAAAUCACUAAAGGAUUUCACUUCCUCUUCAUUAAUAGCUAAAACCACAAAGAUUUGCAUUCUUGCACUUGGAACCUUCCCCGGCAACCUUAGCUCCAAGGAAUUAGAGGUUUAGUUACUCAUUCUCUGGGGAAAACUCCUCAGAGAGUUCAUAACUUAGUAAGAAAAUAAAAAUACAAAGUGAGAAGGUAAAGCAAUACAAAGAACUGAACUUUACUUGCUUACCCAAGACUUUUACAAAAGGAUCUCCUCUCUGAGAACAGGCUCCCGAGAGGUACUUAUAUGAACAUAAUAUAAAACUAAUUAUUACAUAGAUAUUUUCUCUUUUUACUAACUUAAAAGCUAAGGAAUCUUGUAAUUGGUGGCUUACAAGGAGUAUUUUGGGAUUUAGACAACAAAAAUCUGAUGUAAAAUAUCUCCCAAUGUCGGUAGCAAAUAUCGGGAUGCUCCAGGAACCAUUUCGCAAGAGAAAAUGGUGUCUGCGAGAUUUCGCAGGCACUCAAGAAGGGCUGCGAAAUCAUUUCGCAACAACAUGCUAUCUUCGCAAGGCUGCGAAGUUGGCUUCCACCUUGAGGUUCUCAGAUCCCAGCUUGCAGCAUAUAUCAGGCAACUUCAGAAGGAAAUACACCCUACUGUACAAAAAGGCUGCGGAAUCACUUCGCAACAAAAGGGUGAUUUCGUAACACUUUGGAAAUUGCUUCCUUCAGCUUGGAGUGAUUGGCUUGCAAUGGCUGCAACUUCUUCGUUUCAACUCCGAAUUGCGCACCAUUUAAAGCAUUGGAUUGUUGACUUCCUGAGCUUUGAAAUGGUAUAUAUCAUGCAUCAAUUGGACUUCAGAAAGUACUCCAAAAGUGGCUGCUACAACUGUCAUCAAGAAUAUGCUUCAUGGCAGAUUCUCUUUACUUUUUCUCCUUGCAAUCCGGAUUUACUCUUGGAAAAUGACUUCUAAACUUUACCCAAGAUUCCUCAAAACUCUCCUCAAACUUGAAUUGAUUUGGUGAUCAAAUUACUAACAAAAACACCAAAACUUACACAAAGUGAUUAAAAUUGCUUUCAAGGGUCCUUAACAUGCCAAUUGAGUUAAAAGGCCAAAACUACUAAUCAAAAGUGUUUAAAAGGAUUAAUUAUAAGCUAUCAAAUAGCACUUUUUGAGUAGUAAUCAGAUGUUAUGGCCAAAAUCUCACAUAAGGUGUCAGGUUCAUGUUGGGGCUCAUUCACAAGAUUAAGAUGAAUAUAAUAGGGGAUGUUCCAGAUUUACCACCAGCCAUGUUGUCAAGUUGUUCAAUUUUCUUGUGUUGACUAUGGCCACAAUCACAGUUGUGUGUCCUUUCCCAAAAGAAAUGUCAUUUUGAAACUUUUAAUGUCAACAACAAAACUUUCAUGUUUCUAUAUUCAGGUACCCACAAAAAAUUGAGUCCCUGUUUGCAUCCAAUGAUAGAAAGUAAUAAUCUGAACAAGGGAACAAGUGAGGAGAAAACUAAUUCUAAACACGGAAGCCAAGUACUUGAUUUCUGUUUGACUGGUGGAAUAAUUGAAAUGUAUUUACAGAUUUAGCAUUAGAUAAGUUUAACAAAAUCACUAGUUAACCCCCAAACCUCUUCCCUCCACCCACCACAAAGGAAAGAAACAACGUUUUGGGAUCCUAGUAGCUUUAUGUUACAAGAUUCUGAUCAACAUAUGCUGCAAAGUAUUAUGUUGGUUCAAUUCCUCUACUUUGCAUUGCAACAAAGUAUAAGUGGGUUUUCUCUUUUCUUCAUCUUCAAAUGAAACAACCCUUCUCAAUAAAAGAAUACAAGAAAUUGAGAGCUAAGACCAUUUCCUUUCAUUGUGCUUUGUUUACUCUACUCCUUCUUUUGGUCAAGCCAAACAAUCUUUGGCUUGUCCAUUUCUUUUUCACCCCACAUAAAAAGGCAGCUUGUUAAGUUAUCCCAUCUCUUUAUCCCCUUGUCAAGACACAGAAUUUAAUGCAUUGUUGUCUUGGAUUCCUCCUAGUUAAAAGGAAGCUUGAAAUAUCUCUAGUGCUUCUCUGUUUCUUUGAGUCAAAUGAUAGAAUAUUGAUUUUCUCUGUUUCUUUGAGAUGCAAGAGGUUUGUACAGAACUUAGGUGAUGUAACUAUUGGUCAGUGAGGUAUUUAAUUAGAGAACUUUGGAGGCUUGGGCAUUACUAUUUAUUUAGAUAUUCAAAAUGCAUUAUUGCACAUCUUCUUGACUUCCUGUAAAUGAACUUGUUUUUCACAAUCAUAAAUAUGGAGGUAUUUAAUUAUGGUAGGUAAUAUACCACCUAGAAAUUGAUGUGGAAGGUGGAGACUAACAACAACAUAGAUGUAUAUAAGGGAUUUACACUUAGUCUUGUGCAUCAAACAACCCUCAUUUAGUAUAAACCAUAAAUUUUGGCAACUCGUGAUCCACAAUUUAGAGCAUGAGAGGAAGCAGACCUGUUGGAAAGACAAGAGGAGACAGUUAAAAACAUGCAAGAAUUCCAUAGAUGAGUUGCUGUUAUGAAUUAUUCAAAAUCCAUGAGAAAAUUUAAAGCCCAUUAAUUUUGAAUGAAACACCUACUUAGCAUGGAUCAGAAACCUAUUUUACGAAAAGAAACCAAGUCUUGAGGACCAAUUCAAUUACCAAAUCUCUAGGAAAUACUAAGGCCUUUUUAGUAGCUUCCUAAUUAGUGCAUAAGGUGGCAAUGCUAAUUGCUUUUUUGGAAGUUCUUCUUCUUCUGGUAUCGAGGAAAAUGCUAUAAUCCUAAAUCUGCAUUCUCUAUGUACAAAUGUUUUUUUCGAUGCAUACUGUUAGAGAAGAUGAGGAAGCUUCAGAAUGUUAGUUGACAAAUCAAUUGGAGCAAUGGAAUUGGAACAGGACACUAACUUCACAACAUUAAAAAUAAGUAAUGCAGAUAAGGGCAUUUAUAUGUACACAUAUUGAUCAGAAAUAAACUUCAUUCUUUAGCAACCUAAAAACUCAAAAGAAAGAAGUAUAAUUUCAGAUAUGCAAGAUUUUGAUCAAUUAAAGUCCAAAGCAUUUUAUGUUCAUACAAAUGAGAAGACAGAAUGGCAGCUGACUUUGAGGAUUGAUAGAAAAAUGAAUUGAUGCUACUUCCCAAUGCUAAUGCCAUUAAUUUGUUGUUGCUUUUUGUGGCCAUGUCAAGCUUGUCCAUCAGAUAAGGUUUGAAUUGCUUCUAUUAUUCUUGUUUAAGACAAUCCCCCCCUCCCCCCCUCCUUUUUUUUCUUUGUUAUAGUCAAUCAUCUUGUUUCAUGUUUGCCCUAUAGUUGGUCUGCUGAUGGUAGGCUUCUUUUGAGUGGAAGCAAAGACUCUAUGUUGAAGGUAAAUCAUGGGAACUAUGUCUUUUUGUGGUAUCAAUGGGGCUAUCAUAUAGUUGAAUGAUUCUAUUGCUUCCUUAUAGCUUUUCAAGGCACUAAAAAAGAAAAGAACAAAUGUGACAUGGCAACAUUUUUUUCUUCCAAGUUUAAACGGUAAUUUGGGAGAGUGUAUUAUGAAAAUAUACUAAAAUAAAAAAUCCUAUGAAUGCAUUCUACUUUGGAUAUUUCUUAUGAAUCUUUCCUUCCACUCCUAACCACCACAGACACUCCCAUCACACCAAGCCUUGUAGUUGUUCUAAAUUGUUGCAAAUCUGUCAGAAACCAAUUACUAAUAUUAAGGACGGUCAUGUCUACUAAUUUGGGGCUAGAAUUUUUAGAGCAGGUGGGAAAUUCUGGUUGCAGUAGGGAAUGUGAGUGCUACUAUUUUGCCAAGGUGGCUUUCCUUAUUCAUGCUAACAUCAACAACAUAGCAAUGAACUCAAUUUAAUAUUGUUUAUCAUAUAGGCUUGAGAUAUCCGGACAUAAAAGUUAAAACAAGACCUUCUAGGCUAUGAAGAUGAGGUAUUUUCCUCCUCUUAAGUACUAGUUAAUAUUCUUCUUUUGACAUUGUACUUGGUUUAAUUAAUGUUUUCCUUCUUUUCGUAUUUUGGAAAGGUUUUUGCUAUUGAUUGGAGUCCAGGUGGUGAGAAGGUAUUCUCCGGUGGUAAGGAUAGAGUACUCAAUUUAUGGAUGGGUUGAUGGCUGAAGGAGGAAGAGAUGUAUGAAAUGAAGAUUGAUAUUAUUCUUCCACAACAUGAUGGACUUGACAGCACUCAGCUUUUGCCUACAGUUAAUAGUCUACCAUAUGUGUAACUUAAAGGUUGUGCACUAAGUUCUGAUGUUAUGAAGGAUCGAGGGUGGUUUGUGCACUAUGCUUUUCUAAAAUGUUUUUCUUUAUUGAGUUGUAAUGAUUGUAUUAUUUGGAUUUAAUUGUAUUAAUUAGGUUUGCAGAUCAUGAUAUGAUUAUUUUCCUCUUUGAUCAUGUAAAGUUGGGAAACAGUUAUGGGUUACUGUAAUAGUAUGGUAUAUUGAUGCACAUAGUUUGUGGCAUGACAAUUUGAUGAAAUAACAGAAGUGUAGCACUCAUGGGCAUAUCAUGUGAACCUUAUUCAAUGUGGCAUUGAUAAUUAGUUUAAAUUUACAUGGGUGUAAUGUCGCACCAGUAUCAUCUGAUGAACCUUGGAUUCUUUUUUCUCAGUUUCUUCCUCUCUUAGUCAAGCUAAACAAUUUAUCUUCAUGACUUCCUUAUGUUACCAAAAAAUAGCAUCUUGUGUUCUCCAUAUCUUCAUCCCCUUGUCAAGACACAACAAUUUGAUGCAUCUUUGCAUUGGGUUACUUCCUCUCAUUUCCCUCUCCUUCUUCCUCGUAUCAUUGCUUAGUUUUGGCUACUCUAUUUCUUUUGAUCAUUAUGGUAGAGCAUCAUUGCAAGAUGUAUAAGAAAUGUUGUGGUGCAUUAUCCCCUUCUCUACCACCUGAAAUCUGUUUUCCAUGAUCAUUAAUACCAAGAUGUGUAAGCAUCAAGUAAGGCAUCUCUUGACAAUUAUGUAAGAGAUAAGAGACAAGCAACAUACCGGUAUUCAAGAGAAGUGAUGUUCUACAUUUACAGUUGGCAACAUGCAUUUAGUCUGAACUCCAGAUUUGAGCAACUUAGAAUCUCCACCUUCAUUAGGAUUGCAAAAAGUUAACUUCUUGGAAAAAUGUGGAAAUGGGGCAUUUAGAAAUCAGAAAGAAUCCCAGUGACCUAUUGCUACUUUUGAAUCAUUCCAAUCACUAACAACUCUAAAGAUAUAUAUAUACAAAUCUAUCCUUGGGAAAGAACUCGAUGUUUCUUGGGCAUGCAACCAUCUCUCUUAAUAGACUUAGGGUUCUACACCCUCUUGGUGGUUUCUUAUAUAUUGCACCAUAUGAUUUGUAGAUAUCCAAUUGUCAAUUUCACUACACUUGAUGAACUAGAAGCUAUGUUGAAAGUGAAGUUAAACAACCCAUCAUAUCCGGUUAAAGGAUAAAGUUGCAUGAAAAAUUGAAUUGGGAGAGAUACAAAUACUGAUGCUUACGUGGGACUGUGGAAGGAAUCAACAUGAGGAACAAACAAUUAAUAGUAAAUGUAAAGUCAUAAAGCUUGUAACAACUGUCAAAAGCUACUCUAUAGUGAAGUUUUUUAACAAUAAAGGUAACUGAAAAAUUCACCAAGUAACUCCACUUGAAGGAAAUUUCAAUGGUAUGAAACUAGAAUAUGGUGAACUCUCCUUGCUUCUGCUAUUGUUAUGAGCCAUUAUAGAUCAAAGAUGAAUCUCGCCAUUUGUUUUCACAUAGGAGAUGUGGGCUAUCUUUGGGUCAUCUCUCAUCAUUGGAUUUAGGAGUUCUAUCUCUCAUAUAUAGUUUCACUUGCCAACUACAAAUGGAGCUUAGAAAAUGUCUCCAUGAUAUGGAGACUGAGAAACAUACAUGAUUCAAGGGAUGUGUAGUUGUUCUUGUGAAUCACCCAAUCUUCAUCUAAUAUAUAUAGAUCGACACACAAAUUUUAGCAACUUGUAAUCUCCACAUUUUAGAGCACUGGAUAAAGCUAGCCUAUUCAACAAACAUAACACAAUUAGAAAAAUGCUAGAAUUCCAGAGACAUGUUGUGAUAUCAUGCAUUCCAAUCAGUAAGGAAUCAAAGUGCUAUAAUUUUAAAUUGUGUAAUAAUAGACCUAUCUUGGGGAAGUAAACUAUCUUGAGCACCAACUCAAUUGUGAGUUAUUUAGGAGACCUGGAUACCAACUCAAUCAAAGCUGUUAGUUGUUUCUGUGGCAGCUUGUCUUCCUCCACUAAUACUGGAGAAAAUGCUUUUGAAACCCUUAAUCUUCAAAUCACAAAGGGAAAUUAGAUUAUGUUGUUAUUCGAUCUCCAAUCUCCUCGACACAAACGAAUGAUUUCCUUGCAACAAACAAUGUCUAAUUCUAUCACUUGUACUCUAGCAUGUGAUUUGGGAAGAGAAUUAAGCUUUGGAAUAUUGCCAAUAAACAAGGAAUUGAGAAAGACCAAGUAGGCAGCCACCACAACUAGUUCACAAACAAAUGGAAGCAUUGGGAGUGGAACAUGACACAAAAACAAAACAUGUUUUCCAUAUUCAUAAAUACCAAGGUGUUUAAGCAUCAGGUAAGGCAUCUCUUUACAAUAAUAUGAGAGAUAGAGACAAGCAGCAUACCAUUAUUCAAAAGAAGUGGUAUUCUUCUUUUGCAUUUGAUAACAUUCAUCCACUUUACACCCCAAUUUUGGAAACUUAGGAUAUCUCCACUUUGAUUAGGAAUAUUGUGGGAAGUUGGCCUCUUGGAAAUACAUGAGAGGCCACUUAGAAAUUUGAAAAAAUUCUAGAGACUUGUUAUUGCUUGAAUUGUGAAUCAUUCCAAUCAGUAACAACCGUAAAGCCUUUAUACACAAUUUUGAAUUAUUAGCCUUCUUACUUUGGAUGAAAAAUUUGUCCCUAGAAAAGAGACGUGUCUUGGGGCAUGCAACCAUCAAUUAUUAGCUCUUUAAAAGGCUUGAAGUUGUGCACGCUCUUGGUAGCUUCUCAUUCAUUACAACAUAUAAAUUCCAGAUAUCCAAUUGCAUGUCACUUUAAUUGAACAUAGUAGGAAACAUGGUGAAUAGGAAGUUAGACAACCUAUCACAAAAAGAAUCCAACAAUAAUACACCAAAUAGAACAUCUUGCUAAUUUAGUUAAACUAUUGUGUGAAAAUCUAAAUUGGGAGAGAGAAAACAUUGAUGCUUACAUGGGACUGUGGAAGGAACCAACAAGGAAAACAAACUUUGAAUAGAAAAUAUGAAGCCUUAAAUCUUGUAAUUGUUGUCAGAAGUUGCCCCCUAGUCAAGUUUUCAAUAAAAAAGUUCAGUGCAGGGAUUCUCUAGUAGCUCAACUUGUAGAAAAUUUUAACAGUAUGACAAUUUAUACUUAUAAAAAGAAAAUAAAAUGUAAGAAUUAUGUGUUGGGAAUAGAUGAAACUUACUGAAUAUAUGGAUAGAAUAGGGUGAACUCCACCUGCUUCCAUUUUUGGAAUCCAAACUAUUAUGGAUCAAAGAUGAAUCUCUCCAUCUAUUUACAAAUAUGACUUAUGGGCAAUCUUGAACUGAUGUCUCAUCAUUGGAUUUAGAAAUGAUGUAUAGCUUUGAAACCAUGGCAGGGUUCUCCUUUAGUUGCCAAAUACCACUAGAGCUUAGGUGAAGUCUUGGUGAUGUAGGAAAGUCAUGGAUUCUGGAAUCUUUACAUUAAAAUAUACGUGAGAUACAUUGGAAGAAAGGGCACCAUCUGAGAAGAAACACAUCUUAAAGUAUACCAUCAAUCAUGAGUUAUUUGAGAGUGAGAAGUCUUUGAAGGCCUCACUCAGAUAAGGGAUGUCUUUGACAUUUCUCACUCUUCAAUCUCAGGAAGAUACAUUAUCAACUAAAACCUUAGGAGUGUGAGUCAUUAUGGGACAACUUGUUUAUGUUCUUUAUUCUUUUCUCACCAGAGGGGAUUGAAAGAUAUGUAGUUGCAAAGGCAAAAGAUGUAGCUAGUAGCGAGAGCAUCGAACAAUCCUUCUCUAAUGCAGACCACAAAUUUUAGUAACUCGUGAUCUCAACAGUUUAGAGCACAAGGAAGUUGUCCUGUUGGAAAUAUGUGACAUGACAUUUAGCAAAUGGGCAAGAAUUCCAAAGAUCAUUCCAAUAAUUAAGGAAUCCAAAGCCUUAUAAUUUGAAUAGGGCAUCUACUUGGCAUGGAUAACGCACCUAUCUUGGGACAAAGACCACAUGUUAAGCACCAAUUCAAUUAUCAACUCUCUAUGAAACUGGAGAUACAAGGUACUAAUGUUAGUACAAAUUACCUGGCAGCUCUUUUUCUUUAAUGGUAUUAGAGGCAAAGCCUUGUGAAAACCCCCAAUCUACAAAUUACUAAGGACAUGAGAUCAUGUUGUAAUCUUAUCUUCAAUAUCCAACUACAAAUAAAUUAUUUCGUUCAAUUAACAAUCUUUAAUGCUUUCACUUCUAUCAUACAAUAUGCAAUAUGGGAAAACAAGUAAGCUUUAUAUUAUUAGGAAUAUGCAAGGAAUUGAUGAAGGCUAUGAAUCUACUUAAAAUUAAAAAUUAAAAAAUAAAAACAAAGAUUUUUUCACUCAUGAAUAUCGUAACUAGAAACAACUGCUUGCAGUUGUUUUACAUAGAUGAAUUGUUUGUCUUUUUGCAUUAUUUUGUAGAAAAUAUUUUUAUGAGCACUACUAAUUUUUUCAUAUCCGUUUAUAUUGAUGCAUUUCAUAUUACUCAUUUUAGGUGGAUGCACAAUGCUGAUCCAACUCUCCUCCUUUUGGAUGUCUUUCUAACCAUUGUUAGGAUUCAUUAAAAAUGACCUUUAUCAAACCUACGGAUUUUUUCAAGUCAGUUAUAACUUGUAUAAACCUUAUGUAACUCGAAAUGUUUUAUUUUUAAAACAGUCCAUAUCUAUUGGCAACUUACAUGUUUUUCACUACAUUUUUUUUCAAAGAGGAAAUGAGGCAUUUUUCUUUAGUAGUAUAUUGUGAUUCACAAAGUAUAAACUCUUGCAGAUUGAAAGAAAGACAAUUUACAUAUCAUUCAACAGUAAUUAGUAAGCACUUUUAUAUGUUUAUAGCUUCUUCUUAUACGGUUUGUCUUUUAUGGCAUUUACUCUUUUGUUAUUCACAUAAAAAAAACACCCGAUUUACCUUUCAAAUAUAAAAUUCAGUUAUGCAGGAAGGCCAUAAAUUGAACAUGAUAAGAUGGGAAAUGUGUUUCAGGACAACUUUGUGUUCUUGCAUUAUAAGGUUUAGUAUAAUUGUGUGUAGUUCUACAAUCAACAACAUUCUAUUGACUUUGGAUUUGGAAAAAUAACUCUAAUGAGCAUUUACUUAUUUUUCAUACAUUUUUCAGGAAUCCAGUUAAUGAGAUUUUGCUUACAAAAAACUAGAGGUUUGUUAACUCUCCUAUAAUCAGAGACUAGUUCUCUUGCAUAAAUUUCAAGCAAAUUUAUAACCCUCUUCUUUGAUAGUCUUUUAUAUUGGAAUUGAACUUCUUGGUGUCUUUGAAUUAUUUAAAUAUUGGAAGCCAAUUAAGGAGUCAUGCAAUGGCAUAUUGUGAAACUUGAUACACAUAAAAAUAAAAUCUAUUAUAUUAUUUUUCUCACUAAAGAAUCAAAACAUAUGCUUUUCAUUUUGAAUGUUUCAGACUUCAUGUCUUCUCUUUCAUUUACGAUAUUGUCGUUGGUGAACUGGGAAUGUUGUCAAGAAUUUUAGAGCUUGACUAUCUGGCCUUUUCCAAUUCCUUAGAGAUUGGUAAUAAUCCAAUGAUCAAUUGUUUUCCCAAAGUGGCUUACGCUAGCAUUAGCAGAUGUGAAAUUAUCAAUGACCAUUCAUUGUAAAGAAAUCUUGUUAUUAUGGUAGGAUAAUAGACUGUAAUACAGUUUCAAAAUUUUGGGACUUCAGCAUCAACACCUUUCUAGGACUCAGAUUUCUAAAUGGAAUGAUGCAAGGCAUCAACACAUUCAUAGAAUUCUUUAAGAAUUCUAAAUGUGAUCUUGGUAUCUUAAUGACAGGCCAACUUUCUUCAAUGUUGCUAAAAAUUGCAGUCCAUAUAUACUAGAUGGGAAUCCACCCAUGGAUAAGAAAUGUAUGUUGCUUUAUCUUCACCUCUCACUGUCUCACACCCUAUUGCCUCAAGUUGCAUUACUUGCCAUAAUUAAACACCUCUUUUAUCAUUGUGACAAAACAAGUUUUGCCAAAACGAUAUGAGAUUCCCUUUGAUUUCAAGUUAUGCAAGAUCUAUAAGAGCUCAAUUGUUUUGAAAACAUGAUUCAUAAAUACUACGCUAACAUUCAGUUCAUGAAUACCAUGUACCAGAAGAAGGCACUAAGAAAUUUGUGUCAUUUACUUUUAGGAUUCUAUCUUCAACUCUAGUUCAUGCUCAAUUGUUUUAUUAACUACAGUUGCUUUGAAUGAACAUGUCAAAGUACAAGUACUAAACUAGUUCAUUUCCAAUCAAAUUACUAUUCCCGAUUCAUAGAGUAUAAACCCUUGCAAAUUGAAAUAAAGAAAAUUUACAUAUCAUUCAAUGGUGAUCUGUAAACACUCUUAUGUGUCUACAUCUUCCUCAUUUGGAUUUGGAAUUUAACUUCUGAUAAGCGUUUACUUGUUUUUAAUUUGUUUCUUAGGAAUCCAGUUAAUGAGAUUUUGCCAACCAAAAACAGGGGUUUGUUAGCCCUCCUACCCUCAGGCUGGUUCUCUUGCAUAUGCUUGAAGAAUAUUGGAAGCUAAUUAAUGAGUCAUUGCAGUUUCAUAGUCUUAUAAGAAAUCUUGUUAUCGUGGCAGGAAAACAGACUGCAACAUAGUCUCAUUUCCCUUCAUGAUUUAGACAUUGUGAAGAUCAAAAACUUGUUCCCUGAUAAUAGAAGAAGAAAAGCAGCCAAAGAACAGCAACAAAAUGUAUUGGCACCUUGUGGACUUGAAUUGAUGGUAUUCAGGUGGCAUAAAUAUACAAAAAUACACCUAACAAACUACUAAUUAGCAGACCAAGAUUCUACUUCCAAGAGACAGGGUUGCCAUCCAUGUCAAGAAGGCCCGAACUUUAUUGUUGUGGGACUUUGGCAUCAACAAAUCUCUGGAAUUCUUUCAGGUUUCUAAAUGGAAUGGUUCAAGUCAUCAACACAUUCCCAUAAUUCUUUUGUAAAUGUCAUCAUUCUGGCCAGCUUUCUUUAGUCCAUAUGUACUAGAUGGACAAGAACCACAACACUUGUAUUAGAACAUGUCUGUUGCCUGGAUUUGCAUUACCUGCCAUAAUUAAGAACCUUUUUAUUAUUGUAGUAGAGUGUUUUAGAGUCACCCAUACCUAGUCUAUCUCCAUGUCUCUCAAAUAGCUAGGCCCAUUGGUAGCAGAAGAAGAACAACUUGAAUAGUUGGUCAUUUCCUUUUCAGGAAUUAAUUCUACUGCAUUCCUAUACAUAGUAUGCAUAUUGUGAAGAAGAUUAUUUGACUUUACCCUUUUUCUUCUUUGUUUUUUCAAUCUAAAUUGGAGUGGUAUGACUGUGUCACUAUUGCCAGAUUUAAAUGUUAAUGUCAUAGAAUGCAUUAAUAGUUUUCUAUUAGAAUAAUAGAAUCCAAUUCGACUAGAUACUAGACAUAAGUAAGCGUAGAAUAUAGAGCAAACAAUAAAUGAAAUGAGGGAAACAAAUGAUUCGAAGAAGGGUUAUUCGUCUUCCUAGUCUUCCACACAAGAAAGGAAUUUUCUACAUCCCUUUCUUGUGUCAAAAUAAUAAUGAUCCUCAACACCUUCGUCAAAAAUUCCUAUUCUUAGCUUAGAUUUUUUUUCUAGGUUUAUCAUAAUUUUAUAUUUAUUACAUAUAAGAAGUAGUGGACAAACAAAAAAAAAGAGGAAAAUUUAUUGAAAAAAUAGAACUUCUUCAAUGAAGCUAUAAAAAAAAUUUCAACUUUGAUUAGAUACUAAAAUAAAUAGAGUAAGAAUCUAUUAGUAUAGAAAGGAUUUGAAUGAUAUCUAAUAUAGGGAAAUAUAUAUACAUACAUAUAUAUAUAUAUAUAUAUAUAUAUAUAUAUAUAUAUAUAUAUAUAUAUAUAUAUAUAUAUAUAUAUAUAUAUAUUUAUACUCUGUCAUCCAGAAAAUCAAGUGAUUCCUUAUUUCUUCUAACUUUGAAAGGAUCGAUAGAUACUAUCGAGAAGCAAAUGUUCUGAAUUAAUCAAUCAAGUUCGUUUUUCAAAAACAUCAGAAAAAAAAAUGAAAUGGAGUUUUUUUAAACAUCGUAAAAGAAAAUUUGUUUUGUCUGGCAUUUAUACGAAUAAAAUCUUAUGAUUAUUAAGAACUCAACGGGACCUUCCCUCUCGAAUUAGAGCCAAAGAAGGGGUGGGUACCAUUGAGUUCUUAUGCUUUCAUGUCGACAACUUUAUUCAUCCAAUUACUACAAGGAACCAUAAAAGAAAAAACCUAUUAAACCAAUCACAAGAAUACCAGUUACAGUACCUAUUAGCCAAAGAGGAAUCCUUCCAGUAGUAUCGGCCAUUUAUCCCACUUUCCUCCACAUUUCAUCAAGUGGUCAUGCUAAAGUCAUAAAUAGUCAUGGAUAAUUAUGAGAUGAGAUCCUUUCGAAUAAGAUAAGAGAAUUCUUACUAUUAUUAUUUAUUUUAUUAGUCUCUUUCGUUCUCUUAAUUCUUAAUUGAAAAAAUAAUUGGAAAAUAAAACAAGUACAAAAAUGAGUAAUAACCCCCAAUAAAGAUCGAUACGAUUCAAUUCAAUAUUUUGUUCAUUCAGGUUUGAUUGUGUCGUAGCUCUAUAAUUUGGAUUAGGUUUAUUGUUCGAUGAACUGCAUUGUUGAUAUUGACCCUAAAAAAGAAACAAUAGGUACAGCUAGUCCGUGAACAGCCAAUCAUCGCACUGUAAAAAUUGGAUAGGUUCGAUCUAUGGUCAUUGGGGCCUCCUAAAAAGAUCUACUAAAUUCAUCGAAUUGUUCCAAAUGACCAAAACAACAGGUUAUUAAUGGAAUUCCUUGUUGGCUAUCUAUAAAAUACUUGUUUGGCUGAGGACUUCCAAACACAUCGUAAGCUAAACCCGUGUUGACGGAUAACCAACCCGCAAUGAAAAGGGAAGGUGUAGUAAUGUUAUGAAUGACUGAUUACUACUCAAAAAGUGUUAUUUGAUAGCUUGUAAUUAACUAUUUUAAAUACUUUUGAGUAGUAGUUAUCACCUUUUAACCCAAUUAACAUAUUAAGGACCCUUGCAAUCAAUUCUAAUCAAAUUGUGUUAAGUUUUGGUGUUUUGAUAGCUUUUUUAUCACCAAAGCAAUCCGAGAUUGAGGAGAGUUCUUUGGAAUCCAUGGCAAAGAUGUCCAGACAGGGUGUCCGGACACACCAUCGGAGAGCGGAGGAACAUGGGUUGUGGCAGGCUGGCGGAAUAACGUAGAAAGGCUUGCUCACUUUAGUCAACGAUCCGGACAACAUAUCCGGAUAGGAUAUGCAAUCGUCCGGGGUGUGAUGUUCACAAGUGUCGUGUGCUUCUCCCUAAGGGAGUCCGGAUAGGGGAGCGCGUCGCGUGUCCUCUUGGGGAAUCCGGAUGGAGUUGCUCCGGAUAGCGAUGCGCGCUCCAUGUCAUCAGGGGGAGGGGUCCCUACACCUUGCACACGCAGACGAUCCCCCUUGCGACGCACGACAUAGCUCAUUCCACCCGGGGAAGAAUUUUGUAUGGCCGAUGUUUCACCUUCUCCGGAUAUCUCACAUCCGGAAUUAUGCCUUGGUCAGACAUGUCCGGAUCCUCUGAUCGGAUAUCUCACAUCCGGCGCUUGACGCCGGAUGGGAGAGGAGGGCGUUUCAACUUCCUCAGUCAGACAUGUCCGGAUCCUCUGAUAGCGCUCACCCGGAAAGUUUUUCUCUCAAUAUACAGUGCCGCGAUGUUCUCCUGAAGCUUCCCGAUAUUUGCGACCGACAUUUUGAGCUAUUUUGCUUUAUAUAUUUGAUGUCUAAAUCCCCAAAUUCUCCUUGUAACCCACCUAUCAUAGGAUUCCUUAGUCUUUAAGCAAGAGAAAAAGGUGAAUAACCUCUUAUAUAUAGUUUGUAAUUUUCUUUAAAAGGAGGAGAUCAAUCUCUCGGGAGCUUGUUCUUGAAGAUGCAUCAUUUGUACAAUUUUGCAAGAAAUAUAUUUUACAAAGCACUUGCUCUGUUUUUUCCUAUAUAUUUUUGUUUUCUCAGUCUUUUUCUUACUAGCCAAACAAGCUCUGAGGAAGUUUCCUCAGAGAAUGAGUGGCUAGACUUUUAGUUCCUUGGAGCUAAGGUUGCCGGGAAAGGUUCCAAGUGCAAGAAUUUAUAGCUUUGUGGUUUCAACCAUUAAUGAAGAGAAAGUGUGUUCCUUUAAUGAUUUCUAUGUUUUUAGUUAACUUAAAACACCUUCAAUUCACUUGAGCCAACACGUGGUAAGGCAAGUGAUCUCCGUCCAUGGAGAUGCACUAGUUUACCUCUUGCGAGCUUUUGGGAAGUGACUUGAAGGUAGGAUUUUCUAGAAUUGCCAACACUUGGUAAGCUUUUGGACUCUAAGGAGACAUCCAUUAGUUAUCUCUUGCGAGCUUGAGAAGGGAAGUCCAAAGUUAAAGAUCACCUUGAAUGGCAAAUGCUAGGUGAGAGGCACGAGCCAUUGCAAGUUGCAUCAGUGAGAGGGAAUUAGAGCUGAAAUCCAUUUAAAGGAUACAUCUAUACAACACCGGUUAGAGAAUUGACUAUAUGUUAAUUCUCUAAUGCGAGGAAAUGAACCAAAUGACCGAAGCUCUAUUUUUGCAUAAGGAACCUCCCCUGUGAACCCAAACCUCCAAGGAAUGUUUUUCUUCAUAAGUAAUUUCCAUUACUUUCUUUUUAGUUAGCUUGAAACAAAAACUUCGUUUAACCAAAGUUUGUGUUUUAUUUCUUAAGCUAACCUUGAAAUGAAAAAGCACCAAUUUAACUUUGAAUUGGUAUCAGUUGUGAGUUGAAAACCCUUCCCAGAGAACGAUCCUAGAGCCACUAUGUUAUAUUAGCUACAGCUAUCCUAAUGCAUGGUGAUAUAGGUUAUAAAUUUUGUUGAUUACUCCCUCAAUCAAAGAGCACCAGCUGGACAUGAAUCAGCUGAGACACCAAUUGGGAACGAAUCAAAUGGCGCCGUUGCCGAGGAAGGUGCCAACUUCAUAGUGAUAUUAUUUCAGUAUACUUGUGGUUUUCAUCACAAGUUUGGUGAGUUUUCUGUCAUUUUACUAACUCUUUUAGUUGUUUCUUUUACUCAUUUAUAUUCUAGCAUAGCUUUUAAUUUAGAUUUAGUUAAGCGAACUCUUUUUGGUAGUUUUGUUUUUUUUUUUUUUCCUCUGUUUUUGUUCUUUUUUGUUACAGUUGAUACUAGUUGUGUAUGCCAAAGUGGAUACGAGAUAGUGGAGGAAGGCUUGCUAAACUUGAAACACCUCAUAACAAGGAGUUGGAAUUGAGCUUGAACAUCAUGGAAACUACACCUGAGGAUCAGCAUAGUCACCAUGAUCAUCAAGACAAUCCCAAUGAAUUCAGAUCAAUGAGGGACCGCAUGCAUCCACCUCGUAUGAGUGCACCAUCAUGUAUAGUGCCCUCUAUAGAGCAGCUAGUGAUCAGACCCCAUAUUGUGCCACUUCUGCCAACUUUCCAUGGAAUGGAAAGUGAGAAUCCCUAUGCCCAUAUCAAGGAAUUUGAAGAUGUUUGUAAUACAUUUCGAGAGGAACGAGCUUCUAUCGACCUGAUGAGGCUUAAAUUAUUUCCUUUUACUUUAAAGGAUAAGGCCAAGAUUUGGCUUAAUUCUUUAAGACCAAGGAGUAUCCGUACUUGGACUGAUUUACAAGUUGAAUUCCUCAAGAAAUUCUUUCCUACUCACAGAACAAAUAGCUUGAAAAGACAAAUUUCAAACUUCUCAGCUAAAGAGAAUGAGAAAUUCUAUGAGUGUUGGGAAAGAUACAUGGAAGCCAUAAAUUCUUGUCCUCACCAUGGCUUUGAUACAUGGCUGUUGGUGAGUUAUUUCUAUGAUGGGAUGUCUUCCUCAAUGAAGCAACUCCUCGAAACAAUGUGUGGAGGGGAUUUCAUGAGUAAGAAUCCUAAGGAAGCUAUGGAUUUCUUGAGUUAUGUAGCUGAAGUCUCAAAGGGAUGGGAUGAACUGCACAAAGGAGAAGUGGGAAAGAUGAAGUCUCAACCUAAUGCUCUUCAUGCUAAGGCUAGGAUGUACACCUUGAAUGAAGAUGUUGAUAUGAAAGAAAAAUUUGCAGCUAUGACAAGAAGAGUGGAGGAGCUAGAACUGAAAAAGAUGCAUGAAGUGCAAGCUGUUGCUGAAACACCAGUGCAAGUAAAGACAUGUUCUAUUUGUCAAUCUUAUGAACACUUGGUGGAGGAGUGCCCUACAAUUCUAGUUGCUAGAGAAAUGUUUGGAGAACAAGCAAAUGUCAUUGGACAAUUCAAGCCCAAUAGCAAUGCUUCGUAUGGCAAUACUUACAACUCAAGUUGGAGGAAUCAUUCAAAUUUUUCAUGGAAACCAAGAGCACCUCAGUACCAACAGCCAGCUCAACCAUCUCAACCAUCCCAACAAGCUUCAAGUCUUGAACAAGCAAUAGUGAAUCUCAACAAGGUUGUGGGAGAUUUUGUUGGAGACCAAAAAUCCAUCAGCUCUCAACUUAGUCAAAGAAUUGACAGUGUAGAGAAUACUUUGAAUAAAAGGAUGGAUGGGAUGCAAAAUGACUUAUCUCAGAAGAUAGAUAAUCUCCAAUACUCAAUCUCAAGGCUCACUAAUCUGAACACAGUGCAAAAGAAGGGUAGAUUUCCUUCUCAACCUCACCAAAACCCCAAGGGUAUCCACGAAGUGGAAACUCGUGAGGGAGAAUCUUCACAGGUGAGAGAUGUUAAAGCCUUGAUCACUCUAAGGAGUGGUAAAAAGGUUGAGUCACCAACACCCAAGCUAUAUGUUGAAGAGAAGGAAGAAGAAGAGACAAAGAAGAGGGAGGAAAUGAAAGGAAAGAAGAAAGAUAUCAAUGAAGGGAAGGAGGACCGUGAUUCAACAGUGAAUGCAAAUCCGGAGAAAGAACUUAUUAAGCCAGAAUUGAUGAAGAAACGCACAUCUCCACCUUUUCCUCAAGCUUUGCAUGGGAAAAAUGGGAUAAAAAAUGCACCAGAAAUCCUUGAAGUAUUGAGACAAGUGAAGGUCAACAUUCCAUUGCUGGACAUGAUUAAGCAAGUUCCAUCAUAUGCAAAGUUCCUAAAGGACUUGUGUACUAUCAAAAGAGGGUUGAAUGUGAAUAAGAAAGCCUUCUUGACUGAGCAAGUGAGUGCCAUCAUACAAUGCAAAUCUCCUUUGAAGUACAAAGAUCCGAGAUGUCCUACCAUUUCAGUCAUGAUUGGAAGAAAGGUAGUGGAAAAAGCUUUGUUAGAUUUGGGAGCAAGUGUGAAUUUGUUACCAUAAUUUGUUUAUAAGCAAUUGGGACUUGGUGAAUUAAAGCCAACAUCAAUCACUCUAUCUUUAGCUGAUAGGUUAGUGAAAAUUCCAAGGGGGAUAAUUGAGGAUGUUUUAGUUCAAGUUGAUAAUUUCUACUAUCCAGUAGAUUUUUUUGUUCUUGAUACUGAUCCUUUAGUUAAGGAAGCUAAUUAUGUUCCUAUCAUCCUUGGAAGGCCAUUUCUUGCUACUUCAAAUGCAAUCAUAAAUUGUAGGAAUGGACUUAUGCAAUUCACUUUUGGCAACAUGACACUUAAGCUUAAUAUCUUUCAUAUGUCAAAGAAGCUAAUUACUCCGGAAGAAGAAGAAGGUCCAGAAGAGGUAUGCAUUAUUGACACUCUAGUGGAGGAACAUUGUGAUCAGAAUAUGCAAGACGAUUUGAAUGAAAGUCUUGAGGAUCUUAAAGAAGGGUUGUCUGAACCCGCUGAUGUCCUUGCUACUCUACAAGGUUGGAGGAGGAAAGAAGAGAUCCUACCUUUAUUCAAUAAAGAGGAGGGACAAGAUGAUGUAACAGAAGAAUUCUCGAAGCUCAAUUUGAAACCUCUGCCCAUGGAGUUAAAAUAUACAUACUUGGAAGAAAAUAACCAAUGUCCUGUUGUUAUAUCUUCAUCUCUUACCGGUCAUCAGGAGAUUUCUCUACUUGAAGUUCUUAAGAGGUGCAAGAAAGCAAUAGGAUGGCAAAUAUCUGACUUGAAAGGAAUCAGUCCUUUGGUUUGUACACAUCACAUAUAUAUGGAGGAAGAAGCUAAACCAAUUCGUCAACCUCAAAGAAGAUUGAAUCCUCAUUUACAAGAAGUGGUGUGAACUAAGGUACUGAAGCUACUCCAAGCGGGUAUUAUUUAUCCCAUAUCUGACAGCCCUUGAGUGAGUCCUACUCAAGUGGUACCAAAGAAGUCAGGAAUUACUGUGGUUCAGAAUGAAAAAAGAGAAGAAAUUGCUACACGCCUCACUUCAGGUUGGAGGGUGUGUAUUGACUAUAGGAAAUUGAAUGUUGUUACAAGGAAAGAUCAUUUUCAACUCUUGUUUAUUGAUCAAGUGCUGGAGAGAGUCUCUGGCCAUCCUUUCUAUUGUUUCUUAGACGGGUACUCAAGGUAUUUCCAAUUUGAAAUUGAUGUUGAAGAUCAAGAGAAGACCACUUUCACAUGUCCGUUUGGAACAUACGCCUACAGAAGAAUGCCUUUUGGUUUAUGCAAUGCACCUGCAACAUUCCAAAGAUGUAUGCUUAGUAUCUUCAGUGAUAUGGUGGAGCGAAUUAUGGAGGUUUUCAUGGAUGAUAUCACCAUAUAUGGAGGUACAUUUGAAGAAUGCUUAGUAAAUUUGGAAGCGGUUCUUAAAAGAUGCAUUGAAAAAGACUUGGUGCUCAACUGGGAGAAAUGUCAUUUUAUGGUACAUCAAGGAAUUGUCUUUGGCCAUAUCAUCUCCGAGAAAGGCAUUGAAGUUGAUAAAGCAAAGGUGGAACUUAUUGCCAAAUUGUCAUCCCCAACCACUGUAAAAGGAGUAAGGCAAUUUCUUGGCCAUGCAGGGUUCUACAGGAGAUUUAUACAAGACUUCUCUAAGCUUUCAAGGCCUCUUUGUGAACUUUUAGCUAAGGAUGCUAAGUUUGUCUGGGAUGAGAGAUGUCAAAAGAGUUUUGAUCAAUUGAAGCAUUUUUUGACAACCGUUCCAAUAGUAAGGGCUCCUAACUGACAAUUACCCUUUGAAGUAAUGUGUGAUGCCAGUGACUUUGCUAUAGGAGUUGUACUUGGCCAAAGAGAAGAUGGGAAGCCCUAUGUGAUCUACUAUGCAAGCAAAACAUUGAACGAGGCUCAAAAAAACUACACAACUACAGAGAAAGAAUUGUUAGCUGUGGUGUUUGCUUUAGACAAGUUUCGUGCUUAUUUGGUAGGGUAUUUCAUCAUUUUUUUCACUGACCAUUCGGCCUUGAAGUAUUUAUUGACAAAGCAAGAUGCAAAAGCAAGGUUGAUUAGAUGGAUUCUUUUGUUACAAGAGUUUGAUAUCCAAAUCAGAGACAAGAAAGGGGUGGAGAAUGUGGUAGCUGACCACCUUUCAAGGUUGGCUAUAGCACAUAAUUCCCAUGUAUUACCUAUUAAUGAUGACUUUCCUGAGGAAUCACUUAUGUUGCUAGAGAAAGCUCCUUGGUAUGCUCAUAUUGCUAACUAUUUGGUUACUGGUGAAGUUCCAAGAGAGUGGAAAGUGCAAGACAGGAAGCACUUCUUUGCAAAGAUUCAUGCUUAUUAUUGGGAAGAGCUCUUCCUUUUCAAGUAUUGUGUAGAUUAGAUCAUAAGGAAGUGUGUCCCUGAAGAAGAGCAACAAGGGAUCCUCAGCCAUUGCCAUGAGAAUGCCUGUGGAGGCCACUUUGCCUCUCUGAAAACAACCAUGAAGGUCUUGCAAUCAGGGUUUACUUGGCCAUCGCUUUUCAAGGAUUCCCACAUCAUGUGUAGGAGUUGUGAUAGAUGCCAAAGACUCGGGAAUCUUACAAAAAGAAACCAAAUGCCCAUGAACCCCAUCCUUAUAGUUGAUCUUUUUUAUGUUUGGGGUAUUGACUUCAUGGGACCUUUCCCAAUGUCUUUUGGUAACUCUUAUAUAUUGGUGGGGGUGGACUAUGUUUCCAAAUGGGUGGAGGCAAUCCCCUGUAAACAUAAUGAUUAUAAGGUGGUUCUCAAAUUUCUUAAGGAGAACAUCUUCUCAAGAUUUGGGGUGCCCAAGGCCAUAAUCAGUGAUGGAGGUACUCAUUUUUGCAACAAACCUUUUGAAACCCUAUUAGCCAAGUAUGGAGUGAAGCAUAAGGUAGCUACACCUUAUCAUCCUCAAACUUCCGGGCAAGUGGAGCUAGCAAACAGGGAAAUAAAAAACAUACUGAUGAAAGUGGUGAUUACAAGCAGUAAAGAUUGGUCUAUUAAGCUGUAUGAUUCAUUAUGGAUAUAGAACAGCUUAUAAGACUAUUCUUGGCAUGUCCCCCUAUCGUCUCGUCUAUGGCAAAGCAUGCCACCUCCCUGUGAAAGUUGAAUAUAAGGCUUGGUGGGCAAUCAAGAGGUUGAACAUGGACUUGAUUAGAGUUGGGGCAAAGAGGUGCUUAGACCUUAAUGAGAUGGAGAAAUUAAGAAAUGAUACUUACAUCAAUUCCAAAGUUGCAAAACAGAGGAUGAAGAAGUGGCAUGAUCAACUAAUCUCCAACAAAGAAUUGCGUAAAUGACAAAGAGUCCUACUCUAUGACUCAAGGCUCCAUAUCUUUCCAGGGAAGCUCAAGUCAAGGUGGAUAGGUCCUUUCAUUAUUCACCAAGUAUAUCUCAAUGGAGUGGUGGAAUUACUAAAUUCCAAUGGCAUAGACACCUUUAGAGUCAAUGGUCAUCGCCUCAAGCCAUUCAUUGAGCCGUUCAAGCCAGAAAAGGAGGAAAUCAACCUCCUUGAGCCACAAAAAGCCUGAUCAGAGAAGGGUUAGAUGGACUUGGUUUCACCAAAGUCCAUAAUUUUGUUACAUAUGUUAAUUUUUAAGUUUUGUAAACUAUUUGAUUGUAAUUCUGGUCUUGAAAUUAUGUAAAUUAUAACUAACUUAAUCUUUUUGAAUGAUUAAAAUCAGGAGGAAUUGCAAGAAAAUCGAAAGAAGCUGUUCCGAGCUUAUGCCAUUCCCAGCUCAUCAGAGCCAUCGCAGGCCCCUCCUUUUGUUGAUCAGCCUGUGCCUCAUCAGGAGCCUCCUACAGGAGAGGCAGCUGAGCCAUCAUUUCUACAGCAUCACUCCACGUCACUCAGGAGGUACCACUUCCUCCCUAUUUUUCAAUCGCUUUUAUCACAUUGAGGAUAAUGUUCAGCUUGGUUGGGGGGAGAGUUGAGGAAGGAAGUUUUUGUUAUUAAUGCUAAGUUAUUUUGGUAAUUUAGUUGUUUUUUGCUUAAUUUUAGAAUUUUUUUCUACUCUCCAUGGUUAUUAAGGAAAAAAUUUCAAAAUAAAAAGUGAGAAAUUGAAGUUUUGUCUUUUCACUUGACUUAGAGUUUGCAUUAUGCUUACUAAAGUUGAUGAAUUAUUGAAGCUUCUAUUGAAUUCAACCUUAGUUCUUCCACUUUAAGCUAUUCACACACUGGGCAUAAUAGGUUCCGAUUAUAAGAUGAAAAACUAUUUCCCUCUUGACUUAGGAAAAUUUUAGACUUAGUACCUUUGACCUCAUUUAAUAGUGUUGGGACACCUUAUAAAAGGCCAAUGAGCCUUUGAAAAAAAAAGAAUAAAGAAAAAAAAAUGUUUGCUUACCUUGAAACCCAAGCAAGGUCCGAGGGGUAUAUGGUGAAAAUCUUUAAAACCUGGUGCCCUAAGCCUUCAUUGGUUGGGAGUCACCGACCUCAAUGCUCGUUACAAGGGUGGAUAGGUGGAAUUUAACAUACUGUAGGUGCUUGGGUAUUAAAAUUCCUUCUCAAAAGUCCGAGGUAAAAUCCGAGGAGUUAGUGGUUGAAAGAUCCUUAAAGCUUAAUGCCCUAAACCUUAAUUGGUUGGGAAUCAUCGAUGGACCCCCGUUACAUGGACAAUUUAGAAAAGAAUACCUUUAAGCCUUGUACUCCUACAAUGAAAAAAUUUGUGAGAAAAGAGGUGCGUUCUUAGCCUAUUGGAGGUUAAUUAGUUUGCUAAGCUUUGAAAAAGAACUAGGUUUGGGGAAGAGAUUAGUUCAACAUACUAUAUUCGGAAACUAAUAAAUAACACUUAGAUUUUUGUGGAAGAGUAAGGUUUGACCCUUUGGGAAUGGAAACUCUUUUAAAGCUUAAAUUUGCAUAAUGCCUUCUCUUUAAGAAUUGUGAUUAGACAAGUUAUUUGAUAACUCUUGUUGAAGUUUGAGUUUUAUUUCUUUAAUGUUCCACGUGAGAGUUAGAUCAUCAUGCCACUUGAAAAUUGUUUUUUCAUCAGCAUGAUGUUGUAAAUUAUAGUACUGUUUAUUUUUAUUUUUCUCUCCUUCAUUGCUAAGGGACUAGCUAUAUGUCGGUUGGGGGUAGUGAUUACUACUCAAAAAGUGUUAUUUGAUAGCUUGUAAUUAACUCUUUUAAAUACUUUUGAGUAGUAGUUAUCACCUUUUAACCCAAUUAACAUAUUAAGGACCCUUGCAAUCAAUUCUAAUCAAAUUGUGUUAAGUUUUGGUGUUUUGAUAGCUUUUUGAUCACCAAAGCAAUCCGAGAUUGAGGAGAGUUCUUUGGAAUCCAUGGCAAAGAUGUUCGGACAGGGCGUCCGGACACACCAUCGGAGGGCGGCGGAACAUGGGUUGUGGCAGGUUGGUGGAAUGACGUAGCAAGGCUUGCUCACUUUAGUCAAUGAUCUGGACAACAUAUCCGAAUAGGAUAUGCUAUCGUCUGGGGUGUGAUGUUCACAAGUGUCGUGUGCUUCUCCCUGAGGGAGUCCGAAUAGGGGAGCGCACCCCGUGUCCUCUUGGGGAAUCCGGAUGGAGUUGCUCCAGAUAGCGAUGCGCGCUUCGUGUCAUCAGGGGGAGGGGUCCCUACACCUUGCACACGCAAACGGUCCCCUUUGCGACGCGCGGCAUAGCUCAUUCCACCAGGGGAAGAAUUCUGUAUGGUUGACGUUUCACCUUCUCCGGAUAUCUCACAUCCGGAAUUAUGCCCCGGUCAGACAUGUCCGGAUCCUUUGAUAGCGCUCACCCGGAGAGUUUUUCUCUCAGUAUACAGUGGCGGGGUGUUCUCCUGAAGCUUCCCGAUAUUUGCAACCGACAUUUUGAGAUAUUUUGCUUUAGAUAUUUGAUGUCUAAAUCCCCAAAUUCUCCUUGUAACCCACCUAUCAUAGGAUUCCUUAGUCUUUAAGCAAGAGAAAAUGGUGAAUAACCUCUUAUAUAUAGUUUGUAAUUUUCUUUAGAAGGAGGAGAUCAAUCUCUCGGGAGCUUGUUCUUGGAGACGCAUCAUUUGUACAAUUUUGCAAGAAAUAUAUUUUACAGAGCACUUGCUCUGUUUUUUCCUAUAUAUUUUUGUUUUCUCAUUCUUUUUCUUACUAGCCAAACAAGCUUUGAGGAAGUUUCCUCAGAGAAUGAGUGGCUAGACUUUUAGUUCCUUGGAGUUAAGGUUGUCGGGAAAUGUUCCAAGUGCAAGAAUUUAUAGCUUUGUGAUUUCAACCAUUAAUGAAAAGAAAGUGUGUUCCUUUAAUGAUUUCUAUGUUUUUAGUUAACUUAAAACACCUUCAAUUCACUUGAGCCAACACGUGGUAAGGCAAGUGUUCUCCGUCCAUGGAGAUGCACUAGUUUACCUCUUGCGAGCUUUUAGGAAGUGACUUGAAGGUAGGAUUUUCUAGAAUUGCCAACACUUGGUAAGCUUUUGGACUCCAAGGAUACAUCCAUUAGUUAUCUCUUGCGAGCUUGAGAAGGAAAGUCCAAAGUUAAAGAUCACCUUGAAUGGCAAAUGCUAGGUGAGAGGCAUGAGUCAUUGCAAGUUGCAUCAGUGAGAGGGAAUUAGAGCUGAAAUCCAUUUAAAGGAUACAUUUGUACAACACCGGUUAGAGAAUUGACUAUAUGUUAAUUCUCUAAUGCGAGGAAAUGAACCAAAUGACCGAAGCUCUGUUUUUGCAUAAGGAACCUCCCCUAUGAACCCAAACCUCCAAGGAAUGUUUUUCUUCAUAAGUAAUUUCCAUUACUUUCUUUUUAGUUAGCUUGAAACAAAAACUUCGUUUAACCAAAGUUUGUGUUUUAUUUCUUAAGCUAACUUUGAAAUGAAAAGACACCAAUUUAACUUUGAAUUGGUAUCAGUUGUGAGUUGAAAACCUUUCCCAGAGAACGAUCCUAGAGCCACUAUGCUAUAUUAGCUACAGCUAUCCUAAUGCAUGGUGAUAUAGGUUAUAAAUUUUGUUGAUUAAUCCCUCAAUCAAAGAGCACCAGCUGGACAUGAAUCAGCUGAGACACCAAUUGGGAAUGAAUCACUUCGCAGAGGCACAAAAAAGGCUGCGAAAUCACUUCGCAGCAAACGACUGAUUUCGCAACGCUGCGAAGUGGUCUUUCAAGUUGUGGUAUUCGGCUUCCAUCGUGACGGGAAAAUUCAGGGGGUAAACACAGCACUGUACAAAAAGGCUACGAAAUCAUCUCGCAACAAAAGAGUGAUUUCGCAGCGCUGUGCAAAAUUCUUCCUUCAGCUUGGAGUGAUCGGAUUGCAAUGGCUGUAACUCCUUCAUUUCAACUCCAAAUUGUGCACCGUUUGAAGUAUUGGAUUUUUGACUUCUUGAGCUUCGAAACGACAUAUAGAAUGCAUAAAUUGGACUUCAGGAAGUGCUCUAAAAGUGGCUGACAUGACUGUCAUCAAGAAUAUGCUUCAUGGCAGAUUUCUCUUUGCUUCCCCUCCUUACAUUCCGGAUUUGCUUAUGGCAGCAAAGGACUUCAAAGCUUUAGUUCUUCACAUUUCUGAGCUUCAAAUUGCUUUGCCAAAGAUUCCACAUAACUCUCCUCAAUCUCAGAUUGCUUUGGUGAUCAAAAAGCUAUCAAAACACCAAAACUUAACACAUAUUGAUUAGAAGUGCUUGCAAAGGUCUUUAAUAUGUUAAUUGGGUUAAAAGGCAAUAACUACUACUCAAAAGUGUUUAAAAAAGUUAAUUACAAGCUAUGAAAUAGCACAUUUUGAGUAGUAAUCACCAAGCUCCACAUAUUCUUGUACAAUCAAAGGACGAUCAAUUUCGUAAAAGAUGAGAUCAACAAAUAUAAAUUCACUGAAAAAUGGAUAUUUGUGAGAUCGUCAAUAUUAUACGAAGGGUGUCUUUAGAGUAUACUGAAUCAGUAUAGCUAUCCUUUUUCUACCAUAGCAACGCAAUUUCAAAAACUACAGCAUUUGAAUAGCUUGUAUUUAGGUGGACAAGAACUACAGCACUUAUCUCAGAAACAUGUAUGUUCUUUCUUCAACUCUUACUCUAUUGCCUGGAAUUGCAAUACCUGCCAUGAUUAGUCAUCUCUUAUUUAUUCUCAUGGAGAAAUAGGUUUGGUUGUAUGAAGAGACAAUAUACAAUUGUUGCACCUCUUGAUUUUUAAUCGUGUCAGACAUUUGGAAUUGUCAAGCUGAUUUAUGGCUAACCUUACAAGGACAUCUAGUGCAAGAGAUUCAGAAUUAUACCUAUCUAAUCCAUCUCCAUUUCUUUAGAACAACUAGAUACUAUGGCCGAAAUCUCACGUAAGGUGUCAGGUUCAUGUUGGGGCUCAUUCACGAGAUUAUAAUGAAUAUAGCAAGGGAUGUUCUCGAUCUACCACCACCCAUGUUGUCAAGUUGUUCAAUGCUCUCGUGUUGACCAUGGCUACAGUCACAAUUGUGUGUCCUUUCCCGAAAGAAAUAGUCAUUUUGAAACUUUUGUCAACAAUAGAACUUUCAUGUAUCUACUUUCAGGUACCCACAAAAAAUUGAGUCCAGCUUAGCAUCCAAUAAAGAAAAAUAAUAAUCUGAGGAAUAAGUGUUUUCCUUACUCUUUUUCAGUAGGAACCUAGUUUAUUUCCAAUAAAUUGAAGAAUAAACUAAUUCUAAACAUGGAAGCCAUGUACUUGAUUUUUGUUUAACUAGUGGAAUAAUUCGAACAUAUUUACAACUUUAGCAUUAGAAAAGUUUAACAAAAUCACUAAUUAACCCCCAAACCCCCACCCACCACAGAGAUAUGUUACAAAGAUUCCUCUACUCUACAUUGCAACAAAGUGUAAGGGGUUGUGUCCUUUCUUCAUCGUCAAAUGAAAUAACCCUUUUCAAUAAAAGAAUAAGAGAAAUUGAGAGUUAAGACCAUUUUCUUUCAUUAUACUCUCUAUUCCUUUGCUUCUUCCUCUCUUAGUCAAGCCAAACAGUCUGUGGUUUCUCCAUUUCUUCUUCACUUCACAUCAAUAAGUAGCAUCUUGGGUUCUCCCAUCUCUCUAUCCCCUUGUCAAAACACAUAAUUUAAUGUAUUGCACAUCUUCUUGACUUCUGGCAACUGAACUUGUUUUUCACAAUCAUAAAUAUGGAGGUAUUUAAUUAUGGCAGGUGAUAUACCUUUCAGAAAUUGAUGUGAAAAGGUGGAGACUAAGGGAUGUGCACUUGGUUUUGCGAAUCAAACAACCCUCAUUUAGUAUAAACCACAAAUUUUGGCAACUCAUGAUCCAUAAUUUAGAGCAUGGGAGGAAGUAGGCCUGUUGGAAAGAUAGGAGGAGACAGUUAAAAACAUGCGAGAAUUCCAUGGAUGAGUUGCUCUUAUGAAUUAUUUAGAAUUCAUGAGAAAAUUCAAAGCUUUUUCUUUUUUCUUUUUUCUUUUUGUUUUUUCUUUACAUAGUUAAUCAUCUUGUUUAAUGUUGGUCCUAUAGUUGGUCUACUGAUGGUAGGCUUCCUUUGAGUGGAAGCAAGGACUCUACACUAAAGGUAAAUUAUGGGAACUAUGUCUUUUUGUGGUAUUGAUGGGGUUAUCAUAUAGUUGAUUGAUACUAUUGCUUCCUUAUAGCUUUUUCAAGGCUCCAAAAAAGAAAAUAACAAAGGUAGACCUAGGAAAAAUAUUCUUCCUGAUUUCAGUUACUCUUUCUAUAUGAACUCUUUAUUUUGGUAAAUUACAGUUAGAGAUGAUCAUAUAAUUGAACUAGGUUUGCUUCCUCUCCUUUCCCUCUCCUUUCCCCUUGAGGAAAUUUUUUAUCAUUGCUUAGUUUUGACUACUCUGUUUCUUUUGAUCAUUGUGGAAGAGCAUCACUAUAAGAUGUACAAGAAAUGUGUUGUGGUGCAUUAUUCCUUUCUCUACCACCUAAAAUCUACUUUCCACAAUCAUAAAUAUCGAAGUGUUUAAGCAUUAGGUAAGACAUCUCUUGAUAAUGAUGUGAGAGAUAUAGAUAAGUAAUGUUACUAAAUAACAAGAAUAUGUAUAAAAAAAAAAACAGAAUAAGAAUACACAUUUAUGUGGAAAACCUUAGAUGGGAAAAACCACGGGUAGAGGAGAAGAAAAUUAAUUCACUAUAUUAAAAAAUCGAUACAAAAGGGGAGAGAUGCGAGCGACUACUUUAUAAGCAUAAACAUCAUAGCCCUAAUCUUAUACAUAAUUGAAAAUAUAUAUACAUAUGUGUGUGUGUGUGUGUGGGAGAGUAAUAAACAUCAUAACCCUAAAUUCUAUUGGCCCUAUCCCUUCGCUACCACCACAAACUCUCCAAAAAUCUCACAAAUUUUUCUUCACCACAUAUGUCGCAUCACGAGCUUUUUGGGUAAGACUAAAUAGAAUUCGAGUUACCAAACUCUAAUAAACAACAUACCAUUAUUCUCAAGAAAUGAUGUUCUGCUUUUUCACUUUACAAUAUUCAUUUAGUUUGAACUCCAAAUUCAGGCAACUCAAAAUCUUCGCCUUCAUUAGAUUGUAGGAAGCUAGCUUCUUGGAAAGACAUGAAAAUGGGGCAUUUAGAAAUAUGGAAGAAUCCCAAAGGCCAGUUGCUACUUUUGAAUCAUUCCAAUCAAUAACAACUCCAAAGAUAUAUACAAAUUUGUCCUUGGGAAAGAGAUGUUUCCUGGGCAUGUAACCAUCUCUUUAAUAGACUCAAGGUUGUGCACCCUCUUGGUGAUUUCUUAUAUAUUGUAGUGAACCCUAUCACACCCCAAACUCACUCCAAGGGCAUUACGAUCAUUUCACACCUCAAGCCCAAAGGUUCAAAGUGGAAACGAUACAAACAUUCGUAUUGUAACUGGAAAUUUACCAAUUACCAAAUUCCUAUUCAAAGUAGUAGGACAAAAUUCUAAAAUCUCUAAGUAUCAACUUUAAAAAAAAAAAAAACUAAUAUGUCAACCAAAGUGUUAUUGUCCAAAUAACUCCAAACUCAAAAUAAUUCAAACGAGAAUUAAAUUUUAACAUUUAAACAAUGUCCAAAAUAAAAAGAGUUUAAACAAAUAUCCUAUUAAAGCCAAAUUUCCCUCCUAACGAUCACUCAUCGCUCUAACUAAGGUUACAUGAAAGAUUAUCAACAAAGGGGGGUGAGCUUAAAGCCCAAUAAGAAACAUUAAUACAGUUUCAUGGAUCAAACAUUUUCAAUCAUCCUUGCAAAUAGGAAAUAUAACAUAUACUUAUUUUCAUAAAAAACUUUUGAGUUCAAAAUGCUAAUACAUUCAAACUUUUCAACAAAACUUUCUCAUAUUCAUUUCAAAACCAAAUCAAAUACAUUCAAAAUAUCUUUACUCAGGUUAUCAAAUGACAAAUGGUGCCCAAUUAGGUGGAACUUCACAAUUGAGCAACUAGUUUCAAAUUUGUUUCAUUUAAGGUGAACAAAACCAAAUGUCAACAAUUAUAACUUGUUGACUAGGGUCAUAUAAUCUAAAGUCAAACACUUUAUUUCAUUAAUUCAAACUUACAAAACAAAACAUCGUAUCUCCUCAAUUUUUCAUUUUUCAUAAACAAAGAAAAUGCUCAAAUAUACUUUUCAUACAAAACAUAUAUUUGAUCGACGCGUAAAGUUAAAAAUAAUAUUUUUACACAUUUCAAAAUACAAUAUAAAAAGAAAAUUAUUUUCUUUUACAAAAAUCUGCAUUAAUUUCCCUUACCUCAAAUAAGUACUCAAAAACCUUGAAGUAUUUAACCCCGAAGAAUUUCGUCUCAAAGAAUCUAUUUCAAACCUAACAAAAAAAAAAAGACAACUAUGAUUAUUAACUAUUUAUCUAAAUUUAUAGGUUUGAGAACCCUAAUAAUUUUCUAUAUUAUGUCACCUAAUAUUUUUAGUAGGAAUUUUCUUAACUAAGUCCACAUACUUUUACAAGCUCUUCUUAAGCUUUGAGUGGUCAUAGUUUUUCCUAUAUUUAGUUUUACAUAAUUUUGGUGAAAAGUGCAUGAGGAAGAACCAUAUAAAACCACAACUCACUUUUGGAUGCUGAAUCUACAAAAUAUAAAUUGAAAAAAUUAACGUAUUAGGAUAAAUAAUAAUUUAGAAAACAACUCCACAAAUGAAAUAUCAAGUAAAUGCAAAUUUAAUAUUUUAAAAGCUUAAUAAACUCAAUUAAAGAUAUAACCACAUGAUAUACAAACUUGGGGAAACUUAUAACUACCACUAAUUUCAGAUGUCUAAAAUUUAUAUAUAUCCUAGACAACAUUUUGAUAUGUAAACUAAUACGUAAAUUUUUUUAAUUUUAAAAAGAAAAUUUGGCAGCCAAGCUAGAAAUUUAGCAUAUUCCUAUAAUAUAAAGAAAAAUAAAUUAACUAGAUGCCUUAAUGCAUUGCUCUAGCACACUAUUUAGUAGGAUUUAGAUACUACAUAUUCAAUGUUGUCUAAAAAGUCAACAUAAAUAAUAUAAGAGGGAAAUAACAUUUUGCCUUACACAAUUAAUCCUACUAAAAGUUUGUUUUGUUAAGUCAUUCAUCUAAUACUACAUAUUUCAAGAUGAAUUAUUUGAGCUAAUUUUCUCAAGGAAAUAAUUACUUUGGUGAUAGCUACAUAUUAGCUUAUUUUUAUGAUAUGAUGUAUCAAUUAAUAAUUGUCUUCAUUCACCUAGAUAUUGACAACGAUUUCAAUAUAUUGGUCGAUAUUAUCCAUGUUUAUUUUAUUGAAUGUCAAUUCAAUACCUUAUAAACUAAACAACAAAACAAUUAAUAAGUAUAAAAAGAAUUGAUAUUGGGAAAUCCAAGCCUAGGAAGUUUAAGGGGAAGCGAAGUAAAAUAGCCUUGACAAAGAAAAAAAUUCAAAGAAAUUGGUAUAAUAUAGCCAUGUCCCUCUACUUGGAUUUUCAAGGCCUAGAAACAUGGUUAGCUCCUGUAAAAAUUUUCAUUUCCAUGCUCUUUUAUAACACUUUCCCUUCGAUGUGACUAUUUCAAUAUCCUUUAUUUUAAAAAAAUAUUUUUACUUAAUAAGUGAAAAGAAUGGGAUAUUGUCUGUUUUACUUUGCUUAGUUCAAUGUUCAUUCCCAAGAAGUGCUUAUUCUUUAUACUCAAUAUCCUCACUAUGAAUUAGUUCUACUCCAGGGUCGUACUAUUUCAGGUGCGCUUCUACCUAUCACUUUUAGCAAAUGUGAUUUUCUAGAGUAAUGUACUUAAAAGCCUACUGCAUCACUCAAGAAGAAUACCCAAACAAACCAACAUAGUCAUAAGGCACCAUAACAAGACAUACAGUAAUUAGUAACUUUGAUGGAAGAGAGGUUUUGUUUUUAUUUUAGUAACUUUGGCAUAGUUGAUGUUUGAAAAUGCUGAGGGAAUGCAUCCCUUCUGGCAGUGAUUUCAAUUGGGGGCAUUCAGAAAUCUAGCCUUUCCCUAAUAUCCUUCAUUCUAUGAUUCAUCCAGACCAAAAAAGCACCCAGCAUGUCUGUCUUUCUCCACAAGUCCUCCGUUGCUAAGUCAUCAACAUACUAUAAAACAUCUUUAAGCUUCUGUACCCAAGUUGUUACUGUUGCUCCUCUUCAGCAUCAGCAAGUACAAAUUUGAAGGAGGACAGUGUGUCCUUAUGCUUCAUAAACUCCUCUUGAACCAUACAUCUCUACAAAAGCAAAAUACCCUAACUUCAUCAAAAGAUUGUCAACAAUAUUACUGAAUGAAAUUUGUUCAGCCAUCUUUCAAAGGUCUAAGGGAAAAUGAAAGGAGUUUUAGCAACAGAAAAAAUGAGAAAAGCCAAGUGAGGACUGAAGGGUCUGAAUAAACUUGGGUGUGUUUGCUCUGUUCAAUUCAAGUGGGAUUAAUUACUUGACCCUCAUGAUUGACCUACCCACCAUAUUUUUCAUUUUUUUUUCUUAUUAAAAUUUUCAAACAAAUAAAAUUACUUGAAAAUUACUGGAUAUUACUUAUUAUUUAAAAAUGAAAAUAAAAAUUGCUAACCUUCUUGUAAUAUAAUUAGUAAACAUAUUUUUGUUUUAUAAGCUAUAAUCAAACCGGUUUAUAUAUCCUAUUUUUAAAAAUAACAAAGACAAAAAAUUGUCCAUUGAGCACCUAAAUAUUUUAAACUCAUUAUAAUAAAAAAAAAAUGUCCAAAAUAUUUAUUAAAAAAAACUAAUUUAAUUUUAUAAUCAUUUUUCAACCCAUAAAUUAUCCAAAAAUAAACUAAAAUCUUUAUCAAGGUUUUUCUAAGUAGAAUUUAAAAAAUGAGAAAUUAAUAUUUGAAACUCCUAAAAAUCAUUAAAUUAAAAUUUUAAAAAAUAAAAUCUGUUUGAUUGUCUUAGAAUCGACAAUAGAAAUGCAAACAUGAGUUUAUAGCUCUUAACAGAUUAGAUUAUGAAACUAAAUGUAUUUUAGAUAGUGGAGUUAGUUCAUACAACAGAAAGGAUGAGGUAUCCAAGAUGUCAAAUUAGGUUGGGGUUGAAGGAAGUGAAGGAAAAUUACCAUAGAUGUGAAAUCGAAAAGGUUGUGAUCCCAUAAGACAUCAAUUGACAAUAUCCAAGAAAAUGAAUGACAAAACAUCAGAAUAUCAACAAGCAGAUUGCAUACUUUAUAUCAAGGUACUUAAUUGUUCUGAUGCAAGCAUUUGAAAUUUUUUUGUUGUAAGAGCUCAAACAUUUCCUAAUAGAUCAUACCGGUGGGUUGAUGCUAGAGAUGUCGUCAAUGCACACAUUCAAGCAUAUGAGAUCCCAAAGCCAGUGGAAGAUACUGCUUAGUAGAGAGGGAUUUACACUAUUCCGAGACACUGAAGAUUUUGCACAAGCUCUACCCUAAUUUACCCCUGCCCAAAAAGUAAGUUUCUAUUAGUUAUUGGUAGUACUCGUUUGUGCCAUCAUUAGAGUACUUGUCAUUUAAUCUUCUUUUUUUAAUCGUUUGUAAUAGUAGAAUGAUUGUUUCUAUCCAUUAGAUGUAAAUAUGGUGAGACAAACCAUAUUUAAAACCCUACAUGCCUCGUAUUAAUAAUUUAUUUUUAAUCUUUGUAUUAAUGCAUCAAUAAAUGGUAUUGAAGAAAUUACUUUUACAACAAAGGUUACAAGAUUAUAAGUAGGAUCACUUUGAUACAAUGACGGGAUAAAAGAAAUAGAUGGGUUUAUUGAAUGCAAACCUCCAUACAUAAAUGAUAGAGACUUAACUUGUUCAAUAUAAGUUCUUUGAUGUAAAAUAUCAAUUUUGUUUUCCAAAGUCUUUAUGGCUAUUGGCUUUUCCAUGGAAUACCAAAUAAAGAAAAAAAAAACCCUCCUUACCCGAGAGUUCAUUUGAACCUUGUUUCGAAGAAAAAAGUUUUAUUAAUCCAAACCCUAUUGAUUUAUAUAUGACCUAUCAUGGGACUAUGAAGAGUUUUAAAACAACUCAAAGAUAACAAAAAAAAAAAAAAAAUUGAGGUUAAAUAGUGAAAACUACAUUAGAUUCCAAUAAUAGUUUUUAUGAUAUAAUGUUGCAUUGGCAGGUUUCAUAAAGAAAUGAAUUAUUCUAUGAAUACGAUUUUCGAUUCCAAAUUUUGAAUUUUCUAAUUCCUUAGUUUAGUGGUGGGUUUCGUAGAAAUUGAAAGUUGUGGAAAAGUAGAAUAUGGACACAAUUUUUUACUUAAUGAGUAGAUUUUACAACACCUUCAAGUAAUUACCCUAAAAAUGAUAGGUCAUUGCAUUGAAAAUGUAUUAAAUUUAAUUGAGAGAUUAUUUAUAAAAAUAUCAUCAUUUUUUAAAAGAAUAAUAUGAUCUUACCAUCGUCUCGGGUAGGAAAGCAAUUUAUGGUGGUGUUAGAUUUUUCUUAAUAUAUUCUUGUUCCUUUUUCUUUUUUUCUUUUUGGUGCAUAUUGUAAGGUUUCAAGUUCCUUUAGAAAUAUGAACAACGAUGAAGAGUUAGAAAUUUUGGAACAUUAAGUACAUAGUUAAAGCCAUGUUUAGAUAGUUGAAAUUCCUAAAUAAAAAAAAAUACAAAAAAGAAAAAAUGAAAGAAGUUCAAAUUUUAUUUGAUUAUCUUAAAAAAUAAAAGAAAUUACAAAUAAUGAAAAUUGUUUAGAUUUUAUAUACUUUCUAAUGUUUACUCUUUAUAAACAAAAAAAAACAAAUAAAUUUUUUUGAGGUUCUAAAAAUAAUUAAACUUAAGCUUAAUUUUUGUUUUUCUUGAUUUUUAAUGCCUUUCAUAAUUUUUCUUUACAAUUUUUCCCACUUAAUCCAAAACUUUCCAAGGUCUAAAUUUCAUAGGUGUUUCAUCUUCUUUUUAAUUAAGAAGUUUUGAAUGUUUCAAUUCAAAUUCCACAAUAAGGUAAUAAAACCUUAAAAUUAAUAUUACAUCUAGGUUGACUUGGUAAUCAACUUGAACCAAAUCUAAAUUAAGAAACAUUCGGUCCUAGCCUAACCAAAUAUAGCCUCAAAUAUGAGGUGUUUAGUUAAAACUCAACUUAUUUCUAUAUAUUAAAGUGAGGCUUAAAUUGACUCUGGUAUACUUGUAGUCGAGUUGAGUUGUUUAAGUUGUAUGAUCAGAGCUAAGUUUUGUAAGAUUGAAUUGGGGUGAACUCGUUCAUAAUGUUUAUUUUUUUUAACUUCUUUUAUAUCAUAAUUUAAAUAGCAAAUAGGACAACAUUUAAACAUAAUUAAAAAAAAAAUGAGAAUGAAUUUAUGUAUCUUUCUUACAAAAAUGAAAUAAUAUAAUUAAAAUUUAAUAUUUUUUUAAAUACUAAAAAACAUAAAAUAGAUAUUAUUAUAUAAAAUAAAAUAAAUUAAAAAUAUUAUAAAAAUAUAAAAUUAGGUUAUAUAUGUAUGUAUGUAUGAAUGUAUGUAUAAAAUAGUAGUGUGACGGGUGUUUGCUACUUGUAAAAAGUAUUUUUACUCAUUUUUAAAUUGAAAUUAAUAAAAAGAAAAAGAAAUAAAGUGUUUUCAAAAAUAUUAAAUGCAUAACUAAUAUUAUGCUAAUGAAGUUUUUUGUUCUUUGUAAUUUAGAGUUGUCUCAUUCAUAUUUUAAGGUAAACUAAUAGAACAUUAAACUCCCCAAUAUUGUAUCCAUCUAGAAUUUAUCACCAUUUUAUUUUAUAUCAUAUCAUAAUUAUAUUAAUUAGUGGCUUCAAGAAAAAAAAAUUAUUUAUAUGUUAGACAACAUGGAAAAGAUAUCUUUUUUAAUGCUUAUUAAUAAUUUUUAUUUCAAAUUUUAAAACAUGAAUAUAUAAAUUUUAACAAUUAUGAAAUAUUAGUCUAAAUAUCUUUUAAUAUUUGGUUAUGUUUGCAAAGCAUUUUUAAUAACAAUUAUGAAAAACAAUUUUUGAGAGUAAUUUCCGAAAACAUUUUUUUUUGUUUUUAAAUAUGUUUUAAAAAUAACUUUAUCUCAUAUAUAGUACUUUAUUUUAAUCGUUCUCUAUUUAAAAUAACUCUAUGAAAAGAAACGGAAAUAAUUAAAAGAUUUAUCUUAAAAUAUUUUAUUUUUUUAUUUUUAUGAAUAGAAAACUUUUUUUUUUUUUUUGUCAAAUGUGUCUUCUUGUUUUUGUUUUUGUUUUUUUAAAAAACAAAAAACUGUUUUAAAAAAUAAUUACCAACCAUGCUUGAACACAAAGCCCGAAGCUCCCGUGGGGCUGGUUUUGGGCCUUUUAGGUUUGGGAAAAACAGUCGGGCCUGGCUGAGCACAAAUUCUUCUCUUUUAAGUCCAAAAAGCCCGUCUCAAGCCCAAACUUCGGGUUGGGCCGGGAAGCUCCUGACUUAACACAAAUUCUUCUCUUUUAAGUCCAAAAAUACAGUCUGAAGCCCAAAAUUUCGGGUUGGUCCGGCCGGGCGGGCGGGCGGGCGGAUAGGAAAUAUAAGAAAAUAAAUAUCUCCAUAAUAUAAUUAUUAUUACGACAGUGGAAUCUGAGAAAAGGUCGUGAGUGUUCUACAAUUUUGAUCUUUUGCAGCAGACUGAAUGUAGACUACAAAGAGAGUGAGAAAUGGACGGGCAAGGCAAGGUGGUGUGCGUGACCGGAGCUUCUGGGUACAUAGCCUCAUGGCUUGUGAAGCUCCUGCUCCAACGCGGCUACACCGUCAAAGCCACAGUUCGAGACCCAAGUCAGAUCUCUUCCCAAUUACAACACUUCUCAUUCCCAAACCCCACUUGCUAUUGUCCCCAAUUUUCUUCUUUCUUUAUUGUUUCAGUACUUUUCAAGCAUAAUGUUAGCCGUUAUUUAGCAGUUUGAAACUUAGGUUGAGUGGUAUUUUGAUGGGUCUUUGUCCUUUUUCCUUUUUCAGAAGUUUAAUCUAUGAUUGAAAGUCAAUAUUCAGUACUCGGGUCUUUGUGUUGUCCUAAUUUUCUUGGAAUUAUACUCUCUACAUGGUUCUACAGGGCAAAUUGAUCGAGUUUAUGCUAUUAAAAAUGAUUUCAGAUACUUUCAGAAUCAAUCCAUCUCAGAUUCUGCAUGUGUUCCUUCUUAAUUACUACUAUCUUGUAAAAAUUUUUGCAUUUAAUUUACAAGACACUGAGGAGGUCUCAAAAAGAAAAGCAAAGGGAAAGAAAAAGAUUUUCCUUCAGCCAUACCAAAUUGUUUUGGAACCAAAAACUCUAAAUAUGGGCCUGUGUUCUUUUUGGAGACCUAUUCUUGAAAAUAAUUUCAGAGAAACGAAGAAAAUCUACAAAAUUUUGUACAAUUAUUUGGCUUUAUUACAAGCUUUUUUUGUUCUACAAACAAGACAAGAGGACAGUUUAGGGCUUCAUUUUGUUUCUUUACUGUUCUUCGGUUUCCUCUUGAAUGCCUCUAGCUCUAUUCUAUUUUUAGUAUUUCAACAAAUUGUACAUCACAACUGAAGUUUCUUGCACUUUGAAAAUCCAAUCAUCUUGCAUAAAUGAUCCAAAAGCUUGCAAUUGCAGUUGAAAAAAUGACUACUCUACAUGCCCCAUCCAUUUUACUUCAAUCCCCAUUCUUUUAAGAAGAGCAUAGUUGAACUUCUUAAUAUUCUAGUCAUGCUUCCACUGUAUACUCCUUCUGUACUAGGGUUUCCCCAUUUGGGGUUGUUUUUUUCUAUCACAUAAUAUAUGUUCUUACCAAAAUAAAGUUUUUGUAAGCUUUCAUUCUUCUUAUUUCCAUUUAACAUGCAAGUUGUGCUUAUAUAUGCCACAGAUGAUCCAAAGAAGACAGAACACUUGCUUGCACUUGAAGGUGCUAAAGAAAGGCUUCAUUUGUUUAAAGCAAACUUACUUGAAGAAGGAUCCUUUGAUUCUGUGGUUGAUGGAUGUGAUGGAGUAUUUCAUACAGCAUCCCCAGUUGUGCUGAUAGUUGACGAUCCCCAGGUUUAUCCUAUAUUGGUUCCAUUCGCAUACUGUAAAAUUUAGCAUUGUCUAUAUUCUUUUCCAAUCAGUUACUGAUCUUGAAAUUACUAACUAAUCAUGAAUUGUUAAUUUGCAUGAUUCUUCUUUCUGUAUGUGGUUUCUUCAACUGAUCCAAUGGUAGUGAAUGCUGAUUUCACUAAACCAAUUCAAUGGUGGAAAAGAGAGAAACUGAUAUUGGAUUUUUUAUAUUCUGCUUAUGUGCAAAAAUAUUGAAUAGCUUUUUUUUUUUUUUUUUUUUUCUUUCUUUCUUUCAUUCUCCCCCCUAAUCCUUCUUUUCUCCACUUGUUAUGCUUGUUCAAAAGAAGAUAAAGGCCCUUUGUCUUGCAUCAAUAAGAACCAAAAACCCUGUGAAUACUUAUUUAGGAAUGUAUAACUUCCUUGACAGCAGCAUGGGAAUGCUCACACCGUAACAAGGCUAUUCCAAUGGAAAUUUAUGGUGGCUGAUCCAAACACUCCUUGUGCUUUUUUUUUUUUUGAUAGGCAAAAGAGCAAAAGACAUGUUAAAGAGCCAAAAAAAAGGCUACACCAAGUACAUAGGAAGUACGCAUGUGCACACCAAAGAAAAAACACAAAAACCCUCUUCUUAAUGGCAACCUAACCAAUCGAUAAAAUCAAUCAUAUACAAGGACUCUUGCCCUAGUCCCCCUUUGGUCCAUUCUAAAAAGUUACAAAGAAAAGAGAAUUUUAGCUCGUGAUAUGAAAGCUCAACAUUAUCAAAAGCCCUUCUAUUCCACUCUUUUCAAAUAGUCCAAAACAAACAAAGAAGUGCAACAUUCCACACCUUUUUUUUCCUCCUCCCAACAGAUCGGCUAUGCCAACUAAGAAGUGUUGCUUGGACUGAGGUAUGCAACACCCAAACCACAGCAAACAAGGAGAAAACUAAUUGCCAUAACAAACUAGCCUUAGAACAAUGAAGAAUGAUGUGAUUGCAAGAUUCCUUCUCAUCUUUACAUAAAAAGCGUUUGUUUACCAAAGUCCAACCUCUCUUCAAAUUGUCCAUAGUUAGAAUCCCCUUCCAAGUUGCUUCCCAAAACAAAAAAAAAAACUCACUUUUAUUGGAGCCUAAGAAUUCCAAAUAAGCCUUGUCGGGAAAGAAUUUGAACCCCUCUAAACCAUCCCAUCAUAGAAAGAUUUAACUAAAAAUUGGCCUCCCUUUGUAGCCAUCCAUACCACCUUGUCAUCCAUCUCCCUUCUCAUUGAUUUGCCAUGCAAACGCAAAAGGAGUGCUUCAACAUAACCUAACUCUUAAUCUUGAAAUUCCUUACAAAACAAGGGUUCCAACACCCCUCAAAAUCAAUAUGCUUCCAAACAUCACAUACCCAAGCCUCCUUUGAAGUGGCUACAACAAACAAAGAGGGGAAAGAGGUACUCAAAGGGGUGCCCCCACACCAAAUGUCCUUCCAAAACCUUACCCUUCUUCCAUUACCCAAAUCAUAGGAAAUCUUGUUUUUGAAAGAAUCCCAUCAUUUCCUUAUAGCCUUCCACAAUCCUAUGCCAUGACCCUUCCUUGUCUCCAAAGAGCACCAACCUGCUUCUUCUACCCCAUUCUUACCAAUGAUUUCUUUCUUCCACAAGGUCUCCCCUUCUGACAUGAACCUUCAACUCCAUUUUCCUAAGAGAGCCUUGUUCAAAAUAGAAAGAUUUUGAAUGCCUNNNNNNNNNNNNNNNNNNNNNNNNNNNNNNNNNNNNNNNNNNNNNNNNNNNNNNNNNNNNNNNNNNNNNNNNNNNNNNNNNNNNNNNNNNNNNNNNNNNNUUUAAGGGGGGGCCCCCAAAGGAACCCCCAAAUUUUUUCAAAGGGUAAGCCCCCCUUUUCCCCCCCAAAAAUCCCCCAAAUUCCCUCAUUUUGGGGACCCUCCCAAAUAAGAAUAGGCCACUUUUUUUAAGGUUUUUUUUAACCCCAAAAAUUUUUUCAAACCCCCCCAAGGCCCAAGAAAGGACCAAUAUUGGGCCCUUAAAACCCCCCAAAAAAAAAAAAAAAAUUGUUUUUCCCCAAAAAAAAAGGGGAACCCCCCCCCCCCCUUCCCCCCUUUUUUUUUUAAAUUUUAAAAAAAAAAAAACAACCCCCCCCCCCCCCCCCCCCCCCCCCAAACAAACAAAAACUCCUUGUGAUUAUCUUCAAGAGUGGAGAGUUAUAGCAUUUUAACUGACAACCACUAUCUCAAGGUGACUGAAGAUGCAUUCCACAAAAUGUUAGACAAGUUGCUUAUGAUUUUCUCCAGACCCUGAAUGCUAUAGGUAUAAGAAAUAGGUAAAUGUGCUUACUAAUAGUGGAUGCAUUCCACAAAAUGCUAGAGAAGUGGUUGUUUCCUUCUCUCUAUCUCUUUCCUUACCUCCUUCCUCACCUCCCUCACCUUCCCAAAUUCCCUUUUCCUUUAUUUUCUCAAACAGCUCAGUUGCUCCACAUGAUUAUUUUUUUAAAAAUAGGAAUGCUUCACAAGAUUCAUAUAUUACCUUGCUAAUUUUAGUUAGUUAGGCACUGCCCCUUAAAAACUCAAUUAAGUCUACAUAUUAAAUCCAUUUUUUUGUACACUUUUGUGAAUUGGAUUAGGGUAUACAUAGAGGAACACACUUUGUCGUUGAUAGAUUUUGUUGACUGGUUAGCCACCAAGUAAGGGUCAGGCUUGUUUGUUCUUUUGUUUUUUGCUUCCUUGUAUAUGGUAUACUCCGUGUAUACCCUUUCUCUUGCCUUUUGGCUCUUAAUGAAUUUUCUUUACCUAUCAAAAAAAAAAUUAUACCUUUGAUGUAGUUAUGAAUACAAGGAUCAUCCAUAACUCCUCCAAUUACAUGACAUAUUUGCUAUAUUAUUGAUUCUAAACUGGCACUGUCAUAACAUGAUUGGCAAAAAAAUAAAAAUAAAAAUAAUAGUUACUUCUAGAAUUUGAUGGAUGAACCUUAUGGCUAUGCUUGGUUCCUAGAAAAUUUGAGGCAAAAUGUAAGGGAAAGAAAAUAGAAAGGAAAAGUAGAAAGAAAGAAAAAUUGAAGGAAAAUUAAAAAUAGAUUUAAAGUCAAAAAUUAUUUUUAUAUGUUACUUCAAACUUAUUUCACUUAUUUUAACUAUUGAAUACAAAGAUUAAAUAAUUUGAAAAUUCAUAAGUUUCUAAUUAGUUUUAAUUAUAUUUGUCUUUCUUUGGUAUUUUCUAUAGAACAAUCAAACAUGAAAAAAUUAUUUUCCUUAGUGUUUUUUUUUUUAGUACUUUCCGAGAACCAAACAUAAUCUAUUGAGUUUGUCUAUGAUGAUUGGCAUUGGUUAUUUUGUUUAGGCUCAUUCACCAACCAACUGGUUUGUGGUGUACCACUAUACUUCUUUUCCAAUUUUAUUUUAUUUUAUUUUAUUUUUUUGGUUCAUUUUAGGUUUAAAGAGAUUUUAUUUUAUUUUAUUUAUUUAUUUUUUAUCAUAAUUCAUGUGUAACUGCAUUUCCUUUGUCACCAUCACCAUGUGACUCCAUAUAGUGGUUGGGAGAGUUAGAUGCUGGAACAGUUAUGGAAUAACUCCAUCAAUGUUGUGCAUCUUUCUUUGAAAUGUAGGAAUUUGGAUUUUUUAUUUUUUUAUUUUUUGAAUAUCUCCUUCUCAUAAAUAGGUAUGGUAUGCCCAACCAUUUUAUUUUAUCAAAAUUCUUUGAUAACAUAGCUUAUCAAUAUGAUGAAAUGAUCAUAAUGUAUCUCAUCAACCUGAUUUCAUAUUACACAAUGGAGCCUAGAUUUUGAAGUUCUCUCAGUUACAAAGGGAAAUCUUGUGUUGAUGUAAUGGCAGAUAUUGUUUUUUGUAGUUGGGAUUCCUCAAAGAGUUUGGGAGGUGGGAGGAGUCCUAGAGGGAGAGCACUGUGCAGAGAGACCAACUUAGCUGGCUAAUAGAUUAUUCGGCUUCAGAGAAAUGCUUGGAUACUUAAGAACAUGAGAAAAUCUUUCAUUGACUUGUGUGCUGAUGUCUAUUAUCUCACAACUCUUUGAAUGCUUGUCACUGUAGAGUUCUUUAGGUUCCCUUUAAUGUAUAUACAUUCUUUUUUGGAUCGGAGAUCAAUAUGCCUUUCCCGUCAGAGAGUGGUUUUGUGCUGGAGGAGGCACUGCCUGUGCUAUUUCUAGACUCCUGACUGUGGCCAGUCCACUCUGCACUUUUUUCAGUUUCCGGACACAACAUGUUAUACAAUUAACAUACCAGCUUCUAUGUGAUCGAAUUCAGCUCCACCUCAAUCAUUGGAAUUAGCAGCAUGCCAACAAUCACAGUGUGGGCACCAGUUUUUAGUUAUUCACUUGCCUUGCUUUUCUGGUGAAGUCAGGCAGCAUCUUUUCAUUUCAGAAUGUGGCAUGCUGUUGUUUGUGACUUUUUGGCCAUAAGAGCAAUUGUGGAUGGCCCUUCAAUAGACAAAACUUUAUAGGUGUGUGUUUGUGCCAAAUCAAGGGUCAAGUUAUGAAUGAAAAUAUGAAAAUGAAAAGAGAAACAGAGCAAAAAUUCAUUUUACCAUGUCUCUGUUCUUUCCAUGAGGGAUUAGGCUUGUACCUCUUUGGAAGACUCAGAAUCUCCUUUCGGUUUUUCAGUGGCUCCUUUCUCCUAUGACCCGUUCAAGAAUGCUACUUUAUUGUAGACCUUCUAUGCCUUUAUUGAAAAAGAAAAAGUGAUAAGAUAUUUCAACUAGUUGAAAAUAGAGGACCCUAAGGCCUGAGAUAGACCGAUGCUAGAUAGAAAAUACAUAUGUACGGAUUUUCAAACUUAUCUAGAAGAAAUAGAAGCAAAUGAUACAUGACAAGUCAGUGUCAAAAGGUGAACUAAGUCUUCCACUAGAUAGUCUACUUAGAUGUCAAAAAUGUAGUGGGCUCUUUAGCCUCAUGGUAGCCUAAAGCUCAAGUUUGGUUGAUGUUACCUAGCAAACUCGAGACAGAUGGAAAUUUCCAGCCUUUUACGGGUCCAUAGAUGUGUGAUUAUUAGGGCUUUUUAAUGUCAUUUGUGAUGGGGUUUGCUAUUGAUGUGAUGCAGAGGUCCUGAAACUAUUAGAAGGGAUGUAAAUCUGGUGAAAGAGUUGGAUGUUUAUGAUCUUAUGGGGAAGGAGAAUUGAGCAAUGGUUCUCUCUUGCAUGUCACUGGGUCAAAAAGGGUCAGGGAGAUAAAACCACCACUUGUGGAGGAUAGUGGAUCUUUUUAGAGACAUUGGCUGAUCAUUUCUUGAAAGUUUAGAUCAAGAAAUCAAGAAGAUGAGAGGCUGAUUAAGAGAGAAGUCAUGUCCUAUGCCAACUUUGUUUGAGUGGGCCAUAUCAUAUACUUCUACCUGGGGUUAAUCUUUAAGUCUGGAGGGUUCAUUGUCUCUUCAUUUUUUUACCUUUAUUUUUUUUCCCCUUAUUGAAUCAUGUUCUUGUACAUCUACUUGUUUGAAGGAUUUCUCAUCCUUCCUUGUAAAUAACUGUUUGCAUAAUAUUAUCACACAAAAACAUAGAUCAUAGACAAGCUGAGAAUUUCCUUAGGAUCCAUAAUGUGAUCUUAUGUUUGCUUCUAUACAUAAUUAUUAGCUUUUAAUUAGCUUAUCUUCAUUGGACUACUUAUGUGGAGAUUUGUUUUAUCUGUUUCUCCGUGUUUCAGGCACAACUAAUUGACCCAGCACUAAAAGGAACAAUGAGCGUUCUAGGAUCUUGUGCAAAAGUUCCAUCUGUCAAAAGAGUAGUUGUAACAUCAUCUAUGGCUUCAGUUGCAUUCAAUGGGAAACCUCUAGCUCCUGAUGUGCUAGUUGAUGAGAGUUGGUUUUCAGAUCCAGUUUUCUGUGAGAAAUCAAAGGUUGCUUAAAUGAGAUGAUAUCACAUGCUAUCUCUUUUGCAUGUUCUUGUUUGUGGCUUUACAAAAUGUUUUCUUUUCAUGGCUCUUCACUUCUUUUACCCUGCAGAAGUAGCUGCCAAUUUGUCAUGCCCUCUUGUUUUUACACUUCUGCUAGCCAGCUUAGGGUUAAAUAACAUGAUGGGAAUGAGAGGAUUAUCCCUUUAUUUUGCUAAGCCUGCCAUUAGAUUAAAUAAUCCUUCCAUGUAUGUCUAAUAUUUCACUAAUACAGUGUUGGUAGCUGUCUGAUCCAUAAAGUCGCAUUCCUCAAACAAGAAAUUAAAUGAGAACUCUAAUUUGGAUAUUAUAUGAAUGAAAUGGAUGUUAAUCUCUGAUUGUCUUACUGUCCAUUAAACAUGAUGGGCUCAGAAACAUGGGUUGACAAAACAGUUGUGACAUAUCUAAUUAGUUUUAAUGUGAGUGUGUAUGCCUGCACAGCCUCCUAUUGAUUUUGCUUGGGUUCAUAAGUUCAUUGCUUGUUCUCUAUGUUCCAUUAUCUACUAGCAAUACAUAGAAAUGCUUCUCACUAUAUAUUUUCAAACAUGUUGGUUUCUACUAGCUAUGGUAUAUGCUUUCAAAGACAUUAGCUGAGGAGGCUGCUUGGAAGUUUGCAAAAGAGAAUGGGAUUGACAUGGUUACAAUAAAUCCAGGGUGGGUGAUUGGCCCUCUCUUACAGCCUACUCUUAAUCUAAGUGUGGAGGAAGUUCUGAAGCUACUAAAAGGUACUCUUCUACAAUUGAUGAGAAUCUCUUUUUUAUGUUUAUCUUUCUACUCCAGUAGCAAUACAUGCUUCACUUCAAUAUUGAGUCAACUCUAUCCAACAGCCCUGCAAAUGGAAACUCAGAAGUUUAAAUCAAAACUUAUCAAUAAACCGUCACAAGACUUCCACAGUUCCACAUAAAAGGACUACAUAUGCAUUUUGAUAUAUGCUGACUAAUCUUCUAACACUAAAAAAUUGAUCUCUCCUCUGGUCAUUAUAGUUAUAUCACCAAGAUACUCAUUUAGGGGAUUUGCAUAUGAGAUUAGAUGAAGAUAUAUUUAGUUUUGGCCUCCCAAGCCAGACUGGUUUGGAAGGACCCCUGGACUGUGAAAGGACUGAAAGCAUGCGUAUGCAAUUACUAUCCUGAACUUGAGGUAUAUUUACAUGCAAGUUCAAGCCAAGGGCAAGAACUUCUUAAAUAACCCAUUAAUCCUUUUGAUCUACCCCAUCUAAAUAUUACUGCAGCUCAACAUAAUUAGCAUAAAGUGGGGGUUCCCCGCAUCCAACUCCAUUGCAAAUGAGUUGUUCAUGUGCAACUCACUUGAUCAGUAUUUUUAAAAACUUCUACUAACUUUUUUGGACUAUUUUACAGAUCUUAACAUUCUCUAAACAUUUAGAAUCAUUUCUAGUGGCUUUAUAGGGCAAUAUCAUGUUACUUUAUUGACAACUCUUACAAUAAUCAAUACUACCUUAACUGUAUAGCCAAUAUGGUUUGUUUCCUUACUAGCCAACCUCUUCUGCCUCCAACUAACCUCCCCUGUAUCUUGCUUCAAUUAUGAGGGCGUUGCCAUAGGUUGAGCAUUGGACAUAUGAUAAACCUGUGCCUUGAUGGUUGUACUCUGAUUCAUGGAUCCAGACCGUAGUAAUUGGGAUUAGACUUGUUGGUAGUUGCUUUAGUUCAAUGCUUGCAAUAACCAAAGUAAUUUGUCGUGCUGCUUUAGAACCGUUCGAUCUUUCGUAUGAAAUAAGAAAGGUAUUUUGUACAAAAUAAUGUUUUCACUUGUAAUUUCCAACAUUACAUAAAGUGAUAAAUAUAAGUGUAUUUGCUAAGUGUGAUUGCAUCAUUUUCUAAGCAUUUCCGUUUGAGACAAACAGUCUAAGACGAAAAUGUGUGCUUCAAAAAUUUCUAGCUGUAAUACUUUUGAGAUUGUGCCAAAAGAUCAGUUGACAAUGACUAUAAAUAAAUAAAUGGAAAAACAUCAUAUUAUCAUUGAGCAGAUUGCAUGCUAAACUUAAAUAGGCAAAAGAAACUGAUACUUUCAGUACACUUACGUAAUACUUGUGAUGUAAGCUUCUGAGAUUUGUUUGCGGCAGGAGAUACAUUUCCCAAUAAAACACAUCGAUGGGUUGAUGUUAGAGAUGUUGCCAUGGCACAUAUUCAAGCAUAUGAGCUUCCAACGGCUAGAGGCAGAUACUGUUUAGUAGGGAGCAUUUUACACUGUUCUGAGACAAUGAAGAUUUUGCGCAAGCUCUACCCUGCUUUAAACCUACCUGAGAAGUAAGGUUUUAUUAUUUGCAGGGCGUUAUUUCUAGUUUGCAUUAGUGCCCUUUGAAAUCAAUAUUAGGCAAUGCUACUUCUUUUUGUUUAUUUUGGGUUUUUUCUUUUAUUUCUUGAUAGGCUAAUAUAUACAUAUUCUGUAAAGAAGUACCUAGAAAAAGGGGCACAACUCUGGUGCAAGUAGUAGUAUGAAAGUAGCACUAAAAUGUAGAAAUUAAAAACAAAAGGAAACAACUACAUCAGGAAGGCAACAGACACAAUAAAACAAGUAACCUGCAUUGGAUGAAUAUGUGAUACAUUGAUUCCAUCAUUUGGUUGCACAGACAACACCAAUUGACAAUAGACUAAACUAAGAAACAGUUGUUCUAAUAAGACUGAAACAACACCAUCAACAAAUUAUUGAGAUUUUCACAAAAGGCAUUGCCUUGAGAAUCAAACUUUGGAGAGGUGAAUCCUCUCCAUCUGAAUGAGCUGGGAAGCUGAAAAUUAGCCUACCUUGUUGGUCUGUGUUAUCCUCUAUGAUGUGCCUGUGAAUCCAGUAGGUUGUAGCUUGCAUUUACUUGGGCCAUGGCUGGACCACUGUGUCUUACUUUCAAGACUAUUGUAUGUUUGAAAUAUUUCACAUGUAUGCGUAGCCUUUCUCCAUUCACGGUGGUCAUAGUGGUAUGUCUACACUAUUUCAACAUAUCGCCUUCUUAUGAAUUGCAUCCAAUUCUUAAUAUGUUAUCGAAGUGCUAAGGGUCUAAAAGUGCUUCAGUGAUCGGGGCUCAGGAAUUUUCUGAUUUAUAUUAUUUAUUCUGUUUUGGCUGAUCAUAUCCACAAAUGUGUUUUCCUGUUGAAUGAAGUUGUUAGUGAGCUAUAAGAACCUUUCCUUGUUUCAAACUUUUCCUUGUUUCAAACUUCUAUCAUCAAUAUUGACCUUGGUGGAGUUUCUUCAGAUUCACUGAAUACUUUUUGCCAUUUAGGUCUAGUUAAACCCAUAUUUCAUUCUUCUAGUACAAAAGAACUAAUCCCCAUUGCUUGGGGAUCUUCUCAAUUACCCAAAGAGAUGUGUUUUAUGCUCUUUAACUUUUCAUUGCAUAUAGGAUUAAGCUUCAGGUCCAUGUCCUGAGAGUUUUCUUUUCUUCAGUACCAGUCGUUUCACUGAUUGAUUAAGAAAAUGUGUUUCUGUUUCAUUUGCGGCAGAUGUGCAGACGACAAGCCUUAUGAACCAGCCUAUAUGGUGUCCCAGGAGAAAACUAAAAGUUUGGGCAUUGACUUCACUCCUCUGGAGGUGAGCCUGAAGGACACUGUGGAAAGCUUGAGGGAGAAGAACUUUGUCAGUUUCUGACACGUGGUAUAGCCAUGCAAAUGAAUCAUAAACAAAAAAUGGUGUCUUCUUGGUAACUUCAUUGUCAAGUGUGUUGGAGUCAUAUAUCUUCUAACAUGUUCAUGGUAAGCAAUCCCCAAGACAUGCUACAAGUUCUCCAAAAGAAAACCAACAGCAUAUAAAAAGCGGCAACUUCUAUUUCCGCUUCUGCUCAACAACAAAAGCUAUCAACUAUCCUAAAUAGGCACCAAGGAGAUUCGUAGACCUUAGGCCCCUGCCAAACUAGAUUUUUUGUUUGGGAAGUAACUGAGGAAGAUUUUCACUUGUCAUUAACUUAUGCAGAGGUUGGUAGCUAACAAACUAUGUAAGGGCAAUGUUCUUGAUUAUACCAUAUGAAAGGACACAGUGAGCUCUGCCUUUGGAAAUGUAGGCAGUGAGGUGGCAUGGUCCAUUAACUUCAUUCUGUGAUUGGCUGCUCAACCAUUCCAAAGCAAGGGAAAAUUAAGCUUACUGAAGUUUUACUAUCUCUGCUCAUUUUGUUUCUUAAUAGUACUGAAAUGAUUGGAGACAAUAAGAUUGAAACCCCAAAUUUUUGUUAAUUACUGUUGAAUAUAAAUAUGUUUUAUAAAAAAUAAUUCUCACUAAUAAACCCCAUUAUUCCACUGGACAUGUUGCCACAGAAGUGGGUAUAAGGAAGCAUAUUCCGAUCAUCCAAGGACACUGGGUGUGACUUCACCAACAAAGCUUACAGCUGAUACAAGCAAACUACCUCUCAUAAAGAAAACUAGGACUGUUUCACAAAAUCGAAGGAAUAUCUUUGUGGGAAGAGAACAAAGAGGAUGCACAUAUUCAAAAUUUGUGGCUGAGCUAUUUAAACCUUUCAUUGAUACUGGUUGAGCUUCUCUCUGUAUUCGUAGGGUGCACCCCUCCUCUUUUGGCACUUUCUAAUGUAUGUUCUUGUUGUCUAUAAAAAAAAAAGAAAAAAAAAAUACUGGUUGAGCUUCUUAAGAUUGACACAACAGUUUUUCUCCAUUCUUAAUUUAUAAUCAAAAGACUGGCUGAGCUAUUUCUUUGUUCUUAUUGAGUUUUGAGAUGAACCCACAUGUGUUUGUCACUCAUGGCAGGUGUGCAGAUGACAAACCUUAUGUGCCAGCCUUCCAGGUGUCCCAGGAGAAAUCCAAAAAGCUUGGGUAUUCACUUCACCCCGCUGGAGGUGCCUAAAGUAUACUGUAGAAAGCUUGAAGGAGAACCAGCUCAUCUGCUUAUGAGUCAAUUAUUUGGCUGUCAUUGAAACAAAUCACUAAUUAUUAGUGUACCCAAAUACUGUCAUUGUUAUGAAAUAAAUUUGUGGCUAGGAUAGGGCUGAUAGGUGCUAGAAGGAGACUGCUUGGGAAGAAUACCAAUCAGCAUUAUAGUAAGGCAUCUAUUGGAAAAAGACAUGACUUCAAACUCUUUUUUGAAUAAUUUCCAAUAAACAAAGAUGAGUUUUAUGUUUGUAGAAAUAUUCAAACCUCCAAGCUUGUGAUAUAAAAUCCAACACAAAUUCAAAAACUAAUUUGCAUGGGAAUUCAAGUAAUUAGAACAGAGCACCAGCACCAGUUUGACAACAAUUUUGUAUAGACAGUUUUUAAAAAUAGUGGUUAGGUUUUGUUAGGUAACUAUUUUCAAAGACAGUUUUGAAAAACAGUUUUUAAAAAUAUUUUUCAAUAUUUUGAAAAAUAAAAGUCUGUUUGAAAAUUUAAAAUAUUUUUAACAUGUUUUUAAUAUUUUUAAAUAUGUUUAAAAAACAAUUUAUGUAUCUAAUAUUUUAUUUUUAAUCAUUAUAUAUGUUUGUAUAAUUAUUUUUUUUAAAUUCUUAAAAAAUAAUUAAAAGAUAUUUUAUGAAAAUAUCAUAUUUUUUAUUUUUAAGAGUAGAAAAUAAAAAUAAUUUUUUUUAUUGAAACGUGUUUAUUCUAAAGAAUAGAAAAUUGUUAUAGAAAACAAUAGUCAAACAAACCUUUAUAUUUUACUUUUAUAUUUUUGGCACAAAUAUAUAUAUAUAUAUAUAUAUAUAUAUAUAUAUAUAUAAAAUAAAAAUAAAAAUAUUAGGUGAUAUAUAUUUUUUUUUCCAAGGAAGGGAGGCAUUUUUCUUGGCAGCAUAUCCUAAUUCACAAAGUAUAAACCCUUGCAAAUUGAAAGAAAGACAAUUUACAUAUCAUUAAAGGGUGAUCUGUAAGCACUCUUAUAGGCCUACAUCUUCCUCAUGUGGAUUUGGAAUUUAACCUCUGAUAAGCAUUUACUUGUUUUUAAUCUGUUUUUUAGGAAGCCAGUUAAUGAGAUUUUGCCAACCAAAAACAAAGGUUUGUUAGCCCUCCUACCCUCAGGUUGGUUCUCUUGCAUAUGCUUGAAGAUAUUGGAAACCAAUUAAUUAGUCAUUGCAGUUUCAUAGUCUUACAAGAAAUCUUGUUAUGGUGGCAGGAGAACAGACUGCAACAUAGUCUCAUUCCCCUUCAUGAUUUAGACAUUGUAAAGAUCAAAAACCUAUUCCUGGAAAUAUAAGAAGAAGAGCGGCCAAAGGACAGGAACAAAAUGUAUGGGAACCUUAUGGACUUGAAUAGUUGGUAUUCAGGUGGCAAAAAUACACAAAAAUGCACUUAACAAACUACUAAUCAGCAGGCCAAGAUUCUACUUCCAAGAGACAGAUUUUUCAUCCAUGUCAAGAAGGCUCGCACUUCAUUUUUGUGGGACUUUGAUAUCAACAAAUUUAUGGAAUUCUUUCAGAUUUCUAAAUGGAAUGGUUCAAGUCAUCAACACAUUCCCAGAAUUCUUUCCUAAAUGUCAUCAUCCUGGCUAGCUUUCUUCAGUGUUGAAAGAGGGGGUGAUACCAUGUUGCUAAAAAUUGCAGUCUAUAUGUACUAGAUGGACAAGAACUACAACACUUGUAUUAGAAACAUCUCUGUUGCCUGGAUUGGUAUUACUUGCCAUAAUUAAGCACCUUUUUACUAUUGUAGCAGAGUGUUUCAAAGUCACCCAUACUUAAUCCAUCUUCAUGUCUCUCAAACAACUAGGUCCAUUAGUAGCAAAAGAAGAGCAAUUUGAAUAGCUGGUCAUUUCCUUUUAUAAUUUAGGGAUAGAGGUCAAAAACUACAACACUUGAAUAGCUGGUAUUAAGAUGGACAAGAACUACAACACUUCUCUCAUAAACAUGUAUGUUCUUUCUUCAACUCUUACUCUAUUGCCUGGAGUUGCAUUACCUGCCAUGAUUAAUCGCCUCCUAUUUAUUCUUGUGGAGAAACAGGUUUUGGAGUAUGUAGAGACUACAGUUGCUGCACCUCUUGAUUUUCAAGACCACCCAGUCUCUCCUCAAGCAUCUGGAAUUGUCAAGCUGAUUUAUGGCUAACCUUCCAAGGACCUUAGGGGUUUCAUACAGGGUAGAUCUAGUGCAAGAGAUUCAGAAUUAUCUCUACAUAAUCCACCUCCAUUUCUUUAGAACAACUAAAUGCUAUGGCCAAAAUCUCACUUAAGGCGUCAGGUUCAUGUUGGGGCUCAUUCACAAGAUUAAGAUGAAUAUAGUAGGGGAUGUUCCUGAUCUACCACCAGCCAUGUUGUCCAGUUGUUCAAUGCCCCUGUGUUGACUAUGGUCACAGUCACAGUUGUGUGUCCUUUCCCAAAAGAAAUGUCAUUUUGAAAUUUUUAAUGUCAACAACAGAACUUUCAUGUUUCUACAUUCAGGUACCCACAAAAAAUUGAGUCCAUGUUAGCAUCCAAUGAUGGAAAGUAAUAAUCUAAACAAGGGAACAAGUGCUCUCCUUGCUCUUUUUUAGUAGAACACUAGUUUAUUUCCAAUCAAUUGAGGAGGAAACUAAUUCUAAACACGGAAGCCAGGUACUUGAUUUCUGUUUGAUUGGUGGAACAACUGAAACGUAUUUACAGAUUUAACAUUAGAUAAGUUUAACAAAAUCACUAAUUAACUCCCAAACCUCUCCCCCCACCCACCACAACGGAAAGAAAAAACGUUUUGGGAUCCUAGUAGCUUUAUGUUACAAGAUUCUGAUCAACAUAUGGUGCAGAGUAUUAUGUUGGUCCAGUUCCUCUACUCUGCAUUGCAACAAAGUAUAAGUGGGUUUUCUCUUUUCUUCAUCUUCAAAUGAAACAACCCUUCUCAAUAAAGAAUACAAGAAAUUGAAAGCUAAGACCGUUUCCUUUCAUUGUACUUUGUUUCCUUUGCUCCUUCCUCUCUUGGUCAAGCCAAACAGUCCGUGGUUUGUCCAUUUCUUCUUCAUCCCACAUCAAAAAGCAGUGUGUUGGGUUAUCCCAUCUCUUUAUCCCCUUGUCAAGACACAGAAUUUAAUGCAUUGCUGUCUUUGAUUCCUCCUAGUUAAAAGGAAGCUUGAAAUAUCUCCAUUGCUUCUCUGUUUCUUUGAGCCAAAGGAUAGAAUACUGCUUUUCUCUGUUUCUUUGAGAUGCAAGAGGUUUGUAUAGAACUUAGGUGAGGUAACUAUUGGUCAGGGAGGUAGGCAGAUCUGAAACAUUUUCUUGACUUCCAACGGAAUAUCCUUGCACAUAUGUUACCAUUUUCUUUUCUUCAACUCUGUUUUCUUUGUUUCUUCCUUUCUUGGUCAAGCUAAACAAUCUGGUGAUUCUUCUUUUGUUAUUCAUCCCAUCAGGAGGCAGCAUCUCAUGCAUCUUUGCCUUGGGUUCCUCCCUCUCCUUCCAGCCUACGAAAAAAUAAUACCAUUGCUUAGUUUGGACUUCUCUGUUUUUUUUUAUCAUUUUGAAAAGCAUCAUGGGAAGAUGUACAAAAAAUGUGUUGUGCUGAAUUAUCCCCUUCUCUACUAACCAAAACAUGUUCUUUGACAAUCAAAUAUCAACGUGUUUAAGCAGUCGGUGAGGCAUAUCUUGACAAUGAGAUGAGAGGUAGAAACAAGAAACAUACUCGUAUUCAAGAGAAGCGUUGUUUCUUCAUUUGCAUUAGACAACAUUCAUUUAGUCUCAACUUGAAAGUGGAUUGCUAGAAUCUGAGCUCUUGCAAAGACACAAAAGUACAUUUAGAAAUCUAAAAGAAACCCAGAGACCAGUUGCUACUUGUGAAUCACUGUAAUCAGAAACAAUUCCAGAUAAUCCUGCAAAUCUAAACCUUUGAUUUGCUCCGUUCCCUUUUGCCAAGAAUAGUUCUAAAACGUUUUUCUUUAUUGAGUUGUAAUGAUUUUAUUAUUUGGAUUUAAUUGUAUUCAUUAGGUUUGCAAAUCACAAAAACGGUGUCGUGCUUAUGAAUAUCUUCCUCUUUGAUCAUGUAAAAUUGGGAAGCAAUUAUGGAUUACUAUUAUGAUAGCAUAGUGUAUUGAUCCACACAGUUUGUGGCAUGACAGUUUAAGGAAAUUGCAGAAGUGUAGCACUGAUGGGUAUGUCAUGUGAACAUUUUUCAAUAGAGCUACUUGUCCAAAUUUACAUGGGUGAAUUGUCACACCAAUGUCCUCUGAUGAACCUUGGGUUCUUUUUUCUAUUUCUUCCUCUCUUGGUCAAGCCAAACAAUUUGUCUUCAUGAGGACUUCAUGUUACCAAUAAGCAGCAUCUUGUGUUCUCCUUCUCUUCAUCCCCUUGUCAAGACAACAAUUUGAUGCAUCUUUCCAUUGGAUUGCUUCCUCUCUGCUCCCUCUCCUUCCUCCUUGAGGCAAAACCAUAUCAUUGCUUAGUUUUGACUAUGUUCUUUUGAUCAUUGUGAGAGAGCAUCAUUGUAAGAUGUACAAGAAAUGUGUUGUGGUGCAUUAUCCCCUUCUCCACCACCUAAAAUAUGUUUUACAUGAUCAUAAGGACCAAGGUGUUUUAAGCAUCAGGUAAGGAAUUUGUUGACAAUGAUGUGAGAGAUAGAAACAAGCAACAUACCGAUAUUCAAAAGACGUGAUGUUCUUCUUUUGCAUUUGACAACAUUCAUUUAGUCUGAACUCCACAUUUGAGCAACUCAAAAUCUCCACCUUCAUUAGGAUUGCAGGAAGUUGGCUUCUUGGAAAGACAUGGAAAGGGAGCAUCUAGAAAUCUGAAAGAAUUCCAGAGGCUUGUUGCUACUUUUGAAUCAUUCCAAUCAAUAGCAACUCCAAAAGAUGUAUACAAAUCUAUCCCUGGAAAACAGAUGUGUCUUGUGCAUAUGCAACCAUCUCUCUAAUAGACUCGAGAUUGUGCACCCUCAUGGUAGUUUCGUAUAGAUUGCACCAUAUGAAUUGUAGAUAUCCAACUACCAAUAUCACUACACCUGAAUGAACUAGGAGUUAUGCUGAAAGUGAAUUUGGACAACCCAUCAUCGAAAGAAUCCUGUUGGAAUACACCAAAAAGAAAAUCUUAUUAACAUAAAUGAAUUCAUCCCGUUAAAGGAUAAAGGUGCCGAAAAAAUUGAAUUGGGAGAGAUAGAAAUAUUGAUGCUUGCAUGGGACUGUGAGAGGGACCAACAAGUGGAACAAACAUUGAAUAGUAAAUGUAAAACCAUAAAGCUUGUAACUGUUGUCAAAAGUUGCUCUCUACUGAAGUUUUUUAACAAUAAAGGUAAGUGCAAAAUUCACCUAAUAGCUCCACUUGUAGAAAAUUUCAAUGGUGUGAAACUAGGAUAUGGUGAACUCACUUCCGCUAUUGCAGUGAACCAUUAUGGAUCAAAAAUGAAUCUCACCAUUGAUUUUCACAUAGGUGGGCUAUCUUUGGCCCAUAUCUCAAUAUUGAAUUUAGGAGUUCUGUCUCUCAUAUAUGGUUCCACUUGCAAAAUACAAAUGGAGCUUAGCUGAUGACAACACAUUUAGAAAAAUGCAAGAAUUCCAAAGACAUGUUUUGUGCUAUCAUGAAUCAUUCCAAUCAAUAAGGAAUCAAAGUGCUAUAAUUUUGAAUUGUCUUAGGGAACAUACCCCAAUUCAAUCUUGCGGAAGUAAACUGUCUUGAGCACCAACUCAAUUCUGAGUUCUUUGGAAGACUUGAGACACCAAUUCAAUCAAAACUGCUAGUUGUUUUUGUGGUAGAUUGUCUUCCUCCACUGAUAUUGGGGAACCCCAAAGCCCUAUAUACAAUUUUGAACUGUCAGCCUUCUUACCUUGAAUGAGAAACCUAUCCAUAGGAAAGAGGUGUCUUGGGCAUGCAACCAUCAAUUAUUAGCUAUCGAAAAGGCUUGAAGUUGUGCACCCACUUGGUAGCUUCUAAUUCAUUAAACCAUAUAACUUCUAGAUAUCCAAUUGGCACAUUACUAUACCUGAAUGAAAGUGAAUAGGAAGUUAGACAACCUUUCACAAAAAGAAUCCUGUAAGAAUACACCAAACAGAACUUCUUGUUAACAUAAAUGAAUUCACUCAGUUAAAUUAUUGUGUGAAAAUUUAAAUUGGGAUAAAUAAAAAUAUCGAUGCUUACAUGGGACUGUGGGAGGACCAACAAGAGGAACAAACUUUGAAUAGCAAAUGUGAAACCAUAAAGCUUGUAACUGCUGUCAAGACGUUGCUCCCUAGUCAAGUUUUCAACAAAAAGGUUCAAUGUAGGGAUUCUCUAGUAGUUGAACUUGUAGAAAAUUUCAACAGUAUGACUUUAUACUUGUAAUAAGAAGAUAAAAUGUAAGAAUUAUGUGUUGGGAAUAAAUGAAACUUACUAAAUAUAUGGAUAGGAUAGGGUGAACUCUCUGUGCUUCCAUUUUUGGAAUCUAAUGGAUCAAAGAUGGAUCUCUCCAUCUAUUUCCAAAUAGGAGAUGUGGGCAAUCUUGAAUUGAUGUCUCAUCAUUGGAUUUGGAACUGAUGUAUAGCUCUGAAACCAUGACAAGGUUCUCCUUCAGUUGACAAAUACAACUAGAGCUUAGGUGAGGUCUUGGUGAUAUAGAAAAGUCAGGGAUUCUGGAAUCUUUACAUGAAAAUAUACAUGAGAUACAUUGGAAGAAAGGGCAGGCCUUGGUCAUUUGAGAAGAAACACAUCUUAAAUAUAUUAUCAAUCAUGAUGAGUUGUUUGAGAAUCAUGAGUCUAUGAAGGCCUCACUCAUAUAAGGGAUGUCUUUGACAUUUCUCACUCUUCAAUCUUAGGAAGGUACAUCAUCAACUAGAACAUUAUGAAUAUGAGUCAUCAUGAGGCAACUUGUUUAUGUUUUUUAUUCUUUUCUCACCAGAGGGGAUUAAAAGAUAUGUAGUUGCAAGGACAAGAGAUGUAGCUAGUACUGAAAGCAUCAAACAAUCCUUCUCUAAUCCAGACCACAAAUUUUAGCAACUCGUGAUCUCCACAAUUUAGAGCACUGAAGGAAGUUAGCCUGUUGGAAAGAUGUUCCAUGACAUUUAGAAAUAUGCAAGAAUUCCAGAGAUCAUUCCAAUCAUUAAGGAAUCCAAAGCCCUAUAAUUUGAAUAGGGCAUCCACUUGGCAAGGAUAACGCACCUAUCUUGGGAAAAAGAUUGGGCACCAAUUCAAUUAUCAACUCUCUAUGAAACUUGAGAUACAAGGUACCAAUGUUAGUUGCUUCCGUGGCAGUUCUUCUUUUACUGGUAUUGGGGCAAAGCCUUUUGAAAACCCUCAAUCUACAAAUUGCCAAGGACAUGAGAUCAUGUUGUAAUCUCAUCUCCAAUCUCCAACUGCAAACAAAUUAUUUCUUUCAAUUAACAAUCUUUAAUGCGUGCACUUCUAUCAUAUGAUAAGAAAUUUAGGAAAACAAGUAAGCUUUAUAAUAUUAGGAAUAUGCAAGGAAUUGAUAAAGGCUAUGAAUCUACUUUCAAAAAAUAAAAUAUAAAAACAAAUAUUUUUUUCACCCAUGAAUAUUGUAACCAGCUUCUAAAAAACAUUAGGUAUUGAAAUAACCCAAUGUUCCUUAGGUAUUAAAGUUGAAGUUCAAAGUUACCAAGAGUGCUUUUUUGACCCAUGCAUAAAAUAAAAAGAAAAUAAGAAAGCAUAACAUAUAACUCAUAAUUGUGUCAAGUAUGAGUUCAAUUCAUGGUCAUGCACAAUUGCAUUAAGUAUUUAAAAGCUAAAUAAGGCUAUGUGCAAUUCAAAGAAUACCAUACAACUCAUAAUAGAAUCCUCACAGCUCACCAUAGAAUGAGAACUCAAACGUCUUUCUUCCGGUCAUAAGAGUUUGUGCUCUUCGAGCCUCUGACUUGCACAACUCAAGACAGCAGGACAUGCCAAAAAGUUUCUUUCACCUCAAACAUUAUUCAAAUCUGCAGUCUAAAUCUAGAUAAGAUAAUUUUCUACAAAUAUAACAUGUUGCAAACAAAUAACAGUAUGUUGGUUUAAAAUUGAAGAGCAUUUCAAACCAAACAAAAUAGAAAAAUUUUCAGUGUACAUCACUCACCUAAAAGCUUGUAUGUUGGAUGAAAUUCUUGCUAAUGAAUCCUGACAAUUAUUUGCAAUCAAAAUUUAGUAAUGGUUUAUAACCAAAAAAAAAAAUAUUACAAAUUUUUUUAGCAAUGUUCCAUGAAAAGCACAUUGCAUAUUGAUUGAGAAAUUAAUAUGAAAUCCACUAAUUUGAAAGGCACUAAAUACCAUAUGUUCUCUUGAGUUCUCCAUGUAUCAAAACAGAUGCAAGUUGCUAUUCGAGCCACCACAAUCACGGAGCAAAAGACUUCUUAGCAUGGAAGGCAUACCAUAUUUUAAACAAGGUUCUUAACUUUCCAAGAGACAUAAGAACGUGGUGUGUUGUAGAAACUGUAGAAUAAAUAAAUGGAAGUUAGACAUAUGCACUUGCUACUUAGUUUUUUAAUCAUGUGUGAAAUAAAUAAAGAGGUGUUACUUGCAUUUAGGCCAAACUUGUAGUCUCCAAUGUGAAAUCCAAAUCUCAUUUUGUCAACAGAAUAAGAGUAUUAAACAUAUAGAAAAUUGAAUCCUUCCUUUUGACAAUUUGAAAACCUUAAAGGAAUGACUUGAGAUCAUAAAUAACUAUACAGUAAAGAAAAUUUUCAUCAUUCUUUCUAAAAGGAAAAUUUGUCAUUUCCUUGAUUACGAAAGAUUGAUAUUUUAACAUAAAGUGCACUUAUUAAGGUAAACUUUGUGCAUUAUAUAUUGAUUUAGAAAAUUGUAUUUAAACCCGGUUAGAAGGGUAUCACAAAAGAUGCUUAAUUGAAAUGAAGGCAUCCAUGCCAAUUUGUAAAUGUUGUCAAAUAACACCCUCCCUUAUCAUUUUACAUCCCAUGCUUGCAUGUCAAAUCUUUAACUAAGACUGCUCAAAGAGCACCUAAAAGAAAAUUACGAAGAUUUCAUUACAGGUAGAACUUAAGAUGCUUACAUUGACCAUGAGAGAGAUCGAUAAGAAACAAAAUACUCCCCCAUAAGUUUGUAACUAUUGUACUGAUAACUUACUUCCUAGUCAAACUAUCAACAUAACUCCAUGGAGACUUCCACAAAUUGUUGAGCCACUGGUAAAACACAACAUCAAUAUGAGAAAUUUACAAGGUACUAUGCAGAUAAAAGAGUAAGAAAUGUGUAUUGAGAAUAAGAGUUACCUUAAUGAAUGUAAGGCUAGGAUAGGGUUGAAUUGGCUCUGCAUCCAUUUUUGCAAUUUGAAUUUAUUAUGGUUCAAAAAUGAGUUUAUGAUGUAUCCUCAUUUUAGGGGAAGCGGGAAAUCUGGGGCCAAUCUCUAUCAUUCUCCUUGAAACAUCUUUGAUUUCGAAGUUUGAUAAAACUUAGAAGACAACCUUUCACUUGGCAAGAAGGACUAGAACAAGGCAUCCCUCAAUCUCUACAAGUUAAAGAAAUGAAGUUUUGAAGACCAAGGGAGGGGGCUAGGAUUCUAGAUUUGACAAUAUUUUCAUUGAAAAAUCAAUGAGAGUUGUAGCAAGAAAUCCUGUAAAAAGGAAAUUGCAUUUAACAAUGUACAAUAUAAAAUGAAUGAACUGAGUUUUUAGAAAGGUGAAUCUUUGGAGGCUCCACAAAGAUAAGGGGUUUUAAUACCCUUGCAAGUGUAUUCGUGAAAUUGUUUCCUCAACGGAAACCUGAACCUAGACAUUGUGCAACACAAAGCUGUUAAAGAGAUGUGAGACUCUAAAUCUGAUGAGGUAGGACUUGAGAUCCACAUUUUCUUAAGUGAGGAAUUCUGAGGUUGUAGACACACUAGUAGUUUCCAGAUUUAGAUACUUCUCUUCAAAUAUUUGUAUAAUGUACAUCUUCUUUGACAUUGCUGCUCCAACAAGAUGUCAAAUAGGAGGUGCAACCUAUUUGGGCAUACUACACGUACAACAAAAAAUUUCAUUAAAACAAAAACUUUUACUAAAACAAAAAUAUGAAGUUAAUGUCUAAGAAGAUGAGAUUUAUAUAUAGUGAAUGAGCAUGAUUGAUUUUAGCACAAAGGGAAUGAUGCCAAAAUUUUUAAGAAUAUCAUCACCACAAGUACUUGCAUCAUUAAAAAUUCCACAAGGAUUUGAUGGUUAGGCAAUAAAAUAAUUCUAGUAAAUGAGUUAAAAGCAGCUGAGCUAAGAAAGAUUAAAUCCAAAUAAGCAUCAAUCAUUAAAGAAUUAACCAACUACGAAAGACUUCAAAUGACGUUUUCUCUGUAAUUUCUGUUCCUAAUUGGUCCCAUUUGCUUAAACCAAAAUAUUAUUAAUUUGCUUUAAAGGAAGUGGGUGACUCAUAUCUCUGAAAGGAUGUGAGAGGUGGAAAUCCCUCGAUCUCUAGUGAUUCAAGAGGAUAAUUCCUAUGGCUAUUGUUGUCAUCAUACAUCAUUCAGCUAGCUAUAGACCACAAAAUUGAACAAUCAUGAAUACGUAGAUGCUUAAAUAUGGUGUGUACUUUAUCUAGUGGAAAAGCUUAUGAGACUUGGUCAUCUCGAGAUUUCUAGGAAUUAAGAUAGAUACAAGUUGUUGCUUCCUGUUAUAAUUUAUCUGGAUCGCAAUCAUCAAGCACUAACUCCAUUCACUGCAUGUUUUGAGCCUUCAGCAUAAAACCAAAAUUCCUUUCUAUCGGACAAAAAAUAAAAUAUAAAAAAAUCACUAAUAACUCAACCAUUUUAUGUUGCUCAUAUUAUAAAAUGUAGGAUUUAACUGACUUCCAUCAUUGAAAAUGAAUUAAUAUAACUUUACAAUACUAGUAUAUUCAGCUUUUGACAUGGCUGAAACUGAUCUUGGAAUCAAAAAUCACAUACACAAGUAGAUAUUUAAUAGAAGAGGAUCCAAAAUCUCUUCCAUUGAUUAAUGUAUAAAUGAAUUAAUCAAAAAAAUUUGAGAUAAUUAUGGGGAGAUGAACCUUGUACCUCUGAGUUUCUUAUUCUUCUUGAACAGAGCAAUGAGCAUAAAGUGUUGAGCACCCAGGAAUCUCCCUUCCUCCACAGGCAAAGUCUAAACAAUCUAUCCUUUCUUCAUAGUCCACUUCCUUGCAAAAGUCAAAACAUGAAGAAAAUAUCAUCAAAAUUGAGACAGAAAUAAGUGCAUCAACUAUCUCAAGAAGAGAUUUAUGCCUACUGCUUACCUUUUGAAGAAGUUCACUUGGUUAGAGCACAUUUUACAUGGACGCCCAAUCACUGCAAGCUGCUGAACCAAAGGAGAGUUCAAACAUCUAAAAAAUUUGACAAACUCAAGUAUCAUAAAAUACUUCAUAUGAAUUCUAAAUGAUCUCAUAUCUAAAAAACAUUGGCAUAAAAUUAUUGUUGUUUACCUUACAUGUUUCUUCCAUGGUCAUAAUCGAAACUUUGUUUGUCAUAAGAAAUCUUCUAUAUAUAUAUAUAUAUAUAUAUAUAUAUAUAUCAAUUUAAUAAUUUUUAAAAAUUAGCAAUUAUAAAACUAUUUUGGUUCUCCAAAAAUUUAUGGGAAAGUAGGGAAAAAAACUAUAAACUUUUUCUCUUGUUUGAUUAUUUAUCAGAAAAUUGAGGGAAAAACAAAAAUCUAUGAGAAAUUUAUUUAACACUUUUGAGGAACCAAAAAUGUUUUAGAUGUUGUCAAAUCAAUAAUUUAAACGUGUUUAAUUCCAAUUAAAUGAGUUUAAUCAAACACAUGAAAUUGUGAAUAAAAUUAUUUAAAAGCAUUGAAAUUCAAGUCAUUAAAGUUGUCCAUAAAAUGUCGUAUAUUGAAGCAAGAAAAAAACAAAGCAAUUUGAAUGACUUGCUAAUAAAGCAGCUAACUAGAAUAUGCCCUAGAGUUGUUCAGUGCCCUCUAUAUAAGAAAUAAACAGAGAACACAAAAAAAAAAAAAAAAAAAAACCUAGAAACUACAAUAAGUGAAGUGAUAAUGUCAUCUAAUUAGUAAACCAAACCAAGUCAAUAAACUACAACUUCCUCUAGUAUAAAGGUCUUGAUACAUUAGAUAUUGAAUUUGUUGGAUUAAAAUCUCAUUUAUUGCACCUGGCAAGGUAGAAGUAGUAAUGCUCAUUUUUUAUUGUGACAGAUUAUAGAGAAAAUUAGACACUGGGAAAAUACCAAGCCAGGAGCCAUGUCAAGAGCUGCUUUCUUGUUAAAAAUUAAGUCCAAUUAGAAAAUUGCAGUAGCACGUAAGAGAAAUUGAAAGUGGUGUUGAGAAGAGAAAGAGGAAGAAUGAUGUGUUGGGAAUGAGAUGUAAUACCUUGUUUAUUACUCAGAUGGAUUGGUCAUCUAUAUCCACAUAGGGAAUGUGGGCAAUCUUGGGCCAAUCAUCUCCUUCCUCCUUCGAGUACCUUUGUGUUAGAUGUGGGCAAUCCCGCACAUACAGUCGUGAAAGGGUGUCAGGCAAUAGUCCUUCCGUUGGCAAAAUCGAUCGGAGCUUAGGGCAACUGUAGAUUUCUAGCUUUUCAAGAGAGGUGAGGGUUUGGAGAGACAGGGAGGCUAGGGAUUCCAGAUUCUGGAAUUCUAAAAGGGUAAGGGAGGAGAGAGUUGUAGGAAAAAUAAUCGAGUGGGGGUCAUCCGAAAAGGAAGUUGCAUCUGGAAACAUGCCACUAAUCAAGAGGUCUUUAAGAGAGGUGAGUCUGGAAAGGCCCCAUUGGGAUAGGGGGGUCUUGAUAUUCUCAGAGUGAGAGAUCUCGAGUGAUGUAAGACGAGUGAGCUUUUUUAUCUGAGGAAGCAACAAUUCCAGAUUUUCAAAAUCUUCAAUACGUAGAUCUGUGAGGGUGUUGAGGCAAUCUGGUAGGGUUUUGAGAUUAGGAUACCUCCUGAGGGUUAACGAUUGAAGUGAAUUAUUAGUAGAGUGAAACAUCUCCUCUGAAAUUGACUCGAGGCGUUCACAAUCCCCAAUGUGAAGUCGCUCAAGGGUGGAUUGAAACUUGCCUCUUGGGAAGGAUGUGAGAAAUGGACAUUCACCGAUUUCCAAGACUUGGAGAGCAGCUGCAUUGGUGGAAUGUUGGUGCAUUAUUCCCUCAGGUAGAGACUCUAGCCUUCCACAACUCCAUAUUCUGAGUUUCUUGAGAGUGGCGGGUAACCCACCUUUCGGUAAUCCAAUAAGAGACGGACACCCCUCUAUAGAAAAGUCUUCAAGGGCACACGUGCCCAUCAUUUCUUCUGGAAGAGACUUGAGAUUUUCACAAUGCAAUAUGUGUAGACUCUUAAGGGUGGUGGGUAAUUGCCCUUUUGGAAAGCAAAUGAGAGAUGGACAGUUCCAUAUACUUAAGCAUUCAAGGAGACACAAGUUGUUGCUGUCAGUACUGUCGUUCCUCAUCUUCAACAUCAUGCCAUCAGGUAGACUCUUUAGACCUUCACAAUUCUCAAGAAUAAGAUUUCUCAGCAUUGGUGGGAAACCUACAUCUGGAAAUGACGCUAGCUUUGGACAAUCCCUGAUUGUCAAUUCUUCAAGGCAUGUUAGACUCUGCCAUCCAUUUGGAAGCCUCUCUAGUUUAUCACAUCCACUUAUUUCCAAAGACUGAAGAUUGCAUCCCAAGGAUACAAGUUGGUCACAAUCUCUAAUCUCAAGAGAAUGAGAGUUUUCCGAUCCAAAACCAUCCUCCCACAAAUAUACGAGUUCUUCACAUUCCGAUACUUUCAAAACCCGAAGCCCUUGCAAAAAUUGCACAAAUCCUUCAUGCAAUUUGAUAAGCCCUGAAAUCCCAGAAAUUGUUAACUUGGUGAGUGAGGUGAGGUCAUUUCCACUGCUCAAGACCGCCUCAUUACAUUCUUUUACUUGUAAUCCCUUCAGCAGUGGAAGUCUUGAAAGUGGAGACUCCAAUUUUGGACAAAAGUGAACAGAGAGCUUUGUAAGAGAAGGUAAGUAAGUGGGCAGUUUCAUAAUCAAUUUGGGGCAAUCCUCAAUUGUAAGCUCAUGGAGACAAGGGAAUAAUGACUCUGUUGAGGAAGACCAGUCCUCCCAUUGCUCCCAUUCUGACAUGCGAUUAAAAUGUAGAGACUCUAGUGAUGGGAAAAACUUACCUGCAGAAACACGAGUCUCUCCAUAAAACUCUGCACCCACUUUUUUUACUCCAUCCAUUCCUUGGAUCCUCAACUGUUUGAGCGAUGGCAACUGCCCCAAGCAUGGUAAAGACGUGCACUCUCUGCAAUCUAUGAGACUGAGAUCCACCAUCUUAGAGAACAAGGCAUCCCCUAUCCAACGUGGGAAUUCUGGACCACCAUACCACUUAAUGCAGAGUUUGUUCAGAUUCAAACAAGGUUGUAGAGAGUCAAGGACAUCCAUUUGAUUCCUUUCAUUCCCUGAACCAUCCAGCUCAGAACUCCACUGCAUUAUCAAGCUUUCAAGGUUACGCUUCAAUUUUAAAUCGGCAUCCCUUGCAUCUUGAAUAUUCACCACAUUUUCCAAUUUCGAAAUGCAAAGUUCUCGCAGAUGUGACAUGUCUUUCAACCCUUUGAUUGUCAAACCGUUGUUUUUGUCCACAAUGAAAUUAGACAAUAUCCGCAAAUCUUUUAGUUUGCCAAUUUGUACAGGCAUUUCUUGUAAUUGUUUUGCACCAGCAACAUCAAGAUGUCGAAGAUUGAUUAGGUUACCGAUGCUAAUAGGCAACCUGAUAAGCUUUUCACAGCAUGAUAAUUUCAAUGUUUGAAGAUAAAAAAGAUUACCAAUUGAAUCGGGUAACCAUUUUAUAUUGGUGUAGGACAAAUUAAGGUAUCUCAAAUGUUUCAACUCACCAAAUGAAUCCGGUAUCUCACUUAUCAUGUAACGAGCCAAUGAGAGCACCCUUAAGUGCCCUAACCUUGGUAUCAAUUCUUCAAGCACCUUAUUACUUAUGAAGGAAUGACGUCUACUAGUUGAUUCAUCAAUCGGCAAAGCUAUGAAUGUGCGCAAGUGCUCUUUCUUAUGAAACCUUUCAAAUUUUUUAAAGAUAUCACAAAAAUGACGGGUGAAUGAUGAAUGACGAGUAUUUUCAGAAAUGGAGCAUUGCAAAUCAUUCCACAACUCAUCAUCCAAAUGCAAGCAUGUGUCUCCAGCAAUAGAUUUAGCUAGAGCAUGGACAAGGUCAUGCAUCACGAAUCGUGAUCUAUUGCUGCUUGACGAUUGAAAAAAUGACCUUGACAAUAGCUCAUCAAAAUACUUAUCACCAUGAUCUUCCAUUUUCCUAUUAUCUUUUGAUUGUUGAAUUAACCCCUCCGCUAUCCACAGGAGGAUUAACUCUUGCUUUGUAAACUCAUAAUCCUGGGGAAAAUUUGCGCAAUAAGUAAAACACCUCUUUAAAUGUGAAGACAGAUGAUAGUAGCUCAAUCUCAAGGCAGGGAUGAUGUCACAUUCCUUGUCUGUUAAAUUCCAUACUUUGCUGUACAAUACUCUUUCCCAUUCACAUUCACGUAGUUCAGAGCGCAAAAGGCCACCAAGGGCUCUUGCCGCUAAGGGAGAACCUCCACACUUCUCUACAAUUCUCCUACCAAUUGAUUCCAAAUUUGGGUGCUCAUCGAUAUUCAUAUGUUCAAAAGCAUGUGUUUGAAAUAUCUUCAAACAAUCAUCAUAUGGUAACUGUUUGAGCUCAUGUAAGAUCUUGCGUCCUCUCAUCUUGUUUGCAACAUUAUUAUUGCGAGUUGUGACUAGAAUUUUGCUUCCCUGUGCUCCCACCCAGAAAGGGGAGCAUAGCCUGUCCAACUCAAAGUAAUCAUCAUUCCACAAAUCAUCCAAAACUAUCAGAAAUUUUUUUCCCUUCAAUUCCUUCCUCAAAUUUUCUUGGAUUUGAUGCAAGUCUUGUGAAUCACUGCUUUGAGAAUUAGUCACCGAGUUGAGAAUUGUCUUUGUUAUUCUCACUGCAUCGAACUGAUCUGAGACACAAACCCAGGCUUUUUUAUCAAAAUGCUUGGUUACGGUCUUAUCGUCAUCGUACACCAGUCUUGCCAGUGUGGUCUUGCCCAUCCCACCCGUGGCCACGAUGGAAACUACAGAAAAAUUGGUUUUAGUGGGUUCAUUCCUAAGCAGCAUACCAAUUAUAAUCUCUUUUUCUGUCCCCCUGCCAUAGACCUGAGGUUCAUAUCCUAGAGAUGCGGUGACUGGCCUUCCCCUAGCAGAGUUGGUUAUCGCAGCCACCUUUUCUAGACGAAGCUCAGAUUUUUGAGCCGAAAUAUCUCGUAAGCGGCGAGUGAUUUCCAACACCUUGGACCUCAUGUUAAUAUAACGCAUAACCUCAUUAGGAUUGAAAAUGCCAAGACAAGUGGAGAUGAGCUUGCGUACCUUGCUCGGCCUGCCUUGAUGAUCAGCUUCUUUGGCCGUGAGUUCCCGUUGCAAAGCUUCGUAGGCGAACCCAUCCAAGAUGUCCUCCAUAUCAUAAGCCAAAUCCUUCAGAUUGCCCAGCCACUCUUUCACAGAGUGAUCCGUGAUCUGCUUGUCCUCCGCGUCAUUAAGCUCUUCACGAAUAUUCGACAAUUCUAUCUCCCAUUUCUUGAGAUCAGAGUACACCCAUUGUUGGCGUGCAAAGUCGAGCAAAUCAGUGGAGGCCAACUUAUCAAACAAGAGGCCGAUGGCAGCAGAAAGAAGAGCGUCUCCCACAGCUUCCAUGGUUGGUUUGUACUUUGUUUGCAGAGAGAGAGAGCAAAUCAAGCAGUGGGUAAAAAGGUGAAGCAGAAAGAAGGGGUCUGCUCUGUGAAGGCUUUAAAUAUUAGAAACCCAUUUUCAUUUUAAUUUAUUUGAAGGUCCUUGUAGAGACAGCUGGAUCAUAUUGGAGUUUGAGAUGGCCCGACUGCCCACCUGCAUGCCACUGUUGGUUUGUUUGUGUACUUUAAAUAUGUCUCAAUUUUAUUAUAAAUUUUUUUUUUUUAAUGUAACUAUAUAUAUAUAUCCCUCUUUUAUUAUUUUUUUAUUUGCAUGAUAUUUCUUUCAUACCAAUCAAAACUAUGAAGAGAUUUUUCUUAAAAUUCAUAAAAUAUCUUGUUUUUGUUGCAUCAAUAUGUUUCAUUUCAUUGUAAGAAAGGCCAGUAAAAUGUGAUAUUUUCUAAUUUCUGAUUUGUAACAUUUUUUUUUCUUAUUUAUUCCAAUCUUAUAUGCAUAUUACACUAUUAGGCAAAGUUGUCAAUGACAAUGAUUGUUAUUUAUAAUGGCUUGAACUUAGAAGCAUCCUAGCUUAUGAUACUCAAUUAUAUUCACCUCUACAACUUAAUUUCAAAAUGUUGGAAUGCAUACCAAAUUCCUAAUUAAUCAAGGUUUAUUUUUUUGUAAAAAAAUGUUAUAUAGAAUAUUUCCUAAGUUGAUACAUUAUUAUAAUAUUAAAUUUCCGUCUAGAAUAAGGAAUAUUAUUAGAAAUAUCUCUAUAAAUAUUAUAGGUAAAAGUGAACAUGAGCUUUUAGUGACUAUACGAAGUUAAUAAAGAUACUCAGUAAAGUGAGAGGGCUCGUGGUUCAAGGUAUGGAUACAAGGAGUGACACAAAAUAAUUUAUUAACUCAAAAUCUAUUUUUUAUUUUUCUUUAUUUUUUCUUUCUUUCUAAUUUUCUUUUUGUUUUCUUUUUCUCUAACUCCCUCAAAUCUUCUAGAAACCAAAUAUUGUCCUAAUGUGUGUUGGACGAUGAACUUGUUAUUUUAUAAACUUCAAAUAUUCAAUUUUCAUGGAGAAGGAAUCUCAUAUCUAUCUCAAGUUAAUUAUAUGCAUCCCAUUUUUACCACUAGCAAACCUUAAUCACCUUAUUAUAUGGAAAUUGGGUAUAACUAGAUGUAAUAAAAAACAAAGUUUUGUGAAUAAUGAAAGAACUUGUACAAGUAAAAAUAGAAUUUUAAUAAGAUGCAAAAAAAUUUUGGCUUCCAUAUCUACUCAAAUAAGCAUAGAACCUUUUUCUUCAACUUUUCAGUUUUUGACUUCUCAAAAAUCAAUCUAAAUUGGAUUGAUAAAUUAUAAAAGGUUACAAUAUAAUAUUACAAUGUAUAAAUAUUAUUUUCACUUCUAUAUUUCCCAUGAAAUUAUUUAUUUAUUUAUUUAAAUUGAAAUGUCCUUUGUUAUUUGUUUCUACCUUUAAAAAGUAACAAAAAAAUUAUUUUAAAUCUUAGGUAUGGCAAUACUUAAGUAUUUAAUAAUUUUAAUUAGAUAAUUACAUUUUCUUUUACAUUUUACACAUAAAAUAAUUAAUUACAUUUUAUAUUAUAUUAUUUAAUUAGUGAUAUUUAAAUUUUAAUUAGUUUUUAAGAAUUUAAUUAAUAGUUAAAUAAUUAGAUUUAUUUAUGUUUAAAUCUAAUUAACAAUAAGUUCAAUGCAACAAGAAAAAAAAAAAGCUUAUGGUUACUAUUUUGAAGUGGAUUUCAAUUUUAAAUUUUACAAGUAGACUUGCUUGACUAACCUUAUAAAUUAGUAGAAUUUAACAAGUUGCAAAUGGUUCCCUUACCUAAUCUUUUAAAUUAAUCUUGAUGUUGACAAGCACUUUACCAACCAUAAUUAUAAAAAGACAUAAGUCAAGUUGAUUUUACUAAAUUGCAAGUGGGUGCCCUUACCUAAUCUUUUAAAUUAAUCUUGAUGUUCACAAGCACUUUGCCAACCAUAAUUAUAAAAAGACAUAUAAGUCAAAUUGAUUUUACUCAAUUGAGAUUAAUAAAUUGCAAGUGGGUGCCCUUUACCUAAUCUUUUAAUUUAAUCUUCAUAUUGAUAAGAACCAAAUCAGCUAUAAUUAUAAAAACAAGAAGACGACAAGCUAUGAUUACUUUUAUUAACUAAAAUUUAAUAAAUCACAAUUUCUCUUACCUAACCUUUAGAUUAAUCUUGAUAACUUUGCCAACAGUAAUUAUAAAAAGAGAAAGACGACAAGCUAAUUUAAUUGGCUAAUUUUAUUAACUUAGGUUUAAUAAAUUUAAAGUAGGUUGAUCUCUUACCUAUCCUUUUUAAAUUAAUCUUGAGAUCAAUAAGAAUCAUACAGCCAUAAUAAUAAGAAGAGCUAAAACAUAAGUCGAUUUGAUAUUUAAUUAGUUAAUUUUAUUAACUAUAAGAUAUAAAAAUUUGGUAGGAGGUGUCUUAAAUCCCAAAUUAGAAUAUACUUUUUUUUUUCGUGAAAAGAAUAUUAUAUAGAAUAUUUCCAAAGUUUAUAUGUGAUUGUAAUUAAAUUCAAGUUAGUACAUAUAUAUUUAUAAAUAUUUUAAGACAUGAAGAGAAAAAGUUAUGGAAGAUAUGAAAAAGAGAUGCGAUCAAGAGCGAGAGACGUUGAUAGAACAAGAGGGUUCACUAGGGAAGAGUAUAGAUGUGAAGAAGAAUGAGAAACACAUAGUGGAGCAAAAUGAUUCAUGGUUUAUGAUAGAGAUAUAAAGAGCAGGAAAAAUGGGAUGUUUGGGUUUUGGUAGUCGUCUAACCUUUGUAUGUGGUUUGCUUUAUUCAUGUGUUCUUCCUUUAAUAUGUUUAAAUUGAGGUUUUUGUUUACCUUUUGGUCCUAAGAUGGGUUUUGUCAUGUAAUCAAUUAUGCCCGUUUCCAAUUUCAUUAGAAACUUGUGUUCUACGAUUUGACAAAUGAAAAUAAUUAUUUUUCUAUAAUUUUUUUUAUUAUAAUUUUGUUAGUUAAUAAAAAGUAAAAUAUAGAUAAUAUUAGCCGUCAAAUAGAAAGAUAAAUAUGACAAUUGAUGUGUUUUCACAGCAUAUUUGUACUUAGAUGGUUUUGCUUAUAUGAAGUAAUUUAAUGCAACUAUGAAGAUUUAUAUGAAGUAAACUUUAUAUAAUUUGAGAUUUAAUAAUCGGUUAAUUUUUAUUUGAAGAUACAAAAACAUAAAAUAAAAGUCUUGUUCGAAAACUAUUAUUGAAAACAACAUGAAAAUGGGGUUUUUUCACUUAGAAAUAUACAUUUGACAAACUUCUCAUAUAAAACUUCUUAAAAUAAGUUAUUUUUUAGAACAAUUUUGAAAUGUUUUUAAUUUUUUCACAACAAUUUAAAUAAAAAUUGAAGAUAUAGAUAAUAUAUAUUUUGGGAAAUUUUGUAUCGUAUUUAAGUAUACAAUUCCUUUGUAAAGAAUAAAUCGAAACGAGUAAUGGCUAUUUUCAAGAAUUGUUUUGAAGAAUUAUUUUCACAAAUGUUGUCAAAUAUGCUCAAAACUUUCUACAUCAUUUAUAUUAAUCUUGGAUUCAAUCAAAAUCUUGCCACAAUUGAAAAGAGAAAAAAAUGUUAAUUAAUUGGUUAAUAUUUACAAUCCUAAAAAAAAAAAUAAUAAUAAUAAUAAUUCAAAAUUUUUUAAAUAAAAAUCUCGCUAACUAAAAUAAAAAUUCACCAUCAAAAUAAAAGAUUAUCUAAUAGUUUUCUAUUUUUGACUCUAUAAUCAAGAAUGUUCAUAUAAUUUCUUUUACAAUAACAUACUAAAAUAGAAAGAGAUUAAAAUGGAAAAAGAAAAUGAUUAACAAUAAAAUUCAUAAAAAGAAAUGAAAAUUAAGAAGAUUUCAAUCCACUUCAAUAUUAUUUCAAUGAAAUAGUAUUGCAUUUAAAUUAUUGAAGGCCAUACCAAUUUAUUUUUCGUCCUUUUUUAAUACUUAAUUUUGUUAUCAAACAAUGAAAAUUUUACUAAUCAAGGAAAAUGAGAAAAGAAAAUAUUUUUCUUGAAAGUUAAUGAAUUUGUUAAGAAAGGAAAACAAAAGGUCUUUUAUGGGAUACUUUAUUAAAUUAAAUUAAUAACUUAAUUUAAAUCAUUAAAUAAAUUAAGUAUGUUUAGCAAAAUAACAUAAUGGUAUGAUUUAAAAUAAAAAAACUUUAAAUAAUAAAUAAAAAUAAUUAACUUAUUCUUAAAUUCACAUUUUUAUUUUACCUUUUUACCCCAAUUUGCCAUAAUUACCUCCACAAUUUCCUUUACUAUUCCACGACUUUUACUUUCACACGACCUCCUUUACUCUAGGUAUAAUUUAUGAGGAUAAAUAUGUCAAUUUGGAAAUUUAGAAUUAAUCAUAAGUUAGUUUUAUCACACAAUCGUAGUACUUAAAAUAAAAAUUAAGUAAUAAGUUUUAAUUUAACAAUUUAAGUAUAAUUUAACUAAAAGUCAACUUAAAUCAUUAAGUAAUUAGUAUUAAGUUUUAUCAAACACCUCCAUAUAAUUAGUUAAUUUUGAUUAAUCUAAAAAUAUAGAAAGUGAAAUAUACACAUUUUUUUAUUGGUUAGGUUGGUCUUGAACUUUUUUCACCAAAUCAUUUUUAUUAAUCUUAACAUGCGCCAUUUGAUGCGACUGAUGGUAGCUUAGCUUUAAAGGCGUAUCAACAAAAUUUAUACCUUAAAUAUUAUUACUAAAGUAGCCAAGCUACUAUAGCAUAGUGGUUCUAGGAUCGUUCACUGGGAAGGGUUUUCGCGAACACUAGUGAUAUUCAAAUUAGGAAAAUAGGUGAUUUUCUUAUGGAUGUUAGCUUUAAAAGAAGAUGUAAAUGUUUUAGAAAGAUUUAAACUAAUCUAAGCUAACAUUAAAGACUAAAAUGAAAGGGUGUAAAAACAAGUUUCUCAAAGAUAGGAUAGCUAUGCUCUGGCUCUUAUGCAAAUUGGAAAUCUCAGGAUAGGCUCCUCGCGUUGGGGUUACAACUAUGGUAAUGCUUGCUUCCCGAACCGGUAUGGAUUUAGCAAAUCAAGUUUUAAUCCUUUAAAAUGGCAAAACAGAUGGUAGUGAAUUUCAUCAAUGGUUAUUCACCUUAGACUUCCUUUGAAUGGCUCGUAAGAGAUAACUAAUGGUCUAAAGCCAAAAGCUUACCAAAUAUUGGCAACUCAAAGUCAUUCCAGGUGAUAAACUCACCUUUCAAUGGCCAUUGAAAUUGGUUCUAACGGAUUAAUGCAAAACUUGGAAUUGAAAACCUCACCUUCCAAUAGCUCGUAGGAGAUAACUAAUGGAUAGAAAUCCAAAAGCUUAUCAAGUAUUGGCCGUUGGAAGUUGUCCAAAGGAAAUAAAAACCAAACUUUGCAUUAAUGAACCAUUAAUGAAAAACGACUACCUUGCCUUCCAGGUGCGAGAAAUUUCCAUGGGAUUGCAUCCAAGCUAUCACAUAACAUCCAUACUUUGAGAAACUAAAAGUUUUAGCCAAUCAUCCUCUGAGGAAAAGUCCUCAGAGGCUGUUUGGCUACUAAGAAAAUAAAAAUGGGGAAGAAUAGGAGAAGAGAGAAAAACAGAGCUUUAUAUAUUUCUAAGUUAAUGUACAGAGGAUCGAUCCCCCAAUAUCUUUUGGAGGCGUUGUGCACCUCUAUAUAUAGCAAAAUUACAAGAUAAAGCCUUAUGUCGGCUGAAUACAAGGUUACAAAAGGAAUUUACACGAGAAAAUAUCAAGCUAAAAAUAUCUGGGAAGUCGGUGGUGCGUGCGUGGAGAAACAGAGGAAAUUUGGCAAGGUAAAAGGUUACUUGCGAAAUUUUGGCAAGGUAAAAGGUUACCUUGCGAAAUUUUCGCAAGGUGAAUUAAUCAUGAUGCGAAGUGCCAUAUUUUCGCAUCAUGAGUAAAUUCACCUUGCCAAAUUUGGCAAGGUGCAUUUUCACCUUGCAAAAAUUGCAUUUUGGCAAGGUACUUUGCCUUGCCUUGCGAAAUGGCUAUCCCUUUGUUUGUGCUUGUGUUUCCACUUGAAAUUCAAGCCUGUAAACUUCCAAAAUCCUUGCUUUAACUUGUCCAAGUAGCUCCUCCAUCAUUUGGCAUGCUUGAAUUGAUUCAUAAGCUGAUAAAAACAUGUAAACUUGCCACAAAAUGGUUAAAACCAAUUACUAAGGACCUUAAUGAAUUAAUUGGGUUAAAUGAAUAUGAUUACUACUCAAAGGUGCUUAAAACCAUUAUAAUUAGGUCUACAAAAUAGCACUUUUUGGUAGUAAUCACAUCAACAUUAGUUAAUUAUAAUUAAAGAAAAGAAAACCAAAAAAAUAAAAAUAAAAAAGUCAAUUUGGGUGACCAAUCUUUGUUGAAAAAUUAAAAACCAAACAAAAGUUGAUCAAUACAAAAAAGAAAAAAAUUGUAUGAAGUAGACAUUUUGUCUUUUUGAGAUUAUUGAUGGAAUUGUAAUAGACUAUAAACAUGUCUAUGAGAAUCAAUCCCAAUGAGUCCUAAAACAUAUCUAUGAGACUAUUGUUGAAUAGAGAUUAAAAAUAAAAUAAAACCAUGUCAUAAAGAAAUGAUAUUUAAGUAUUAAUAAAUAGGAAUUGGAUACAUAUAAAUAAAAUUUAGAUUAAAGAAGAAAUGAAACUAUUUUUAUUAUGUGGUUGUUUUUAAUGGACCGCCAAUUUUUUUUUAAAAAUUUUAUAUAUAUAUUCCAUAGAAAAAUUACUUUCUAAUACCAUAGAAUCACCCUAAUUUCAAAUUGAGAUUUACUAUCUUAAAUUUUAAAUUUUUAAAAAAUAAUUUUUAAGGGCAUGAACUAAAUCUAUAUUUUUUGUGAAGAAUUUAUAUUCUUUAUAUGGAAGUUUUUAUCGAUUUUUAUUUUUAAAAACAAAAAAUAAGAAGCACUUAGAGUGUAUUUGACAAUGAUUUUAAGAAGUGAUUCUAAUCUUUCUAAUACUUGAAAAAUAAAAAUUCUUAUAUGUUGAAACAAUUGCAGAAUACACUUUUAGUAAGUAAUGAUAUUAAUUUCUUCGAAGAGAGAGAUUUACAUUUAGGAUAGAAAUAAAUAAAUAAAACAAUACAAGGAUAAAAAUUUAUUUUUUUUAAAAACUUUUAACUUCUUGUACUUUAUCAUUACACACUUUUUUCAUUAGAUGCUUUAAAUAAUUUUUAUUAAAUAAAAUUAUAUUGAUGGAGGGCUAAUUAACUUUGCUUAGGGUGAGAAAGAUAGAGAUAAAAUUGAAGUGGGUACACAUCUAAAACAAAAAUGAAAUAAAAAGUAAAGAUGAAGAUAAGAUUGAGGUGGGUUCACAACUAAAAAAAGAAUGAAAUAAAAAGUAUGAGAUGAAUUGACCAAAGCUUAUCCCUUCUUCCAAAUAGUAAAAGCAAAGCCUAGUAGUAUAAAGUGAUGACACUAGUCCUAUUCAAGGCCCCACUUGCAUAAUUGCUACAUCUUUUUGACUUGAUUUUAGUUCAAUUUCACUAAAAUGAAAUAAUUUAUUUGAGCCCAAAAAUCCAAAUCCAAAUCCAACCCACUUAUUUAUAUACAUUAUUGGCAUGGAAUGAGAAAAGUUAUAAAGUGAGAAAAUUUGAUCAUAUGAUAAAUAGUGAUUUUUCAAAGUUGGAGUCAAUCCAAUGCCCAAUGGCUAUAAAAGAAAAAGGAAAGAUGUGGAAAUUAUAGUGGAAUCUCGAAACAAAUUUUUGAGGUUUGAGGUGAUGUGACAACCGUUUCCAAGUAAUUGCCUAAGAAUGUGAGAUGUUGUUGCAUUGAAAAUUGAUAUUAAAGCUCACUGGGUAAUGGUAAGAAUUGCUUUACAUAAAGACAAGUAAUAAAUACAUCCCACUUUUUCAAAAAGUUUAUGAGUGAAUAAAACUUUUAGAGUAGGAUGAAUGCAUUUCACGUGAGUCAUGUCCUAGAUAUAUUUUUAGAAUUUUCUAGCAGGAUGUCGAGGAAAACUCUAUGAUGAGUGUUUUCUUUCUAGUUAAGGCAGGUCCAAUUUGGUGCAAUUCGUCAAUAUAAUUCAAACCCAACAUAUGUUUUAAGGAUUUGAAUUGAGUAAAAUCGCCUUUAAAUUAAAUUAAUCAUAUGAAUCAACGUAACCUGUUUAAUAAAUAGAUUAUUUUUAGGUCAAUCUAGAUAACCCACAUUUGACUUGAAUUAACUUAUUUAAUAAUGGUAUUGAUUAACCUAAUAAUAACUUUAACUUAUUGAACUCAUAUUUGACUCAUGUAAAUUUUUUUUUUUCAAUAAUUAUGUCAUAAUUGGGCCAUAAACAUGACAUAUUAGAAUAUUAACCAUAUUAUUUCAUUCAACAUUUAAUUUGACUUGAUUAUGAAAUAACAUCUUAUUAUUAAAUCGGUUGAGCCGGUUAUAAUGUAUCACCUAGAUAAUAAUUAUAUGGUGUUUGAGUUUAUGUUUUAAAUUUUGAUUAUUAUUCAUGUCAUGUUUGGGUUGAGUUAUUUAGUGGAGGAUCUAACCUUUGAUAUAACACAAACACAACCCACUAACUUAAAUUGCCAUCAUCACUUCUACUAAUAAGUGAUUUGUUUAUUAUAAUUAAGAAAAUUGAGAAGAUAUAAUUUAUUUUUUAAUUUUAAAUGCAUGAUUAAAGUUAAUUAUAACUUUUAAAAAUUUUAUAAUUCAUAUUCCAUCCAAACUAACAAAAUAUUAGAAAUCUUCAAUGGUUUUGUCUACAAUAAAUAUGUUGUGUUAAAUUAUCCCCUUCUCUACUAACCAAAACAUGUUCUUUCACAAUCAAAUAUCAACGUGUUUGAGCAGCCGGUGAGGCAUCUCUUGACAAUGAGGUGAGAGGUAGAAACAAGAAACAUACCUAUAUUCAAGAGAAGUGGUGUUUCUUCAUUUGCUUUAGACAACAUUCAUUUAGUCUAAACUUGAAGGCGGAUUGCUAGAAUCUGAGCUCUUGGAAAGACAUAAGAGAAGUACAUUUGGAAAUCUGAAAGAAGCCCAGAGACCUAUUGCUACUUGUGAAUCACAGUAAUCAGAAACAAUUCCAUAUAAUCCUGCAAUUCUAGACCUUUGAUUUGCUCGUUCCAUUUUGCCAAGAACAAUUCUAGAAUGUUUUUCUUUAUUGAGUCGUAAUGAUUUUAUUAUUAGGAUUUAAUUGUAUUCAUUAGGUUUGCAAAUCACAAAAACGGUAUUGUGCCUAUGAAUAUUUUCCUCUUUGAUCAUGUAAAGUUGGAAAAUAGUUGUGGAAUUCUAUGAUAGCACAGUACAUUGAUCCACACGGUUUGUGGCAUGACAGUUUAAUGAAAUUACAAAAGUGUAGCACUCAUGGGUAUGUCAUGUGAACCUUUUUCAAUGGAGCUACUUGUUUAAAUUUACAUGGGUGAAUUGUCACACCAAUAUCCUCUAAUGAACCUUGGGUUCUUUUUUCUGUUUCUUCCUCUCUUGGUUAAGCCAAACAAUUUGUCUUUAUAAGGACUUCAUGUUACUAAUAAGCAGCAUCUUGUGUUCUCCUUCUCUUCAUCUCCUUGUCAAGACACAACGAUCUGAUGCAUUUUGCAUUGGGUUGCUUCCUCUCCUCUCCAUUUCCUUCCUCCUUGAGGCAAAAUUGCAUCAUUUCUUAGUUUUGAUUAUGUUUCUUUUUAUCAUUAUGAGAAAGCAUCAUUGUAAGAUGUACAAGAAACGUGUUGCGGUGCAUUAUCCCCUCCUCUACCACCUAAAAUCUGUUUUACACGAUCAUAAGGACCAAGGUGUUUUAAGCAUCAGGUAAGGCAUUUGUUGACAAUGAUGUGAGAGAUAGAGACAAGCAACAUACCAGUAUUCAAAAUAUAUGAUGUUCUUCUUUUUCAUUUGACAACAUUCAUUUAGUCUGAACUCCACAUUUGGGCAACUCAUAAUCUCCACCUUCAUUAGGAUUGUUAGAAGUUGGCUUCUUAGAAAGACAUGGAAAUGGGGCAUCUAGAAAUCUGAAAGAAUUCCAAAGGCUUGUUGCUACUUUUGAAUCAUUCCAAUUAAUAACAACUUUAAAAGAUAUAUACAAAUCUGUCCCUGGGAAAGAGAUGUGUCAUGUGCAUAUGCAACCAUCUCUCUAAUAGACUCAGGGUUGUGCACCAUCAUGGUAGUUUCUUAUAUAUUACAUCAUAUUAAUUGUAGAUAUCCAACUACCAAUAUCACUACACCUGAAUGAACUAGGAGCUAUGCUGAAAGUGAAGUUGGACAACCCAUCAUCGAAAGAAUCCUGUAGGAAUACCCCAAAAUGAAAAUUUUAUUAGCAUAAAUGAAUUCACCCAAAUUAAGGAUAAAGUUGCCUAAAAAAAUGAAUUGGAAGAGAUAGAAAUACUGAUGCUUUCAUAGGACUAUGGGAGGGACCAACAAGUAGAACAAACAUUGAAUAGUAAAUGUAAAGCAAUAAAGCUUGUAACUGUUGUCAAAAGCUGCUCCCUAGUGAAGUUUUUUAACAAUAAAGGUAAGUGCAAAAUUCACCUAAUGGCUCCACUUGUAGGAAAUUUCAAUGAUGUGAAACUAGGAUAUGGUGAACUUGCUUCCGCUAUUGCAGUGAACUAUUAUGGAUCAAAAAUAAAUCUCACCAUCAGUUUUCACAUUGGAGAUGUGGGCUAUCUUUGGCCCAUCUCUCAAUAUUGGAUUUAGGAGUUUUGUCUCUCAUAUAUGGUUCCACUUACAAAAUACAAAUGGAGCUUAGAUGAUGACAACACAUUUAGAAAAAUGCAAGAAUUCCACUGACAUGUUUUGUGCUAUCAUGAAUCAUUCCAAUCAGUAAAGAAUCUAAGUGUUAUAACUUUGAAUUGUCUUAGGGAACACACCCCAAUUCAAUCUUACGGAAGUAAACUGCCUUGAGUACCAACUCAAUUUGAGUUCUUUGGGAGACUUGAGACACCAAUUUAAUCAAAGCUGCUAGUUGUUUCUAAAGUAGAUUGUCUUUCUCCACUGAUACUGGGGAAAAUGCUUUUGAAAACCAUUAAUCUGCAAAUUACAAAGGGAAAUGAGAUUAUGUUGUUAUCAUAUCUCCAAUCUCCUUGACACAAAUAGAUGAUUUCCUUGCAACCAAUAAUUUCUAAUUCUAUCACUUCUAUUCUAGCAUGUGAUUUGGGAAGAGAAUUAAGCUUCGAAAUAUUGCCAAUAUGAAAGGAAUUGGAAGAGGCCAAGUAGGCAGCCACCAUAGCUAGUUCACAAACAAAUGACAACAUUGGAAGUGGAACACGACACAUAAACUUCAAAGAGAAAACAUGUUUCCCACAAUCAUAAAUACCAAGGUGUUUAAGCAUUAGGUAAGACAUCUCUUGACAAUGAUGUGAGAGAGAGACAAACAACAUACCAGUAUUCAAGAGAAGUAGUAUUCUUCUUUUGCAUUCGACAACAUUCAUCUAUUCUACACCCCAAAUUUUAGCAACUCAGGAUCUCCACCUUCAUUAGAAUUGCAGGAAGCUAGCCUCUUGGAAACACAUGAGAGGACAUUAAGAAAUUUGAAAGAAUUCUAGAGACUUGUUGUUGCUUGAAUUGUGAGUAAUUCCAAUCAUAAAUACCAAGGUGUUUCAGGAUCAGGUAAGGCAUCUCUUGGCAAUGAUAUGAGAGAUAGAGACAAGCAACAUACCAGUAUUCAAGAGAAGUAGUAUUCUUCUUUUGCAUUCAACAACAUUCAUCCACUUCACACCCCAGAUUUUAGCAACUCAGGAUCUCUUCCUUCAUUAGGAUUGCAGGAAGUUGACCUCUUGGAAACACAUGAGAGGACAUUUAGGAAUCUGAAAGAAUUAUAAAGACUUGUUGUUGCUUGAAUUGUGAAUCAUUCCAGUCAUAAAUACUAAGUUGUUCCAAGAUUAGGUAAGGCAUAUCUUGGCAAUGAUGUGAGAGAUAGAGACAAGCAGCAUACCAGUAUUUAAGAGAAGUAGUAUUCUUCUUUUGAAUUCGACAACAAUCAUCUACUUUACACCCCAAAUUUUAGCAACUCAGGAUCUCCAUCUUCAUUAGGAUUAUAGGAAGUUAGCCUCUUGGAAACACAUGAGAGGAUAUUUAGAAAUCUGAAAGAACUCCAAAGACUUGUUAUUGCUUGAAUUAUGGAUUAUUCCAAUCAUAAAUACCAAGGUACUUCAAGAUCAGGUAAGACAUUUCUUGGCAAUGAUGUGAGAGAUAGAGACAAGCAAAAUACCAGCAUUCAAGAGAAGUAGUAUUCUUCUUUUGCAUUCGACAACAUUCAUCUACUCUACACCCCAAAUUUUAGCAACUUAGAAUCUCCACCUUCAUUAGGAUUGCAAGAAGUUGGCCUCUUGGAAACACAUGAGAGGACAUUUAGAAAUCUGCAAGAAUUCGAGAGACUUGUUGUUGCUUGAAUUGUGAAUGAUUCCAAUCAUAAAUACCAAGGUGUUUCAGGAUCAGGUAAGACAUCUCUUAGCAAUGAUGUGAGAGAUAAUGAUAAGCGACAUACCAAUAUUUAAGAGAAGUAGUAUUCUUCUUUUGCAUUCAACAACAUUCAUCUACUUUACACCCCAAAUUUUACAAACUUAGGAUUUCCACCUUCAUUAGGAUUGCAAGAAGAUGACCUCUUAGAGACACAUGAGAGGACAUUUAGAAAUCUGAAAGAAUUCCAGAGACUUGUUGUUGCUUGAAUUGUGAAUCAUUCCAAUUAGUAACAACUGCAAAGCCCUAUAUACAAUUUUUAGUUGUUAACUUUUUUACAUUGAAUGAAAAACCUGUCCCUAGGAAAGAGGUGUCUUGGGCAUGCAACCAUCAAUUAUUAGCUCUUGAAUAGGCUUGAAGCUGUGCACCCUCUUGGUAGCUUCUAAUUCAUUACAUCAUAUAACUUCCAGAUAUCCAAUUGGCACGUCACUAUGCCUAAAUGAAGUAGGAAACAUGGUGAAUAGGAAGUUAGACAACCUUUCACAAAAAGAAUCCUGCAAGAAUACACCAAACAAAACUUCUUGUUAACAUAAAUGAAUUCACUCAAUUAAAUUAUUGUGUUAAAAUUUAAAUUGGGAGAAAUAAAAAUACUAAUGCUUACAUGGGACUGUGGGAGGACCAACAAGAGGAACAGACUUUGAAUAUAAAAUGUGAAGCCAUAAAACUUGUAACUACUGUCAGCAUCUGCUCCCUAGUCAAGUUUUCAACAAAAAGGUUUAGUGUAGGGAUUCUCUAGUAGCUGAAUGAUUCGACUCCAGCAACGACGCCAUUUGAUUCAUCCCCGGCAACGGCGCCAUUUGAUGCAACUCAUGGUAGCUUAGCUUUAAAGGCGUAUCAACAAAAUUUAUACCUUAAAUACUAUUACUAAAGUAGCCAAGCUACUAUAGCAUAGUAGUUCUAGGAUCGUUCACUGGGAAGGGUUUUCGCAAACACAAGUGAUAUUCAAAUUAGGAAAAUAGGUGAUUUUCUUAUGGAUGUUAGCUUUAAAAGAAGAUGUAAAUGUUUUAGAAAGAUUUAAACUAAUCUAAGCUAACAUUAAAGACUAAAAUGAAAGGGUGUAAAAACAAGUUUCUCAAAGAUAGGAUAGCUAUGCUCUGGCUCUUAUGCAAAUUGGAAAUCUCAGGAUAGGCUCCUCACGUUGGGGUUGCAACUAUGGUGAUGCUUGCUUCCCGAACCGGUAUGGAUUUAGCAAAUCAAGUUUUAAUCCUUUAAUAUGGCAAAACAGAUGGUAGUGAAUUUCAUCAAUGGUUAUUCACCUUAGACUUCCUUUGAAUGGCUCGUAAGAGAUAACUAAUGGUCUAAAGCCAAAAGCUUACCAAAUAUUGGCAACUCAAAGUCAUUCCAAGUGAUAAACUCACCUUUCAAUGGCCAUUGAAAUUGGUUCUAACGGAUUAAUACAAAACUUGGAAUUGAAAACCUCACCUUUCAAUAGCUCGUAGGAGAUAACUAAUGGAUAGAAAUCCAAAAGCUUAUCAAGUAUUGGCCGUUGGAAGUUGUCCAAAGGAAAUAAAAACCAAACUUUGCAUUAAUGAACCUUUAAUGAAAAACGUCUACCUUACCUUCCGAGUGCGAGAAAUUUCCAUGGGAUUGCAUCCAAGCCAUCACAUAACAUCCAUACUUUGAGAAACUAAAAGUUUUAGCCAAUCAUCAUCUGAGGAAAAGCCCUCAGAGGCUGUUUGGCUUCCAAGAAAAUAAAAUAGUAAAGAGAAAAGAGAAACGAGAGAGCUCUGUAUAUAUUCUAAGUGUAAAACGUAAUAUAUCUUCUAUAUUUUCCAAGAGGUGAUUUCCACCCCUUAUAUAGUCUUUACAAAAGCAAAAGCUUGUGAUUGGUUAGUUACAAGGAUAAGAAAGGAAAUUACAUCAAAAAAUACAUAGGAAAAUAUCUAAAGUGGAGUUGGCAAAAAUAGAGGAAAAUUCGCACCACGCAUGGGUUAUGCGAAUUUUGAAGGUGUUAUGCGAAAUUCGCAUAACACCUUGUGUCGUGCGAAAUUUUCGCUCAACCUGGAGUAGUUGGCUUCCGAAGGCCAUAUCUUCCUCAUUUCAGCUCCAAAUCGUACACGAUUUGAAGCGUUGGAUUUUUGACUUCCAGAGCUUUGAAAUGGUAUAUAGCAUGUAAAAAAUGGACUUCGGGAAGUGCUCCAAAAGUGCGAAAGAAGACUGCAGCUGCUGUCCUCUUUGCUUCUCUUCACUUUGCUUGCUUUUCCUCUUUUCCAUUGUUCUUUCCUUGCAUACUUUGAACGACUUUGGCAAAGGGCUAUGGAGCUCCAAAGCUUGGUUCUUCAUGAAUUUGAGCUUCCAAAAGCUUUGCCAUAACUUGUCCAAGUAGCUCCUCCAUCAUUUGGCAUGCUUGAAUUGAUUCAUAAGCUGAUAAAAACAUGUAAACUUGCCACAAAAUGGUUAAAACCAAUUACUAAGGACCUUAAUGAAUUAAUUGGGUUAAAUGAAUAUGAUUACUACUCAAAGGUGCUUAAAACCAUUAUAAUUAGGUCUACAAAAUAGCACUUUUUGGUAGUAAUCACUGAACUUGUAGAAAAUUUCAACUGGAUGACAAUUUAUAUGUUAACAAGAAGAUAAAAUGUAAGAAUUAUGUGUUGGGAAUAGAUGAAACUUACUAUAUAUAUGGAUAGGAUAGGGUGAACCCUCCCUGUUUCCAUUUUUGGAACCCAAACUAUUAUGGAUCAAAGUUGGAGCUCUCCAUCUAUUAAAAACAACUAGAGCUUAGGUGAGGUCUUGGUGAUGUAGGAAAGUCAUGGAUUCUGGAAUCUUUACAUGAAAAUAUAAAUGAGAGAUACAUUGGAAGAAAGGGUAGGCCUUGGUCAUCUGAGAAGAAACACAUCUUAAAUAUACCAUCAAUCUUGAGUUGUUUGAGAGUGAUGAAUCUGUGAAGACCUCCCUCAGAUAAAGGAUUUCUUUGACAUUUCUCCCUCUUCAAUCUCAAGAAGGUACACCAUCAACUAGAACAUUAGGAAUGUGAGUCAUCAUGGGACAACUUGUCUAUGUUCUUUAUUCUUUUCUCACUGAAGAGGAUUAAAAGAUAUGUAGUUUCAAGGACAAGAGAUAUAACUAGUAGUGAGAGCAUCAAACAAUCCUUCUCCAAUGCAGACCACAAAUUUUAGCAACUCGUGAUCUCCACAAUUUAGAGCACUGAAGGAAGUUGGCUUAUUGGCAAGAUGUGACAUGACAUUUAGAAAUAUGAAAGAAUUCCAAAGUUCAUUCCAAUCAUUAAGGAAUCCAAAGCCUUAUAAUUUGAAUAGGGCAUCCACUUGGCAUGGAUAACAUACGUAUCUAGGGAAAAAGACUAGGCACCAAUUCAAUGAUCAUGUUAGUUGCUUCUGUGGCAGUUCUUUCACUGGUAUUAGGGCAAAGCCUUUUGAAAACCCUCAAUCUACAAAUUGCCAAGGACAUGAGAUCAUGUUGUAACCUCGUCUACAAUCUCCAGCUGUAAACAAAUUAUUUCUUUCAAUUAACAAUCUUUAAUGCGUUCACUUCUAUCAUACGAUAAGCAAUUUCGGAAAACAAGUAAGCUUUAUAAUAUUAGUAAUAUGUAAGGAAUUGAUAAAGGCCAUGAAUCUACUUUCAAAAAAUAAACUAUAAAAACAAAGAUUUUGUCACCCAUGAAUAUUGUAACCAACUUCCAAAAAACAUUAGGCAUUGCAAUAACCAAAUGUUCCUUAGGUAUUAAAGUUAAAGUUCAAAGUUACCAAGAGUGCAUUUUUUGACCCAUGCAUAAAAUAAAAAGAAAAUAAGAACGCAUACCAUAUAACUCACAAUUGUGUCAAGUAUGAGUUCAGUUUAUGUUCAUGCACAAUUGUAUUAAGUAUUUGAAAGCUAAAUAAGGCUAUGUGCAAUUCAAAAAAUACCAUACAAUGCUCACAACUUAUCAUAGAAUGAGAACUCAAUUGUCUUUCUUCCAGUCAUAAGAGUUUGUGCUCUUUGAGCCUCUGACUUGCACAACUCAAGAUAGCAGGACAUGCCAAAAAGUCUCCUUCACCUUAAACAUUAUUCAAACCUGCAAUAUAAAUCCUGAUAAGAAAAUUUUCUACAAAUAUAACAUGUUGCAAACAAGUAACAGUAUGUUGGUUUAAAAUUGAAUAACAUUUCAAACCAAACAAAGCAGAAAAAUUUUCCAUGUAUAUCACUCACCUAAAAACUUGUAUGUUGGAUAAAAGUCCUGCUAAUGAAUCCUGACAAUUAUUUGCAAUCAAAAUUUAGUAAUGAUUUAUAAACAAAAAAAAAAAAAAAGGAAAUUACAAAAUUCUUUGGCAAUGUUCCAUGAAAAACACAUUGCAUAUUGAUUGAGAAAUUAAUAUGAAAUCCACUAAUUUGAAAGGCACUAAAAACCAGAUGUUGUCUUGAGUUCUCCAUGUAUCAAAAUAGAUGCAAGUUGCUAUUUGAGCCACCACAAUCAUAGAGCACAAGACUUCUUAGCAUGGAAGGCAUACCAUAUUUUAAACAAGGUUCUUAACUUUCCAAGAGACAUAAGAACGUGGUAUGUUGUAGAAACUGUAGAAUAAAUAAAUGGAAGUUAGACAUAUGCACUUGCUACUUAGUUUUUUAAUCAUUUAUGAAUAAAUAAAGAGGUGUUACUUGCAUUCAACCAAACUUGUAGUCUCCAAUGUGAAAUCCAAAUCUCAUUUUGUCAACACAAUAAGAGCAUUAAACAUAUAGCAAAUUGAAUCCUUCCUUUUGACAAUUUGAAAACCUGAAAGGAAUGACUUGAGAUCAUAAAUAACUAUACGGUAAAGAAAAUUUUCAUCAUUCUUUCUAAAAGGAAAAUCUAUCAUUUCCUCGAUUACGAAAAAUUGAUAUUUUAACACAAAGUGCACUUAUUAAGGUAAACUUUGUGCAUUAUAUAUUGAAAUUAGAAAAUUGUAUUUAAAUCCAGUUAGAAGAGUAUCACAAAAGAUGCUUAAUUGAAAUGAAGGCAUCCAUGCCAAUUUGCAACUACUGUCAAAUAACACCCCUCAUCAUUUUACGUCCCAUGCUUGCAUGUCAAACCUCUAACUAAGACUGCUCAAAGAGCACCUAAAAGAAAAUUACGAAGAUUUCAUUACAGGUAGAACUUAAGAUGCUUACAUUGACCAUGGGAGAGAUCGAUAAGAAACAAAAUACUCAUGCAUAAGUUUGUAACUAUUGUACUCAAAACCUGCUUCCUAGUCAAACUUUCAACAUAACUCCAUGGAAACUUCCAAAAAUUGUUGAGCCACUGGUAAAACACAACAUCAAUAUGAGAAAUUUACAAGGUACUAUGUAGAUAAAAGAGUAAGAAAUGUGUAUUGAGAAUAAGAGUUACAUUGAUGAAUGUAAGGAUAGGAUAGGGUUGAAUUGGCUCUGCAACCAUUUUUGCAAUUUGAAUGUAUUAUGGUUCAAAAAUGAGUUUAUGAUGUAUCCUCAUCUUAGGGGAAGCGGGCAAUUUGGGGCUAAUCUCAAUCAUUCUCCUUGAAACAUCUUUAUUUCAAAGUUUGAUAAAACUUAGAAGACAACCUUUCACUUGGAAAAGAGGACUAGAACAGGGCAUCCCUCAAUCUCUACAAGUUAAAGAGAUGAAGUUUUGAAGACGAAGGGAGGAGGCUAGGGAUUCCAGAUUUGACAAUAUUUUCAUUGAAAGAUCAAUGAGAGUUGUAGCAAGAAAUACUGUCAAAAGGAAAUUGCAUUUAACAAUGUACAAUAUAAAAUCAAUGAACUAAGUUUUUAGAGAGGUGAAUCUUUGGAGGCUCCACAAAGAUAAGGGGUUUUAAUACUCUUGCAAGUGUAUUCGUGAAAUUGUUUUCUCAAAGGACUCCAGAACCUGGACAAUGUGCAACACAAAGCUGUUAAAGAGAUGUGAAACUCUAAAUCCGAUGAGGUAGGGACUUGAGAUCCACAUUUUCUUAAGUGAAGAAUUCUGAGGUUGUAGACACACUAGUAGUUUCCAAAUUCAGAUACUUCUCUUCAAAUAUUCAUAUAAUGUACAUCUUCUUUGACAUUUCUGCUCCAACAGGAUGUCCAAUAGGAUGUGCAACCUAUUUGGGCAUACUACAUGUACAACAAAAAAUUUCAUUAAAACAAAAAAAAUUUACUAAAACAAAAAUCUGAAGUUAAUGUCUAAGAAGAUAAGAUUUAUAUAUAGUGAAUGAGCAUGAUUGAUUUUAGCACAAAGGGAAUGACGCCAAAAAUUUUAAGAAUAUCAUCACCACAAGUACCUAAUUUACGUCAUUAAAAAUUCCACAAGGAUUUGAUGGUUAGGCAAUAAAAUAAUUCUAGUAAAUGAAGUAAUUUCUAUAUAAGACAGGUAAUGUCUAAUAUGAUUUGUCCACACCAUUCAAAUCCAACACAUUUUUUUAUAAAUUUGAAAUGAGUACAAUUGUAUUUGAAUAAAAAUAAAUUGUUUUUAAGUUGACUUUCAUAACAAACAUUUAACUCAAAUUGACUUAUUUAAUAAUAUUAACUUAAGUAUAACUUUAACCUAUUUAACUCAUAUUUGACUCAUUUAAAAUUUGAUUUUCAAUAGUGACAUCAUAAUUGAGUUAUAAACAUGUCAGUUUAGGAAACUAACCAUAUAAGAUCAUACAAUGUUAAACUCAAUUUGAUUAUUAAAUAACAUCUAAUUAUUACAAGAGUUAAAUAGGUUACAAUAUAUUACCUAGUUAAUAAUUAGAUUGUGUUUGAGUUUGUAUUUUUAAUUAUAAUUUAGUUGAGUGUUUGAUCUGUGUUACUCACCAACAUGAAUUAUCACUCAUAUUUCUAUUGUGAAACCAAAGAUUGGAUAAUUCUUAGUUUUGAUGAUAAUAAAAGAAGGUUCGAAACUAAUGUUUCAUCUUGAGUGUGACUAGGCAAGAUGAUUUUUAAAGUAGCAAUUACAAAGAUAAACCAAAAAAAAAAAAAAAAAACAAGAAAAAGAAGACCUCAAAGAGAAGAGCCUUCAAAACUUUUUAUAAGAUCUCUUUGUAAGGUUGUUGGUGCACUACAUUUUACAUGCAUUUUAUUCAAGCAUCAAAGAUCAUCCUUGUGCAAUUUUGUUUUAAAUUUUUUUAUAAUUGGAUGAUUUCAUGUUUUUAAUUAAAACUUUAUGUCAAAUGCCUUUCUAAACUUUUUAAAAAGGUUUUAAAAGGGGUUGCAUGAGUUGCUAGAGGUUUGAAACCUAAAACCUAAGUAUUUGAGCACUUAAUAGUGCAAACGGUAAAAAGUCCAAGGAAUCGAUUAAAUAAUUUGGGCUCAAUCAGUUGAGGGGUGUUUUUACACACAUUUUCUCUCUUCAAGUGGUUUGUGUCACUGACAAAGGUUUUGCCUUUCUUGGUCAAGGCUUUGCCUUUCAUGGUCAAAGUCUUGAACCCUAACGAACACCUACUAAAAGUAUUAAUUGCUAAUUAUUUUGGCAUUAAUUGUUAACAAUUAGUGAAUCGGUCAAAUUGGAACUCCAUUAGUUGACCCCCUAAAUGUGCCUAACAACAAGUUUAGCCUUUCUACUUCUACAUAAAGGUUCCAAUCUUCAUUGUUGGUAAGUCUAACAUUCCCAAAUCUUUUAUGAAUAUUAUUUGAGCCUUGGGGGAGUGUUUUCUAGCACACCUUGCUGCAAAACUUGCAUAUCAUUAGUUCACCAUAAAUCUUAAUUUAUCUUGUAUCAUUUGAGCUUAAAUUUGUACUAGGAAUGUGUGAGAUUAUCUUUCCUAUCAUUUUGUGUAAACCUUUGUAAGGGGAAAUCAAGUGUGGGUAUUACUUAAAGGAAAAUUUAAGCGUGAGGUAUCACUUAGUGUUUGUCAAGUAUGGGGCAUCACUUGGGAAAUUCAAGAGUGAGGUAUCUCUUGAAAAAUUUGUAAGUGUCCACUAGAGUCAAUUAAUCUAAUUGUAAUGCUUAGAAACUUCGGAUUAGUAGAACCUCAAGUUUGGGAUUGAAGCUAUAGGAAAGUGAAUGUAGGAUGGGUUGCACCAAACCACAAUAAAUAUAUUGUGUUUGUAUUCUCUCUUCCCUAAUCUUUAUAAUUUGUAUGCAAUUAAUUUUCAUUGUGUUUAUUGUAUAUUUGUAUAUAAUUGUCUCUGGCAUUCAUAUAGUUUAAAUUUGUAAAAAGAAACCAUCACCUUAUUUACCCUUCUUCCCCCUCCCCCUCCCCCCGAGGGUGACUACCUUAGGUUAAUUUAGUAAAAAUCCUAACAUUUACUAAUAUAUUAUUUGCCUAUUAUAGUUAAGAAAACUACCAAAAAUUUUCAUUGAUAAAAAUUUCCAUGAUAAAUUCUAAAAACCACUUUAAUUCCAAUAAUCUUUUUCCCAAUGCAAUGUCUCUAUGAUUCGUAGGAUGAAAAGGAAUUUUUCUUGUCAAUAUGACUUUGGAUCCCAAAUUUUAAGGCAAUUUCAAUGCCUAGUGGUGGGUCUAGAAGAAAAUAAAAAAUGUGGAAAUUAAAGUGGAAUAUAAACACAAUUUUUUACUAAUUGUAAGGUGAUGUUACAAUACCUUAUGUAGUUACCAUGAAAGGGACUUUGGAUUCUAAAUUUUGGCUAAUUUCGAUGCCACAAAUAUGGGUCUAGAAGAAAACAAAAAAUAUGAAAAUUAAAGUGGAAUAUAGACACAAAUUUUUACUUGUGAAGUAAUGUUACAAUGCCUUAUGUAAUUAUUUUGAAAGUGAGAUAUCAUUGAAUUGAGAAUUGAUAUUAAAUUUUGUUGGGUUUCCCUCCUUUGUGGGACUCUUAAAUUUACUAAAUAUGGUUUUGCUAUUUUGGCCAACACCUUGGUUAGCACAUGACUCUUGGCAUAUUCAAGAUUGGUUUGAAGUCUUCAAGGAAAGAAAAAAAAAACUACAAGUCUUUUGUCUUUUCCUUUGGUUCAUCAUCUUGGUCGGCAAGAAGACUUUUGGGAUACCUUUUUGGUUCAAAACAAAAAUCAGCCUUCUUCUUCUCCAUUUUUUGGUGCUACACAAUCGGCAAGUUUGUUCUUCAAGUGGGUAACAUUUCUUCACUUGAUAUUUGGGGUUUCUUGCGGUUUGUUCUUGGAGAUUUGGUUUACUUUUGUGAGGUAUUUUCCUCUUGUGAUUUACACCUUGGUGUGUUUGUAAGGCUUAUGCCUUUUGGCCACUUUGUAAACUCUUUUGGUGAUAGUGGAAGAAACUGACCUCCCGGUCGUCGUGGACGUACCUCAAGUUAUUUAAGGGAACCACGUAAAUCUUGUGUGCUCAUUUAUUUUCUGUUAUUCUAUUUAUAUUGCUUCCAUUGAUUUACACUUGUGGGAAAGCCUAUUUUUUUUCAACAUCUGGUAUCAGAGCUGUUAGUUAAUUUGGUUCUGAAUCGUUAUAUUUGUGUGUGUGAAUUAUGGACGGCAACGUUGGGCGUAUGGUUAGUUUCAAUGGCACAAAUUGGGUGACUUGGAAAACUAAAAUGGAAGACCUUUUGUUUUGUAAAGAUUUGAAUGGACCCAUAGAAGGUGAUAGUGGCAAACCGGAAGGAAUGAAAGAUGACGAGUGGAAAAAGCUAGACCGAAAAGCUGUCGGUUUUAUUCGGCAAUGGAUUGAUGAUAGUGUCUUUCAUCAUGUCUCUACAGAAAACUCAGCACAUGGUCUUUGGACCAAAUUGGAGAGUCUUUAUGAUAGAAAGACGGCCGUGAAUAAAGCUUUUUUAUUUUGAAAGCUUGUGAAUUCUAAAUAUAAGGAGGGUACUCCUAUUGCAGAGCAUCUGAAUGAGAUUAAGAGCAUUGUGAAUCAGUUGGCCGCCAUGAAAAUUACUUUUGAUGAUGAUUUGCAAGCUUUGUUACUUCUUAGUUCACUUCCUGAAAGUUGUGAAACUUUGGUGGUCACAGUUAGUAACUCCACACCUGAUGGAGUGGUAACAAUGAGUCAAGUUACUAGCAGCCUGUUGAAUGAAGAGACAAGAAGAAAAUCAUCAGGUUCUUCUCACUCCGAGGCACUUGUGUUAGAAAAUCGGGGGAGAGGCAGGAAUAAGAGUAAGGCUUCGCACAACCGUGAUAAAUCUAGAGGUCGUUCAAGCUCGAUUUCAAAGAAAGAUGUUGAGUGCUAUUAUUGUCACAAGAAAGGGCACAUGAAGCGGGAAUGCAGAAAACUCAAGUUCAAGGAGUAGAACAAAGAGAAAAAUUCAGAGAAAAAGCAAAAUGAUACAGCUGUAGUUACCGAUGGUGAACUCAUGAUUAUUCGUGAUGAUGUUAGCGUUAAUUUGAUUGGCCAAGAGACGGAUUGGGUAAUUGAUUCUGGAGCUUCAUUUCAUGUUACUUCGCGGGCUGAUUUCUUUACUUCUUACUCGCAAGGUGAUUUUGGGAAUGUCCGUAUGGGAAAUGAAGAUGUGUCAAAAAUUGUCGGCAUGGGUGACAUUUGCUUGGAAACAAAUAUUGGAUGCAAAUUGUUGCUUAGAGAUGUGAGGCAUGUACCUGAUAUUCGACUCAAUUUAAUCUCUGCUGGAAAGUUAGAUGAUGAGGGCUACAACAACAAUUUCAGUGAUGGAAAAUGGAAGCUCUCCAAAGGUUCUCUAGUGGUAGCAAAAGGAAAGAAGACUUGUUCUCUUUACACUGUGCAAGCAAAAAUCUGCAAGGGUGUUGCUCAUCCACCGAUUUAUGGCAUAGAAGGCUUGGACAUAUGAGUGAGAAAGGAUUGCAAGUUUUAUCCAAGAAAGAGCUUCUAGCGGGGAUAAAAGGUACGCCUUUGAAAACAUGUGUUCAUUGUUUCCAUGGUAAACAAAAUAGAAUAUCAUUCCGUAGAAACAUUGCAUCUAGAAAAUCUGAUGUUCUAGAUUUGAUACAUUCUGAUGUAUGUGGUCCUUUGAAAGUUAGGACACUUGGUGACGCUUUAUACUUUGUCACUUUUAUUGAUGAUCACUCGAGAAAAGUUUGGACUUAUACACUGAAAACUAAAGAUCAAGUUCUAGAUGUGUUUAAGCAUUUUCAGGCCAAGGUUGAAAGAGAAACUGGUAGACAGUUGAAAUGUGUCCGCUUGGAUAAUGGUGGUGAAUAUAUUGGACCAUUUGAUCAAUAUUGCACUAAUCAUGGCAUCAGACACGAAAAGACAGUCAAAAAGACACCUCAACAGAACGGGGUUGCAGAGAGAAUGAAUCGCACCAUUCUUGAGAGAGUCAGAUGUUUGCUCUCACAUUCUAAAUUGCCAAGAUCUUUUUGGGGUGAGGCAAUGAGGACAGCAGUUGAUCUUAUCAAUUUGUCUCCUUGAGUUCCGUUGAAUGGUGAUGUGCCAGAGAAAGUUUGGACAGGGAAGGAAGUCUCCUAUGAUCACUUGAGGGUAUUCGGCUGUAGAGCUUUUGUUCAUAUUCCAAAAGAUGAGAGAUCCAAGCUUGAUCCAAAAGCAAAGCAGUGCAUAUUUAUUGGCUAUGGGCAUGAAGAAUUUGGCUACAGGUUGUAUGAUCCAGUUGAUAAGAAAGUUGUCAGAAGCCGAGAUGUUGUUUUCUUGGAAGAUCAGACUAUUGAAGACAUUGACAAGCUUGAGUUAGCUGAGUCUAGUACUAAUGAUCUUGUUGAUUUAGAUCCUCUUAAUCCACCUGUUAUUCAUGAUAUUGAUGAGGAAGUGCAGACACCUCAUGAUGAUGCAGCGGAAAAUGAUGUUGAGCCAGAGAUUGAGGGGGAACAGUCACCCCAAGAGCCACUACCACAGACACCGUUGAGGAGAUCUAUCAGAGAAAAACAGCCAUCCAGAAAAUAUUCUUCAAAUAAGUAUGUGAUGAUAUCAGAUCAGGGGGAGCCAAAGACUUAUCAAGAAGUCUUGAAGCAUGAGAACAAAACUGAAUGGCUCAAGGCAAUGAAAGAGGAAAUGAAGUCUUUGCAUGAGAAUCACACCUAUGAUUUGGUGAAGCCGCCUAAAGGGAAGAAAAUUUUGAAAAAUAAAUGGGUCUUUAGAUGAAAGAAUGAUGGGAACAGUUCUCAACCGAGAUUCAAGGCACGACUUGUUGUGAAAGGUUUUGAUCAGAGGAAGGGAGUUGAUUUUGAUGAGAUAUUCUCACUAGUUGUGAAGAUGUCCUCCAUUCGAACUGUGCUUGGUAUAGCUGCGAGUAUGAAUUUAGAAGUUGAGCAGCUUGAUGUGAAGACCGCAUUUUUGCAUGGUGACUUAGAAGAGGAAAUUUAUAUGGAGCAACCUGAGGGCUUCAUAGAUAAGGGUAAUGAUCAGUUAGUUUGCAAAUUGAAGAAGAGUUUGUAUGGAUUGAAGCAAGCACCGAGGCAGUGGUACAGAAAAUUCGAUUCUUUCAUGAUUGAGCAUGGGUAUUCAAGAACCACUUCAGACCAUUGUGUGUUUGUGAAGAAAUAUCUAGAUGGUAAUUUUAUUAUUCUCUUGCUUUACGUUGAUGAUAUGCUUAUUGUGGGCCAAGACACGAGCAAGAUUAGCAAGUUGAAGUCAGAGUUGAGCAAGUCCUUUGCCAUGAAGGAUUUGGGUCCAGCAAAGCAAAUUCUUGGGAUAAGAAUUGUUCGCGACAGAUCACAUGGGCUGAUUUGGUUAUCUCAAGAGAAUUAUGUUAAAAAGGUUCUUGAGAGGUUCAAUAUAGACAAAAUAAAGCCUGUUAAUUGUCCACUUGUAGGCCACUUCAAACUUAGCUCAAGUCAGUGUCCUACAAGUGAUGAAGAGAAAAAUGAGAUGCAGAAAAUUCCCUAUGCUUCAGCAAUUGGUUCUUUGAUGUAUGCCAUGGUUUGUACUCGACCGGAUAUUGCUCACGCAGUUGGGGUUGUUAGUCGAUUUCUGUCUAAUCCGGGAAAAGAACACUGGGCAACAGUGAAAUGGAUUCUGAGGUAUCUUCAGGGCACUUCAAAGAUGAGUUUGUGUUUUGGUAAAGGCGAGCCUAUUCUUGAUGGGUUCACAGAUUCUGAUAUGGCUGGUGAUGUUGAUAGUCGAAAAUCUACUUCUGGUUAUUUGAUUACUUUUGCAGGGGGGGCAGUGACAUGGCAAUCAAGAUUACAGAAAUGUGUUGCUCUCUCCACCACAAAAGCUGAGUUCAUCGCCAUUACAGAAGCCUGCAAAGAAUUAUUGUGGUUGAAGAAAUUCUUACAAGAGUUGGGUUUGAAACAAGAAAGGUAUGUCCUUCAUUGUGAUAGUCAGAGUGCAAUCCACUUGAGUAAGAAUUCUUCAUUUCAUUCGAAGUCGAAACACAUUGAUGUUAGAUAUCAUUGGAUUCGUGAUGUCUUGAAUGAUAAGUUGUUGCAACUUGAAAAAGUUCACACUGAUGAUAACACUUCAGAUAUGUUGACUAAGGCAUUGACUAAGGACAAGCAUGAGAAGUGUCGACUAUUGGCGGGAAUGGUCGAUUCCUCCACAUAAGUCGGGAGGGGGAGAAUUGUUGGGUUUCCCUCCUUUGUGGGAUUCUUAAAUUUACUAAAUAUGGUUUUGCUAUUUUGGCCAACACCUUGGUUAGCACAUGACUCUUGGCAUAUUCAAGAUUGGUUUGAAGUCUUCAAGGAAAGAAAAAAAAAACUACAAGUCUUUUGUCUUUUCCUUUGGUUCAUCAUCUUGGUCGGCAAGAAGACUUUUGGGAUACCUUUUUGGUUCAAAACAAAAAUCAGCCUUCUUCUUCUCCAUUUUUUGGUGCUACACAAUCGGCAAGUUUGUUCUUCAAGUGGGUAACGUUUCUUCACUUGAUAUUUGGGGUUUCUUGCGGUUUGUUCUUGGAGAUUUGGUUUACUUUUGUGAGGUAUUUUCCUCUUGUGAUUUACACCUUGGUGUGUUUGUAAGGCUUAUGCCUUUUGGCCACUUUGUAAACUCUUUUGGUGAUAGUGGAAGAAACUGACCUCCCGGUCGUCGUGGACGUACCUCAAGUUAUUUGAGGGAACCACGUAAAUCUUGUGUGCUCAUUUAUUUUCUGUUAUUCUAUUUAUAUUGCUUCCAUUGAUUUACACUUGUGGGAAAGCCUAUUUUUUUUCAACAAAUUUGACCAACUAUCAUAAGGAAUUUCUUUCAAAAGAGAGAUAAGUAAUAAAUAUCUGUUAUUUAUUGGAAAAAAAAUAUUAUCAUACUAUUAAUGUGUUUAAUUUUUAUUUUUUUUAAAUAGAGAUUGUUAUAUCUUUUUGUAAAAAUAAGUUUCCUUAUAAAAUAAGAAAAAGUGGUAGAAGUAUUUCUAUAAAUAUUUUAUUAAGAGAAAAAACUAUAACAUGAAGAAAAACAUGUAAAGUUUAUAUUUAAAAGAUAGUGAUAUGGGAAAGAGUGGAAAACAUUUCUUGGAAUGACGACAUGUGAUUCAAAGUAAAAUCUCAUUUUUGUUUUCUAUCGUCCUUAUGACUUUUGGUUUUUCUAUUGAGUGCCAAUAAAUAAAAGAAAAAACCCUCCUUUUUUGAAAGUUCAUUUGAACAGUUGUUUGAAGAAAAAAUCUUUAUUAAUCCAAACCCUAUCAACUUAUAUAUGACCUAUUACAUGACUAUGAAGUUUUUUAAAGUAAUUUUAAAGACAACCAAAAAAUAAUUGAUAUGAUAAAUGAUUAAAACCACUUUAGAUUCUAAUAGUAUUUUCUAUCAUAUAACAUCUUAGUGAAAUGUUUCAUAACAAAAUGAAUUAUUCUAUGAAUAUGACUUUGGAUUUCAAAUUUUGAACUUUCUAAUGCCUUAACUUAGUGGUGAGUCUCAUAGAAAAUGAAAGUUAUGGAGAAGUAGAAUGUGGACAUACUUUUUGACUUAAAAAACUGAUGUUACAACACCUUCAAGUAAUUACCUUAAAAAUGAUAUGUCAUUGCAUUGAAAAUGAUAUUAAAUUUAAUGGAGAGAUAAUUUAUAAAAAUAUCACUAAUUUUUUAAAAAGAAUAAUGUGAUCUUACUGUUGUGUUAGGUUGGAAAGAAAUUUAUGCUGGUGUUAAUUUAUUUAUUUAUUUUGCAUAUUGUAAGGUCUCAAACUCGUUUAGAAAUAUGAACAAUGAUGAAGAGUUAAAAAUUUAAAAACAUUAAAUGUAUGGUUAAAGGUAUGGUUAAAGCUAUGUUUAGAUAGUUGAAAUUGCAACCAAAAAAACAAGAAAAUGAAAGAAGUUCAAAUUUUAUUUGAUUAUCUUAAAAAUAUGAAAUAAAUUACAUAUAAUGAAAAUUGUUUAGAGUUUUAUAUACUUUUAAUAUUUACUCUUUACAAAAAAGAAAAAAAAGCAAGUCAAUUUUAAUGAACUUAUGGAAAAUAUUAAACUUAAGCUUAAUUUUUUAUUUUUCUUGAUUUUUCUUUCCUUCCAUAAUUUUCCUUCACAAUCUUUCCCACUUUAUUCAAACUUUCCAUGGUCUAUACUUUAUACAUGUUUUAUCUCCUUUUUAAUUAAAAACCUUUAAAUUUUCCAAUUAAAAUUCCAAGAUAGGCUAAUAAAAACUUAAAAUUAAUAUUACAUUUUAAACAAACUAGAUUGAUUUGAUAGAUGAUUCAAAUCAAACCUAAAUUCAAACUUAACCCAUUCAAAUUUAGCCUCUAAUGUGAGGUAUUUGACCCAAACUUAGCUCAAACUCAUUUUUACCUACUAAAGUUAGGCUUAAAUUGACUCAUAGUACUUUUAGUUGAGUUGAUUAGGUUGUAUGAUCAUAACUAGGUUUGGUAAGGUUGAGUUAGUUUGAACCUAUUCAUAAUUUUUUUUCUUUUUUAUACUUCUUUUAUAUCAUAAUUUUAAAAAUUAAAUUGGAUAACUUUUCAACAUAAUAACAAAAAUAAAUCAAUUUAUGUAUCCGUCCAACAAAAAUGAAAUAAUACAAUUAAAAUUCAACAUUUUUCUUUAAAAACUAAAAAAAAUAAAAACACACACACAUACAAAAUAGGUAUCAUUAUAUAAAAUAAUAUAAAUUAUAAAUAUAUAAAAUUAGGUUUGGGCUAGCUUGGGUUGUCAAACCUUAGCCUAAGUAGUUUCACGAUUCUCUACUACUUGUAAAAGUUUUAUUAAAAUUAAUAAAAAAGAAAAAAGAAAUAAAAUUUUUUUAAAAAAUAUAAAUGCAUAAUUAAAAUUAUGCUAAUGAAACAAAGGGAAGCAAACAAGAUCAAAAUUUUUCUCUCAAAAGGUGUAGUGUAAUGACUUCAAAUUUUAAGUUUUGAUGGUCAAUCUGCCUUCAAUUAUAGGGAUAAGAAGCUUGUAGAGAAUAAAAAAUAUAUAGCAAGUGGGUAUAUAUAGAUAUAAAAUAUAUAUAUAUAUAUUGUAUGCAUCCCACUUUUGUCACGAGCAAACCCACUAGUAAACCUUUAUCAUCUUAUUAUAUAACAAGUGGGUAUAACUAGAUAUAAUAAAAAUAGGUCCUUGUUUAUUAAAUUCAAAAGUUUAUGAUCAUCACUUAGCAUUUAACAAAGUGGUACAAAUGAAGGUAAAAAUAGUAGUAUAGUCAAUAUUUUCCUACAAAAAAAGUUACUUAAUUUAAAGAAUAUUAUAAUUGAUGUGUGAUUUUUAUUUUUAUUUUUAUCAAGAAGCGAUUUUAGAGAUAAGUUUUUAUCAAGAAACAAUCUUCAAUGUUAAUUUACCAUCAUUAUCUCUAAUAUUGUACCAUUGAAUGCAAUUGCAAAACAUCUAUGUAAUUGUUAGUAAAAAAAAUUUCAUGCUUAUUAUGCAAUAUUUGUUUUAAUUUUCAAGUUGCAAUUAUAUAGUCUAAAGGUUGAGGUUCUUAGAUAAUUAUUGUUUUGAUGAGAAGUCUAAUCAUGUUGUUGUUGUUCAUGUCACUUUAAUUAGACCAAGUUUAAUGAUACUUUAGACCAUAUUUAAGGAUCCUUUUCAAAUAUCUAACCUUUGGUAUGCAAUUUGAAAAGAGGAUGGAGAGAGGAUGGUUGUUCUCCAUAAUCCAUUAAUAAAUAAAUAAAAAUAAUUAUAUUUAGCAGGAAAAUGAAAAAUUAUUGAGAUCAUUAACAAGUAAUUUUGGUAAAACUUGAUAUUUAAUGAAGUAAGAUGACUUUAAGUUAAAUUAAUUGUAAUUAAGUCAUUAAGUCUUAGUUAUUAAGACGAUUUCUCAAAAUCAUUUUUAAAUUUAUUCUUAAAAUUAAGUCAUGAAAUUGAUUUAUCAUCACCCUCUAAAGUCUUUUCAAUUUUGUACAUUUAUUUGAUACAUAUUUAAUCAUAAACAAUAAAAAAAAGGUGUUACCUCAAAAUUUUUAAUUCAAACUCCUCCAAGAUUAUUCAUGACUAAAAUUCAUUAAUUAAUUUACAUUACAAGCUUUGAAAGAAACUUGUUUUAGAACAUAAAAUUGAUAGAGAUAGUACAUAUUUUAAACUUUUAAUUAAAAUAAAAAAAUCACAACAAAAUAAUUUGAUGGAUGUUUUAGUAUUCGAAAAGAUCAUGAGUCAUUUGGUCAUGAUUUUAGAAAAGUUAGAAAUGUUCUAUAAUGCUUAAAAACAUUUUUGUUACAAAAAUUAAGUAUUUGAUAAAGUUAAAAUUCAUUUUCUAGGUAAUUGGUGGUGCCUAUGAAAUAUUUUUUUUGGUUAUACAAAUUUAUUAGUGUGAGAUGAUAUGCAACAACUUUAAAGUAUAGCAAUUAUUGAAGUUUGGACCAACCAUAUAUGUUAAAGGUGCUUCACUCCACCUUCUCAUUUUGUAUUAUCUUGUACCCUAAAAGAUUUGAAAUGAGUCUUAUUUAUAAGCAUUAUAAAUAAUGUUGUGGACCCCGCAUUUCAGCCCAUGCGUUUUCCACUCGAUGGCGAGCUCGAUUUUUGUUUAAAAAAAUGACUUGGAGUCGCCACUUAUUUUUGUUUUAUUUUUAAAAGAGUAAACAAAAUAAAAAAGAAAACUCUAAGUGUGACUCCUUAUUUUGGAAAAGGUGGUCUAUGGAAAACCGGAUCAGGCUUGGGGGUCAGGUUACUCAUCAGGAAGGUACGGUAAAGACCGUAGCACCCCUCUAAGUCCCUAAAGUCGGGUCUCUACUAAUAAAAUGAAGCUGACGUGGCGAUCAAUAGGAAAAUCAACAGAUACUCAAAUCAACCAUGCACACAUAGGAAUCAAAACAUGCAUAGAAAAUGACCAGAAUGGGAAUGGAUGCAUACCUGAGCCACAAACGAGCAAUGCGCUAUUAUAAAAAUGGGGUCAGUGUAUAAUAAAGAGCACAAAACUUAUCACAUGCGUCACCAAAUAGAAAUGAAAACUGUUCGAGGGAAAAUUGAAUUUUUGAAAUUUAUUUGAAAAUUGGAGUUUUAGAGAUUAUUUGAAAAUUGGAGUUUUAGAGAUUGUUUGAAAAUUGGAUUUUUAGAAAUUAAAUAUAAGAAUGAGAAUUUUAGAAAUUAAAUUUGAAAGAAAUUGGAAUUUUGAAAAUUAUUUGAGAAUUUAGGAUUUUUUUUUUAGAAAUUAAAUUACGGAAAUUGAGACUUUAGAAAUUAAAUUUUGAAAGAAAUCAGAAUUGAAAGUUAUUUGAGAAGUAAAAACUAUGAAAAUUGAAUUAUAAAAAUUGGAAAUCUUGGAAAUCGUUCGAAGGCAAAAUUUUUAAAAAUAAAUGAAUAAAAUGAUAAUAAUAAACAAGUAACGAAAUAAAUGCGAGAAUUGGAACAUUGGAAACUGAAAAAAAUUAAGUUCGGAAAUUGAAAAAUUGGAAUUUCAGAUAACUAAAUUUGGGAAUCGGAAUUUUGAAAAAUUAUUUAAAGACGAAAUUUUAAUAAACGAAUAAGUGAAUAAAUAAAUUAAUGGAAUAAUAAUAAUGACAAAAUAAUAAAGAUUAGGUAAAUAAUUGCGAAAAAUAAAAUUUUAGAUAUUGGAGAUUGAAUUUAGAGAUUGAAAAUUUAAGAAAUUAUUUAGAGAUGAGAUUUUUAAUAAAUGAAUAAGUGAAGAAAUAAAUGAAUGGAAUAAUAAUAAUGACGAAAUAAUAAAAAUUAGAUAAAUAAUUGCGAAAAAUAGAAUUCUAGAGAUUGAAAAUUGAAUUUAGAGAUUAAAAAUUUGAGAAAUUAUUUAGAGAUGAGAUUUUAAAUAUAUGAAUAAGUGAAUAAAUAAAUUAACAAGAUAAUAAUAAUAACGAAGAUAAUCAUUUAAACAACUGAAUGUGAAUAGUGAGAUUUUUUAGAUUGGAAAUUAAAUUUGGAAAACAGAAUUCUGAAAAAUUGAACUUUAAUUAUUGGAAUUUGUAAAAUAAAUAAAUGGAAUGAUAAUAAUAAUAAUGAAAAUAAUAUUUAAAUGAAUGAACAUGAAUAGUGGAAUUUUUUAAAUUGAAGAUUAAAUUCGAAAGUCAGAUUUUUGAAUAAUUGAACUUUAAUGAUUUGAAUUUUUAAAAGAAAUAAAUAAAUAAAUAUAGAAUAAUAAUAAUAAUAACCAAAAUAAUGUUUAAACGAAUGAACAUGAAUAGUGGAAUUUUUAAGAUUGAAAAUUAAAUUUGGAAAUCAGAUUUUUGAAGAAUUGAACUUUAAUGAUUAGAAUUUUUAAAAGAAAUAAAUAACUAAAUAUGGAAUAAUAAUAAUGAUAAUAAAAAUAAUGUUUAACAAAUGAACGUGAAUAGUGAAAUUUUUUUGAGAAUGAAAAUUAAAUUCGAAAGUCAGAUUUUUGAAGAAUUGAACUUUAAUGAUUAGAAUUUUUAAAAGAAAUAGAUAAAUAAAUAAAAUAAUAAUAAUAAUAAAAAUAAUAUUUAAACGAAUGAACGUGAAUAGUGGAAUUUUUUAUAUCGAAAAUUAAAUUCAAAAGUCAGAUUUUUGAAGAAUUGAACCUUAAUGAUUUGAAUUUUUUUAAAAUAAAUAAAUAAAUAAAUAUGGAAUAAUAAUAAUAAUAACAAAAAUAAUGUUUAAAUGAAUGAACGUGAAUAGUGGAAUUCUUGAGAUUGAAAAUUAAAUUCGAAAAUCAGAUUUUUGAAGAAUUAAACUUUAAUGAUUGAAAUUUUUAAAAGAAAUAAAUAAAUAUGAAAUAAUAAAAAUAAUGUUUAAACGAAUGAACAUGAAUAGUGGAAUUUUUUUAGAUUGAAAAUUAAAUUCGAAAGUAAGAUUUUUGAAGAAUUGAACUUUAAUGAUUGGAUUUUUUUUAAAAGAAAUAAAUAAAUAAAUAAUAAUAAUAAUAACAUAAAUAAUAUUUAACGAAUGAACGUGAAUGGUGAAAUUUUUUAUAUUGAAAAUUAAAUUCGGAAGUCAAAUUUUUGAAGAAUUGAACUUUAAUGAUUGGAUUUUUUUUAAAAGAAAUAAAUAAAUAAAUAUGAAAUAAUAAUAAUAACAAAAAUAAUGUUUAACAAAUGAACGUGAAUAGUGGAAUUUUUUUUAGAUUGAAAAUUAAAUUCGGAAGUCAGAUUUUCGAAGAAUUGAAUUUUAAUGAUUGGAAUUUUAAAAAAAAUAUAUAAGCAAAUAAAUAAAUAGAAUAAUAAUAACAAGAAUAAUAAUUAAAUAAAUAAACAUGAAUAUUGGAAUUUAAAAAUGUGAAUUUUAGACGGUUACAUGAUAACAGAAUUUUUUUACAAAAACUAUAUUUUUAACAUAUAAAGAAGAAGAAUCAAGAGGGCCAAACACUAGGCCAAUGGGGUCUACACCUAAGAAGCAACGGACUAGGUCCAUAAAAACCAAAUAGCCUUCAGUAAAGCCCAAUCAUAGAGGGCCCAAAUGAACAUUACCAAUCAAGUUCAAGGUUCAUCAUUCAUCAUUGUGAGAAAUCAAAUGUGCCAAAGAGAGGCACACAGAAGGUUCAUAAGAGUGUUUGUUCCACAUUCUAUCCCAUCUCAGUCCACUAACAUGAAAAAACAACAGCAAAAACAAUAACGCAAAUCAACAAAUCUGAAUCUUCAAUACUAAAAGGGAAACUAAAAUAAAGCCCCCGUUGAAAGCAGCUUGGUCCAUUCUCUGAAGACAAUAAACGAACAAACACAGAACUCAAAAUUUCAAGUUUGCUUAACGAACCUCUGUCUUCUCUCGCUGUGAUCUUCCCCUCUGGUCGUUCUCGUUCUCCUUCCUGUUAUGGAAUCUGCUUCAGCUCCAGGAAUCUUUUUUUUUUUCAGUUCCCUUUCCUCUCGUUUUCUGCAACCCUUCGCUUCUUGAAUCAGCCGACCCACAAUCCCUUCUCAAGAUAACACAUUAUUACAUAAAUCUCCCCCAUAAUUAUUAUAAUUUAAGAGAUCACAUAUUACCAAAGAAAUUCCUAUGCGCUCAACUCUCCAAAAAUUCCCUAGAACCCUCAAUCUCCGGAACUGAAAAUCUCCUCUGUUUUUCUUAUUCCUUCCUCAGCUGAAAAUCCCCCGGUCCCGAACCCAAAAAUCCUCCACCCAACUCUCCUCCUUUUUUUUUUCUCAAUCUCCCCUUUUUCCCGCUACUUCUCGUCCUCUUCAGCCGCCCAAAUACUGCUCGCCCCGUCCCAUCUCAUGGCCGCCCAAAGCAGUCCAUUCUGUCAUCUCUGGCCGCCACCAACGGCUGACCCUCGGUGUGGUAAAAAGAGGGAAAAAAAAAAUAAAAAUCUGUCUCCGGGGGUCUACAAAUGUAUUUAAAUAUUUGUUUGAUUCUUUAAAAUAUUAUUUUUUAAUUAAUCAAAUAGGAAGAUUUGAAAAUUCAUAUUUUGAUAGUCUUAAUCAUUUUAAAUAUUAUUUUUUAAUUAAAAAUAUUAUUUAAAAAGAUUUAGAAGAUUAUAUUUAAUUUAUUUCUUUAUAGGACUUGAUAAUUACUUUUUUUUAGUUAUUGAAUUUAUCAAUUUUUGUUUUUUCUAACCAUUGAGUGUGUGACUCAUGUUAUAUAUAUUUUUUGUUUAAAUAUUAUUAAAAAAAAAAAAAGGUAACUUACAAAAUAUUAAAGGUUCUACCAUAAAAUUGUCAACUAAAAUUUGUCUUUUCAAAAGAUGAGUUCAAUAUAAAAAAAUAAAUUUACAUUUUUCAUUGAACUCAUUUUUUAAGAGAUGAGCUUAAUAUAUAAAUAUUAAACUCAUCUUUCCAAAAGAAAAGUUUGUUGAAAGAUACUAGACUUGUAUUUUCAUAAAACAAAUUCCAUGUAAAAAUGUUUAACUUGUUUUUUCAAAAGGCGAGGUUUAUAUGAAAAGAUAAAUCUUUUUUUUUUUUUGCUUGAACUUAUUGUUCCUAAAAGGUGAGUUCAAUGUUGUUGUUGUUUUAAUUUAAUUUAAUUUUUUUUUUUUUACCCCACACUAUACAUGACAUUAUAGAUUUUAUUGACAAGAGAUAUAUACUAUGUGACAAUGUUCAACUUAUCAUAAUUAAAUUUAAAUAUUGAUAUUUAAUUUCUUAUUAAUUCCAUGAAUCAUUAACUUAGUUUGAAUAUACAAUGAUUUCAUUCGAAAUAACUUUCUUUUUUUCACUUUAGUGGGAAGCUGAAGUUAUAAUUUCUCAAUGAUAAUUUUGGGUAAUAUAAAAAUUUUAUUAAUCAUGAAAGAACUUGUAUUAGUCAAAAUAAAGCUUUUAUAAAAAGUAAAAAAAAAAACUUAGCUUCCAUAUCUUCAUUUUAAACCAUAAGCUCUCUGAAGAAAAUUUAUCAAAGAGACAUAGAAGUUCUUGAGCUUAUGAAAGAGUUUUUGACUUCUCAAAAAUCAAUCCAAAUAGGAUUGAUAAGUUGUAGAUGGUUAUAAUAUAAUAUUACACAAUAUAAAUGUUAUUUUCACUUCUAUAUUUUCCAUGGAAUUAUUUAUUUAUUUGAAUAAAGAUUUUUCCUUCGUUAUUUUUUUGUGCAUUUAAAAAAUAAAAAAUUAUUUUAAAUCUUAGGCACGAUAAUGCUUAAGUAUUUAAUAAUUUUAAUUAGAUAAUUAAAAUUUAUUUUAUAUAUAAAAUAAUUAAUUAAAUUUUAUAUAUAUAAAUUUAAUUAAUAAUUCAAUAAUUAUAUUUAUUUAUGUUUAAAUCAAAUUAACAAUAAGUUCAAUGCAACUAGAAAAAGGUAGCAUAUAUUUAUUAUUUUAAAGUGGAUUUUGAUUUUAAAUUAUUGCAAGUGUAUUUACUUAACUAACCAAUUAGUUGAAGUUCACUUAGCUAAUCCUUUAAUUUAAUCUUGACGUUGACAAGAACCAUGCCGGCAAUAAUUAUAAAAAGAGAAAUGCAUCAAGCUAAAGCUAAUUUUAUUAAUUCUAGUUUAAUAAAUUUUAGGUGGGUGCCCUUACCUAAUCUUUAAAAUUAAUCUUCAAGUUGAUCAUAAGAACUAAGCCGACCAUAAUUAUAAAAACAAAAAAAUGACAAGCUAAUUCCAUCAAUUUUAUUCUCUCAAAUUUAAUAAAUUGUAAGUAAGUUCUCUUAUCUAAUGUUUUAAAUUAAUCUUGAUAUAGAUAAGAACCUUGCCAACCAUAAUUAUAAAGAGAGAGAAAUGACAAACUAAUUUAAUUGGCUAAUUUUAAAUAACUCAAGCUUAAUAAAUUGUAAGUAGGUUAAUCUCUUGCCUAACCUUUUAAAUUUAAUUUUGAGAUCAAUAAGAAUCAUAUAGGCCAUAAUUAUAAAAAGAGGAAAAACACAAGCUAAAGGAAUACAAUCACAAUCAAUUGUAUAUGCAGAUAGUGAUUACCUUUUAAAUCUUCACAAGGUUAGAUCUUGAACAUGAUAUGUAUUUACAUGUAAUUAUCAUAAUGAUGAUAUUAAACAAACAAUGGUAGUCAUUUUUUCAAAUCAUUAAAAAAUACACAAUAAAAUAUUAUAUAUAUAUAUAAUUGCACAUAUUAAAAGAAAAUAUAUUAAGGGUGAUAGAAGUAAACAUAUAUCAUUCAAGUUCUUUUAUAUUCAUAAACUUCAAAAGAGUAGUAAGAUCAAUAUUCAAAAAGUAAAAUCAAAUUAUAAUUUAGUAAACUUAUUCACAAAAGCAUUGUCAACUUCAACUCUCAAGAAGCUUAUAGAUAAUAUUGGAAUGGGACAACUCAAAGAUCUUCACAUUGGGUUACUAUGAAUAUAAUCAUGUCAACAUAAGGGGAGCACAUAAAUAAGGAUGUUUGUAACAUCCUAUGCCUCUAGGCUAGGGGCAGCCUUAUCAAUUUCACAUAUCCAUAAAAAUAAUGAAAUCACAAUCACACACAAGACAAUGAAUUUUACGUGGAAAAAUCUCAUGCUAAUAUGGAGAUACAAAACUAUAGGGUCUAAGAUCUCUAAUCUAAUAAUCCACUAUAUUAGAUCAAAGUACAUAGAUUUAUCUGAUAGCUUUACCCUAAAAACUCACUCCUACCUAUAACUUGAUUCAUGUCUCAAUGCUCUAGUGAAUUCACCUCAGCCUUUAGGAAGAUGCAAGUCCUUGUAACAAACCAAAAUUCGAUUAGUGAAUUCUUUGUUGAGAGUUUGUGAAUGAUAGAGCAAGUUGGGGUUGAUUAUAUCAAAGCAUCCAACCCCAAAACAUAUUUAGGUAAAGUAUAUAUAAGCCUAAGAUCCUAGAUGGUUGGAAAUGAAAUUUUCUUAAAAAAUAAAAUAUCAAAUUUCCAAAAUUAAUUAAGAAAAGAAUUUUUGUUUAAAAAAUAAAAUAUCAACUUUCUAUAAAUUAAUUAAGAAAUUCUUUAAAAAAAUUCUCAAAAUUGUCAAAAAUUAAUUAAAAUAUUUUAACUCAAUUAAUUUUAAAAUUUCAUAUCCAACUCUACCUUAAUAUAAAAAUAACUUGCCUUUAAUAAAUAUUUUUACACUUACUUGUAACAAUAUGGUUAAAUGAGUAGUAACAUUUAAUCUUCAAUGGAGUAAAAAAAUUCCUAUACUAGAACAAAAAAGAUUUCUUACUGGAACUAAAAUCAAAUUGACAACAUCUAACAAUUAUUAUAGACUUCAAUAUAUUUUUAAAAUUAUUUUAUAAAUAUAUUCUAUUAAGUAAAAGAGCCCCAAUAAUUGCCACCUAUCCGAGCCAUCUUACCUAUAAUUGCAUACAAGGGCUGUGCUUGCGGACACCUAGCUAGCCUACACUCCAUGUUUUUUCUUUUUCUUUUUUUAUUUCCCAUAAAAGAAAUGUAUAGAAUUAUGGUUAUAUUUUAUUCUAUGGCAUGUACCAAAAGAUGGAAAGAGAUCAUCAGGAAAUUGACUUUCCUUUAAUAUUAUAGAAAAUGUGAGAGCAAAAUUUUUUAUUUGGCAUGUCUCAAAUGGUAUCACAUGUGCACGCUCAAAUCUCACUUGUUUACAUUAAAGUCUCUUUUAUUUGUCUUUUUAUUUCUUGAUCCAAUAAUCUAAAUUUUAUCACUCGAUGGCUUAGUACUUUCCUUCUAUCUUUAGAGGCUACAAUAUUUUCAAUAACUCAGCUUCCAUUUUCUAUUUCAUUGUCCUGUCUCAAGAUCCAUUUCAAUGAUAUUUUUUCUCUUGAAAAGAAAAUUAGUCAAUCAUUCAUCAAAUAAUUAUAAUUUUUUAUAAUAGAUAAAAAUAUUAUUAAGAACACUUAAUUGCAAAAUAUUUUAAUAAGAAGUGAAAAGGUUAUAUCUAAUUUGUUUCUCUAUCUUAAAUUUAAAUAGAUCUUUAUUGAAUUUUAAAUAGAACUUAAUCUCAUUAAGAUUAAAUUGUUUAUUUCUAUUAAUAUUUAAAUAUUCUUAAACAUUAAAUUACUUGUUCUUAUUAAUAUGUUAAUAUUGUUAUGUGUUAAACAAAUAUUUUUCUAUCCUCAAAAUAAUUAUUUGUAUCUUCUUAGUUUUUAUAAAAAGAUAAAUCUAAGGUUAUUAUAAUAUUUUUAUGUUAUACAUCUUUACGAAGAAUUUUCAAAGUCUUGGACCUUUUUUGGAUCCUUGUCAUCUAUUUAUGCCUUCUUUGAUAAUUUUUUGGAGCAUUCAAAUAUAUGUAAAAUCCAGAUUAUUAAAUAAGAAUUUUGACCGUUCAAACAUAUAUAAAAUCUAGAUUAUUAAAUAAUGAUAAAAUAAAAAUACUUAGAACUAAGUGCAAUGUUGGUGGUAGGUUUUAUAAAAAAAAAAACAAAGGAAAGAAUUUGAAUAUCUUAUGGUACGUUUAAAAGAAAAUAAAAAAUGUGGACAUUAAAGUGGAAUGUAAACACAAUUUUAAAGUAAAGUGAGAUGAUGUUAUAGCUCCUUAAUUAAUAUGGACAAAUUUUAUGGUGUAAAAAUUACAACUCUUUUAUUUAUUAAGUGAGAAGAACGACACAAUGGUGGUGGGCCUCCCACCAACCAAUAUAUCAAGUUGCUGCUACUAGGCCUCGGUGUAAAAAAUCAAGUUGUUGUUGAGGUGAUUUGAACCUAGCAAUAACCACUAGAGCAAGUUGCUCUUUGAUAAAAGUUAUACACCAAAUUGUAUAUAUAAGAACAUUAAAAAUUAUUUUAUUAAAUAAAUUAAUUUUAAUUAUUUUAUUUUUGCAUUUGAUUUAAUUUAUUACCAAAAAUAUAAAAACAUAAUUUUUUUCAUAUUUUUUAUGUAAUCUAUAUAUUUAUCAAAUAUAAAAAAUAUAAAUAUUUUAUUAUUUUUUUUAUAUAAUUGAAUACAUUUAAAUUAAAAUUGAACCUAAUUUUAAUAUUUUAAAAUUAAACAUAUUAUCAUAUUAUUGUUGUAAAAUAAUAUUGUGCAACUUAAUAAUAAAUGAAUGCUUAUAAAAUACUUUUUUUUUUAUCGAUGCAUACAAUAUUAUUAUCAAAUAUGAUAAAUUAUAUAUAUAUAUAUAUAUAAUUUUUUAACAAAAUAAAUUUAAAAUGUCUAUUAUACUUUUAAAUUCAUUUUUAUGAAGUUUUUCUUAUAUUUCUAGGAGUUUUGAUCAUUUUAAGUCUAUUUAUAUUUUUUUCUAAAAUUCUUGUCGAUAUAUCUAUGAUAUAUCCAUAAAAUCAAUAUAUUAAUAUAUCCGUAAUUACCGAUAUUUUCAUAAUUCAUCAGUAGCACGUUGGAAUUGACUCAAACAUUAGGAUCCAAAAGUCACCAUUGAGACAUUGCAUUGAUACAACCUAGAGAAGCUUCCAAAUGGACUGCACAUGCUAACAUGUCUUGGAGGGUUGAAAAUCAAUGGUUGUCCAAAGUUGGUGUCCUUUCCAGAGUUGGGGUUCCUGCCCAUGCUUAGACAUCUUGUUAUUGUUAGUUGUGAAGGUCUACGAUGUCUACCCAAUUAGAUGAUGGGGAUGAAGGAUGGUAGCAUUAACAGUAGCAACACACGUCUCUUUGAAUACUUGGAGAUAGAUACAUGCCCAUCUCUCAUUGCUUUUCCAGACGUUGAGUUACCCACCACGCUUAAGGAACUCAAGAUAUGGAGGUGUGAAAAACUAGAGUCUCUAUCGGGGGGAUGAUGCACCAUGAUUCAAAUACCACCACCACCACCAGUGGUGGUCUUCAUGUCUUGGUCAUUGGGGUAUGCCCAUCUCUCACAUUCUACCCCACAAACAAGUUUCCCUCCACCCUCAAGAAACUUUAUAUUAUGAAUUGUGCACAACUGGAGUCAAUUUCAAAGAAAAUGUUAUUACAAGGGAAAAUGGAGAGAAAAAUUGGCAGAUUCUCUUUUCAUUGAUUGAAAAAAUGAGCUGUAUAGAGAGCACCAAAACAGAGUAGCAAAAAUGCCAUUUAUAAUAGAAGUCAUGCAUAAGGAGCUGUAAAGCUCUGUAGAGAAAAAACAACCUAACCAACUAUUGGUUAUAACAGAAAAAAUAAAAUAAAAAUAAAAAACUAAAACUAAUAUGCUAAAAUUCCCCCUCAAGAUGGAGAAUAUAGAUCAUGAAUUCCCAUCUUGCCCAAGAGACCAUGAAAUUGACUGGGAUGGAGAGCCUUAGUAAGAAUGUCAGCAAGUUGGUUUUAGGAGGUAACAUGUAGACUCUUGAGAAUCCCAACUUGAAUCUUCUCUCGAAUGAUAUGACAAUCAAUCUCAAUAUGUUUGGUGCGCUCAUGGUAGACUAGGUUUGCUGCAAUGUGGAGAGCAGCUUGGUUGUCACAGUAAAGAACAGUUGGCCCAUGAUGGGCUAUCUUCAAGUUGUGAAGAAGAGACAAGAGCCACAGAAUCUCACAAGUAGUGUUGGCCAUGGAUCGGUACUCGGCUUCAGCAGAUGAGCGAGAGACAAUCGGUUGUUUCUUGGACUUCCAAGAGAUAAGGGAGGUCCCAAGAAAUAGACAAAAACCAGAAAUAGAACGACGAGUGUCAGGACAAGAGGCCCAAUCAGAAUCUGCGAAGGCUUUGAGUUGCACUUUGGAAUUUGAUGAAAAGAAAAGUCCUGGCCUAGGGUUCGCUUGAUGUACUAUAAAAUGCGAAAAACAGCCUGAAGAUGUGGCUUGCAAGGGGCCGCUAAGAAUUAGCUGAGACGAUUUACAGAACAGCUUAGGUCAGGACGAGUAAUAGAAGAUAUAGCAGCUUACCAAUGAGUUGCCUAUAGCUGGUAGGAUCUUCAAUCAAGUCACCAUCAUCUUGAGAUAGUUUCAAAUUAUGAUCCAUGGGAACGGUAGUAGGUUUGCAACCCAAAUGUCCAGUGUCUGAGAGCAAUUCCAACGCAUACUUGCGUUGACAAAUAGAGAUACCAGUAGUAGAUUGAGCCACUUCCAAGCCUAGAAAAUAUCUGAGUGGUCCCAAGUUCUUCAUCUUAAACUUAUGAUUCAUGCCCAAUUGGUGUCUCAUCUGAUUCGUGUCUAGCUGGUGCUCCUUGAUUGAGGGAGUAAUCAACAAAAUUUAUAACCUAUAACACCAUAUACUAGGGUAGCAAAGAAAAAGCUACUAGAGUAUAGCGGCUCUAGGAUCGUUCACUGGGAAGGAUUAGCAAGCUAUCAAUGAUACCAAUUCAAAGUAAAUUAGUCUUAUUUCAUUUCAAGGUUAGCUUAAGAAAUAAAACACAAACUUUGAUUUGUAAAGAUUUAGACUUAAACUAACUAACACAACAAGUAAUAGGAAUAACUUAGGAAGAAAAACAUUCCUUAGAGAGUUAGGUUCACUGGGGUGGUUCCUCAUGCAAAAGACAUAGCUCCGGUCAGAUGGUUCAUUUCUUCGCGUUAGAGAUUCAACAUAUAGUCAAUUCUCUAACCGGUGUUGUACAGAUACAUCCUUUAAUUAGAUUUCAACUUUAAUUCUCUCACUGAUGCAACUUGCAAUGGUUUAAGCCUCUCACUAAGCCUUAACCAUUCAAGGUGAUCUUUAACCUUGGACUUCCCUUCUCAAGCUCGCAAGAGAUAACUAAUGGAUGUCUCCUUGGAGUCCAAAAGUUUACCAAGUGUUGGCAAUUCCAGAAAAUCCUUCCCUAAAGUCACCUCCUAGAGGCUCGCAAGGGGUAAACUAGUGCAUCUCCAUGUUGGAAAUCACUUGCCUUACCAAGUGUUGGCCCAGGUGACUCUAAGGUGUUUUAAGUUAACUAAAAACAUAAAAAUCACUAAAGGAUUUCACUUCCUCUUCAUUACUAGCUAAAACCACAAAGCUUUGCAUUCUUGCACUUGGAACCUUCCCCGGCAACCUUAGCUCCAAGGAAUUAGAGGUUUAGUUACUCAUUCUCUGGGGAAAACUCCUCAGAGAGUUCAUAACUUAGUAAGAAAAUAAAAAUACAAAGUGAGAAGGUAAGGCAAUACAAAGACCUGAACUUUACUUGCUUUCCCAAAACUUUACAAAGGGUCUCCUCUCCGAGAACAGGCUCCCGAGAGGUAUUUAUAUGAACAUAAUAUAAAACUAAUUAUUACAUAGAUAUUUUCUCUUUUUACUAACUUAAAAGCUAAGGAAUCUUGUAAUUGGUGGCUUACAAGGAGUAUUUUGGGAUUUAGACAACAAAAAUCUGAUGUAAAAUAUCUCCCAAUGUCGGUAGCAAAUAUCGGGAUGUUCCAGGAACCAUUUCGCAAGAGAAAAUGGUGUCCGCGAGAUUUCGCAGACACUCAAGAAGGGCUGCGAAAUAACUUCGCAGCAAAAGGCUAUUCUCGCAGGGCUGCGAAGUUGGCUUCCACCUUGAGGUUCUCAGCUUCCAGCUUGCGGCAUAUAUCGGGCAACUUCAGGAGGAAAUACACCACACUGUUCAAAAAGGGCUGCGAAAUCACUUCGCAACAAAAGGGUGAUUUCGCAACACUUUGGAAAAUGCUUCCUUUAACUUGGAGUGAUUGGAUUGCAAUGGAUGUAACUUCUUCGUUUCAACUCCGAAUUACGUACCGUUUGAAGCAUUGGAUUGUUGACUUCCUGAGCUUUGAAAUGGUAUAUAGCAUGCAUCAAUUGGACUACAGAAAGUGCUCCAAAAGUGGCUGCUACGACUGUCAUCAAGAAUAUGCUUCAUGGCAGAUUCUCUUAACUUUUUUUCCUUGCAUUCCGGAUUUACUCUUGGCAAAUGACUUCCAAGCUUUGCCCAAGAUUCCUCAUAACUCUCCUCAAUCUUGAAUUGCUUUGGUGAUCAAAUUACUAACAAAAACACCAAAACUUACACAAAGUGAUUAAAAUUGCUUUCAAGAGUCCUUAACAUGCCAAUUGAGUUAAAAGGCCAAAACUACUACUCAAAAGUGUUUAAAAGGAUUAAUUACAAGCUAUCAAAUAACACUUUUUGAGUAGUAAUCAACUUACAGUUGAGGGCAUGCUUUAAAGUAUCCACAACAAUUUGAUCAUUACUAGCAAUAAUGAUGUCAUCAACAUAGAUCAAAAGAGCUAAGAAAGAAGUAUCUUGAUGUUUUGUGAACAAGGUGUGAUCACUGGUUGAUUGAACAAAACCUUCUGAUAAGAGAGCAUUGGAGAACUUAUGGAACCAUUGAUGGGAGGCCUGCUUCAAGCCAUAGAUAGACUUCUGCAGCCUGCACACAACAUUAGAAGGCAAAUGUUCCCUCUUAUGGCAAGUGUAUCCAGGGGGAAGACUCAUGUAAACUUCCUCCAUAAGGUCACCAUGAAGGAAUGCAUUAGUGACAUCAAGUUGAGUGAGAGACCAGCCAUGAAUUGCAGCUAAAGAAAGCAACAUUUUAACAGUAACUAGCUUGGCAACAGGAGAAAAGGUAUCAAGAUAAUCAAUACCUUCUUGUUGUGUAAAUCCCUUAGCCACAAGGCAUGCUUUGUAUCUAUCCACAGUGCCAUCAGCUCGAAACUUGACUUUGUACACCGAUUUACAACCAACCGCUUGUUUGCCAAUGGGAAGAGAGCAAAUGGACCGAGUGUCAUUGCUUUACAAUGCCUGCAAUUCAAUAUUCAUAGCAUCGCAUCACACUUGAGACUCAAUGGCUUGAGAGAAUGAUGUUGGUUCGGUUUGAGAACUAAUGGCGAGAACAAAUUCAUGGUAUGGCCUAGAAAGCUUGUGGUAACUCAAGCAAGAGGAAAUAGGAUAUAGAGAAGGCUUAGAAGAAACAUGUUUAGUGAGGUAAUAGUGAUAAUCAGACAAGUAAGUUGGUUUUGUGGUGACACGACGUGGACGUAAGGUUGUUUGAAUUGGGGUUGGUGCGAAAAUGCACUCUGGACUAUGGGAAGAAGACAUGUUGGGUUGACUGUAAGAAGACUCGGAGAUGGACUGAAUUGGCUUAGGAAGGACACGAUCAUUAAACAAAUCAAUAACAUCGUUGCACACAGCAGAAUGAGCAAACGGAAAGAGUGAUUCAUGAAAAAUGACAUUCCAAGAAAUGUAGAUCUUAUUGCUUUCUAAGUCAAGUAAUUUGUAACCCUUAUAACCAAAAGGAUAGCCAAUAAAAAUAGAAGCUCGAGCACGAGGGGCAAACUUUGUACGUUGGUUAGAAAGCGUGGAAGCAUAACAUAGACACCCAAAAAUGUGAAGAUGGCUGUAGGUGGGUUUGUUGUUAUUCAACAGCUCAAAUGGGGUUUUAUUGGAUAGUAAUGGAAAGGGUGUAUGAUUGAUUAAAUAAACAGCUGUCAAAACACAAUCACCCCAAUAACAAAGAUGAACACAAGAUUGAAACAAUAACACUCAUGCCACAUUAAGUAUGUGUUGAUGUUUAUGCUCUACAACUGAGUUUUGUUCAGGUGUAGCAACACAAGAAUGAUAAGGAAUAACACCCUUGGUACAAAAAAAAUCAUGGAAAGCUAAUUUAGGGGCAUUAUUGGAACAAACAGAUUUAAUUGCAAUGUUAUAUUGAGUAGAAAUCAAAUUGAAAAAUUUAGGAAAGAUAGUGAGAACAUCAGUUUUAGAACAAAGAAGAUAUACCCAAGUAGCACGUGUGCAAUCAUCAACAAUAGUGAGGAAAUAUUUGUGUCCAACUGGUGUACUAACAUUAAAUGGUCCCCAAAUGUUAAUGUGAACUAGAUCAAAAGGAUUAGCUGACAUAUUAUUAUGUGAAACAUAAGGUAAACGUUUUUGCUUGGCCAUAUGACAAAUUUUACAGUGAGAAGACAAAUGGGAUAAAGAAUUGGGAAUGUGUAAUUCAUUGUGAAGAAUUUGAAUUUUUACAUGAGAUGGAUGUCCAAGGCGAAAAUGCCAAAUAUCACUUUUCGACAUUGCAGAAUUUGUAAAAACAGAAUUACAAAAUUCAUUCCCUGAUUCUAGAAAAUAUGGCUUCUUUCGUCUUCUACAUUUCCCAAUCAUCAAGCCCUGAGAUUAACACUACAAUUAUGGCUAAGAGUAAGAGCACUAAUGCUGAGAAGAUUAAAAUUGAACAUGGGGACAAACAAGACAUUAUCCAAGUUCAAAGUAUCAGACAACCUCGCAAAACCUACACGAUUGAUUGCAACAGCAUGACCAUUAAGAAGAGUGACUGUGGUAUUAUGAACCAAUCUGGAAUGAGAAAACAGAGAAACAUUGCAACAGACAUGGUGGGUGGCCCCUGUGUCAAUCACCCAAGCAUCAGAAGUAACAAAAAGAUGAGAAAAAAACUGAGUAGAACAAUUGUUACCAUAGAUUUGAGAAAUUGAAGGUUCUGAUGUCGAUGGAGACUCAAGUGGGUCGAUAGUUUGCUGUUGAAGGUGUGUGCUAAGGUAGGCAAUGAGUUGUUGAACUUGAUUCGAUGAGAGAGAGACUGGUGGUGGGGAAGAUCCCACUGUAGCAGCAGCAGCAGAAGGGAAAUAAUGAAUGCUUUUCAAUGGUUCAGUAAAGGAGCUUGGUGAAGUAGAUUGGGAUUGAAGGGGGCUCGUCUGGGCCAUUUAUGUUUGGGCUUUCCCUUUAGGCUUAUAACCUGGUAGAAAUCCAUGCAAUUUAUAACACCUAUCUACUGUAUGCCAUGUGAGCCCACAAUGGGUGCAAAUUGGGUGUUCAUGUCUGGGCUUGUUGUGAGAUGAUACAGUAGCUAUAGAAGAAGCCGGAGAAGAGGCAUUGAACGCCAUGGAAUCCGAUGGAGCGGAGGACCUAGAUCCAAUAGACCGUUGGCGCUCUUCUUGAACAACAAGAUUGAAUACUUUCACCACAGGAGGGAGCAAAUCAAGCAUCAGAAUUUGGCCUCUUGUGCUAGCAUAAGAUUCGUUCAAACCCAUUAAAAAUUGCAUCACAUACUCCUAUUGUUGAUAAUCCAUCCAAUCUUUCAUACCUCCACAAUGGCAAAUGGGAACUAGUUGAUAGUUUUUUAGUUCAUCCUAGAGAAUCUUCAAUCGAGUAUAAUAGGUAUUAACAUCGAGCGAGCCUUGUGAGAGACCAUGUAGUUGUUGCUUGAUUUGGAAAAUCCGUGGAGCAUUGCUUUGAUAGAAGCGUUCGUGCAGAUCUGCCCAAACAGCAUGGGCACUCUCGAGAUAAAGAAGACUAUUAACUAUCUCUUUUGAGACAGCGUUAAGGAGCCAAGAUGUGACCAUGCUGUUGCAUCGGGGCUAGAUUCUGGCUGUAAGGUCAUCGGUCAUGGGUUGCAAAAGAGUGUCAUCCACGAAUCCGAGCUUAUUCUUUACGUUGAGAGCCAUCAACAUGGUCCGACUCCAUGUAUUAUAGCUUGAACCAAUGAGGAGAUGCAAAACGAGCACCAAGCCUGGAUGAUCACCACUAUGUAAGAAAAAUGGGUUAUUAGUGUUCUCCAUGAGAGAUUGAUCUGAUUGUGUUGCCGUGCUACUAGAGGUAGGGGAUGUGAGGGGCUGAAAUCUAUUAUCAUUGUUAUGCUGACCACCACGAGCCAUUUCAGUGAGCGGCAGAGGUAAGAAGCUCUGAUACAAUAUUAGAAAGGAAAAUGGAGAGAAAAAUUGACAAAUUCUUCUUUCAUUGAUUGAAAAAAUGAGCUGUACAGAGAGCCCCAAAACAGAGUAACAAAAAUGCCUUUUAUAAUAAAAGUCACGCAUAAGGAGCUGUAGAGCUCUGCAGAGAAAAAACAACCUAACCAACUAUUAGUUAUAACAGAAAAAAUAAAAUAAAAAUAAAAAACUAAAACUAAUAUGCUAAAAGAUGUUUCACUCCAAAAAUAGUUUACUUGAAUAUUUGAGUAUUGGAGUUAUCCUUGUCUCAAAAUCAUACUAGGUUGCCUCUACAAACUCAGAGAACUGGAUAUUGAUAAUUGUGGGAAUAUGGAGCUGCUACCUCAUUAGCUGCAAAACCUCAUUACUCUUACAUCACUCACUAUCUCUUAUUGUGAGAAUAUCAAGACGCUCAUAUCCCGAUGGGGCCUUGCCACACUUACUGUUGAUGCGGGGAAAACCUAGAGGUGUUGUAGCUCCCUGAAGUACUCACCCCCUCAACUAAGAACGAUGCUUCCUUCCAUUCUCCUGUAAAAGAUGUUCGGACAGGUGGUCAGGACACACUCUCCGAAGCUUUUGUUAGUUUGGCGGUCAAGCAUAUUGGUGUUUUUGGGCGUUUCUCAGGAAUGCUUACCUCUUUUUUACUGUGUCGUUGGAUGCCUUUUACAGUGUCUGAAGCCUCGUCACUUUGAAGAUGGGAAGAUUCUUUGACUUUCGCAGUCAUGAUGGUGCUCAGAGGGUGGUAGAGCCAUCAUUAUCCUGUAGACGGCCGACAGAGAUUGUUGGGGGGAUCACUUGUCAUCCCACUUGUCUUUUCACUCUGUAGGCGGUGUAGGGCAGGUCGCCUGAAAAGACCUAGGAAUGUCCUACCGAGUAUGCUUUUGGCGAAAUGAGUAAUGAUUGCUCGCAAAAUAUGGUCAGGGGUCCUGUUUAGGACUACAAAUAUCGGGUCCAGAUUGGUCAUCCAGACAGAGGGUAGGACGUGCCACUUGUCCGCUUAGGGGUGGUCCCUAUAAUGCCCUCCUUUUAAACCAGUUAUUUUAUCGGGAUAGAAAAGACAGGUUAAAACGAUCCCUUUAGCCUUUUUUUUGGGAGUCGUGUGGCACGUGGCGCCCAAGGGGGGUAGUCAUGGAGAGCCGCUAUCCUUGGGAUGAAUACCAGGCAGCGUGUUGUUUUGAGUGUAGUGCGGUUGGGUGCCUGGUCAUUUGAAGUCCCUAGGGAUUUCAUCCCAUAAAUAGGGAAUCAAUCUCCCCAUCGGUAGUACUUUUUCUUCAUUUCUACUUCAUUCUGGCGUUAACUAGGCAUUGCUCCUAGGGCUUUACUCGGCGGUGCUUUCCUCACAAUCUCACGACUGGUUUACUCAGGCGACUGCGACCUAGUUCGUCUUCUUCUUGCAAACACUUGUCAGGUAUGCUCCUUGUUUCUUCUUCAUCGUCUUCUACUUCCCGUUUUCUCAAUUUUCCUUGGUUUCUAGUGCCAGUUUGCGAUUAAGGGAUGAGGGUGAUGUUUGGGGGUUUUGGUGGGUUGGGAAAUGUCCUUGCUGGAUUUUGUAGAGGGAGAAUGCAUAGUGUCGUUCAAGGGCAUCACAUUCUGUUGGCGGCGUGCCUUGCUAACUUUGGUCAGGGUUGCUUCAAGGUUAUUUUGUGCUUCGAGGCUCUGUUGAGGCCAUUGAGUAUUUUUUCAGCCCUUCGUAUGCCUGAAUAUGGUUGUGAGUCGCUUCUUAGCUAGGGUUAGGAGUUGACUAGCGGAACCGGGGUUCCUGACUUGGGGAGGUUAUUGACUCAGGCAUGUCACCUAGCUUAGGCAUUUUGGGGCAAUGCCUUUAGGGCGGUGAGGCUGGAUAAUUGUCCUAUAACUGUCGGCAUUGCACCAUGAAGGUUUAUCUUGGCCCCACGCUCCAACAUGCCUGCAAAAAAGGAUAUUACUUCAUCUAGCGCGGUUGGGCCAAGUGGAAAGGGUUGUUCCGGACACCCCUAUCCGGGAAAACCCACUGAGCUCCUCAAUGGGCGGGAGUUUCGCGACCGCUUCUGUCUUCCAAACGGCGUCUCUGUUCAAUUAGUGGAGAGAGAUCCCAUGUCCAUAGAGAAAGCCAGACACAACGCCAUUUAUUUCACCAAGGAGCAGUUCAAUGCGGGGCUCUGCUUUCCUUUCCUGUCUCUUUUCAAACAGUUCCUUCAUUACACCCAAAUUCCCCCAGCCUAUAUCCAUCCCAACAUCAUCCGAGUGUUGAUGGGGUGCAGCAUCCUAAAUAUGAUCUUCUAGUUGGACCUCUCCCUGUUGGAGGUUCUCUUCAUCUAUACCCUUAAAAAGGGGAAAAAUGAUAUCUUUAGUAUGUUUGCUCACAUCUUGUCCCUUCAAUUAGUGACGGGCCUUCUUGACUCGAAUAAAGGGGGAGCCAAGAGACAUGUGCUUGUCAAGGGCCCAUGGGCUAGCUUGAUGGAACAUUCGGAAAGGGAUUUUCGCCCUAACUGUUCGUUGAAGAUUCCGGGUAGGAGUGGCUUUGAGCAUUUGUUCCUUGUUGAUAUUUGAUGCUUAGCUUAAUUCCAUUAGAUUGCUAACCUUAUUUGUUUUGGCUGACGCAGGCUCAGGCAAGAUGAGCCGCUUGGUCGAGUGGGUGGAGAAGACUUCAUUCGUCAGCCUGAACAAGCUAUUCGAAAUCACUACCAUUGAGAGAAACCAUCACACGCUACUUUCCGUCUGAAAUCUACUUGCGGUUGUCCGGGAACCUUAGUCGUAUGUCCUCAACAUCCUUUCUAGGCUGUUACAGAAAGUUGUGGUAUCUGAGGAGCACUUUGUUUUGAAGGAUCUUUCCUUCUACGAAGAGGCUCGCGAGGCAGAUGCGAAGGCUCGCUAGGAGCGUCUUGAGCAGUAGGAGGGGAAAUUGAGGAAAACUCCCGAUGAGAAAAGCUGUGGCUCAUCGUCUACAGCUUGUCCUCCAGUUGGGAAGAAGAAAAAGAAGACUAUUGCAAAAGCGAUCAAGGUUGCAACCCCGGCUCCUGAAUCUCCGUCUACUUCUACUGCUUCAGUGUCUAAUCGAUCAAUCAGCUCCGCCCAGGCGUCUGAAGGUGACUUUAGCUCACUGAGGCUCGACCCUAGCUACCCGGGACUAGCCUUUUUGAGCACGAGCAGGAGUCUAUAGCCCUUGGAGUUAUAAAUGAUCCGGAGAAAGAAGAGGAUAUGAAUGACUUAAGAGUCGGAUUUAAAGAGAGGCACCGCAAACUCUUGUAUGAAGCGAUUGACAUCGUCCCCCCCCCCCCCCUCCUCCCCAAUGGUCGUGCCCCAACCGGAUGUAGUGGGACCUAGCAGCGCUCCAGCUGCGGAGAAAGAGGCUUGUGGGAAAUAGGUAGGUCCGGCAACGGGGAAGGCCCUUGGUAAUGCUGCUUCUGCCGAGGGGGUCCUGGAUGAGAAGGAUAGUCCUGCUCCUGUAAAUCUUCCAAGCUGGGACGAAAUGAUGGAGAUGCUAAAGCACGUGCCAUGCUUCACGAACUUUGAAACUCCAUCUACAAAAAUGUCAUACUUUUUCCCCUUUACCAAGCGAAUAUCUGUGAAUAUGGGCGGCGACCCCCCCUCUUUCGUCUCAGCCCGACUCCUCUUUGGCACUUCUGAGUCUGCUAUGUUCCGCAUUCAGCAGCUGCAAGAAUGGAUGGUGUCGGAGACUACAGAGGUGGUAAUCCCUUUUAUCUUACCCCCCCCCCCCCCCCUCCUUUUCAAGUAAUGCAUACUCCACCGCUUGGUACUAACUUAGCUUUUAUUAUCUCUUCUAGUUGGUAGUCGGCAUCCGCAACAUGAUGUGACAGCGCGUGUAGCUUUUCAAGCAAUUGGAGGUGGAAGAGGCUAUGCGGGCCUUUAUCUCCCACCACUCGGGCAACAUUGAAGAGUUGCGCGCGAAGAUGGAGCGAGUAGAACCUGACUUGGCUGCUGCCUAGAAGGCCGUUGCGGACGGAGCCGAGACACUGAAGCUGGUUGAAGGGGAGAAGGGGGUGAUCCGGGUUGAGACAGACCGGCUAAAGGAGAAAUGAGAGGCUAUGGAGGCCAAGUACAAAGGGGCGAAACAGGAGAAUUUCCAAUUAAGGAGAGAGGUGGAUGAACUUCGGGCUAGUUUCGCGGCUCAGACGAAAGAGGUGGAAGAGUUACAAGCGGGUUUGCUCGCCUAGAAGAAAGAGCUGGAGACCGAAUUUGCUGCUCAAAAAAAGGAGUUGGAAAUGGAGUACUAGAAACAAGUGAAUGAAAUGUACUUUUUCGGCUACCGCUAUUGUAUGAAGAAAAAUGGCAUCAUGCACGACAUUCCUUCUCUCUCUUCUGAUGACAAGGCUGAGAUACCCAGAGGUCCUCCACGAUGAGACGACUCAACUUUUGUGUAGUUCCUCCAUAUAACUUUUUCUUUGUCGUGAAUGGUCCAGCUGAUUUGUAAAGACAGUUUUCACACUUAUUUAUGAAUGCAACGUUCCUUUACUCUUUUCUCGCCCAUUGUUUCUUUUUACUGAUAAUACUGCUUAAGGUUAUAUACAUUCCAUGGACGGAGUAAAAGGGUUCCAUCUAACUUCUGUAAAUGAUAAGUGAUUCGUCCUCAUUGCAGUCAUGCCAUUUGAUUUUGGCUCAGACAGGUGUUAUCAACAAAAUUUAUAAAACCUAAAUCACCUCACACUAGGGUAGCAUAGCUAACAUAGUAUAGUGGCUCUAGGAUCGUACACAGGGAUGAGUUUUCAUCAUACAAUUGAUUUGAUUUUAGUGAAGGAAAUAAAAUGGUGUUUUUCCUUAUGAAAAUUAGCUUUUAAAGAAAAUGGAAUUGUGGUUGCAAAGAUUGAUUUUUAAAUUAAGCAAAAAUAAUAAGUGAAGUUAACUACAAAGAAAAGGUCUCUUGGAGCUUUAGGUCACUAGGAUCGGGUUCCUUAGGCAAAGGGGGAGAUUUCGGAUCUUCUCAUCACGUUGGGGAUAAUAACAUAAAGGAUGGUUAUCUCCCAAAUCGGUUUUGUAUUUAGCAAUUAAGACUUGAUCCAAAGUGUUCACAAAAAAUGGUAAUUGCUUCCCAUUAAUGGCUUCAAACACUAAAGACCCUCACUUUGAACCACCUUCCAAUGGCUCGUAAAUGAUAACUAAUAGACAUCCAUGGAUCUAGCAAUAAGCAUCCAUAGAAUCCGAAAAGCUUACCAAGUAUUGGCCAUUCAAAGUGAUUUUAAGGGAUUUAAAACUAAACCUUGAAAUAAAAACCAUUAAUGGUUAACAACUACUUUCAUUUAAAGCAAGGACAACUCUUAUCUUUACAUUCAGGUCCUUCACCUAGCUUCCAUCACUCCAAGAAACGUAAAACCUAGCCACUCAUCCCCUAAGAAAUCAUCCUUAGAGGUUGUUUAGCUAGAAAAAAGAGUGAAAACAAAAUGAGAAGGAAAGGCAAAGCAAAAGCUCUGUAUAUUUCUUACUACAGGAAAUUUACAAGUGUUUAAUGAAAAACAUCCAUAUUUUCUCACUCUAUCUCUCUCCUUAUAUAUGAUGUUACCUAGAAAAUAUCUAAAAAGAUAUAAAAGAAAAUAUCUAGGUUGAUUACAAGGAGAACUUAGGAAAUUACACAAAAUAUCUGAAGAUAAAAAUCUAACAGAGUCGAUGUACAGGAAGAUUUCGCAUACCAUGCGAAAUUUGGCAUGGUGUGCGAAAUUUCGCAUAGCCAUGCAAAACUGCUUGUUGUUCGAUUUCUUCCUCUGGUUUUCUUCCUUACAUCUCUGAUUUGUUUGGCAAAAGGCUAUGAAGUGCUCCAAAGCUUGGAUUCUUCAUGUAUUUGAGCUUCAACUUGCAUUGCCAUUGAUUUCACAAGAAUCUCCCUCUUCUUGGCUUGUUUCAAUGAUAAAAAAGCUACAAAAAACACCAAAACUUGCCAAAAACUAAUUAAUAACCCUUGCUAGGUUCUUUAAUGUGCCAAUUGAGGUAAAAGGUAUUAACUACUACUCAAAAGAGUUUAAAAAGUUAGUUUCAAGCUAUAAAAGAGUACUUUUUGAGUCGUAAUCAAUAAGCCCCGCUUUCACCUAUUUUGGAGACAAUGUAGGGGCCUUCCCAAUUCGCUUGGAACUUCCCAGCCUCCUUUUCAGUUGUGUUUUCGAAGACUCUUCUGAGGAUGAGUCUUCCAACCUUGAAGACACGAGGUUGUGCCUUACAAUUGUAAUGAGCAACCACCCUUUGCUGGUAGGCGGCCAUCCAGAUGGAUGCACUUUCCCUCAUUUCAUUCGCCCAGUCUAGGUUCCUUCUGAGUUCUUGGUCUUCAUUCCUUUGACCCUGUAUGGAAGUCCGGACCGUGGGUAAACCUAUUUCCAUGGGGAUGACUGCGUCCAUUCCGUAUGCGAGAGCGAAAAGAGUGUUUCCUGUUGGUCGUUCGGGCGUCAUCUGGUAGGCCCACAAGACGUCGGGUGGCUUAUCCACCCACUUUCUUUUGGUUCGGUCUAAUAUUUUCUUUAAUGUUGACAGUAAGGUCUUGUUCGUUGCCUUUGUCUACCCAUUGCUUUGGGGAUACCGUGGUGUGGAGUAUAAAUUUUGGAUUUUGAGUUCUGAACAAAAAUUUCGGAAGGCAAUGCUGUCAAACUACGGGCCAUUGUUGGCUAUGAUUGCUUGAGGGAUUCCAAACCGACAAAUGAUGUUCUUCCAAACGAAUUUCGUGACGUCUUUGUCUUUGAUGCCCGCAUACGCCUCCGCAUCUACCCAUUUAUUGAAAUAAUCUGUGGCAACGAGUAGGAGUUUCUUUUAGGCAACUGCAACGGGCAGAGGUCCCACUAUAUCCAUCUCCCAUUGCUCGAAUGGCCAAGGGCUUGUUAUCGGGUUCAACGUCUUGGAUGGCAUAUGCGGGAUGGGCGCGUGUCUUUGACAUUUGUCACAUUUUUUGACAUAAGCUUCCGUGUCCUGCUUCAUAGUGGGCCGGUAAUACCCCUGCGAAUGGGCGCGAUGUGCUAAAGAUCUUCCUCCUGACUGGUUGCCGCAUACGUCUUCAUGUAAUUCUGCUAGCACAUACUAGGCUUCAAAGUGCUCUAAGCAUCUGAGGUAGGGGCCUGCAAAAGAUCAUUUGUAAAGAAAUUUCCCAAUCAAGGUGAAGCGGGCAGCCUGCACACAGAUCUUAUGUGCAUGCUUGGAUUCCUCAUGCAGAGCACCUGUCUGAAGGUACUCCUUUAUGACACUCGUCCAUUCCUGGCUUUCUUCGAUAGCAUUGCAAGCGGGCGAUUGUGCGAUGGAGGGAUUAGACUGCACAUGUAUGGGCAGCAAUAUGGCUUCUCUUAUGGGAAGUGAGACAACUAUUCCUGCCAGGGCAUCGGCCUGUAUGUUGUUCGUCCGGAGGACUUUUCGAUUGUCCACUAGUCCAACUGCUUCAAGGUGUCGCGCACUUUUGUCAGGUAUUGGGACAUGCGCUCGUCUUUGGCUUUGUAUUCCUUUCGCACUGAUUACUACUCAAAACAUGCUAUUUUGUAGCUUGUAAUUAGCUCUUUUAAACACCAUUGAGUAGUAAUUAUUACCUUUUAACCCAAUUAGCAUGUUAGGAGCCCUUGCAAUCGUUUCUAACAAUUGUGUUAAGUUUUGGUGCUUUUUGAUAGCUUUAUGCUCACCAAAGCAAUUUAAGAAUGAGGGAGAGCUAUUUAUAGUUCAGGGCAAAGCUUUUGAAAGCUUAAAUUUAUGAAGAAAUCAAGCUAUGGAGCCUCAUAAUCCUUUGCCUUAAUCGUUCAAAGUUUACAAGGGAGAAACAAUGGAGAAGAAGAAAACAGGGGAUGAAAACAGGGGACACAGCUGCAGUCUUUUAGUGCACUUUUGGAGCACUUCCCGAAGUCCAUUUUCUGCAUUCUAUAUACCAUUUCGAAGCUCAGAAAGUCAAGAAUCCAACGGUUCAAACCAUAUAUGAUUUGGAGCUGAAAUGAGGAAGAUAUGGACUUCGGAAGACAACUGCAUCAAGCUGAGGAACAAUUUCGCACACCACUGUUUAAGGUGCGAAAUCCUCAGUCCACUGUGCGAAAUUUUCGCACACCUCAAACCAACAUGCGANNNNNNNNNNNNNNNNNNNNNNNNNNNNNNNNNNNNNNNNNNNNNNNNNNNNNNNNNNNNNNNNNNNNNNNNNNNNNNNNNNNNNNNNNNNNNNNNNNNNNNNNNNNNNNNNNNNNNNNNNNNNNNNNNNNNNNNNNNNNNNNNNNNNNNNNNNNNNNNNNNNNNNNNNNNNNNNNNNNNNNNNNNNNNNNNNNNNNNNNNNNNNNNNNNNNNNNNNNNNNNNNNNNNNNNNNNNNNNNNNNNNNNNNNNNNNNNNNNNNNNNNNNNNNNNNNNNNNNNNNNNNNNNNNNNNNNNNNNNNNNNNNNNNNNNNNNNNNNNNNNNNNNNNNNNNNNNNNNNNNNNNNNNNNNNNNNNNNNNNNNNNNNNNNNNNNNNNNNNNNNNNNNNNNNNNNNNNNNNNNNNNNNNNNNNNNNNNNNNNNNNNNNNNNNNNNNNNNNNNNNNNNNNNNNNNNNNNNNNNNNNNNNNNNNNNNNNNNNNNNNNNNNNNNNNNNNNNNNNNNNNNNNNNNNNNNNNNNNNNNNNNNNNNNNNNNNNNNNNNNNNNNNNNNNNNNNNNNNNNNNNNNNNNNNNNNNNNNNNNNNNNNNNNNNNNNNNNNNNNNNNNNNNNNNNNNNNNNNNNNNNNNNNNNNNNNNNNNNNNNNNNNNNNNNNNNNNNNNNNNNNNNNNNNNNNNNNNNNNNNNNNNNNNNNNNNNNNNNNNNNNNNNNNNNNNNNNNNNNNNNNNNNNNNNNNNNNNNNNNNNNNNNNNNNNNNNNNNNNNNNNNNNNNNNNNNNNNNNNNNNNNNNNNNNNNNNNNNNNNNNNNNNNNNNNNNNNNNNNNNNNNNNNNNNNNNNNNNNNNNNNNNNNNNNNNNNNNNNNNNNNNNNNNNNNNNNNNNNNNNNNNNNNNNNNNNNNNNNNNNNNNNNNNNNNNNNNNNNNNNNNNNNNNNNNNNNNNNNNNNNNNNNNNNNNNNNNNNNNNNNNNNNNNNNNNNNNNNNNNNNNNNNNNNNNNNNNNNNNNNNNNNNNNNNNNNNNNNNNNNNNNNNNNNNNNNNNNNNNNNNNNNNNNNNNNNNNNNNNNNNNNNNNNNNNNNNNNNNNNNNNNNNNNNNNNNNNNNNNNNNNNNNNNNNNNNNNNNNNNNNNNNNNNNNNNNNNNNNNNNNNNNNNNNNNNNNNNNNNNNNNNNNNNNNNNNNNNNNNNNNNNNNNNNNNNNNNNNNNNNNNNNNNNNNNNNNNNNNNNNNNNNNNNNNNNNNNNNNNNNNNNNNNNNNNNNNNNNNNNNNNNNNNNNNNNNNNNNNNNNNNNNNNNNNNNNNNNNNNNNNNNNNNNNNNNNNNNNNNNNNNNNNNNNNNNNNNNNNNNNNNNNNNNNNNNNNNNNNNNNNNNNNNNNNNNNNNNNNNNNNNNNNNNNNNNNNNNNNNNNNNNNNNNNNNNNNNNNNNNNNNNNNNNNNNNNNNNNNNNNNNNNNNNNNNNNNNNNNNNNNNNNNNNNNNNNNNNNNNNNNNNNNNNNNNNNNNNNNNNNNNNNNNNNNNNNNNNNNNNNNNNNNNNNNNNNNNNNNNNNNNNNNNNNNNNNNNNNNNNNNNNNNNNNNNNNNNNNNNNNNNNNNNNNNNNNNNNNNNNNNNNNNNNNNNNNNNNNNNNNNNNNNNNNNNNNNNNNNNNNNNNNNNNNNNNNNNNNNNNNNNNNNNNNNNNNNNNNNNNNNNNNNNNNNNNNNNNNNNNNNNNNNNNNNNNNNNNNNNNNNNNNNNNNNNNNNNNNNNNNNNNNNNNNNNNNNNNNNNNNNNNNNNNNNNNNNNNNNNNNNNNNNNNNNNNNNNNNNNNNNNNNNNNNNNNNNNNNNNNNNNNNNNNNNNNNNNNNNNNNNNNNNNNNNNNNNNNNNNNNNNNNNNNNNNNNNNNNNNNNNNNNNNNNNNNNNNNNNNNNNNNNNNNNNNNNNNNNNNNNNNNNNNNNNNNNNNNNNNNNNNNNNNNNNNNNNNNNNNNNNNNNNNNNNNNNNNNNNNNNNNNNNNNNNNNNNNNNNNNNNNNNNNNNNNNNNNNNNNNNNNNNNNNNNNNNNNNNNNNNNNNNNNNNNNNNNNNNNNNNNNNNNNNNNNNNNNNNNNNNNNNNNNNNNNNNNNNNNNNNNNNNNNNNNNNNNNNNNNNNNNNNNNNNNNNNNNNNNNNNNNNNNNNNNNNNNNNNNNNNNNNNNNNNNNNNNNNNNNNNNNNNNNNNNNNNNNNNNNNNNNNNNNNNNNNNNNNNNNNNNNNNNNNNNNNNNNNNNNNNNNNNNNNNNNNNNNNNNNNNNNNNNNNNNNNNNNNNNNNNNNNNNNNNNNNNNNNNNNNNNNNNNNNNNNNNNNNNNNNNNNNNNNNNNNNNNNNNNNNNNNNNNNNNNNNNNNNNNNNNNNNNNNNNNNNNNNNNNNNNNNNNNNNNNNNNNNNNNNNNNNNNNNNNNNNNNNNNNNNNNNNNNNNNNNNNNNNNNNNNNNNNNNNNNNNNNNNNNNNNNNNNNNNNNNNNNNNNNNNNNNNNNNNNNNNNNNNNNNNNNNNNNNNNNNNNNNNNNNNNNNNNNNNNNNNNNNNNNNNNNNNNNNNNNNNNNNNNNNNNNNNNNNNNNNNNNNNNNNNNNNNNNNNNNNNNNNNNNNNNNNNNNNNNNNNNNNNNNNNNNNNNNNNNNNNNNNNNNNNNNNNNNNNNNNNNNNNNNNNNNNNNNNNNNNNNNNNNNNNNNNNNNNNNNNNNNNNNNNNNNNNNNNNNNNNNNNNNNNNNNNNNNNNNNNNNNNNNNNNNNNNNNNNNNNNNNNNNNNNNNNNNNNNNNNNNNNNNNNNNNNNNNNNNNNNNNNNNNNNNNNNNNNNNNNNNNNNNNNNNNNNNNNNNNNNNNNNNNNNNNNNNNNNNNNNNNNNNNNNNNNNNNNNNNNNNNNNNNNNNNNNNNNNNNNNNNNNNNNNNNNNNNNNNNNNNNNNNNNNNNNNNNNNNNNNNNNNNNNNNNNNNNNNNNNNNNNNNNNNNNNNNNNNNNNNNNNNNNNNNNNNNNNNNNNNNNNNNNNNNNNNNNNNNNNNNNNNNNNNNNNNNNNNNNNNNNNNNNNNNNNNNNNNNNNNNNNNNNNNNNNNNNNNNNNNNNNNNNNNNNNNNNNNNNNNNNNNNNNNNNNNNNNNNNNNNNNNNNNNNNNNNNNNNNNNNNNNNNNNNNNNNNNNNNNNNNNNNNNNNNNNNNNNNNNNNNNNNNNNNNNNNNNNNNNNNNNNNNNNNNNNNNNNNNNNNNNNNNNNNNNNNNNNNNNNNNNNNNNNNNNNNNNNNNNNNNNNNNNNNNNNNNNNNNNNNNNNNNNNNNNNNNNNNNNNNNNNNNNNNNNNNNNNNNNNNNNNNNNNNNNNNNNNNNNNNNNNNNNNNNNNNNNNNNNNNNNNNNNNNNNNNNNNNNNNNNNNNNNNNNNNNNNNNNNNNNNNNNNNNNNNNNNNNNNNNNNNNNNNNNNNNNNNNNNNNNNNNNNNNNNNNNNNNNNNNNNNNNNNNNNNNNNNNNNNNNNNNNNNNNNNNNNNNNNNNNNNNNNNNNNNNNNNNNNNNNNNNNNNNNNNNNNNNNNNNNNNNNNNNNNNNNNNNNNNNNNNNNNNNNNNNNNNNNNNNNNNNNNNNNNNNNNNNNNNNNNNNNNNNNNNNNNNNNNNNNNNNNNNNNNNNNNNNNNNNNNNNNNNNNNNNNNNNNNNNNNNNNNNNNNNNNNNNNNNNNNNNNNNNNNNNNNNNNNNNNNNNNNNNNNNNNNNNNNNNNNNNNNNNNNNNNNNNNNNNNNNNNNNNNNNNNNNNNNNNNNNNNNNNNNNNNNNNNNNNNNNNNNNNNNNNNNNNNNNNNNNNNNNNNNNNNNNNNNNNNNNNNNNNNNNNNNNNNNNNNNNNNNNNNNNNNNNNNNNNNNNNNNNNNNNNNNNNNNNNNNNNNNNNNNNNNNNNNNNNNNNNNNNNNNNNNNNNNNNNNNNNNNNNNNNNNNNNNNNNNNNNNNNNNNNNNNNNNNNNNNNNNNNNNNNNNNNNNNNNNNNNNNNNNNNNNNNNNNNNNNNNNNNNNNNNNNNNNNNNNNNNNNNNNNNNNNNNNNNNNNNNNNNNNNNNNNNNNNNNNNNNNNNNNNNNNNNNNNNNNNNNNNNNNNNNNNNNNNNNNNNNNNNNNNNNNNNNNNNNNNNNNNNNNNNNNNNNNNNNNNNNNNNNNNNNNNNNNNNNNNNNNNNNNNNNNNNNNNNNNNNNNNNNNNNNNNNNNNNNNNNNNNNNNNNNNNNNNNNNNNNNNNNNNNNNNNNNNNNNNNNNNNNNNNNNNNNNNNNNNNNNNNNNNNNNNNNNNNNNNNNNNNNNNNNNNNNNNNNNNNNNNNNNNNNNNNNNNNNNNNNNNNNNNNNNNNNNNNNNNNNNNNNNNNNNNNNNNNNNNNNNNNNNNNNNNNNNNNNNNNNNNNNNNNNNNNNNNNNNNNNNNNNNNNNNNNNNNNNNNNNNNNNNNNNNNNNNNNNNNNNNNNNNNNNNNNNNNNNNNNNNNNNNNNNNNNNNNNNNNNNNNNNNNNNNNNNNNNNNNNNNNNNNNNNNNNNNNNNNNNNNNNNNNNNNNNNNNNNNNNNNNNNNNNNNNNNNNNNNNNNNNNNNNNNNNNNNNNNNNNNNNNNNNNNNNNNNNNNNNNNNNNNNNNNNNNNNNNNNNNNNNNNNNNNNNNNNNNNNNNNNNNNNNNNNNNNNNNNNNNNNNNNNNNNNNNNNNNNNNNNNNNNNNNNNNNNNNNNNNNNNNNNNNNNNNNNNNNNNNNNNNNNNNNNNNNNNNNNNNNNNNNNNNNNNNNNNNNNNNNNNNNNNNNNNNNNNNNNNNNNNNNNNNNNNNNNNNNNNNNNNNNNNNNNNNNNNNNNNNNNNNNNNNNNNNNNNNNNNNNNNNNNNNNNNNNNNNNNNNNNNNNNNNNNNNNNNNNNNNNNNNNNNNNNNNNNNNNNNNNNNNNNNNNNNNNNNNNNNNNNNNNNNNNNNNNNNNNNNNNNNNNNNNNNNNNNNNNNNNNNNNNNNNNNNNNNNNNNNNNNNNNNNNNNNNNNNNNNNNNNNNNNNNNNNNNNNNNNNNNNNNNNNNNNNNNNNNNNNNNNNNNNNNNNNNNNNNNNNNNNNNNNNNNNNNNNNNNNNNNNNNNNNNNNNNNNNNNNNNNNNNNNNNNNNNNNNNNNNNNNNNNNNNNNNNNNNNNNNNNNNNNNNNNNNNNNNNNNNNNNNNNNNNNNNNNNNNNNNNNNNNNNNNNNNNNNNNNNNNNNNNNNNNNNNNNNNNNNNNNNNNNNNNNNNNNNNNNNNNNNNNNNNNNNNNNNNNNNNNNNNNNNNNNNNNNNNNNNNNNNNNNNNNNNNNNNNNNNNNNNNNNNNNNNNNNNNNNNNNNNNNNNNNNNNNNNNNNNNNNNNNNNNNNNNNNNNNNNNNNNNNNNNNNNNNNNNNNNNNNNNNNNNNNNNNNNNNNNNNNNNNNNNNNNNNNNNNNNNNNNNNNNNNNNNNNNNNNNNNNNNNNNNNNNNNNNNNNNNNNNNNNNNNNNNNNNNNNNNNNNNNNNNNNNNNNNNNNNNNNNNNNNNNNNNNNNNNNNNNNNNNNNNNNNNNNNNNNNNNNNNNNNNNNNNNNNNNNNNNNNNNNNNNNNNNNNNNNNNNNNNNNNNNNNNNNNNNNNNNNNNNNNNNNNNNNNNNNNNNNNNNNNNNNNNNNNNNNNNNNNNNNNNNNNNNNNNNNNNNNNNNNNNNNNNNNNNNNNNNNNNNNNNNNNNNNNNNNNNNNNNNNNNNNNNNNNNNNNNNNNNNNNNNNNNNNNNNNNNNNNNNNNNNNNNNNNNNNNNNNNNNNNNNNNNNNNNNNNNNNNNNNNNNNNNNNNNNNNNNNNNNNNNNNNNNNNNNNNNNNNNNNNNNNNNNNNNNNNNNNNNNNNNNNNNNNNNNNNNNNNNNNNNNNNNNNNNNNNNNNNNNNNNNNNNNNNNNNNNNNNNNNNNNNNNNNNNNNNNNNNNNNNNNNNNNNNNNNNNNNNNNNNNNNNNNNNNNNNNNNNNNNNNNNNNNNNNNNNNNNNNNNNNNNNNNNNNNNNNNNNNNNNNNNNNNNNNNNNNNNNNNNNNNNNNNNNNNNNNNNNNNNNNNNNNNNNNNNNNNNNNNNNNNNNNNNNNNNNNNNNNNNNNNNNNNNNNNNNNNNNNNNNNNNNNNNNNNNNNNNNNNNNNNNNNNNNNNNNNNNNNNNNNNNNNNNNNNNNNNNNNNNNNNNNNNNNNNNNNNNNNNNNNNNNNNNNNNNNNNNNNNNNNNNNNNNNNNNNNNNNNNNNNNNNNNNNNNNNNNNNNNNNNNNNNNNNNNNNNNNNNNNNNNNNNNNNNNNNNNNNNNNNNNNNNNNNNNNNNNNNNNNNNNAUCUUUUUCCGGGAAAAUUGAAAUCCAGGUGGACGGGUCCUUUCAUAAUUCAUGAAGUGCAUCCCAACGGAGUGGUGGAAAUAUUCAAUCCCACAGGCAAUCAAACCUUCAAAGUCAAUGGCCAUCGUCUCAAGCCAUUUAUAGAGCCUUACAAUACAGACAAGGAGGAGAUCAACCUCCUUGAACCACCACAACUUUGAGGAAAAGCAGGGUAUCAUGGGCUAAAGAAGUCCAUGAAUUUUUUGUUAUAGUUUUAUAGUUAUAUUAGUAUUUUUAUUUCUUUAUAUUUUAAUUUUUCUUUAAUCUUAGUUUAUUUUGUCUUAAUUCAAGUCAAUUUUCAUGAUAAAUUUCAGAAAAAAAUCAUGAAAGGUGAGGAGAGCUCUUCAAAAGCAGAACAGGGGAGUAAAACCAAGGAAGCAGAGCACCCAAUUUCAAGGUGCCAAAAUUUUCGCACACCUGAUUUCAAGGUGCGAAAAUUUCGCACACCCCAAAACCAAGGUGCGAAAUCCUUGGGCCAAAAGAAGCCAUUUUCGCACACCCCUACCUCAAGAUGCGAAAUCAAUUUCAAGGUGCGAAUUUCCUAAAAUCCAAUUUCGCACACCACUGUGGAAGGUGCGAAAAUUUUCGCACUGUGCGAAAAUUUUCGCACUGUGCGAAAUCCUCUCCUGGCACACGUGUGCCAAUUUCGCACACCUCAAGCUGAUUUUCGCACUGUGCGAAAUAGUGUGCGAAAAUUUCGCACACCACUAUUCAAGGUGCGAAAAUUUCGCACACCUCCUUUUAACGUGCGAAAUCAUCAGUUAAAAGGGUGCCAUUUUCGCACACCCAAUUCCAAGGUGCGAAAUUUGCAGGCCAAGGUGCGAAAAUUUCGCACGGUAAAAUUUUAACUUCUAAAAAUUUAAAACCGACUUUUAAAUUAAAAUUUUACCCCCGAAAUUGUGCCUAACGUCCAAAAACGACUUUUCGGUUGCCUUGGAAAAUUUUAAAAGAUCAGAAACCCCUUAAACCUCAUUCCUAUAUAAACCCCUGAAGUCCAGAAGCUCAAAGGACUCUCCUAAGCACCAGCUGAAAAACCUCUGGAAUCCCGAACACCCAUCUCCCUUCAUUUCGGCCAUGGCGAAGACCAGAGGAGGCCUUUCCGCCUCCCCAUCCUCACCGACACCUCGGCCACAGCGAGCCGCCAUGGGAGCCGCACCUUCACCUCCCGUUCAGGCCCCGGCCAUUCCCCCAUCUGAGGGGGAAGCUCCUUCUCAGCGCCGAUACCCCACCCGGAGGCCACCCGCGGACCCUGUGCCACCAGUCGAACAGGCCACGAGCCCUAUUUCUCGGCCCCCUGCGAAAAGGUCCAGGUUCUCGGGUCCUGGAGAGCCAUCCCACGUACCUUAGCCACAACCAGCUACAGAGGAACCUCGGAUUCCAGUCGACAUGCCUCCCGAGGCCAUUAUCAGGCGUCCCAUGAUAGCUGGANNNNNNNNNNNNNNNNNNNNNNNNNNNNNNNNNNNNNNNNNNNNNNNNNNNNNNNNNNNNNNNNNNNNNNNNNNNNNNNNNNNNNNNNNNNNNNNNNNNNUGCAAACUUUUUGGUUACUGGAGAAGUACCAAGUGAGUGGAGUGCUCAAGACAAGAGGCAUUUCUUGGCUAAGAUCCAUGCCUAUUAUUGGGAGGAACCUUUUCUUUUCAAAUAUUGUGCAGAUCAAAUUAUAAGGAAAUGUGUUCCUGAGCAAGAGCAAUCGGGAAUUCUUUCCCAUUGCCAUGAUAAUGCAUGUGGAGGUCAUUUUGCCUCCCAGAAAACAGCUAUGAAAGUGAUCCAAUCAGGCUUCUGGUGGCCAUCUCUUUUCAAGGAUGCCCAUUCUAUGUGUAAGGCAUGUGAUCGGUGUCAAAGGCUUGGUAAGCUGACACGCCGAAAUAUGAUGCCCUUGAACCCCAUCUUAAUAGUGGAUAUCUUUGAUGUUUGGGGUAUAGACUUUAUGGGACCAUUUCCAAUGUCAUUUGGACAUUCCUACAUCUUGGUAGGAGUGGAUUAUGUCUCUAAGUGGGUAGAGGCAAUCCCAUGUAGGAACAAUGAUCAUAAGGUGGUACUUAAAUUCCUCAAGGACAACAUCUUUGCAAGAUUUGGAGUGCCAAAGGCCAUUAUAAGUGACGGGGGAACCUACUUUUGCAAUAAACCUUUUGAGACUCUUCUAGCCAAGUAUGGGGUUAAGCAUAAAGUAGCUACACCUUAUCACCCUCAAACUAGUGGCCAAGUUGAGUUAGCCAACCGUGAGAUCAAGAAUAUAUUGAUGAAGGUGGUCAAUGUGAAUAGGAAGGAUUGGUCUAUCAAGCUCCUGGAUUCCUUAUGGGCUUAUAGGACCGCUUACAAGACCAUUCUAGGAAUGUCUCCCUAUCGCCUUGUUUAUGGCAAAGCGUGUCACCUUCCAGUGGAAAUUGAGUAUAAAGCAUGGUGGGCAAUCAAAAAUCUCAACAUGGAUUUGUCAAGAGCCGGGUUAAAGAGAUGUUUAGAUUUGAAUGAAUUAGAGGAAUUGAGGAAUGAUGCAUACCUCAAUUCAAAAAUUGCCAAAGCAAGAUUGAAAAAAUGGCAUGAUCAGUUGGUAAAUCAGAAGAAUUUUACCAAAGGACAAAAAGUUUUGCUUUAUGACUCUAAGCUUCAUCUUUUUCCGGGAAAAUUGAAAUCCAGGUGGACGGGUCCUUUCAUAAUUCAUGAAGUGCAUCCCAACGGAGUGGUGGAAAUAUUCAAUNNNNNNNNNNNNNNNNNNNNNNNNNNNNNNNNNNNNNNNNNNNNNNNNNNNNNNNNNNNNNNNNNNNNNNNNNNNNNNNNNNNNNNNNNNNNNNNNNNNNNNNNNNNNNNNNNNNNNNNNNNNNNNNNNNNNNNNNNNNNNNNNNNNNNNNNNNNNNNNNNNNNNNNNNNNNNNNNNNNNNNNNNNNNNNNNNNNNNNNNNNNNNNNNNNNNNNNNNNNNNNNNNNNNNNNNNNNNNNNNNNNNNNNNNNNNNNNNNNNNNNNNNNNNNNNNNNNNNNNNNNNNNNNNNNNNNNNNNNNNNNNNNNNNNNNNNNNNNNNNNNNNNNNNNNNNNNNNNNNNNNNNNNNNNNNNNNNNNNNNNNNNNNNNNNNNNNNNNNNNNNNNNNNNNNNNNNNNNNNNNNNNNNNNNNNNNNNNNNNNNNNNNNNNNNNNNNNNNNNNNNNNNNNNNNNNNNNNNNNNNNNNNNNNNNNNNNNNNNNNNNNNNNNNNNNNNNNNNNNNNNNNNNNNNNNNNNNNNNNNNNNNNNNNNNNNNNNNNNNNNNNNNNNNNNNNNNNNNNNNNNNNNNNNNNNNNNNNNNNNNNNNNNNNNNNNNNNNNNNNNNNNNNNNNNNNNNNNNNNNNNNNNNNNNNNNNNNNNNNNNNNNNNNNNNNNNNNNNNNNNNNNNNNNNNNNNNNNNNNNNNNNNNNNNNNNNNNNNNNNNNNNNNNNNNNNNNNNNNNNNNNNNNNNNNNNNNNNNNNNNNNNNNNNNNNNNNNNNNNNNNNNNNNNNNNNNNNNNNNNNNNNNNNNNNNNNNNNNNNNNNNNNNNNNNNNNNNNNNNNNNNNNNNNNNNNNNNNNNNNNNNNNNNNNNNNNNNNNNNNNNNNNNNNNNNNNNNNNNNNNNNNNNNNNNNNNNNNNNNNNNNNNNNNNNNNNNNNNNNNNNNNNNNNNNNNNNNNNNNNNNNNNNNNNNNNNNNNNNNNNNNNNNNNNNNNNNNNNNNNNNNNNNNNNNNNNNNNNNNNNNNNNNNNNNNNNNNNNNNNNNNNNNNNNNNNNNNNNNNNNNNNNNNNNNNNNNNNNNNNNNNNNNNNNNNNNNNNNNNNNNNNNNNNNNNNNNNNNNNNNNNNNNNNNNNNNNNNNNNNNNNNNNNNNNNNNNNNNNNNNNNNNNNNNNNNNNNNNNNNNNNNNNNNNNNNNNNNNNNNNNNNNNNNNNNNNNNNNNNNNNNNNNNNNNNNNNNNNNNNNNNNNNNNNNNNNNNNNNNNNNNNNNNNNNNNNNNNNNNNNNNNNNNNNNNNNNNNNNNNNNNNNNNNNNNNNNNNNNNNNNNNNNNNNNNNNNNNNNNNNNNNNNNNNNNNNNUAAAAUAGGAUAAGUCGAGUUUUUAACUUAAUUAUUUAAGUCUUAGAGUUUGUUUUAUGCUUUCAAAGUUGAUAAUCUAUUGAAGCCUCUUUGAUUUUGAACUUUCUUCUUCCAUUUCGAGCUUUACACACACUGUGCACAUUAGAUCCCGGAUAUAAAAUGUAAAACUUUCUCACUUUCUAAGCUUAGGAAAAUUUUGACUUGGUUUAUUACUUAACCUCUUUUUAAUAGUGUUGGGACACCUCAUAAAGACCAAUGAGUCUUAGAUAAAGACCAAUGAGUCUUAGAAAAAGACCAAUGAGUCUUAGAAAAAGAAAAAGAGAAUAAGCUUCUAUUCUUUCCUUGAAACCUAAGUAUGAUCCGAAGGGGUGGCGAAAGCCUUUAAAACCCGAUGCCCUAAACCUUAAUUGGUUGGGAGUCAUCGAUCCUCUGCUUGCUACAUGGGUGAAUUGGUUAAGUUUAGUAAGUAAAAAGAAUUGCGAAUAAGAAGGUGCGUUCUUAACCUAUUAAGAGUUGGUUAAUGUUACCAAUAUCCGAGAAAAGCUUAGGUUGGAUGGUGAGGAUAGUUGUAUAUACUAUAUCCGGAAGCUAAUUUCAUUAACACUUAGCUUAUUUUGGAAGAGUUUGAUUUGGAACCUUGAGAGUAGAGAUUCUUUUGAUACUUAAUUGCAUAAUCUCCACUCUUUGUACUUUUUGUUUAAGUUUUUAGCUUGGACAACUCCUAUUGCAUUUUGAAUCUUCAUAUCUUUAGUUCACCAUGUGAGAUGUGUUUUGAUAUCAGUCAUGCCACUCAAUUAUUUUUUGGAAUGAAUUGCAUGACCUCUUUUAUAUAUAUUAUUACGUUUGCUUAGUUUUCCUCUCCUUAAUUGCUAAGGGACUAGCAAUAUGUCGGUUGGGGGGAGUGAUUACUACUCAAAACAUGCUAUUUUGUAGCUUGUAAUUAGCUCUUUUAAACACCAUUGAGUAGUAAUUAUUACCUUUUAACCCAAUUAGCAUGUUAGGAGCCCUUGCAAUCGUUUCUAACAAUUGUGUUAAGUUUUGGUGCUUUUUGAUAGCUUUAUGCUCACCAAAGCAAUUUAAGAAUGAGGGAGAGCUAUUUAUAGUUCAGGGCAAAGCUUUUGAAAGCUUAAAUUUAUGAAGAAAUCAAGCUAUGGAGCCUCAUAAUCCUUUGCCUUAAUCGUUCAAAGUUUACAAGGGAGAAACAAUGGAGAAGAAGAAAACAGGGGAUGAAAACAGGGGACACAGCUGCAGUCUUUUAGUGCACUUUUGGAGCACUUCCCGAAGUCCAUUUUCUACAUUCUAUAUACCAUUUCGAAGCUCAGAAAGUCAAGAAUCCAACGGUUCAAACCAUAUAUGAUUUGGAGCUGAAAUGAGGAAGAUAUGGACUUCGGAAGACAACUGCAUCAAGCUGAGGAACAAUUUCGCACACCACUGUUUAAGGUGCGAAAUCCUCAGUCCACUGUGCGAAAUUUUCGCACACCUCAAACCAACAUGCGAAAUUGGAACUCAGCGUGCGAAAAUUGGAUAUUUUUGCCGACUCUUUUUCUUCUGAUAUUUUUGUGUUUAAAUUUCCAUUUUCUCCUUGUAUUCAACCAACCAUGUAAUUCCUUAGCUAGGAAGUAUCCAAGGAAGGGUAAAACUACCUUCCUAUAUAAAUUCUCUUGUAAUCACUGAAUAUAUAUCUUCGUCGGGGAGCUUUCUCCAGGAGACGAACUAUUGUAAAUUUGUUACUUAGUGAAAUACAGAGAUCUCUUUUACUUUCUUUUCUCUUCUAUUUUCUAUUUUCUUGCAAGCCAAACACCCUCUGAGGAUGUUUUCCCAGAGGAUGAGAGGCUAAACAUUUAGUUUCUUGGAGUGAAGGAAGCUAGGUGAAAAGUCCAGAUUAAAAGGUGGAAAGUUUCCGUGCAUUGAAUUCAGGUAGUUGGAGUCCAUAAAUGGCUUUUAAAGCCAAGGUUUUUGCCUUAAAUCCCUUAGGAUCACUUUGACUGGCCAAUACAUGGUAAGCUUAAGGUCUCUGUGGAUGCUUAUUGCUAGAUCCAUAUCAGUCCAUUAGUUAUCAUGUACGAGCCAGUGGAAAGUGAUUCAAGGUGAUAGUCCAUAGUGUCUUAAGUCAUUAAUGGACCUUGACUACCAUCUCUAAUGAUUUUUUAUGGAUUAAAACUUCAUUGUCAAACCUAUACCGGUUCGGGAAAUAACUAUAGGUUAAAUCCCCAAUGCGAGGAGAAAAAUCCGGAAUUUUCCACUUUGCAUCUGGAACUUGAACCUAACAACCUUUAUCUCCGAGAGACUUUCUUUCUUCCACUUUUUACUUAGUUCUAUGUGAGUUUAGUUUAAAUCACCACUUUCAAAACAAUUUUAAUUUCUUUUAAAUUUCAAGUUUGUGCUAAAGGAAAUCAUCAGAAUCAAUUUCUAAUUUAGAGUCUAUCAUUGGUAGAGUGAAAACCCAUCCCUGAGUUCGACCCUAGAACUGCUAUACUACAGUAGCUUUGCUACGCCAGUAUAAGGUCAUAGGUUUUAUAAAUGUUUUUGAUUAAAAGAUCCGGCUGGGGAAGUCAAGCUUAAAGAAUCACGCACAUGUCCCACGACGAGUUGAGAAUCACUGUAAAUUCUGAGCUUAGAGACGGAUAGUGCGAGUGCGAGGUCCAAUCCGGACAGAAUGGCUUCGUACUCGGCUUCGUUGUUUGAUGCAUGGAAUCCGAGCCGGAUGACCUGCUCUAAUUGUUUGCCAAUUGUAGAUUGUAGCAAAAGUCCCACUCCGGAUCCUAACUACCGGGACGCUCCGUCGACCCGUAAGGUCCACCAUCCAUCCUUGUCCGAUUUUCCGCCUCGAGCGAGUUGUUGGGGAGAUUCAACCACAAAGUAACCAUGACUUGCCCUUUCAUGGACAACCUAGGUUGAUAUUCAAUCCCAUAAUCGCUCAACUCUAUGGACCAUUGCAGCAUCCUUCCGAAUAGGUCCGGUUUGUGCAGGAUGUUUUGGAAGGGCUGGUCGGUAAGUACGACUACUGGGUGAGCUUGGAAAUAUGGGCAGAGCUUCUGGGCGGUGCUUUGCAAGACUAAGACAGUAUGUUCUAUCUUUGAAUAUAUUGUUUCCGCAUCGGCCAUUGCUCUACUGAUAUAAUAAAUAGGUUUUUACUCUUUACGAGAUGGACAACGAAACAAGGCAGAGCUAAUCGCCCAAUCUGAUACCGCUAAAUACAUGUACGACAGCUCGCCAGGCUGAGAGCUGCUCAUGAUGGGUGGUUGUGUGAGGUAAUGUUUGAUUUUCUCAAAUGCGCUCUGGCAGUUAUCCGUCCAUCUUGUCGCGUCGGCUUUCCUCAACACUAGGAAGAAAUGUUGCAGUUUGUCUGUGAAUUGGGCUAUGAAAUGUCCUAGUGCGACGAGCUUGCUGGUGAGACGCUGCAACUCCUUUUUGUUAUUGGGGGCGGGUGUUUUCAUGACUGCCUUAAUUUGAUCUGGGCUGACUUCUAUUCCUCUUUGGGUGACCAUGAACCCUAGGAAUUUGCCUACACUUAGGCCGAAGGCGUAUUUGGACAGGUUAAGCCUCAUGUCAUACCUCAUCAGCAAGUGGAAGACUUCUUGCAGGUGGUGGGUAUGUUCUUCUCUAGUUUUGCUUUUGACCACUAUGUCAUCAAUGUAUACUUCCACCGUGCGACCGAUCAAGGGCUUGAAGAUCUUUGUCAUCAGUCUUUGGUAGGUGGCGCCAGCGUUUUUGAGUCUAAACAACAUGACUCUAUAGCAAUAAAUUCGAUGUGGCGUUAUAAAGUCAGUUUUUUCCUCGUCCGCUGGGGCCAUAAGGAUCUGAUGGUAGCCGGAUAAGGCAUCUAGAAAAGAGAGCAUCCCAUGUCCGGUAGUGGAGUCCACUAUUUGGUCUAUUAGCGGCAACGAGAAACUAUCUUUAGGGCAUGCAUUGUUGAGGUUGGUGUAAUCAACGCCACCUUCCUUCAUUUUUGGGGACUACCACCACAUUUGCCAACCAUUCUGGGUACUCAACUUACCUGAUGAAUCUGGCAUCCAAUAACUUAUCCACAUCACUCUGAAUGAUCUUUUGUCUAUCCGGGUGAAAUUGCUUGACAUUUUGCUAGACAAGUCUUGAUGAGGGCAAGAUGUUAAGCCGAUGGGAGGCAACCGAUGGGUGGAAUUCAGGAAUAUCAGAGUGGGUCCAUGCGAAAACGUCUUGGUUUUGCUGGAGCGUCUCCUCGAUGCUUCGUGUCUCGUUGGGUUUCAAGAGGGAACUAGCAUAAGUGAGACGAUAUUUUCUUUCUGAGACUUGGAUGGUUUGCAAGGGAUCUGCCAUCGGGGGAUCUUUAUCCGUCGAGUACUAUAAUUGCUAUUGGUCGGGUGCAUUCACUUGCUCUGGGGGCGACUCGCGAUCUUUGCUGGACUUGGCCUCUCAUGCUAAUCUGAUAGCAUUGUCGGGCUGCCAAUUGGCUACCAUAUAAAUCAAUAUGUCCGUCUUCGGUGAGAUAGCUCACCAUUUGAUGGUACGUGGAAGGAAUAGCCUUCACGUAGUGCAACCAGGUGCGCCCCAAAAUGGCGUUGAAGGGGGAUAAAUCUUCCAUCACUGAGAACUGCACAUUGAAGGUGACUAGGCCUACUUGGACUGGUAGCACAGCGUCUCCUAGGGAGGUUGUUGAGGCUCCAUUGAAUUCUGACAAAACCCGCCUCGAGUUCUCUAGGCUGGAGGGCACGAGUCUGAUUUGUUUGACUACUGAUACUUGCAAGAGGUCCGCCGAGCUACCCAGAUCGACCAAAAUUCAUCUUACGUUGAAGUCUCCAAUCCCAAGAGAUAGGAUAAGGGCGUCUCGGUGUGGUUGCAAUAUCCGUAUGGGGUCUACUGGAGGAAAAAUGAUUGUCCCAUCUAUUGGGUGGGCGCUCUUGCUGGUUAAUCCGGGUCGGAUGGAGUUAACACGCUCGCGGACCGAAGCGGCCCGCAGCAGCCUUUGUCUCUUUCGCUUGGAGUCAUACUCCUCAUCUAGAGGCCCACCAUGAAUAUAGUUAAUCACAACCCUAGGGGCGAUCGGAGCUGAGGAGGCUCCGGAGGCUUGACUUCGGGAUGUCUCUCCUCCCUUGGCUCCUAAGCAGAUGUACUGUUUUAGGUGUUUUGCUCUUAUGAGCUUUUCCACUAAGUAAUGGAGACUACUACACUGCUCCGUAGUAUGUCCAUGCUCUUUAUGAUAAGCACAUUUCCUAUUGUGAUUUCUCUUGGUUGGGUCCUCUUUAAGCGGUUCGGGCCACCUAAAGUCGAAUAGCUCACGGAUCAUUGGGAUAAGCUUUUUGUAUGACACGGUAAGGGGUGUAAGCGGGGGUGGAUCUGGCUGACGUUGCUUACCUUGUCUGAGUUGGGUGGCCUUUGCUGGCUCGAAGGUUUGAAGCUUCUUGCCGCGUCGUUCCUGGCCGGCUAUUCGGUAACCAGGAUUUGUUGGGUGGUUGCGCAUACAUCAUCUUCCAACAUUGAGUAUUUGUUCGCGCAUCGGAACAGGUAGUCCAUAGUCGUGGGAGGUUUUUUGGCGAGUGAUUUGAAGAACGGUGUGCCUGGACAUAUGCUCGGCUUAAAAAUUCAUAGGACAGUGUCCAUGCUGUAGGAUUCUACUUGUAGUACAACUUGUCCAAAUCGCUUCACGAACUCCCUCAAGGAUUCACUUUCUUGCAUGUGAAUGUUUUGUAGGGUGCUAAUAUUCUGUUUAUGUCGUGCGGAACACAAGUAUUGUCCCACAAAGGCUUUUGAUAGAUCUCGAAAAUUAUCAACAUAAUUCAUAGGGAGUCAAUGAAACCAUAAGAGGGUCUGGCCUUGGAGGCUAACAGGGAACACCUUGCACAACAGCGCAUCAUUCCCUAUGUCGAAAGUCAUGAGUUGUCGGUAGUGCAUGAUGUGAUCAAAUGGAUCGCUAGACCCGUCAUACGCGAAAAUUUUUGGCACGAGAAACCCUUUUGGGGGCUCGUAAUUGAUAAUAUGAGAGCUAAAAAAGGUGAAGAGCAUGUCGUCCAAUUGCCUAUUAAUGGUGUGGACAUCUUUGCAAAUGUUGUUUCCCACAGACGGCGCCAAUGUUGAUGCGUGGAAGACCUAGAGGUGUUGUAGCUCCUUGAAGUACUCGCCCCCUCAACUGAGAAUGAUGCUUCCUUCCAUUCUCCUACAAAAGAUGUUCGAACAAGUGGUCCGGACACACCCUCCGAAGCUUUUGUUAGUUUGGAGGUCAAGCAUAUUGGUGUUCUUGGGCGUUUCUCAAGAAUGCUUACCUCUUUUUUACUGGGUCGUUGGGGGCCUUUUAUAGUGUCUGAAGCCCCGUCACUUUGAAAAUGGGAAGACUCUUUGACUUUCGCAAUCAUGAUGGUGCUCAGAGGGUGGUAGAGCCAUCAUUAUCCUGGAGGCGGCUGGCAGAGAUUGUUGGGGGGAUGACUUGUCGUCUCACUUGUCUUUUCACUUUGCAGGCGGUGUAGGGCAGGUUGUAGCAGGUCGUCUGAAAAGACCUGGGAAUGUCUUGUCGAGUAUGCUUUUAACGAAAUGAGUAAUGAUUGCCCACAAAAUAUGGUCAGGGAUCCUGUUUGGGACAACAACUACCGGGUCCGGACUGGUCGUCCGAACUGAGGGUAGGACGUGCCACAUGUCUGCUUAGGGGUGGUCCCUACACUUACCUCUCUAAAAAAACUCACCAUUGCUAGCAUAUUUCCACAAGUUUCAAAUGCUCAAAGACUACCGCGUCUUCCUACAACCCUCACCUUUCUUUGCAUUAAAGAUUUCUAUAAUCUGAAAUCUCUGUCCUCUCUGACUCUCCAAACCCUAACCUCACUUGAAGAGUUAUGGAUCUUAUGUUGCCCUAAGCUUCAGUUGUUUUGCCCAAGGGAAGGGCUGCUUGACACUCUUUCACUACUAUAUAUCACAGACUGCCCACUCCUCAAACAAAGGUGCUCAAAGGGGAAAUGACAAGAUUAGCCCAACAUCGCCUAUAUUCCCUAUGUGGAAAUGGAUAAUGAAAAUGUCUUUGAGCAAUAAUAAGAUGAGGGAUUGCAAAACAUAGAAACAAACACCAUUCAACCCUCACCCAUCUUUUAUUUAAAUAAGGUACGCCCAUUUUUUUUUUUUCACUCCUUAAUACCGCAUUCAAUUUCUCAUAUACGUUAUAGCAGUUUUCCCUAUUGAUUACUUGUAAGUUUCUUACUGGAAUUUUUGUUGAAAAUUUGCCUAGGAAGUGACUUUUGAAAUGGCUUGUAGCUUGGUUUUCUCUUCAAUCUGCCAUAAUUCUAGGUAUCACUAUCUCUGCCUCUCCAAUUCUAUUUAUGAAAUCUUGUCCAUAAUCUCCUUGGGGUACUCACUUUUCCUUUUCCUUUGUUCUUUUUAGUUCUUAGUGACCAUUGAAGUUGAAGAGGUGAUAUGUGAUACUUACGACUAUAAAAAGGAUAAGAGAGAAUCCAUUUAUUCCAUUCAAGGACAGGUGAAACAUUUAGCAAUAGCCACUAGUUAGUAAUGUCUUAUUCUGAUUUUUAUUCCAUCAAUUGUACUAUUCAAUUGCAUUUUUAAAUAUAAUAUUCUGAUUUCCAGAAUAGUGUUCAGGCUGACAUACAGAGGAGGCUAUACUAGAAGCAAAUGUAGUUUAUUAAUAUUCAAUUGUUGUGGUAAUUAGAUGGCUUUAUCAAUUCCUUUGUGCAGCCAUGAUUUUUUUAGUUCAACUUAUUAGAUAUCAUCAUAACUACUAUACAGUGUUUUGUCAUCUUGUAAUCAAAUUUUUACAUUUAUGAUGCAGGUUCUCAAAGAGGAUGGAACUCCGAUUAUUAUAUCAAAGACUUCAAAGUAUGGAUGAAUGCAGCUAGUUCCGGUUAUCCCAUGCUGCUCUUUUUUUAUUUAUUGUUUUUGAGUGUCAACAUAGGACAAAGAAUAACCCAGCAAGACUGUAGUGAGUGACCGUCAUCUAUAUAUUUUGUUUAUUCGUUUUUCUAUUUUAAUGACUAAUUUUCUUGAAUUUUCUUCUUGUCCACUGGAUGUUCAUUCCCAACAUGCAGUUCUUCCUCUUUCUCUCCUUAAUACCACUUUUUAUUUCCCAUACACAUGUUAUUUCAAUUUGUUGCCAUUUAGCUUGGCUACCUCUUAACAGUAAUAAUAAGUCUUACAAUUUUUAUGUACCAAAUUGUUUACAUUGAUGAUUGAUUUGUGCCCAGUUGGUGUACCUUGAUUUCGGUCCUCAGAUGGGAGUAAUCAACAAAAUUUAUAACCUAUUACACCAUGUACUAGGAUAGCCUCAGCUAGCAUAGCAUAGUGGCUCUAGGAUCGUUCACUGGGAUGGGUUUUCACUUUACAAUUGAUAUUAGUUCAAAGCUGAGUUGGUGCUUUUUCAUUUCAAGGUUAGCUCUAAACGAAAACAUAAAGAUGUUUGAAAAGGUUGGUUUUUAAGUGAAACAAAAAAUAAAGUAACGGAAAUUACUUACUAAGAAAAGCGUUUCUUGGAGUUUUAGGAUCACUAGGGUCAGGCUCCUCAUGUAAAAACAGAGUUCCGGUCACUUGAGUCUUUUCCUCGCGUUGGGGAUUUAACAUAUAGUUAUUUCCCGAACCGGUGUGGUACAGAUGCUUCCCUUUAAUGGGUUCAAACACUAAAUCCCUCUCACUGAUGCAUCUUGCAAUGGUUCAUACCUCUCACCUAGCAUUGGCCAUUCAAGAUGAUCCUUAACCUUGGAUUACCCGUCAAAAGCUCGCAAGAGAUAACUAAUGGAUGUCUCCUUGGAGUCCAAAAGCUUACCAAGUGUUGGCUAUCCUAGAAAAUCCUACCUUUAAACCACCUCCCAAAGGCUCGCAAGAGGUAAACUAGUGCAUCUCAAUGGACGGAGAUCACUUGCCUUACCAAGUGUUGGCCCAGGUGAUUUCAAGGUGUUUUAAGUUAACUAAAAAGAUAAAAACCAUUAACAGGUUACACUUUCUCUUCAUUAGUAGCUGAAACAACAAAACUCUCAAUUCUUGCAUUCGGCACCUUACCCAGCUACCUUAGCUCCAAGAGACGAAAAGUCUAGCCACCCAUGCUCUGAGGAAACAUCCUCAGAGUUUGAUUUGCUAGAAAUAAAAAUAACAAGAAAACAAAAAUAUGAAGUAAAAGCAGAGCAAGUGCUCUGUAGAAUAUAUAUCUUACUAUCAUCGAUUACAUAUCUGAUAUAUAUCAUCGAUUCUUUACAUUGGUUCAAAGAUAUAUAUAGAGAAGAUAUUUUCUAAGAAAUAUCCCAAUAAUAUCUUUGACUGAUUACAAGGAGAAAAUAGAAAUUUACACAAAAUAUCUUGAGAAAAAAUCUAACUUAGUCGGUGGCAAAUAUCUGAGUUUACACAGGUGGAUUUCGCAAGUUUGAAUUGUCCAUUUUGCAAGUUUGAACUUUGAUUUUGCAAGUUAGAAUUUGUGAUUUCACAACUUGGAGGUGAUUCCGCAACUUGGAGAUGAUUUGCAACUUGUUUCGCAGCUUGGAGGUGAUUUCGCAACGUGGUUCGCAGCUGCGAAGAUGGAGUUUCAACUUGUGAAGUGGCACACGUGUGCUAGGAGGUGGUUUCGCAGCUGCGAAACACCUUGCGAAAUUUCGCAAGUGGAUUUCAUUUCGCAGUUGCGAAAUGGGCUUUGGGCUGCGAAAUUUUCGCACAACUUGAUGCAGUUGUCUUCAAAUGGCCAUAACUUCUUCGUUUCAACUCCAAUUUGUGUACCGUUUGAAGCGUUGGACUUCUGACUUCCCAAGAUUCGAAACGACAUAUAGUAUACAUGAAAUGGACUCCAGAAAGUACUCGAAAUGUGUCCAACAGUUGCUAUCCUCUUGAAUUUCUUCAUGUUAGAUUUCUCUCCUUUUCCUCCUUGCAUUCUAGAUUUCUCUCCAAAGCUUGAAUUAUUCAUGUAAAUGAGCUUCCAUUUGCUUUUCCAUGGAUUAUAUAAAGCUCUCCCUCAUCUUAGAUUGCUUUGGUGAUCAAAAAGCUAUCAAAAACACCAAAACUUAACACAAUUUGAUUAGAAAUGAUUGGAAGGGUCCUUAACAUGCCAAUUGAGUUAAAAGGUAAUAACUACUACUCAAAAGUGUUUAAAAGAGUUAAUUACAAGCUAUAAAAUAGCACUUUUUGAGUAGUAAUCAAUGAUGCAGGUGUCAAAAUGAUGGGUUCAAAGUAUCAUAGGAGGUACAUGUGGUCUUUUUAUUGUGCUGACUGAUUGGAAUUUUCCUCCUACAUCAAAGGCUCAUUGGCACUUUAUUACCAUUUUUUUAGUAAGCCAAAAAGAGAAUAAAAUAAAAUCUACCAAAAUUGUGGUCCAUGACUUUCAUUUAUAUAGUUGAUUCUACAUAUUAUUGUGUUCUAAGGAGUAUCUUUGUAAAAUUUUCUUCCUUUUAUGACUUAUGAUAGAUUCUACAGUGCUUUAUAAAGGUCCUCUGAAUCAAGAUUUCAUCUGCAUCUUUAAUAAAUAAGAACCUAUUUUCUUCCCCUCCUGGGGAAGUUGCUCAUAACACUAUAUGAUCUUUAUAUAUCCUUUGAAAGUUGAGAACCAUCCAAUGCAUGAAACUUGUCUUUCACAAGAAACCAAGUGGUCUUUUCUUUGUGAUUGUGAUAGCCCAAAACUACCCAAUGGAAUUAUGACAUAGCAACAACAGCAACUUGUAUUUGUUCUAAUAUAUCCAACUUGUUUCCAAAAUGUGAGCUACUAUCAUAUUUACAUAUGCCUAGUAGUACAGAUUUGAGCAAAAAACAAAAUGGUUUUGCGUCCAAUUUCUAAAGUUUUUAAUUUGAUGAAACCAUAUCUCUUCUUUUGGAGUUUGUAGGUUUUAAAGGUGCAUGUCCUAGGUGCCAGAGUGUAAGUAUUUUUCUUCUUAUUGAAGGGAAUUUAGGUUUUACAUUUAGAGGCUCCAAGUCUAUAGUGAUUGUGGCAAAUGCCUGUUGCACUUGUUAUUUUUGUUUCUAUUGUUGAUGUUGAGGGUGUAGAAAGGAGAUAAACAAAGCUGAAUUGGUGCCUUUUCAUUUCAAGGUUAGCUUUAAAAAAAAACAUAAAGAUGUUUGAAUGAAAAAGGUUUGGUUUUAAACUAACCAAAAAUAGUAACUGAUUUUACUUACAAAGAAAAGUGUUUCUUGGAGUUUCAGAUCACUAGGCUCAGAUUCCUCAUACAAAAAGGAAAGUUCUAGUCACUUGUUUCUUUUCCUUGCAUUGGGGAUUUAACAUAUAGUUAUUUCCCGAACCGGUGUGGUACAGAUGCUUCCCAUUAAUGGGUUCAAACACUAAAUCCCUCUCACUGAUACAUCUUGCAAUGGCUCAUACCUCUCACCUAGCACUUGCCAUUCAAGGUGAUCUUUAACCUUGGAUUUCCCGUCAAAAGCUCGCAAGAGAUAACUAAUGGAUGUCUCCUUAGAGUCCAAAAGCUUACCAAGUGUUGGCUAUUCUAGAAAAUCCUACCUUCAAACCACUUCCCAAAGGCUCGCAAGAGAUAAACUAGUGUAUCUCAAUGGAUGGAGACCACUUGCCUUAUCAAGUGUUGGCCCAGGUGAUUUAAAGGCAUUUUAAGUUAACUAAAAAGAUAAAAACCAUUAACGGGUCACACUUUCUCUUCAUUAAAAACUAAAACAACAAAACUUUCAAUUUAUGCAUGUGGAAACUUACCCAGCUUUCCUCACUCCAAGAGACGAAGAGCUUAGCCUCUCAUCCUCUGAGGAAAAAUCCUCAAAGUUUGAUUGGCUAGAAAUAAAAAAAACGAGAAAACAAAAAUAUAUAUGAAAAGCAGAGCAAGUGCUCUAUAUUUUACUUCCUUGCAAAACUGUACAAGGGAUAAAUCUCUGAGAACAAGCUCCCGAGAUAUUCUAUAUUAUGAUCGAUUAUAUGAUCGAUAUAUGUUUGAUAUCUUUUGUAAAGGAAAUUACAAACUAUAUAUAAGGGUUUAUUCACCCUUUUUCCAAACUUAAUAACUAAGGAAUCCUAUAAUUGGUGGGUUACAAGGAGACUUUGGGGAUUUAGACAUAAAAUAUCUAAAGCAAAAUAUCUCAAGAUGUCGGUCGCAAAUAUUGGGAAGCUUCAGGAGAACACCGCGACACUGUGCAAAAUAUCUCAAGAUGUCGGUCGCACAUAUCGGGAAACUUUAGGAGAACACUGCGGCACUGUGCAAAAUGGCUGCGAAACUCUCCAAGUAGGCGUUAUCAGAUGAUCCGGAUAUGUCCGUUCGAGGAAGUUGAAACGCCUUCUUCUCCCAUCCGACGUCAGGCACCGGAUAUGAAAUAUCCGGAUGGAAUGUCGGCGGAGCAGAAUUCUGGAUGUGAGACAUCCGGGUGGAAUGUCGGCCGGACAUAAUGUGGUUGUGAUACAUCCGGAUAAGGUAGAACGUUGGCCGGGCAGAUUUCGGAUGUAAGACAUCCGGGUGGAAUGUCGGCGGAGCAACUCCAUCUGGAUUCUCUAAGAGGAUAUGUGGCGUGCUCCCCUAUCCGGACUCCCUCAGGGAGAAGCACACGCCACUCGCGAUCAUCACACCCCGGACGAUAGCAUAUCCUAUCCAGAUAUGUUGUCCGGAUGCCUCCGAUGGUGUGUCCGGACGCCCUGUCCGGACAUCUUUGCCAUGGAUUCCAAAGAACUCUCCUCAAUCUCGGAUUGCUUUGGUGAUCAAAAAGCUAUCAAAACACCAAAACUUAACACAAUUUGAUUAGAAUUGAUUGCAAGGGUCCUUAAUAUGUUAAUUGGGUUAAAAGGUGAUAACUACUACUCAAAAGUGUUUAAAAGAGUUAAUUACAAGCUAUCAAAUAGCACUUUUUGAGUAUUAAUCACUCCCCCCAACCGAGAUAUUGCUAGUCCCUUAACAAUGAAGGAGAGAAAAAUAAAAAUAAAAAGUAGUAUAAUUUACAACAUCAUGCUGAUCAAAAAACAAUUUCCAAGUGGCAUGAUGAUCUAACUUUCACAAGGAACAUUAAAGAAAUAAAACUCAAACUUCAACAAGAGUUAUCAAAUAACUUGUCUAAUCACAAUUCUUAAAGAGAAGGCAUUAUGCAAAUUUAAGCUUUAAAAGAGUUUCCACUCCCAAAGGGUCAAACCUUACUCUUCCACAAAAAUCUAAGUGUUACUUAUUAGUUUCCGAAUAUAGUAUGUUGAACUAAUCUCUUCCCCCAACCUAGUUCUUUUUCAAAGCUGAUCAACCUCCAAUAGGCUAAGAACGCACCUUUUUUUUCACAAUUUUUUUUUUCUUUGUAGGAGUAUAAGGCUUAAAGGUAUUCUUUUCUAAAUUGUCCAUGUAACGGGGAUCCAUCAAUGACUCCCAACCAAUUAAGGUUUAGGGCAUCAAGUUUUAAGGAUUUUUCAACCACUAACUCCUCAGAUUUUACCCCGGACUUUUGAGAAUGAAUUUUAAUACCCAAGCACCUACAGUAUGUUAAACUCCACCUAUUCACCCUUGUAACGAGCAUUGAGGUCGGUGACUCCCAACCAAUGAAGGCUUAGGGCACCAGGUUUUAAAGAUUUUCAUCAUAUACCCCUCAGACCUUGCUCGGGUUUCAAGGCAAGCAAACAUUUUUUCUUUCUUUCUUUCUUUUUUUUUUUUUUCAAAGACUCAUUGGCUUGUUAUAAGGUGUCCCAACACUAUUAAAUGAAGUCAAAGGUACCAAAUCUAAAAUUUUCCUAAGUCAAGAGGGAAAUAGUUUUUCAUCUUAUACUCGGAACCUAGUGUGCACAGUGUGUGAAUAGCUUAAAAUGGAAGAACUGAGGUUGAAUUCAAUAGAAGUUUCAACAAUUCAUCAACUUUAAUAAGCAUAAUACAAACUCUAAGUCAAGUAAAAAGACAAAAAUUCAAUUUCUCCCUUUUCAUUUUGAAAAUUUUUCCUUAAUAACCAUGGAGAGUAGAAUAAAAAAAAACUUUAAAAAUUUUAAAAUUAAGCAAAAAGCAACUAAAUUACCAAAAUAACUUAGCAUUAAUAACAAAACUUCCUUCCUCAACUCUUUCUCCCUCCAACCAAGCUGAACAUUGUCCUCAAUGUGACAAAAGCGAUUGAAAAAUAGGGAGGAUGUGGUACCUCCUGAGUGACAUGGAGUCUGAGUCAUAUAGGAGAAACCACAUGUUUCAAAGAAAACAUAUGAGUUAGUGAGUAGAGGAAAUAAUAAAAUUCCAAGUUUAAACAAAAAAUGAUGUCUAUAUAUGAUGCAUCAUCAGUAAUACAUCCAAUCCCAGAAUAUAAGACAUCAAAACAUGGAAUUAUCUAUACUAAUAUAAUAUGUAAAGACAAAAAAUAAAGAGAUGAUCAAGUAAUGGUAAGGUCCUGUGGAGCUGAUGUAUCUGUGGUGGCCUCUUGAGUGGGUUGGAUCAGGACUUUGGCCUCUAUUUUGAUAGUCUCCUUAAAUGGAAUAGUCUUCUCAACUGGAGCUCUCAGCUGGAGCUAUGGGCUUUGAUGGUUUUAGGAGGUAAGAAAUGGAGUGAGAGGCUUGGUGUGUGUGAUCCUAGGGUGCGCGGGGCUCUCUCCUUGCUUUUUGAGCUCCUCUUGAUUUUGAUCAUCCAAAAACCUAUAUUACAUCAAAACAAAUUAGAAUUAAAGUAUUGAAAUCAAAAUUAAAGCAUUGAAAUCAAAAUUUAAAACAAGUAAAAAAAAUAAAACAAAAAGGUAUGGACUAGCUAGUCUUUAAAAAGACUAAGUCUAUCAAAAAAUUGGAUCCUGAUUUAGCUUGCCCGGAUCCCAUAUGAAGUUUGCAUCCCUCACUUGAGAUUUGGUUUGUAUGAUUUUCCCAUACAAAGCUUGGGGGAAAAGCGGAUGCAUGUGUUUCUUCAUCGUUUCUUCCUUGAUGACUAUCCUCUGUGGUUCUUCAUCUAUAUAGUCAUCUUUCUCUAUACUUUUCCCCUUUCUCUUUCCUUUGAUUUCCUCCCUCUUUUCUUUCUCUGUUUCACUCUCUUCCUUAUGCUCUAGCUUGCAUGUGGGCAGAUCAACCUCUUUAAACUUCAGCCACAUAACUCAUGAAGUUCAUGGCUUCCUCUGCUAUCUCGUAUUCAAUAUGGCAUGCACAACUAGCAAUUUGUGAAUUAAAAACAGAGAAAACAAAAGAAAAAAAAAGAAAAAAAAUCCAAAGAAAAAAGAAAAUUAUUAAGACUAACUAAAAAUUAAAUAAAAACUAUACUAAAAUAUGAACAAAGAAAGAUAAACAAAUAAAAAGAGUUAGUAAAAGAAAAGAAAAGUCACCAAACUUGUGAUGAAGAUCACAAGUACUCCGAAAAGGUCAUAUCACUGUAAAGUGGCACCAUCCCUGGCAACGGCGCCAUUUGAUUCGUUCCCAAUUGGUGUCUCAACUGAUUCAUGUCCUCUCAAUGGUCCCUCACAGUGGUACCAUUUGAUUCGUGUCCAGCUGGUGUCCCUUGAUUGUGGUCCUCAGAAAGGAGUAAUCAACAAAAUUUAUAACCUAUUACACCAUGUACUAGGGUAGCAAAGACAAAGCUACUAUAACAUAGUGGCUCUAGGAUCGUUCACUGGGAUGGGUUUUCACUUCGCAAUUGAUAUUAAUUCAAAGCUGAAUUGGUGCCUUUUCAUUUCAAAGUUAGUUUUAAAAGAAAACAUAAAGAUGUUUGAAUGAAAAAGGUUUGGUUUUAAACUAACCAAAAAUAGUAACUGAUUUUACUUACAAAGAAAAGUGUUUCUUGGAGUUUCAGAUCACUAGGCUCAGAUUCCUCAUACAAAAAGGAAAGUUCCGGUCACUUGUUUCUUUUCCUCGCAUUGGGGAUUUAACAUAUAGUUAUUUCCCGAACCGGUGUGGUACAGAUGCUUCCCAUUAAUGGGUUCAAACACUAAAUCCCUCUCACUGAUACAUCUUGCAAUGGCUCAUACCUCUCACCUAGCACUUGCCAUUCAAGGUGAUCUUUAACCUUGGAUUUCCCGUCAAAAGCUCGCAAGAGAUAACUAAUGGAUGUCUCCUUAGAGUCCAAAAGCUUACCAAGUGUUGGCUAUUCUAGAAAAUCCUACCUUCAAACCACUUCCUAAAGGCUCGCAAGAGAUAAACUAGUGUAUCUCAAUGGAUGGAGACCACUUGCCUUAUCAAGUGUUGGCCUAGGUGAUUUAAAGGCGUUUUAAGUUAACUAAAAAGAUAAAAACCAUUAACGGGUCACACUUUCUCUUCAUUAAAAACUAAAACAACAAAACUUUCAAUUUAUGCAUGUGGAAACUUACCCAGCUUUCCUCACUCCAAGAGACGAAGAGCCUAGCCUCUCAUCCUCUGAGGAAAAAUCCUCAGAGUUUGAUUGGCUAGAAAUAAAAAGAACGAGAAAACAAAAAUAUAUAUGAAAAGCAGAACAAGUGCUCUAUAUUUUACUUCCUUGCAAAACUGUACAAAGGAUAGAUCUCUGAGAACAAGCGCCCGAGAUAUUCUAUAUUAUGAUCGAUAUAUGAUCGAUAUAUGUUCGAUAUCUUUUGUAAAGGAAAUUACAAACUAUAUAUAAGGGUUUAUUCACCAUUUUUCCAAACUUAAUAACUAAGGAAUCCUAUAAUUGGUGGGUUACAAGGAGACUUUGGGGAUUUAGACAUAAAAUAUCUAAAGCAAAAUAUCUCAAGAUGUCGGUCGCAAAUAUCGGGAAGCUUCAGGAGAAUACCGCGGUACUGUGCAAAAUAUCUCAAGAUGUCGGUCGCACAUAUCGGGAAGCUUCAGGAGAACACCGCGGCACUGUGCAAAAUGGUUGCGAAACUCUCCGGGUAGGCGCUAUCAGAUGAUCCAGAUAUGUCCGUCCAGGGAAGUUGAAACGCCUUCUUCUCCCAUCCGGCUUCAGGCGCCGGAUAUGAAAUAUCCGGAUGGAAUGUCGGCGGAGCAGAAUUCCGGAUGUGAGACAUCCAGGUGGAAUGUCGGCGGAGCAGAAUUCUGGAUGUGAGACAUCCGGGUGGAAUGUCGGCUGGACAGAAUGGCGGCUGUGAUACAUCCGGAUAAGGUAGAACGUUGGUCGGGCAGAUUCCGGAUGUGAGACAUCUAGGUGGAAUGUCGGUGGAGCAACUCCAUCCGGAUUCUCUAAGAGGAUAUGUGGCGCGCUCCCCUAUCCGGACUCCCUCAGGGAGAAGCACACGACACUUGCGAUCAUCACACCCCGGAUGAUAGCAUAUCCUAUUCGGAUAUGUUGUCCGGAUGCCUCCGAUGGUGUGUCCGGACGCCUUGUCCGGACAUCUUUGCCAUGGAUUCCAAAGAACUCUCCUCAAUCUCGGAUUGCUUUGGUUAUCAAAAAGCUAUCAAAACACCAAAACUUAACACAAUUUGAUUAGAAUUGAUUGCAAGGGUCCUUAAUAUGUUAAUUGGGUUAAAAGGUGAUAACUACUACUCAAAAGUGUUUAAAAGAGUUAAUUACAAGCUAUCAAAUAACACUUUUUGAGUAGUAAUCAUAAGUACAGCUAGUUUGUGAACAGCCAAUCAUUGCACUAUAAAAAUUGGAUAGGUUCGAUCUAUGAUCAUUGGGGCCUCCUAAAAAGAUCUACUAAAUUCAUCGAGUGUUCCAAAUGAUCAAAACGACCGGUUAUUAAUGGAAUUCCUUGUUGGCUCUCUAUAAAAUACUCGUUUGGCUAAGGACUUCCAAACACAUCAUAAGCUAAACUCAUGCUGACGAAUAACCAACCCGCAAUGAAUAGGGAAGGUAUAGUAAUGCUAUGAAUGACCUAGUAUCUAAUAUUGGUAAUAAUAUCAGCAAAAGAACGUUCUCCUGUGCUUCCAAACAUGCCAAGCUCCACAUAUUCUUGUACAUUCAAAAGACGAUCGAUUUCAUAAAAGAUGAGAUCAAUAAAUAGAAAUUCACUGAAAAUGGAUGUUUGUGAGAUCGUCAAUAUUGUAUUGAGGGUGUCUUUAGAGUAUACUAAAUCAGUAUAGCUAUCCUUCUACCAUAGCAACGCAAUUUCAAAAACUACAACAUUUGAAUAGCUUGUAUUCAGGUGGACAAGAACUAUAGCACUUCUCUCAGAAACAUGUAUGUUCUUUCUUCAACUCUUACUCUAUUGCAUGAAGUUGCAAUACCUGCCAUGACUAGUCAUCUCUUAUUUAUUCUAACGGAGAAAUAGGUUUUGGUGUAUGCAGAGACAACAUACAAUUGUCGUACCUCUUGAUUUUUAAUCAUGGCAAGCAUCUGGAAUUGUCAAGCUGAUUUAUGGUUAACCUUGCAAGGACAUCUAGUGCAAGAGAUUCAGAAUUAUACCUACCUAAUCCAUCUCCAUUUCUUUAGAACAACUAGAUACUAUGACCGAAAUCUCACGUAAGGUGUCAGGUUCAUGUUGGGGCUCAUUCACGAGAUUAAAAUGAAUAUAGCAAGGGAUGUUCUUGAUCUACCACCACCCAUGUUGUCAAGUUGUUCAAUGCUCUCGUGUUGACCAUGGCCAUAGUCACAGUUGUGUGUCCUUUCCCGAAAGAAAAAGUCAUUUUGAAACUUUUGUCAACAACAGAACUUUCAUGUAUCUACUUUCAGGUACCCACAAAAAAUUGAGUCCAGCUUAGCAUCCAAUAAAGAAAAAGUAAUAAUCUGAACAAUGGAACAAGUGCUUUCCUUACUCUUUUUCGGUAGGAACCUAGUUUAUUUCCAAUAAAUUGAAGAAAAAACUAAUUCCAAACAUGGAAGCCAGAUACUUAAUUUCUGUUUAACUAGUGGAACAAUUCGAAUGUAUUUACAGCUUUAGCAUUUGAGAAGUUUAACAAAAUCACUAAUUAACCCCCAAACCUCCACCCACCACAGAGAUAUGUUACAAAGAUUCCUCUACUCUGCAUUGUAACAAAGUGUAAGGGGUUUUGUCCAUUCUUCAUCAUCAAAUGAAACAACCCUUUUCAAUAAAAGAAUAAGAGAAAUUGAGAGUUAAGACCAUUUUCUUUCAUUGUACUCUCUAUUCCUCUGUUUCUUCCUCUCUUAGUCAAGCCAAACAGUCUGUGGUUUCUCCGUUUCUUCUUCACUCCACAUCAAAAAGUAGCAUCUUGGGUUCUCCCAUCUCUUUAUCCCCUUAUGAAGACACAUAAUUUAAUGUAUUGUUGUCUUGGAUUCCUCCUAGUUAAAAGGAAGCUUGAAAUAUCUCCACUGCUUCUAUGUUUCUUUGAGUCAAGGGAAAGAGUCUUGCUUCUCUUUGUUUAUUUGAGAUGCUAGAAGAGGUUUGUAUAGAACUAAUGUGAUGUCAGAGAGGUAGGUAGUAUCUGAAUUCCCUCUAGUCAUGCAAAGUAGCCUUAGAGAUUUUUGGAGGCUUGGGUAUUAUAGUAUAUUAAGAUAUUCAAAAUGCAUUAUUGCACAUCUUCUUAACUUCCGGAAACUGAACUUGUUUUUCACAAUCAUAAAUAUGGAGGUAUUUAAUUAUGGCAGGUGAUAUACCUCUCAGAAAUUGAUGUGAAAAUGUGGAGACUAAGGGAUGUGCACUUAGUUUUGCGAAUCAAACAACCCUCAUUUAGUAUAAACCACAAAUUUUGGCAACUCGUGAUCCACAAUUUAGAGCAUGGGAGGAAGCAGGCCUGUUGGAAAGAUAGGAGGAGACAAAAACAUGCGAGAAUUCCAUGGAUGAGUUGCUCUUAUGAAUUAUUCAGAAUCCAUGAGAAAAUUCAAAGCUUUUUCUUUUUUCUUUUUUUUUUCCUUUUUUUUCCUUUACAUAGUUAAUCAUCUUGUUUGAUGUUUGCCCUAUAGUUGGUAGGCUUCCUUUGAGUGGAAGCAAGGACUCUACACUAAAGGUAAAUUGUGGGAACUAUGUCUUUUUGUGGUAUUGAUGGGGUUAUCAUAUAGUUGAUUGAUUCUAUUGCUUCCUUAUAACUUUUCAAGGCUCUAAAAAAAAAAAAGAACAAAGGUAGACCUAGGAAAAAUAUUCUUCCUAAUUUCAGUUACUCUUUUUAUAUGAACUCUUUAUUUUGGUAAAUUACAGUUAGAGAUGGUCAUAUAGUUGAACUAGGUUUGCUUCCUCUCCUUUCCCCUUGAGGAAAAAUUGUAUCAUUGCUUAGUUUUGACAACUCUGUUUCUUUUGAUCAUUGUGGAAUAGCAUCACUAUAAGAUGUACAAGAAACGUGUUGUGGUGCAUUAUUCCUUUCUCUACCACCCAAAAUCUUCUUUCCACAAUCAUAAAUAUCGAAGUGUUUAAGCAUUAGGUAAGACAUCUCUUGAUAAUGAUGUGAGAGAUAUAGACAAGUAAUGUUACUAAAUAACAAGAAUAUGUAUAAAAAAAAAAAAACAGAAUAAGAAUACACAUAUUUAUGUGAAAAACCUUAGACGGGAAUCACCAUGAGUAGAGGAGAAGAAAAUUCACUAUAUUAAAAAAUUGAUACAAAAGAGGAGAGAUGCGAGCGACUACUUUAUAAGCAUAGACAUCAUAGCCCUAAUCUUAUACAUAAUUGCAAAUAUAUAUGUGUGUGUGUGUGGGGGGGGGGGGGGGGGAAGGGGAGAGAGAGAGAGAGAGAGAGGAAAGUAAUAAACAUCAUAACCCUAAAUCCUAUUGGCCCAAUCCCUCCGCUACCACCACAGACUCUCCAAAAAUCUCACAUAUUUUUCUUCACCACAUAUGUCGCAUCACGGGCUUUUUGGGUAAGACUAAAUAGAAUUCGAGUUACCAAACUCUAACAAACAACAUAUCAGUAUUCACAAAAAGUGAUGUUCUACUUUUUCACUUUACAACAUUCAUUUAGUUUGAACGCCAGAUUCAGGCAACUCAAAAUCUCUGCCUUCAUUAGGAUUGUAGGAAGUUGGCUUCUUGGAAAGACAUGAAAAUGGGGCAUUUAGAAAUAUAGAAGAAUCCCAAAGGCCAGUUGCUAUUUUUGAAUCAUUCCAAUCAAUAACAACUCCAAAGAUAUAUACAAAUUUGUCCCUGGGAAAGAGAUGUUUCCUGGGCAUGUAACCAUCUCUUUAAUAGACUCAGGUUUAUGCACCCUCUUGGUGAUUUCUUAUAUAUUGUAGUGAACCUGUCACACGUCAAACCCACUACAAGGGCAUUACAGUCAUUUCACACCUCAAGCCUAAAGGUUCAAAGUGGAAACAAUACAAACAUUCGUAUUGUAACUAGAAAUUUUCCAAUUACCAAAUUCCUCUUUAGAGUAGUAGGACAAAAUUCUAAAAUCUCUAAGUAUCAACUUAAAAAAAAAAAAAAAAAGCCUAAUAGAUCAACCAAAGUGUUAUUGUCCAAAUAACUCCAAACUCAAAAUAAUUUAAAUGAGAAUUAAAUUUUAACAUUUAAACAAUGUCUAAAAUAAAAAAGAGUUUAAACAAAUAUCCUAUUAAAGCCAAAUUUCCCUCCUAAUGAUCACUCAUCGCUUGAACUGAGGUUACAUGAAAGAUUAUCAACAAAGGGGGAUGAGCUUAAAGCCUAACAAGAAAUAUUAAUACAGUUUCAUGAAUCAAACAUUUUCAAUCAUCCUUACAAAUAGAAGAUAUAACAUAUACUUAUUUUCAUAAAAAACUUUUGAGUUCAAAAUGCUAAUACAUUCAAACUUUUCAACAAAACCUUCUCAUAUUCAUUUCAAAACCAAAUCAAAUACAUUCAAAAUAUCUUUACUCAGGUUAUCAAAUGACAAAUGAUGCCCAAUUAGGCGGGACUUCACAAUUGAGCAACUAGUUUCAAAUUUAUUCCAUUUAAGGUGAACAAAACCAAAUGUCAACAAUUAUAACUUGUUGACUAGGGUCAUAUAAUCCAAAGUCAAACACUUUAUUUCAUUAAUUCAAACUUACAAAACAAAACAUCGUAUCUCCUCAAUUUUUCUUUUUUCAUAAACAAAGAAAAUGCUCAAAUAUACUUUUCAUACAAAACAUAUAUUUGAUCCAUGCGUAAAGAUAAAAAUAAUAUUUUUACACAUUUCAAAAUAUAAUAUAAAAAUAAAAUUAUUUUCUUUUACAAAAAUCUGCAUUAAUUUCCCUUACCUCAAAGAAGUACUCAAAAACCUUGAAGUAUUUAACCCCGAAGAAUUUCGUCUCAAAGAACUUAUUUCAAACCUAACAAAAAAAAAAAAAGACAACUAUUACUAUUAACUAUUUAUCUAAAUUUAUGGGUUUGAGAACCCUAAUAAUUUUCUAUAUUAUGUCACCUAUUAUUUUUAGUAGGAAUUUUCUUAACUAAGUCGACAUACUUUUUACAAGCUCUUCUUAAGCUUUGAGUGGUUCAUAGUUUUUCUUAUGUUUAGUUUUACAUCAUUUUGGUGAAAAGUGCAAGAGAAAGAACCAUAUAAAACCACAACUCACUUUUGGAUGCUGAAUCUACAAAAUAUAAAUUGAAAAAAAAUAAUAUAUUAGGAUAAAUAAUAAUUUAGAAAACAACUCCACAAAUGAAAUAUCAAGUAAAUGCAAAUUUAAUAUUUUAAAAGCUUAAUAAACUCAAUUAAAGAUAUAACCACAUGAUAUACAAACUUAGGGAAACUUAUGACUACCACUAAUUUCAGAUGUCUAAAAUUUAUAUAUAUCCUAGACAACAUUUUGAUAUGUAAACUAAUACGUAAAUUUUUUAAAUUUUAAAAAGAAAAUUUGGCAGCCAAGCUAGAAAUUUAGCACGUUCCACUAAUAUAAAGAAAAAUAAAUUAACUAGAUGCCUUGAUGCAUUGCUCUACCACACUAAUUAAUAGGAUUUAGAUACUACAUAUUCAAUGUUGUCUAAAAAGUCAACAUAAAUAAUAUAAGAGGGAAUUAUUUGAGCUAAUUUUCUCAAGAAAAUAAUUACUUUGGUGAUAGCUACAUAUUAGCUUAUUUUUAUGAUAUGAUGUAUCAAUUAAUAAUUGUCUUCAUUGACCAAGAUAUUGAGCACGAUUUCAAUGUAUUGGUCGAUAUUAUCCAUGUUUAUUUUAUUGAAUGUCAAUUCAAUACCUUAUAAACUAAACAACCAAACAAUUAAUAAGUGUAAAAAGAAUUGAUAUUGGGAAAUCCAAGCCUAGGAAGUUUAAGGGGAAGUGAAGUAAAAUAGCCUUGACAAAGAAAAAAAUUCAAAGAAAUUGGUAUAAUAUUGCCAUGUCCCUCGACUUGGAUUUUCAAGACCUAGAAACAUGGUUAGCUCCUGUAAAAAUUUUCAUUUCCAUGCUCUUUUAUCACACUUUCCCUUCGAUGUGACUAUUUCAAUAUCCUUUAUUUUUUAAAAAUAUUUUUACUCAAUAAGUGAAAAGAAUGGGAUAUUGUCUAUUUUACUUUGCUUAGUUCAAUGUUCAUUCCCAAGAAGUGCUUAUUCUUUAUACUCAAUAUCCUCACUAUGAAUUAGUUCUACUCCAGAAAUUACUUACUGGUUGUAAUAUUUCAGGUGCGCUUCUACCCAUCACUUUUAGCAAAUGUGAUUUUCUAGAGUAAUGAGCUUAAAAGCCUACUACAUCAUUCAAGAAGAAUACCCAAACAAACCAACAUAGUCAUAAGGCACCAUAACAUGACAUACAGUAAUUAGCUUUAUAUUAGUAACUUUUGCAUAGUUAACCUAAAAUAUAUUGCUCAUGUCAUGCUUGAUAUAAGGAGAGCAACUGGACUUUAUGAAUUAGCCAUCAAUUCCAAUUCAAUAGUAAGUUGAGGGAAUGCAUCCCUUCUGGCAGUGAUUUCAAUUGGGGGCAUUCAAAAAUCUAGUCUUUCCCUAAUAUCCUUCAUUCUAUGAUUCAUCCAGACCUAAAAAGCACCCAGCAUGUCUGUCUUUCUCCACAAGUCCUCCGUUGCUAAGUCAUCAACAUGCUAUAAAACAUCUUUAAGCUUAUGUACCCAAGUUGUUACUGUUGCUCCUCUUCGGCAUCAGCAAGUACAAAUUUGAAGGAGGACAGUGUGUCCUUAUGCUUCAUGAACUCAUCUUGAACCAUACAUCUCUACAAAAACAAAAUACCCUAACUUCAUCAAAAGAUUGUCAAUAAUAUCACUGAAUGAAAUUUGUUCAGCCAUCUUUCAAAGGUCUAAGGGAAAAUGAAAGCAGUUUUAGCAACAGAAAAAAUGAGAAAAGCCAAGUAAGGACUAAAGGGUCUGAAUAAACUUGGGUGUGUUUGCUCUGUUCAAUUUAAGGGUCUCAAACGGGCCGGAUCAGGCCGGAGGAGUAAGGCCCAUGGCCCAGCCCGGGGGCGGGCCACUGAGCCCGUUGACUGGUCAACGGGCUGGCCGAGUCGGGCCCUUGGUAAAUCUAAGGCCCGUGGCCCAGCCUGUGGGCCCUCAAGCUGGGCGGGCUUGGCGGGCUGGGCUGGGUGGGCUUGGAUGGGUAUUGGGUAAAAAUUAAAAUACUUUUGAGUUUUGAUCCAUAAGCAUUCAAGGAGAGCUAGCCACCAACUGAGUUGACCCUCUUUUAUGUAACUUUUUUGCAUUAGUUAUAUAUAUAUUAGAAAUGUUGUAUGAUUUUUGAAAAAAAAUAAAAGUGAGUUGGCUGUUCACAUGACCGUUGAACAUGCCACUCAUAAUUCAUAAAUAUCAAAUAUAUGACUGUUGAAUGGUCUUGACAUUUAAAAAAAAAAAAAAUUAAAUCCUAAUAUUUAAAUCCUUAUAAAUAUUAAAUACCCUCAAUUUUUUUCUAUUCUCUCAACUCUUAAGCUCUCUCCCAUUCCACAAUAUUUCCAAUUAUUGCAUUUUGUCUCAAAUUAUUCAAUAUUAUUGGUGGUGAAAAACAAGCAUUGGUGGUUCAAAGAGUUCAAAUUUGAAGGAAUUUCUGCUUCGGUUUUCUAAUUUAGUAACAUACUUCACCUUUUCUUUUAUUUAUUUGUUACAUUUUAAUUUUACAUUUAUUAUUUUUAGCAUAAUAUUUUAUCAAUAAUUAUAAUUAUGGCAAGUGGUUCUUGUUCUUCAUCUAAUGCAUGUGAUAGCAAAAAAAUUACUUCAAAUAUAUGGAAUUUUUUUUAUAGAAUAGAAAUAAAUUUAGAAAAUAAUAAAAAAGAAAUAAAAGCAAAAUGUAAAAUUUGUAACAAACUUCUUAGUGGUGGCUCAAAUGCAGGUACAAGUCAUUUAAAAAGACAUCAUGAAAAUUUCAUUUAAAAAGGUAACAAAUAGUUCUCCAAACAACACAACUGAUUUAGAUAGAUAUCUUAAUAUUGAUUUAAUUUCAUUUGAAGAUGAUGAAGAUUUUGAUAUUUUAAUAUGGUGGAAAUCACAACAACACAAAUAUCAUAUUGUAGACCCCCUCAGUAGCGGCAACAGGCUUUUCUUUUUUUAGAUUAUUAUUUUAUUCCUUUUUCUUUUGGUUUUUCUUUUUUUCUCUCUCUUCUUCAGAACCCGAGAAUGAGCUGGGGGUGGCAGCCAAAACAGGGCGCCCAUAGGACGAGAUGGGCAGGUUUUUUUUUACGGCGAGAUGGAACGGGAAGAAGGGAGAAAAGAAAGAGAGACUGGAGGGGAAGAAAAAAGGAAAGGGAGUUUGAGAGGGGAAAAAGAGAUCCUUCAGCUUGGGGAGGCGUUCGACAGGGGAGGAGAAACGCAGCAAUCUCCUUGCUUAUUUCAGCUGGAGAGGAGCCUUUCAAGAAAACUGUAAGAGAAGAGCAAGGGAGGAAUCGCUCAGGUUUGAUUAUUUCGCACCUUAGGUUCUCCAUUUUUAACUCAUUUUGUUCUAUUUUCAGCCAUACCUUAACUCUUUAUGAUUUUUGGAUGCUUGUUUGGAUUAUUUAAUGUGUUAAAUCUGCUCUUCAUUCCGUGUAUUGCUUGGUCCCUAUUUUCCCCAUAUGAGCUGUAUGAUGACCAUGCUAUAUAUGAGCUGUGUAAUGGCUAUACCAUUUGCUUGUUUGUCGAGAUCGCUCGAACUCUCCCACCAUUCUGUUUGAUAAGCCCUUUUUUUACCUUGGUAAAGUGGAGUCAGAUUUAAUGAUAUUAUAUUUUUAUGCACAUACUCUGUUUUUCUUCAUUUCCCCCUGUUUCUCGCCACCAUCCUUCUUCGCAAUUUCUCUUCCCGUGGCUCGCUGAUAAUCUGAUGUCUGAACAUAGUUCAUCAGAUGGAUCCGAGAGGGCGCAAAACGUGAACUGGUUUCCGGUGGCUGUCGCGGCUGCCGAGGAUGCAGACGACGGAGGAGUGUUGUCGUAUCCGAACAGCACAAUCUCAUUUUUUCAGAUGGUUCUUGAAAUGUUAAUGCAAUAAUUCCCGGUCUCAUCUCUCCUCCUCCUAAAACUCUCCGUUAUUUUCCUCCAUUUGGAGGUCCUGAAAAUUUCUGCAUUAUCAAUAGGGUGCCCCAGGGGGCAUUAUUCAGUGAGAGUUUUCUUUGGACUAGUUAAUGAACCUAGUUUUGACCGGGAACCUCUAUUUGAUGUUUCUAUAGAGGGAACUCAAAUUUAUUCUUUGAGUUUAGGUUGGAGCAAUAGUGAUAACGAGCAAAUAUUUGCUGAAGCCCUUUUGUUUUGAUGGCAUGUUUAAAGAAAUUGGUGAAUAAAAGUCAAAGACAUGAGUUUAUUAUUUUUUAUUCAUUAGUGGCAUGGGUCCAGUAAGCCUCAAGGGGGUUUAUUAUUAGUUUUUUUUUUCUCUUUUCUCCCAGGUGCCAUCUUCUUAAUUCCAUUUUUUUCAUGUUAAAAAUUUCAUUUUUUGAAAGUUCUGUUAUCAAAUAAUUCUUUUAAAAAUCUCAACGUUCCGGAUUCAUUCAUUUUAUUUAUUUAUUUAUUCAUUAUUUUAUUUAAGAAUAUAUAUAUAUAUAUAUAUAUAUAUAUAUAUAUAUACAUGUACCCUUUCCAAAAUAAUCUCGUAAAAUGCGAUUUUUAAAUUCAGCUUACGAAACUUCAGAUCUAAAAUUCAAUUUUCCAAAAUUCCAAUAUUUUAAUUUUAAUUCUUCAAAAUUUAAUUCUCGAAAUAAUUUUCUAGAACUCUAACUAUAAAUUUAGUUUUCCCAAAAUUCAAUUUUUAAUUCUAAUAUCCCAAAAGUUCCAUAAUUCCGAAUUUCAUCUUUUUUUUAAAAUGUCACCUUCAAAUAAAUUUUCGCAACUCCAUUUCUUUUCAAAUCAAAUCUUCAAAAAUUUCAUUCUCAAAUAAACCUUCAAAAUGCCCUUUUUUUAGACUUAAUCCUUAAAUUUCCACUUUCAAGUAAUUUUUCAAAAUUCCGAUUUUCAAAUUUAAUUUUCAAUCUCAAAAAUUCCACUAUUCAUGUUCAUUCGUUUUAACCUUAUCUCGGUUAUUAUUAUUAUUAUUCCAUAUUUAUUUAUUUUAAAAAGUCAAAUUAUUAAAGUUCAAUUCUUCAAAAAUCCGAAUUCCAAAUUUAAUUUUCAAUCUUAAAAAUCCCACUAUUCACUUCCACUCGUUUAAAUAUCAUUUUUGUUAAUUAUUAUUAUUAUUUCAUAUUUAUUUAUUCAUUUCUUUCAAAAAUCUCGAUCAUCAAAGUUCAAUUUUUCAAAAAUCCGAUUUCCAAAUUUAAUUUUCAAUCGCAAAAAUCCCAUUAUUCACUUUCAUUCGUUUAAAUAUCAUUUUUGUUAGUUAUUAUUAUUAUUUCAUAUUUAUUUAUUCAUUUCUUUCGAAAAUAUCGAUCAUUAAAGUUCAAUUCUUCAAAAAUCCGACUUCCAAUUUUAAUUUUCAAUCUUAAAAAUCCUACUAUUCACGUUCAUUCGUUUAAAUAUUAUUCUCAUUAUUAUUAUUAUCAUUCCAUUAAUUUAUUUUAAAAAUUCCAACAAUUAAAGUUCAAUUUUUCAAAAUUCCGUUUUCCAAUUUUAAUUUUCAAUCUCAAAAAUUCCACUAUUCACAUUCAGUUGUUUAAUGAUUAUUUUCGUUAUUAUUAUUAUCCCGUUCAUUUAUUUAUUCACUUAUUCAUACAUUUAAAAUCUCAUCUCCAAAUAAUUUCCCAAAAUUUAAAUCUCUAAAUUCAAUCUCCAAUCUCUAAAAUCCUAUUUUUUUCAAUUAUUUACCUAAUCUUUAUUAUUUCAUCAUUAUUAUUGUUCCAUUAAUUUAUUUAUUCACUUAUUUAUUUAUUAAAAUUCCGUCUUUAAAUAAUUCUUCAAAAUUCCGAUUCCCAAAUUUAGUUCUCUAAAAUUACAAUUCCUUUCAAAUUUAAUUUCUAAAAUUCUCGUUCUUAUAUUUAAUUUCUAAAAAUCCAAUUUUCAAAUAAAGACUCCGAUUUUCAAAAUGAAUUUCAAAAAGCUAGUUUUCCUUCAAACAAUUUUAAUUUAUGUUUGGUAAUGCAUGUGAUAUAUUUUGUACUCUAUAUUGUGCAUUGACUCUGUUUUUAUGAUAGCGCAUCGCUCGUUCGUGGCCCAGGUAUGCAUCCGUUUCUAUUCUGGUCAUUCUCUAUACAUGUUCUGAUUCCCAUAUGUACAUAAUCGACUCGAGUAUCCAUUGAUUUUCCUAUUGAUUAUCAUGUCAGCUUCAUUUUAUUAGUAGAGACCCGACUUUAGGGACUUAGAGGGGUGCCAUGGUCUUUACCGCACCUUCCCGAUAAGUAACCUGACCCUCGAACCCGAUCCGGUUUUUCGUAGAUCACCUUUUCCAAAAUAAGAAGUCGCACUUAGGGUUUUCUUUCUUAUUUUGUUUACCCUUUCAAAAAUAAAACGAAAAUAAGUGGCGACUCCAAGUCAUUUUCUUAAUCAAUAAAAAUCAUUUUUCAAAUUAAAAUCGAGCUCACCAUCGAAUGGGAAACGCAUGAGCCAAAAUGCGGGGUCCACACAUAUGCUUUCUAUCAUUGCUCAUGAUGUACUAACAGCUCCUGUGUUGCAUCAGAAGCUGCUUUUAGUGCAGGUGGAAGAGUAGUUAGUGAUAAACGAUGCAGUUUAGCGUCGGAUUCUAUUGAAGCAAAUAUAUGUGUGAAAGACUGGGCAAUAGAAGAUAAAAUGAUAUUUGAUUCUAUUCAAGAAGAAAAUAUGCUUAUCGAUAUGGAAAAACUAAAAUCAUCAAGAUCUUCAUGGAUUUGCGAUAGUUCGUCAUCACCGCCAAGAAAUAAUGAUUAAAAUAUUUUACUAAAUAUAUGUCAUAUUUUUAUUUUUAUUUUUGUGGUUGAAAAGUACAAAUGAUUGACAAAUAAGUAGGUGCCAACCUAGUUGGGAUGUAUUUAUUUUGUAGUGAUGUAAACUUUUCCCACAUUUUCAAAUGUAAUGUAUACAUUAUAUGAAUAAAAUAGUUAGCAAUGAAUAUUUUUAUUAAUGUAGCAUUUUCUAUUUCUUGAAUUUUUAUUUUUUACAUAUAUAUAUAUUUUUUUUAAGUGGCAGGCCUACGGGCGGGCCAGCCCGCCUGGCCGGGCCUGGCCUAAAUUGGGGCCCAUGGCCCAACCCAUCUAGAAAUGGGCUCGAGCCGGGCUUUAGCCCGUUGGGUCGGGUCGGGCUUGGGCUGGGUCGUGGGCUUUUUGGAGACCCUUGGUUCAAUUCAAGUGGGAUUAAUUACUUGACCCACAUGAUUGACCUACCCACCAUAAUUUUCAAUUUUUUUUUCUUAUUAAAAUUUUCAGGCAAAUAAAAUUACUUGAAAAUUAUUGGAUAUUACUUAUUAUUUAAAAAUAAAAAUAAAAAUUGCUAACCUUCUUGUUAUAUAAUUAGUAAACAUAUUUUCGUUUUAUAAGCUAUAAUCAAACCGUCUUAUAUAUCCUAUUUUUAAAAAUAACAAAGACAUAAAAUUGUCCAUUGAGCACCUAAAUAUUUUAAACUCAUUAUAAUAAAAAAAAAUGUCCAAAAUAUUUAUUAAAAAAACUAAUUUAAUUUUAUAAUCAUUUUUCAACCCAUAAAUUAUCUAAAAAUAAACUAAAAUCUUUAUCAAGGUUUUUCUAAGUAGAAUUUUAAAAUGAGAAAUUAAUAUUUGGAACUCCUAAAAAACAUUAAAUUAAAAUUUUGAAAAUUAAAUCUGUAUUAGAAUUGACAACAGAAAUGCAAACAUGAGUCUAUAGCUCUUAACAGAUUAGAUUAUGAAACUAAAUGUAUUUUAGAUGGUGGACUUAGUUCAUACAACAGAAAGGAUGAGGUAUUCAAGAUGUCAAAUAAGGUUGGGGUUGAAGGAAGUGAAGGGAAAUUACCAUAGAUGAAUGACAAAACAUCAGAAUAUCAACAAGCAGAUUGCAUACUUUUUAUCAAAUAAGGUUGGUACUUAAUUGUUCUGAUGCAAGCAUUUGAAAUUUUUUUGUUGCAGGAGCUCAAACAUUUCCUAAUAGAUCAUACCGGUGGGUUGAUGCUAGAGAUGUUGUCAAUGCACACAUUCAAGCAUAUGAGAUCCCAAAGCCAGUGGAAGAUACUGCUUAGUAGAGAGAGAUUUACACUAUUCCAAGACACUGAAGAUUUUGCACAAGCUCUACCCUAAUUUACCCCUGCCCAAAAAGUAAGUUUCUAUUAGUUAUUGCUAGUACUCGUUUGUGCCAUCAUUAGAGUACUUGCCAUUUAAUCUUCUUUUUUUAAUCUUUUGUAAUAUUGUUUGUUGUAAUAGUAGAAUGAUUGUUUCUAUCCAUUAGAUGUAAAUAUGGUGAGGCAAACGAUAUUUAAAACCCUACAUGCCUCGAAUUAAUAAUUUAUUUUUAAUCUUUGUAUUAAUGCAUCAAUAAAUGGUAUUGAAGAAAUUACUAGUACAACAAAGGUUACAAGAUUAUAAGUGGGAUCACUUUGAUACAAUGAUGGGAUAAAAGAAAUAGAUGGGGUUAUUGAAUGCAAACCUCCAUACAUAAAUGAUAGAAUUAACUUGUUCAAUAUAAGUUCCUUGAUAUAAAAUAUCAAUUUUGUUUUCCAAAGUCUUUAUGGCUAUUGGCUUUUCCAUGGAAUACCAAAGAAAAAAAAAAAAAAAACCCUCCUUACCCGAGAGUUCAUUUGAACCUUGUUUCGAAGAAAAAAGUUUUAUUAAUCCAAACCCUAUUAAUUUAUAUAUGACGACCUAUCAUGGGACUAUGAAGAGUUUUAAAACAACUCAAAGAUAACAAAAAAAAAUUGAGGUUAAAUAGUGAAAACUACAUUGGAUUCCAAUAAUAGUUUUUAUGAUAUAAUGUUUCAUUGGCAGGUUUCAUAAAAAAAAUUAAUUAUUCUAUGAAUACGACUUUUGAUUCCAAGAGGCAAACGAUAUUUAAAACCCUACAUGCCUCGAAUUAAUAAUUUAUUUUUAAUCUUUGUAUUAAUGCAUCAAUAAAUGGUAUUGAAGAAAUUACUAGUACAACAAAGGUUACAAGAUUAUAAGUGGGAUCACUUUGAUACAAUGAUGGGAUAAAAGAAAUAGAUGGGGUUAUUGAAUGCAAACCUCCAUACAUAAAUGAUAGAAUUAACUUGUUCAAUAUAAGUUCCUUGAUGUAAAAUAUCAAUUUUGUUUUCCAAAGUCUUUAUGGCUAUUGGCUUUUCCAUGGAAUACCAAAGAAAAAAAAAAAAAAAAACCCUCCUUACCCGAGAGUUCAUUUGAACCUUGUUUCGAAGAAAAAAGUUUUAUUAAUCCAAACCCUAUUAAUUUAUAUAUGACGACCUAUCAUGGGACUAUGAAGAGUUUUAAAACAACUCAAAGAUAACAAAAAAAAAUUGAGGUUAAAUAGUGAAAACUACAUUGGAUUCCAAUAAUAGUUUUUAUGAUAUAAUGUUUCAUUGGCAGGUUUCAUAAAAAAAUUAAUUAUUCUAUGAAUACGACUUUUGAUUCCAAAUUUUGAAAUUUCUAAUUCCUUAGUUUAGUGGUGGGUCUUGUUGAAAUUGAAAGUUGUGGAAAAGUAUAAUAUGGACACAAUUUUUUUACUUAAUGAGUAGAUUUUACAACACCUUUUAAGUAAUUACCCUAAAAAUGAUAGGUCAUUGCAUUGAAAAUGUAUUAAAUUUAAUUGAGAGAUUAUUUAUAAAAAUAUCAUCAUUUUUUAAAAGAAUAAUAUGAUAUUACCAUCGUCUCGGGUUGGAAAGCAAUUUAUGGUGGUGUUAUAUUUUUCUUAAUAUAUUCUUGUUCCUUUUUCUUUUUUUUUUUUUUUUUUUUUUGGUGCAUAUUGUAAGGUUUCAAGUUCCUUUAGAAAUAUGAACAACAAUGAAGAGUUAGAAAUUUUGGAACAUUGAGUACAUAGUUAAGCCAUGUUUUGAUAGUUGAAAUUCCUAAAAAAAAAAAAUACAAAAAAGAAAAAAAUGAAAGAAGUUCAAAUUUUAUUUAUUUAUCUUAAAAAUAUCAAAGAAAUUACAAAUAAUGAAAAUUGUUUAGAUUUUAUAUACUUUCUAAUAUUUACUCUUUAUAGACAAAAAAAACAAAUAAAUUUUUUUGAGGUUCUGAAAAUCAUUAAACUUAAGCUUAAUAUUUAUUUUUCUUGAUUUUUUAGUGUCUUUCUUAAUUUUCAUUUAUAAUGUUUCCCACUUAAUGCAAAACUUUCUAAGGUCUAAAUUUUAUGUGCGUUUCAUCUUCUUUUUAAUUAAGAAGUUUUGAAUUUUUCAAUUCAAAUUCCAAAAUAGGGUAAUAAAACUUUAAAAUUAACAUUACAUCUUAGACAAAUUGGGUUGAUUUGGUAAUCAACUCGAACCAAACUUGUAUUAAGAAACAUUCCACCCUAACCUAACCAAAUAUAACGUCAAAUAUAAGGUGUUUAGUUCAAACUCAACUUAUUUCUAUAUAUUAAAGUUAGGCUUAAAUUGACUCGGGUAUACUCGUAGUUGAGUUGUUUAAGUUGUAUGAUCAAAGCUAAGUUUUGUAAGAUUGAAUUAGGCUGAACUCGUUCAUAAUGUUUUUUUUUUCUUUUAACUUCUUUUAUAUCAUAUUUUAAAUAACAAAUAGGACAACAUUUAAACAUAAUUAAAAAAAAAAUGAGAAUGAAUUUAUGUAUCUUUUAAUAAAAAUGAAAUAAUAUAAUUAAAAUUUAAUAUUUUUCUUUAAAUACUAAAAAAAACAUAAAAUAGAUAUUAUUAUAUAAAAUAAAAUAAAUUACAAAUAUUAUAAAAAUAUAAAAUUAGGUUAUAUAUGUAUGUAUGUAUGUAUAAAAUAGUAGUGUGGCGAGUGUUUGCUACUUGUAAAAAGUAUUUUUGCUCUUUUUUUUUAAUUGAAAUUAAUAAAAAGAAAAAGAAAUAAAAUUUUUUCAAAAAUAUUAAAUGCAUAACUAAAAUUAUGCUAAUGAAGUUUUUUGUUCUUUGUAAUUUAAAGUUGUCUCAUUCAUAUUUUAAGGUAAACUAAUAGAACAUUAGGGUCUGUUUGUUUAGUGUUUUCAAGAACUGUUUUCUGUUCUUGAAAACAAAAAACACCAAAAACUUGUUUGGUUGAGAGAGUCAUUUUUGUUUUUGUUGUUCCCCGUGUUCUCAAAAUGGCACUGUUUAGAGAACAACAAAAUGUUGUUUUCCCCGUUUUUUUACUGUUUACAGAACAAACUUAAACAACAAAAAAACCAUCUGUUCUCCGUGUUUUUUUUUUCUUCCCGUUCUCAUCUCUUCUCCAGCACAGUUGCGUCGCCUUUUCUCCAGCACAGUCGCGUCACCUCUUCUCCAGCACAGUCGCAACAUCUCCAGUAGCAAGAAACGAAGGUAAUUUCCACAUAUGUUGAAGUUAUUUUUUAUAGAUCUAGUAAAAUAGGCUUUUUUUGGCAAUAUUUGUUUAGGGAAAUGUUAGAUCUGGGUAAAGAGAUAUCAGUUAUGUUAUUCGAAUGAGAUUUGAGCUUUUUUUUUUUAUCACCUACUGUUAGUUUCUUUUUUUUCCCGUUUAUAUUUUCCUAUUUGGAUGCUGAGAAAAGUGGGGAACGAGAAUGAAAAUAGAAUGAGAUCUGAGCUUUUUUUUUUAUCACCUGUUGUUAGUUUUUUUUUUCCCGUUUAUAUUUUCUUGUUUGGAUGCUGAGAAAAGUGGGGAACGAGAAUGAAAAUAGAAAAAAAAAUUCCUGAUUUUUCCCGUUUUGAUUUUUCUUGAGUUGUUCUGUUAAAAAAAAAACAAAAACCUUACUUAAAGACAUGGAAAUCAAACGGGAAAAUCCAGGCUUGACGGGUAAAAUACCUCAAGGAAAAUGGAAAAAAUGAAGGGAAUCAGAAGAAGAUGAGGUGUUGAAUCACCAAGAACCCUUUCUCUUUGUAGGUCUGCUAUUCCUCUCUCUCAUCCAGACUCCAAAGCCCGGUUAACCUCUACUCUUUGCUUCUUCCUUUCUUUCCACCUUCCGAUUUCAUGAAAGCAAAAAUAAUUAAAAAAUUAUAAUAAAGUAAAAAAUAAAAAUAAAAAAUAAAAUCAAAAUUAUUAAAUUAUUUUCCAUAUACUACUUCAAACUUAUUUUAAUUUUUUCAUAUGAUUAUAUAAUUUAAAAUAUAUAAAUUUUAAUUAAUUUUAAUGGUAUAUUUUUGUAAUAAAUCAAACAUUAAAAAAUUAAUUUUUUAACAUUAUUGAAAUCAAACGGUCAAAGGGGAAUAUCCAUCAGUAUAUUCUAAGGGCUAGGUCAGUCUUGAACUCGGACUCUGCACUGAUUAGCUCUUGGAUGUUACUCAUCUAUUUUCUUGGGGUGGUGGAGAAUAAGUGGAAAGAGAUGUGACCAUCUCCUUACUUGCAUUUAUUUUGAUAUGUUAUUUAUUUUAUUUAGAUUAGUUAUAAAUAUUAAAUUAAUUCUUUUUAAAAAAUUUUAUCUCAUCUUAAUAGAAUAUACUAUAAUUUUUAAUAAAAUUAAAUAUUAAAUCAAUAAAAAAAUAAUAAAAAUGAUUUUAUCAUGUUUGAUUUAUUUUAAAAAAAUAUAAAAAAAAAUAUUUUAAUUUUAAAAUUAAUCAAAUAUAAAAUUAAUCAAACUUACUUUUCUUUCAUUUUUUUUCCCCAAUUUUUGUUUCAAGUUUUAUAAAAACUAAAAAAAAAAGUCUUUAAAAUCUAAUUAAUAUCAAAUCUAUUUUUAUUUUUAUUUAUUUUUCUUUCAUAUUUUUAUACACUAUACUAUACGUCAACAAUCUUAAUUCUCAUUUAAACAUAGCCUUAAGUUCUAUUGGUGGUUUUAAAAGCUGUCUCCUCAUAGAGUUCUUAUUUGUGAUGGGAUUGUACAGAUGACAACUGAGAUAACAGAUGUUGAGGAUGCAGGAACAUGGAGAGGUAAUAUAGAGAAAAUCUUUAUUGACAUCAGGGUAAAUGAAGUUAAUAAAGGUAACAUGGAUAGUGGUACAUUUAGUACCAAGACAUGGAGAAGGAUCUUACUUGAGGUCAAUAGUCAAGGGAAAAGAAAUUUCAACUUGAAGCAGCUUAAACAAAAGUUUAAUAGACUACGUGCAAUGCACCGUGAGUUCUCUGAUCUUUUAAAGCAUACUGGAUUUGGUUGGGAUGCUGAAACUAACACAAUGCAUGCUCUAAAGGAAACUGGCAAAAUUACAUUCGGGUAAAAAUAACUUUUAAACUAAUUACUUUUUAAUUUAAAUAUUUGGUAAACACUAAGAGUGAAUUUUUUUUUCCUUCUAUUAGGCACACCCAAAUGCAAAAAGAUUCCGCUCAAAGGGAUGCCCAAACUACAACUUGCUGGGAUUGAUCUUUAAUCCAUCAACAGCAACUGGUGCCAUCCACUACUCUUCCACCCAAGAUCCACCAAACACUGAUGAUGAAGAUGAGAUGGAUGACAAUUUGGAACAUGGUGGAGUGCAUGUGGAUGUAGAUACUGAGAUCCCUGAUGAUCCUCCGCAACCAGAAAUGGCAGGAGGAGUGACCACCCGUUCUGGAAAGCGUGUAACUGAUUCUCUAUUAGAGCGUAGAGGUAAGAAAGAAUCCAGAUUAAGUCAAAUGGGAGAUGCUUUGAAAGCUUGGGUUGAGGCAUCAAAGGCCAGAACAGAAACAUCUCGAGCUAGAACUGAGGCAUUAUUGGCUAGAGUGGACAGAUAUAAGAGUGGAACUAGUAGUGAAGCUACUAGUGGAGGUACCACUGAUUUUAGCAUAACAAGGUGCAUGGCAGCCUUACAAACCAUUGAAUUGUUAGAUAAUGACAAAUAUUUAAAAUUUUUUGAGAAAUUCACAAUGCCGGAGUGGAGAGAGAUAUUAUGAAUAUGCCUGAUGAGAGGAAAAUGGCAUGGCAUGGCUUGAUAGACUUUAAAUGUGAAUGUUUGGAUGCAUAACUAUUAUGAUGACAUUGUAAUAUGUACUAUUUAUCUUUUGGUUAGAAUCUUUUACCAUGCUCUUUAGUUUGUCAUUGUAUGGAUGUUAUUUAUGGUUAUGAAACUUAUAUUAUAACUACUUUAAUAUUCAUUUCGUGCUAUUUUAUAUUGUGAGUUCAUUUGUUUUAUGUAGUAACCAAUGGAUGAUAAUAGCACAAGCAGUGGUUCACUAUAUGAGUCAACUUCAUCUUCUGAAGAGGGUGAUGAUUUAGAUGAAAUUUUUAUUGCUCACAUUAUGAAUGAGUAUGAGGAAAUAUUUUUAUGCAAGACACCUCAAAGGACAUCAAUGUUAAGUGGUGCACAAUUUGUAAGAGAUAUGAUAGAAGGUCAUCCUCAAACAUGCUAUGAACUAUUUCGGAUGGAUAAAGAAACAUUUAUGAACCUUUGUGAUCAUCUUAAGAGACAUGAAAACUUACAGGAUACACGAUUUGUCACAGUUGAAGAGGCAGUGUCUAUGUUCUUACUAAUCGUAGGACAUAAUGUGAGAAUGAGGGUUGUAGCAGACCGUUUUCAACACUCCACAGAGACUGUCGCUCGACACUUUAAAGAAGUUAGACGUGCAUUAUGUCGACUUGGCAAAAUUCUCAUAUGUCCUAACAAUAUGACCAAUGAGGUGUCUUCAUAUGUUGCUAGUAAUCCUAAAUAUUUUCCAUGGUUUAAGGUAAGAGUUUAUAAAAAAAUAUUUAUAAAUGUGAAUUUCAUGACGAUUAUUUAAUUUAUUUCCUUAAUAAUAAUAAAUGUUUGUUGUUGUAGGACUGUAUUGGUGCAAUUGAUGGCACUCAUAUUAGUGCAUGGGUCCCAGUUGAUAGACAAACCAGUUUUAGAGGUAGAAAAACAGUUAUAACACAAAAUGUUAUGUGUGCAUGUAAUUUUGACAUGAUGUUUACAUUUGUUUAUGCUGGUUGGGAAGGAACAGCAAACGAUGCACGUGUCUUUUUAGAUGCAUUGAUUAGACCAGAAGUCAAUUUUCCUUGGCCAAGUGAAGGAAAAUAUUAUGUAGUUGAUUCUAGUUAUCCUUGUAUAUCUGGAUUUUUGCCACCAUAUCGAGGUGAGCGAUAUCAUUUACAAGAAUAUCGGGGUAGACGUAAUCAACCUAUCAAGUAUAAAGAACUUUUUAAUUAUAGACAUUCAUCUCUUCGGAAUAUUAUUGAAAGAUGUUUUGGUGUUUUGAAGACCCGAUUUCCAAUAUUAAGGAUGAUGCCUUGUUAUAAGCCAAGUAGGCAACCAUCAAUUGUUGUUGCAUGUUGUACCCUUCAUAAUUGGAUUCGUCUAUCAACUCGGAAUGAUCAAUUGUUUAGAGAAUAUGAGGUAGAAGACCUUUCAAUCGAAGGUGAAGAAGAGAGUACAAGUAGCAGAAACCAUUCAAUUGAUUUAUCAGAUGAGAGUGCAGCAGCUAUGGCAGCUUGUAGAGAUCAAAUUACUGAAGUGAUGUGGGCAAAUUAUAUUAAUGUCAAUCCAUGACUUAUCUUAUUUUUAAUUUUAAAUAUUUGUCAACACUUUAGUGUUUUGUUAGAAUUUAUAUAUAUAUUUGUUAACUUAACUAGUUCUCAUUAGUGUUAUGUGAUGUUUGUUUUAAUUUCUAAUGAAUAAAUAUUGCUUAUAAAUUUAAUUUAUAAUUGUAAAAGUAGGAUGGACAAAAGACCCAUGUGAAAUACAUACAUCAUAUUUUAUUUUAUUUUUAAUAAUUUAUCAACUUAUAUAAAAAAUUUAAAAUUAAAUAAUUUUUUAAAUUUAAAUGAAAUGUGUAUUUAAAAAUAUUUAUAAAUUUAUAAUAUAAAGUUACUUGAAGAAAAUAUUUUAUUAAUUGGAAAAGAAAAAAAAACAUCUUUCAAACAUGUUUUUUUAUUAACUAAGCCAAACAUGUUUUUUUUCUUUUUUUUUGAGAACAAAAACUGUUUUUCAAAAUUUAGUUUCCAAACACAAUUUUUUUUUCUAAAAACACCAAAAACUGUUCUUAAAAUCUAUUCUCAAAAACUGUUUUCCAGAACAGUUUUCAAAAACAGCAACCAAACAGGCCCUUAAACUCCCAAUAUUUUAUCCAUCUAGAAUUUAUCACCAUUUUAUUUUAUAUCAUAUCAUAAUUAUAUUAAUUAGUGACUUCAAGAAAAAAAAAUUAUUUAUAUGUUAGACAACAUGGAAAAGAUAUAUUUUUUUAAUGCUUAUUAAUAAUUUUUAUUUCAAAAUUUAAAACAUGAAUAUAUAAAUUUUAACAAUUAUGAAAUAUUAGUCUAAAUAUCUUUUAAUAUUUGGUUAUGUUUGCAAAGCAUUUUUAAUAACAAUUAUGAAAAAUAAUUUUUGAGAGUAAUUUACUAAAACAUUUUUUUUAAAUAUGUUUUAAAAAUAACUUUAUCUUAUAUAUAGUACUUUAUUUCAAUCGUUCUCUAUUUAAAAUAACUCUAUGAAAAGAAACGGAAAUAAUUAAAAGAUUUAUCUUAAAACAUUUUAUUUUUUUAUUUUUAUGAAUAGAAAACUUUUUUUUUUUGGUCAAAUGUGUCUUCUUGUUUUUGUUUUUGUUUUUCUAAAAAACAAAAAACUGUUUUAAAAAAUAAUUACCAACAUGAACCCAAAGCCCGAAGCUCCCGUGGGGCUGGUUUUGGGCCUUUUAGGUUUGGGAAAAACAAUCGGGCCUGGCUGAGCACAAAUUCUUCUCUUUUAAGUCCAAAAAGCCCGUCUGAAGCCCAAACUUUCAGGUUGGGCCGGAAGCUCCUGGCUUAACACAAAUUCUUCUCUUUUAAGUCCAAAAAUCCAGUCUGAAGCCCAAAAUUUCGGGUUGGUCCGGGCGGGCGGGCCGAUAUGAAAUAUAAGAAAAUAGAAUAUAAUUAUUAUUACGACAGUGGAAUCUGAGAAAAGGUGGCGAGUGUACUACAAUUUUGAUCUUUUGCAGCAGACUGAAUGUAGACUACGAAGAGAGUGAGAAAUGAGCGGGCAAGGCAAGGUGGUGUGCGUGACCGGAGCUUCUGGGUACAUAGCCUCAUGGCUGGUGAAGCUCUUGCUCCAACGCGGCUACACCGUCAAAGCCACAGUUCGAGACCCAAGUCAGAUCUCUUCCCAAUUACAAAACUUCUCAUUCCCAAACCCCACUUGCUAUUGUCCCCAAUUUUUUUAUUUCUUUAUUGUUCAGUCCUUUUCAAGCAUAAUGUUAGUUUUAUGCAUGUGGGUGGGCCGUUAUUUGGCAGUUUGAAACUUAGAUUGAGUUGUAUUUUGAUGGGUCUUUGUCCUUUUUCCUUUUUCAGAAGUUUAAUCUAUGAUUGAAAGUCAAUAUUCAGUACUCAGGUCUUUGUGUUGUCCUAAUUUUCUUGGAAUUAUACUCUCUACAUGGUUCUACAGGGCAAAUUGAUCAAGUUUAUGCUAUUAAAAAUGAUUUCAGAUACUUUCAGAACCAAUCCAUUUCAGAUUCUGCAAGUGUUCCUUCUUAAUUACUACUAUUCUUGUAAAAAAAUUUGCAUUUAAUUUACAAGAAACUGAGGAGGUCUCAGAAAGAAAAGCAAAAGGAAAGAAAAAGAUUUUCCUUCAGCCAUACCAAAUUGUUUUGGAACCAAAAACUCUAAAUAUGAGCCUGUGUUCUUUUUGGAAACCUAUUCUUGAAAAUAAUUUCAGAGAAACGAAGAAAAUCAACAAAUUUGUACAAUUAUUUGGCUUUAUUGCAAGCUUUUGUUGUUUUACAAACAAGACAAGAGGACAGUUUAGGGCUUCAUUUUGUUUCUUUACUGUUCUUCGGUUUCCUCUUGAAUACGUUUAGCUCUAUUCUAUUGUUAGUAUUUGAACAAAUUGUACAUCACAACUUAAGUUUCUUGCACUUUGAAAAUCCAAUCAUCUUGCAUAAAUGAUCCAAAAGCUUGCAAUUGCAGUUGAGAAAAUGACUACUCUACAUGCCCCAUCCAUUUUACUUCAAUCCCUAUUCUUCUAAGAAGAGCAUAGUUGAACUUCUUAAUAUUCUAGUCAUGCUUCCACUGUAAACUCCUUAUGUACUAGGGUUUCCCCAUUUGGGGUUGUUUUUUUUCUAUCACAUAAUAUAUGUUCUUACCAAAAUAAAGUUUUUGUAAUCUUUCAUUCUUCUUAUUUCCAUUUAACAUUCAAGUUGUGCUUAUAUAUGCCACAGAUGAUCCAAAGAAGACAGAACACUUGCUUGCACUUGAAGGUGCUAAAGAAAGGCUUCAUUUGUUUGAAGCAAACUUACUUGAAGAAGGAUCCUUUGAUUCUGUGGUUGAUGGGUGUGAUGGAGUAUUUCAUACAGCAUCCCCAGUUGUGAUGAUAGUUGACGAUCCCCAGGUUUAUCCUAUAUUGGUUCCAUUGGCAUACUGUAAAAUUUAGUAUUGUCUAUAUUCUUUUCCAGUCAGUUACUGAUCUUGAAAUUACUAACGAAUCAUGAAUUGUUAAUUUGCAUGAUUCUUCUUUCUGUAUGUGGUUUCUUCAACUGAUCCAAUGGUAGUGAAUGCUGAUUUCAUUAAACCAAUACAAUGGUGGAAAAGAGAGAAAUUGAUAUUGGAUUUUUUAUAUUCUGCUUAUGGGCAAAAAUAUUGAAGAGGUUGGAUCUCGAGUUUGCUCUUAUUUCUUUUUUUUUCUUUCUUUCUUUCUUUCAUUCUUCCCCCUAAUCCUUCUUUUCUCCACUUGUUAUGUUUGUUCAAAAGAAGAUAAAGGCCCUUUGUCUUGCAUCAAUAAGAACCAAAAACCCUGUGAAUAUUUAUUUAGGAAUGUAUAACUUCCUUGACAGCAGCAUGGGAAUGCUCACACCGUAACAAGGCUAUUCCAAUGAAAAUUUAUGGUGGCUGAUCCAAACACUCCUUGUGGUUUUUUUUUUUUUUUUUUUUUUCCGAUAGGCAAAAGAGCAAAAGACAUGUUAAAGAGCCAAAUAAAAGGCUACACCAAGUACAUAGGAAGUACGCAUGUGCACACCAAAGAAAAAACACAAAAACCCUCUUCUUAAUGGCAACCUAACCAAUCGAUAAAAUCAAUCAUACAAAAGGACUCUUGCCCUAGACCCCCUUUGGUCCAUUUUAAAAAGUUACAAAGAAAAGAGAAUUUUAGCUCGUGAUACGAAAGCUCAACAGUAUCAAAAACUCUUCUAUUCCUCUGUUUUCAAAUAGGCCAAAACAAACAAAGAAGUGCAACAUUCCACACCUUUUUUUUCCUCCUCCCAACGGAUCAGCUAUGCCAACUAAGAUGUGUUGCUUGGAUUGAGGUAUGCAACACCCAAACCAUUGCAAACAAGGAGAAAACUAAUUGCCAUAACAAACUAGCCUUAGAACAAUGAAGAAGGAUGUGAUUGCAAGAUUCCUUCUCAUCUGUACAUAAAAAGUGUUUGUUUACCAAAGUCCAACCUCUCUUCAAAUUGUCCAUAGUUAGAAUCCCCUUCCAAGUUGCUUCCCAAAACAAAAAAAAAGACUCACUUUUAUUCGAGCCUAAGAAUUCCAAAUAAGCCUUGUGGGGAAAGAAUUUGAACCCCUUUGAACCAUCCCAACAUAGAAAGAUUUAACUAAAAAUUGGCCUCCCUUUGUAGCCAUCCACACCACCUUGUCAUCCAUCUCCCUUCUCAUUGAUUUGCCAUGCAAACGCAAAAGGAGUGCUUCAACAUAACCUAACUCUUAAUCUUGGAAAUUCCUUACAAAACAAGGGUUCCAACACCCCUCAAAAUCAAUAUGCUUCCACACAUCACAUACCCAAGCCUCUUUUGAAGUGGCUAUAGCAAACAAAGAGGGGAAAGGGGUACUCAAAGGGGUGCCCCCACACCAAAUGUCCUUCCAAAACCUUACCCUUCUUCCAUUGCCCAAAUCAUAGGAAAUCUUGUUUUUGAAAGAAUCCCAUCAUUUCCUUAUAGCCUUCCACAAUCCUACGCCAUGACCCUUCCUUGUCUCCAAAGAGCACCAACCUGCUUCUUCUACCCCAUUCUUACCAAUGAUUUCUUUCUUCCACAAGGUCUCCCCUUUUGACAUGAACCUUCAACUCCAUUUGCCUAAGAGAGCCUUGUUCAAAAUAGAAAGAUUUUGAAUGCCUAGCCCUCCCUCCUUUCGCUUUUGGCUUACAAACUUGUGCCAACUCACUAAGUGAGGCUUAUUUUCAAGAGAACCCCCCUCUCCAAAGAAAGUCCUUUUGAAGUUUUUCCAAUUUACAACAGACCCUUCUUGAAAUAACAAAAAUGGACAUGAAAUAAAUGGGUAGUCUAGGUACUUUUGAUGAGAGUUAAACACCCCACCCCCUUGGACAAGCUUUGUUUCUUCCACCUUGUGAGCUUUCUUUCCAUCUGCUCUCGCCAAAGUCCCUCAUUGUUGUCGAUUUAAAGGUAGCACCCAAAGGAAGCCCAAGAUACUUUGAAGGUAAUGACCCCACUUUACACCCCAAAAUAUCCACCAACUCCUCCAUUAUUGGAACCCUUCCAACUAAGAUUAGCUCACUUUUUUCAAGGUUGAUCUUAAGCCCAGAAAUUGCUUCAAACCACAUCAAGACCCAAUGAAGAUGCAAUAGUUGGUCCUUAGAAGCCUCACAAAAAAAUCAAUGUGUCAUCCACAAACAAAAGAUGAGACACCUCCACUCCCUUGCCACCUCUACUUCCCACCUUAAAUCUUGAAAUAAACAAACCCACACCCCCCCCCCCCNNNNNNNNNNNNNNNNNNNNNNNNNNNNNNNNNNNNNNNNNNNNNNNNNNNNNNNNNNNNNNNNNNNNNNNNNNNNNNNNNNNNNNNNNNNNNNNNNNNNAAAAAUUGGCCUCCCUUUGUAGCCAUCCAUACCACCUUGUCAUCCAUCUCCCUUCUCAUUGAUUUGCCAUGCAAACGCAAAAGGAGUGCUUCAACAUAACCUAACUCUUAAUCUUGAAAUUCCUUACAAAACAAGGGUUCCAACACCCCUCAAAAUCAAUAUGCUUCCAAACAUCACAUACCCAAGCCUCCUUUGAAGUGGCUACAACAAACAAAGAGGGGAAAGAGGUACUCAAAGGGGUGCCCCCACACCAAAUGUCCUUCCAAAACCUUACCCUUCUUCCAUUACCCAAAUCAUAGGAAAUCUUGUUUUUGAAAGAAUCCCAUCAUUUCCUUAUAGCCUUCCACAAUCCUAUGCCAUGACCCUUCCUUGUCUCCAAAGAGCACCAACCUGCUUCUUCUACCCCAUUCUUACCAAUGAUUUCUUUCUUCCACAAGGUCUCCCCUUCUGACAUGAACCUUCAACUCCAUUUUCCUAAGAGAGCCUUGUUCAAAAUAGAAAGAUUUUGAAUGCCUAGCCCUCCCUCCUUUCGCUUUUGGCUUACAAACUUGUGCCAACUCACUAAGUGAGGCUUAUUUUCAAGAGAACCCCCCUCCCCAAAGAAAGUCCUUCUGAAGUUUUUCCAAUUUACAACAGACCCUUCUUGAAAUAACAAAAAUGGACAUGAAAUAAAUGGGUAGGCUAGACAAGGUACUUUUGAUGAGAGUUAAACACCCCACCCCCUUGGACAAGCUUUGUUUCUUCCACCUUGUGAGCUUUCUUUCCAUCCGCUCUCACCAAAGUCCCUCAUUGUUGUCGAUUUAAAGGUAGCACCCAAAGGAAGCCCAAGAUACUUCGAAGGUAAUGACCCCACUUUACACCCCAAAAUAUCCACCAACUCCUCCAUUAUUGGAACCCUUCCAACUAAGAUUAGCUCACUUUUUUCAAGGUUGAUCUUAAGCCCAAAAAUUGCUUCAAACCACAUCAAGACCCAAUGAAGAUGCAAUAGUUGGUCCUUAGAAGCCUCACAAAAAAAUCAAUCAAUGUGUCAUCCGCAAACAAAAGAUGAGACACCUCCACUCCCUUGCCACCUCUACUUCUUAAAUCUUGAAAUAAACAAACCAACCCCACCCCCCCCCCCCCCCCCCCCAAACAAACAAAAACUCCUUGUGAUUAUCUUCAAGAGUGGAGAGUUAUAGCAUUUUAACUGACAACCACUGCCUCAAGGUAGGUGACUGAAGAUGCAUUCCACAAAAAUGUUAGACAAGUUGCUUAUGAUUUUCUCCGGACCCUGAAUGCUAUAGGUAUAAGAAAUAGGUAAAUGUGCUUACUAAUAGUGGAUGCAUUCCACAAAAUGCUAGAGAAGUGGUUGUUUCCUUCUCUCUAUCUCUUUCCUUACCUCCUUCCUCACCUCCCUCUCCUUCCCAAAUUCCCUUUUCCUUUAUUUUCUCAAACAGCUCAGUUGCUCCACAUGAUUAUUUUUUUUUUUUUAAAUAGGAAUGCUUCACAAGAUUCAUAUAUUACCUCUUUGCUAAUUUUAGUUAGUUAGGCACUGCCCCUUAAAAACUCAAUUAAGUCUACAUGAUUAUACCUUUGAUGUAGUUAUGAAUACAAGGAUCAUCCAUAACUCCUCCAAUUGCAUGACAUAUUUGCUGUAUUAUUGAUUCUAAACUGGCACUGUCAUAACAUGAUCAGUAAAAAAAUAAAAAUAAAAAUAAAAGUUACUUCUAGAAUUUGAUGGAUGAACCUUAUGGCUAUGUUUGGUUCCUAGAAAAUUUGAGGCAAAAUGCAAGGGAAAGAAAAUAGAAAGGAAAAGUAGAAAGAAAUAAAAAUUGAAGGAAAAUUAAAAAUAGAUUUAAAGUCAAAAAUUAUUUUUAUACGUUACUUCAAACUUAUUUCACUUAUUUUAACUAUUGAAUACAAAGAUUAAAUAAUUUGAAAAUUCAUAAGUUUCUAAUUAGUUUUAAUUAUAUUUGUCUUUCUUUGGUAUUUUCUAUAGAACAAUCAAACAUGAAAAAAUCAUUUUCCUUAGUGUUUUUUUUUAGUACUUUCCAAGAACCAAACAUAAUCUAUUAAGUUUGUCUAUGAUGAUUGGCAUGGGUUAUUUUGUUUAGGCUCAUUCACUAACCAACUGGUUUGUGGUGUAUCGCUAUACUUCUUUUCCAAUUUUAUUUUAUUUUUUUGGUUCAUUUUAGGUUUAAAGAGAUUUUAUUUUAUUUAUUUAUUUAUUGUUUAUCAUAAUUCAUGUGUAACCGCAUUUCCUUUGUCACCAUCACCAUGUGACUCCAUAUAGUGGUUGGGAGAGUUAGAUCCUGGAACAGUUAUGGAAUAACUGCAUCAAUGUUGUGCAUCUUUCUUUGAAAUGUAGGAACGUGGAUUUUUUAUUUUUUUAUUUUUUUAUUUUUUGAAUAUCUCCUUCUCAUAAAUAGGUAUGUUAUGGCCAACAACAUUUUAUUGUAUCAAAAUUCUUUGAUAACAUAGCUUAUCAAUAUGACGAAAUGAUCAUAAUGUAUCUCAUCAACCUGAUUUCAUAUUACACAAUGGAGCCUAGAUUUUGAAGUUCUCUCAGUUACGAAGGGAAAUCUUGUGUUGAUGUAAUGGCAGAUAUUGUUUUUUGUAGUUGGGAUUCUUCAAGAGUUUGGGAGGUGGGAGGAGUCCUACAGGGGGAGCACCGUGCAGAGAGACCAACUUAGCUGGCUAAUGGAUUAUUCGGCUUCAGAGAAAUGCUUGGAUACUUAAGAACAUGAGAAAAUCUUUCAUUGACUUGUGUGCUAAUGUCUAUUAUCUCACAACUCUUUGAAUGCUUGUCACUGUAGAGUUCUUUAGGUUCCCUUUAAUGUUUAUACAUUCUUUUUUGGAUCGGAGAUCAAUAUGCCAUUCCCGUCGGAGAGUGGUUUUGUGCUGGAGGAGGCACUGCCUGUGCUAUUUCCUGACUCUGGCCAGUCCACUCUGCACUUUUUUCAGUUUCCGGACACAACAUUAUACAAUUAACAUACCAGCUUCUAUGUGAUCGAAUUCAGCUCCACCUCAAUCAUUGGAAUUAGCAGCAUGCCAAUAAUCACAGUGUGGGCACCAGUUUUUAGUUAUUCACCUGCCUUGCUUUUCUGGUGAAGUCAGGCAGCAUCUUUUCAUUUCAGAAUGUGGCAUACUGUUGUUUGUGACUUUUUGGCCAUCAGAGCAAUUGUGGAUGGCCCUUCAAUAGACAAAACUUUAUAGGUGUGUGUUUGUGCCAAAUCAAGGAUCAAGUUAUGAAUGAAAAUAUGAAAAUGAGAAGAGAAACAGAGCAAAAAUUCAUUUUACCAUGUCUCUGUUCUUUCCAUGAGGGAUUAGGCUUGUACCUCUUUGGAAGACUCAGAAUCUCCUUUCAGUUUUUCAGUGGCUCCUUUCUCCUAUGACCCGUUCAAGAAUGCUACUUUAUUGUGGACCUUCUAUGCCUUUAUUGAAAAAGAAAAAGUGAUAAGAUAUUUCAACUAGUUGAAAAUAGAGGACCCUAAGGCCUGAGAUAGACUGAUGCUAGAUAGAAAAUACAUAUGUACGGAUAUUCAAACUUAUCUAGAAGAAAUAGAAGCAAAUGAUACAUGAUAAGUUAGUGUCAAAAGGUGAACUAAGUCUUCCACUAGAUAGUCUACUUAGAUGUCAAAAAUGUAGUGGGCUCUUUAGCCUCAUGGUAGCCUAAAGCUCAAGUUUGGUUGAUGUUACCUAGCAAACUCGAGACAGAUGGAAAUUUCCAGCCUUUUACAGUUCCAUAGAUGUGUAAUUAUUAGGGCUUUUUAAUGUCAUUUGUGACGGGGUUUGCUAUUGAUGUGAUGCAGAGGUCCUGAAACUAUUGGAAGGGAUGUAAAUCUGGUGAAAGAGUUGGGUGUUUAUGAUCUUAUGGGGAAGGAGAAUUGAGC
rnacentral:lncRNA from 1 species